UUUUUGGUGCUUUUUUGCUUUUCUUGGUAUGAUCUUGAAGGUUCUGUAAAGCUUCGUUUAUUUAUUUAAUUAGUUUGUCUUAGAACUGCUGUUAUUUUAUUCAAUUCCUAUUCAUGUACUUUGAAAGGAUUUUGGAUGCUGAAGUUCUCCAGGAAAAGUGUGGCUGUUGUUAUUAGGUUAUUACUGAGACUUAAGUGACAUUGGUGUUGAAAUUUUUAAAUGCAUGAAAAAUGCUAUCUUGUCUAAUACGGAUAUCAAAUCCUGUGGAUCAGAGCUUGGUUCUUUCAUACUUGGGACAAGUAAUGGUUCCAGGUGGUGGAUUUGCUGAGAUCCCAUAUUGAUGGAGGACGGCAUUUUGCCAGUGUGUGAUUUUCAUAUGAAAAUACUUAGCUAUGUCAAACUAGUUAAAACUUGGUUGAUAUCCCUGCAUAAGGAAAAAAUGAAAGAGGACAAGUAAUUUUUUUUCAAAGUUCAAGUUGUGUUUAGACUGUCCUUGAUGGCAUUGCUUCUAAUUGACCUUGCUGAUUCACGUAUCUUCCAAUUGGUUUUGGUUCUUUCUGGAUAGUUCUGAGUCGCAUGCCUGUAGGUUUGUUUCCACUUCAUCUAAUUUGUUUUCUCUACUCUUCUUAUUUGAAAGUAUAAAAGAAUUGUUUCAUGGUUCAUGCUUAUAGUGUUAAGGAAUCUUGGUUAUGAAGUGUUGUGUUUUAGUGGGAGAACCUGGUAUACUGGUGAUCUUAAAGGAAAAGGAAUGGCUAGCCUCAUAUAACCUUGGUGGAAUUGUUACAUUGUAACCUUGAGUUACAUGAAAUGCUGUCACCUGUACUUCUAAAGCUAUCAACUCUUCAAACCUGUCACUAUUGACAUUUACUGCUCUUUUAUAGUUGAGAUAUCAUUAGACAACACCAAGAGCUCCCGUCCUCUGAAUCCUCUCUUAGUUGAAAGUAUCUUAUCUGUUGAGACUUUGGCAUAAUUCUAUCAAUAAAUCAACUGAAAUAAAUCUUAGGUUCGGCAUUAAUGUCGACUAAAUUGUGGUAUUGCAGGAACAAGUUCCAAUAUAAACAGCCACUCAUUCAAAGGAAAGGUGAUAAACUUUUUGCUUUUGCCUUUCUUUUAAGAUCGAGAUCAUGAUAUCCUUUUCUACUGUGAUGCAGGACAUUGAUAUACCCUUCGGUGUCAGUCAUGCUUAGGGUAGUCUAAGACUUCCUGGUAUUAGAAAUCUGAAUGAUGAAUAAGGCAACUAGAAAUAGAGUUGACAAUUACAUGGCAUUAUGGAGAAAUGAACUCUCAUUUCUUUUUUUUCUUGAACUGCUAGCAUACAAAUGAGGAUUCUAGUGCUCUCAAACAUUCAUUUACUAUGACAUUGGGGGAUUGGGAGAUCAAGUUCAACUUGAGUUGAGGUUUACUAAAAGUGAACUGGAGUUAAGGGAAGAGUCAUUCCAUCCCCUAGUGCCCUCUUGCAUCCUGUGAAACUCAAGUGCAUGGUGCAUUCAAUUUCUUAUUAUUCAGUUACCUGCCUUUGACAUCAUAUGGUGUUUAUUUCCUAUCAUGUCCAUUAACUAAAUUCUUGGUUGUUUUGUUUCAUGUUGAAAUGGACAAAAAUACGAAAUGCAAAGUAGAUGUCAAACAUAAUUAAGAGGUCUACGGCCAAAUGCAAGAAGCAGCCACUAAACAGUCAAGAGAACUCAACAUUACAAUCAACAGUUAAUACAGUAUAUGCAGGUAAAAGUGUAUAAUGCCCCACUCUUACUAUAUAGUAUGCGUGAUGGAAGCAUUGCGACAAGACGUUAUGCUAACAUAUAAAAUAGCUACAAAUGAAAUUCAUUUUCUUUUUAAAAUUAUACAGAAAGUCUACUUGCUAUAGGAUCCGCAAGAUCUUAUGCUAAUCUUCAGCCAUUGUCUUGCUAUUCCAACUUUGUCAGCUCUGUGAGUGUUUCUGAUCUGAAUUUUGUCUCCAGACUGCUCAAUUGCUCAUGACUGAGCACAAACAGAUAUAUCAGCUUUUGUAUACUUUAAACAACCAAUUGUAUGCUAGGGAAGUCAAGGGCCACAAUCCAAUCAACUGAAGGGACAGUAAAUUCACCAAAGAAGUGUUCUUUCUUAAUUCCAGUCAGCUGUGAAAACAGUAGUCCUCACGCCUCGACCGAUGAUAAUUGUUUCUGACUACAGUCUAUUUCUUGGUCUGUGAAGCAAAGAGUUCUCUAAUGAAGUAAAGCUUGAAGAUGUCAUCUGCUGUUAAACCAUUAUCCUGACAUGGUGUUAGUCAACAUGCUACAUGUAAGGGGGUCUGAAAACUUGCUAUCCAUGUAGUGCCAGGUAAUUUAAACUGCAGAGCUUUCAAAACAUGUCUUUUUGUAAAUAAUGCUGAUGCAGUUGUCCAAGAAGUGACAGGUAAAAUAUGCUGAUGCAGUUGGUAAAGGGGACUGAAAGCUUGGUAUCCAUUUAAUGACAGGUAAUUAAACUCCAGAGCUUUCAGAACAUGUCUUUUGUCCAAGUAAAGAAUGUAGAUGAUUUCAUGUGGCAUAAUUUGUCUUACUUCCUUGUUUUACAUCAACUUGAGUUACCAGAAUAGUAGUUGAAUUUACUCCAUGGACAUUAAGCCUCAAACCAGACUGGUGGUGAUGACAGUCUAAAAAAUAUGCCUGUCCCUGCGAAAUUAUCUUCCAUUUUGCCUUUCUCUGUUUUACCAAGGCUGGAUAAGAUUGUUUUCUGGGUGGUCAUACUGUUGUUCAGGAGGAUUUUAAACGAAAUUUCAUGUUUGUUCUUUUACAAAGGUUUAUGAAUGGCUUUAUGGAGACUUGUAAGGUGACUUUCAGAUAUUUGACCACAACUUGACUUCUAUAAUCUGUGGAUUAGGAGAUUAAAUACUGGUGGUUAGGGAUUUGGGCUUCAUUAUUUUUCAAUUGAAGAAGUGAAGUAAGCACAAUAUAAAAUGGAUGAUAUCAUCAUGCACAAGAGAUGGUAAACCAUGAUGUAUUGCAUGUCGCAUUGACUAAUUCUUGUAUGUUCUUCAGGGUUUGCAUGCCUUUAUAAAACUCUGCUAUGCAUUCUUUUGCAAUCUUUAAUUAGGAUGUGUAACUUUAGAAGGAUACAUGUAUAUCCAAAUCUAUAGACUUAUAAGUAGAAACAAAGACACACAAAUAAAGAGCGGUUUUGCAACUAAAUGUGGUAGUCUUUUAGAAGACAAAAAAACUCAAGUCUAUGGUAGACAUGGAUGACUUUUAGGCUGUGUGAAUGCACAAAAAGACCUUUUUGUUUAAUCUGGUUUAAUGACUUUUUGUCUACUCAAGGAGUGCCACAUUUAGUUGCAAUUCGAAAAAGUCAUCUCAUAGCAAACCGCUCUUUGUUUCUGUUGCCUUUGCUAAGCUCGUUUCUCUCAAAAUUGGUAAGUACUGUGUUUAUCAUGAGUUACUUUUCUACUUUGAAUUUUGAGUAACGGGGUGCAUGCCAGAGUGUGUGCAGCUUGUAUGUUUUCAGCCAAUAUGUUUUUAGUUAAAAUGCAUUUGUUAUUACCUAAAGUAGUGCUGGUUCAUAUGUCUAUUUUUUCUUACCUGAGAACAUUUAUUUAAGUUUGUUCAGGUAUUGCUUUUGCUUGUUUGGCAUAAAGCAGGUUCUAUUUGUGUUAUAUAGUUAUUAGAUACCAGCAUGCAAUUUCUCCUCUUAUCUGUUCCAUUAGAAGCUUAUCUAUAUGCCUUGAUGCAUCUCCAUUUACUUAUUUCGUCACAGUUGCAGGAACAAAUAAGAUCACAAAAUCUGAAGUUAUGCAAUAAUGCUGAUGGAUCAUGGCAAAAAGCAGUUACUUACCUUGAGGGAGAAAAAUGACUCAUGACUCGUGUAUACUAGUGAAUGUGUUAUUGUCUAUUUAGAUGGAAGCCUAAAAGAGCUUCCUGGAAAACAAGACCUAUAUUCAUGAUAAAUUCUCUGCAGAAAAAGUUCUGUAUUAGCCUUCUGAUCUGCAUAAGCAGUUGUAAUAUGUUAUCCUUACAAGUCUUGUCAUGUCAAAUUUCAGGCCUAGUUUCUUACAGAGCACACUUGGAUCAAUCUUCUCGGCUUCUUUAAGCUUGGACUACUUUGUGCAUACUCCUUAGUUCACUACACGGACCCCAUGCUGCUUGUUUUGACGUUUUGGGAUAUAAUCAGGCUUCAUAAACUUUUACUUCAUUGAUUGUAGAAGUCAAUCUAGAUGAUGUAGAGGUUUUGUGCGGUCUGUCAAUGGUCAAGCAUAAAUAGCUCACCAACACAGGAGACUUUCUUAUAGAAUAAUUUUUUUUGAUCGAGAAUUUAGUUUGAUUUCAUGUUUAGUUUAGAAGAUGUUCAUUAAUAGCCUGCUGGAUUACAGAUUCUGAAAAACAGCUUUCUUCCACCUUCUCUUGUUGCCUUGAUCAGUGGUAUUUUAUUUGGGAUUUUAAUGUUUGUAUAUUUGUUAAUAUUGUAGCUUCUUAGUUGCUUUUUUUUUUUUUGGUUGUAGUCCGGCAUGUAGCUUCCUACUUUCUCUUAAAUUAUUCAGGUCAGGGGAAGUUAGACACAUACUUUCAGUGUCUUGCAUCUGUGCUGUCUAGCCAUGAAUGCUUUUGGUUGGAUAUUUUGCAUGGCAUUUACUUUUCUUGGAAUGAUUUCAGAGGUUGUGGAGAUGUUGACUUGUAUUUUUUUUUUUGCUUUUUGGGUAGAAGAUAUUGACUUGUAUAAAGAAAUAGUUUAUCUUGUAACUGCUGUCAUUUCGUUCAGUUUAUACUGAUUUGCUUUGAUGGUUUGGGGUAUUGGAAAUUUCCAGGAAAGGUACUUGGCUGCUGUUAUUAAGUCAUAAGUGAGUUCUGAGUGAUGUUGGUCUGGUAAUUUUUAAGUGCAUGGAAAAUGUCAUCUUCUCUAAUAGGGAUAUUUAGUGUAGGACAUUCAGUCCUGUGGGUGAGAGUUUGGUCCUUUACUACUUGAGACAAUGAAGAGUUACAUGCGGUGGUUUUAUGGAGAUCUCAUGCACAUGAAAGUUGGCACUGUCAGUCAGGGAUUUUCAUGUGAAAAAUGCUUAGUUAUGUCAGCAAAGUAAAACUUAGUUGGCAUGCCUGCAUAAGGAGAAAAUUGAAAAAAAAAAAAGCAUUUAAAAGUAUACGAGUCCACGUUCUGUUUAGGUUGUCUUAUUGGCAUGUCUCUACUUACCUUGACGACCCAUGUAUCUUCAAAUUUUGUUUAGUUCUUUUCUAGAUAAGUGGGUCACACGUCUGUAGGUUUGUUCCCACUUCAUCAAGUUUGUUAUCUUUAUUAUCUUCUUAAUUUAAAGUACAAAAAGUUGGUUCUAUUGUUCACGAGUAAGGUGCUAAGGAAUUUGGGCAGUGGAAGUGUUUCGUGUUAAUGGACUAACCUGAUACUCUGGUUCUCUUAUAGGAAAAAGAGUGCUAGCCUUAGAUAGCUUUGCUCAAACCUGUUACAUAUUAGAGCAUUGGUGACACAAGCAUAUCAUCUCUAGUAGAACUGUCAGCUACUCAAAUUUGUCAAUAUUCAAGUUAUCCUCUUUCCUUUAUAGUUGAGAUGUUAUUGAAGGACACCGGGGCUCCCCUACUUGAGAUAUCCUCUACUUGAAAUCGUCUUGUCUGUCUAAACUCUGGCAUGAUUUCAUUCAAUGUAUCAACUGAAAGACAUCUUAUUUUCUGCAUUAAGAUGGACUAAUGGUGGCAUUGCAGGAAUAAGUCCAGAUACAAGCAGACACUCAUCCAAAUUUCCAAAGGAAAGGUGCUAAACUUUUGGAUAUCUUGAAAUGUGAAGCAAGUCUUCUGAUCUUGCUGGUAAAAUGGAAUGCUUGAAAUUCAACAAACCCCCACUUUUCUUCUUCAGAAAUGACUGAAAUGAGUGCACUUUUUACCAUAAAAAAUUGCUCCCCCUCCCUUUUUUACAGAUAUGGAUAAUUUACCACCGAGGACUUGUAAUGGUUUUCAGAUCAGGAUAUCUUUUCUAAUGUCAUGCAGGUUGUAUAGACAAUUGCAAUCUAUGAUGACCCUACAGGUUUUAUUCAAAUAAAAGAGCAUCAAGUCCAGCUAGAGACACUUAUGUUCUUCCCGGGUAUGAAAAAUCCUAAUGAUGAAGAAGGCAGUUAGGACUUAGGGCUACAGGUUACAAUUACAUGGUUAUGUGAAGAAUGAAUGCUCAAUUCUUCUUUUUCUUGAACUGAUUGACAUACAAUAUUCAGGUGUCUCUGUGACCUGAAACAUUCAUUUAGUAUGACAUUCUGGAUUGGGAGAUCAACUCAACUUGAAAUAAGGUUAACUAAAUGUUAUCUGCUGUCAAGAAAAGGAAGCAAAUAAGGGAAGGCUCACCCCCUCCCAUAUUGUCUCCCUGCAUCCCGUGAAACUCAAGUUUGUGUCGAUUGUUUCCUGGUUUUUCUGUUUGGCUAGUGGAAUUGAUGUCUGGUUAGUAGUGAUGGAGCUAGAAAUAUUUUUCAGUAGGCUCACAAAAUUAACCUUUGCUAUUUUUUUCUAAUUUGCAUGUGGCUAGUAAUAAUAAAAGGUUAUUUCUUAGGGGCUUAAAUUUAAUCAAUUAAUAAAAUACAACUGUUUUAUCAGUGAAAAAUACAAAGUUGUAGGCCAAGAUAAGUGACUGUGUGGGUAAAAGUACGGGACCUUGCAGUCGUGAAGAUUUGCAGCUACUUGUUUUCUUCUUUCAUACAUAUUCAUUGGCAAGUUACAAUCAUGACCGCGCUAUAUAAUAGCGGGAUAAUUCUACUCUACACGAGUCUAUUAUCACAACUUCAUUAAGAAAGGGCAUCAAAUACCCCCCCUCCUCUUCUUUCUGUCUCUUUCUUCUCCCAUAUCAAAGAGUAAUAAUUCUACAAAAGAACUUGUAUUCCUUAACCAUAAAUCUCGAAUUUGAAAACCAUGGGAAUGGAAAGGACAAUGUUGGCAGAGUUUUUUCUUUUAAGGGGUCUGAUUCAACUCGAACCAGAUUAGUCACACAUCGUAAAACAGAUGUGAGUACCUAUGAUUUAUACCAAAAAGGAGUGCUAAAUCUUUUAUAGCCCUCCCUUUCUCGAUCUGUCUCCAUUGUUUCACCAUUUUAUGUCUUCUCUCAUAGCCUGCGACCUUUUUCCUACUUAAAAUUUUCUAUCUAUCUGCAUAACGUUGUCCCUUUACAUGAUUGCCCACAUCUCCUGAUCUCUUUCCCUGCUGUACUUACAUGAUGGUUGAUGCCAUCAUGAUAAUAGAGGUGGUGAUGGUGGGCAGUCUCUUUCCCAAGGUUGCCCACCACAAAAUGCAAGAUUCCCAAGACUCAUAUGAUGUUUCACAGAACUCUACAGCAACAUCAGCAGUCUCUUCUUAUAUUUUCAAGAAUCGCUUUGAACAGAGGAGUUUGGAAAAUAAAAGAAGAAACAAGGAAGCCCAUGAAUAUUAUAUUGAAAUGUAUAACAUCAUAGAUCCAGAUACUACUCCCUCAGAUACACCAGAUGAUGAUUAUCAGUGGGCAUGGAAUGAUAUUGACAUGGAUGGGUCCCCCUAGAAGGGUCCUCCUAAAAGUGUGAUUUACUUUUCCCAAGAGUCAAGUGUGAUUUACUCUUUCCAAGGGACAAGUAUUAUUUAUUUUUCCCAAGAGUCAAGUGUGAUUUACUUUUCCCAAGAGUCAAGUAUUGUUUCUGAAAGGCCAUUUAUCUUGAAAGGCCAAGUUUAGUUGAUGUAUAAAUAGAUGAGACUAUCCAUUUGGAAGGAUCAUCGAAAAAUUGCCUGAAAAUCCUUAAUAAAAUCCCCAGUUUGCUCUAUCCCUCAUGGAAUUCUAAGUUUCUAUAUUUCACCAGGGAAGGCCGAGAGAUCCUUAUAGCUGCGUAAUUGCUUAGAUACUCAUAGCUUUGUUUUAAUUUGUUCUUGUGAUAAAAGUCCCUUGAACUUUUGAAAGCCCAAAGGAGAGAGGCUGUUGUGUUCGGGAAUAUCUUCAAAGAGCAAAUUAUUAUUCUGAUAUGGGAAUUCUAAGCAGGCACUCUGGUAUUUGGUAUCAGAGCCAACCCCUGGUGAAAUCUUUCCUAUUUAUUAUCUUCACAGUCUUGGCAGGAUAUCUUUUCUCAUAAUGGACGUGUGUGCUCCUGUAUCAAAGAAUGCAAUAAGAGGAAUAGGUUUAGAAUAUUUAUCCAAUAAAAUAUGAAUAAGAGUUUGAGGAUAAAUUUCCUUUCCAUUAUCUUCCAAGGUUGCCUUUUGAUUAUCUUCCAGUUACCUAGAUCCCUCUCUCUUCUUAUGUUAGCGAUCGUCAAUGGUGGAUGGUAGUGGUCGUGGUGGUGGUGGUGUGUGUGGUGAACUAAUGGAGGUGGUGAUUAUUUGAAGUUAUGAUGUAAGUAGAAGGAAAAGAACGAAGGAUAGAGUAGGAAAAAUGCAGGCUGCCACUUUAGUGAUAAUGACAUCUCGUAAUAUGAUGCUAUACUUUGUAGCAAUACUUAUAAUAGUUAUCUCAAAAUUCAGUAAGGGUACAACUUAGAAUUUUCAAGAUUUCUCAAAGUAAUACUAGCAUGUUGUUUGGCCACAACGUAAAUCAGCCAUUACCGCUUAGAUAUUUUACUAACUGUAUGCCCCGUGAUAUUACAUACAACUACAAAUGAUUAGAAAUUGAAAGAAACAAGAGAUUUUUGAGAGAAUUCUUAUAUAUAAAAUUCUAAUUUGUAACCGUACAAGAGAGGCCUAUUUAUAGAUAACUAUCUAUGAAUCUAAAUACUAUACAUAAUACACCUACCUGAACAAUGCUUGAUCCAUAAAAUCUUUCUAUAUGCUUGAUCAAUAAAAUCUUUCUAUGUCUGCAACAAAAUGCACAUUCUGUUGAGUACAUUGCAAAAAGGGUGAUAUUGCGCAACGGAUCUUUUGUCCCACACCCUGUGCCAUUCUCUGUCCCACUUUUUAUUAUAUUGCCAUUUCUCCUUCAUAAACAUCAUGUUUUAGUUCCUUUUUGUUUCUUUAAGAUCCAAUAACUAUUAAUUUAGUAAUACACAAAAUUUAACAAACUCAAAAAAUCAAAUGCAUAAAAAAUGAGAUUUUUUUUAUGAAUUUUCUGCUGCAUUUUUUAAUUUUCUAUUAUAUAUUGGUUUUUUGAAACUGUUGUAUUUAUUUUUUACUGAAUUUGUAGUUAUUGAAUCUUAAGGAAACAAAAAAGAACUAAAACAUGAUAUUUAUGAAGGAGAAAUGACAAUAUAAUAAAAAGUGGGAUAGAGAAUGGCACAGGGUGUGGGACAGAAGAUCCGUUGCGGUGAUAUUGGCAGGCAAUAGACAUGUUGAAUGACAAGUUAAUUGAUCAGUUUCUAGGUACAAAAUGCACUUUUCUCAGUUUUGAUGAAGCUUAGGAUGAUACCAAUAAUUACUAUCAAGAGGAAUUUCUUAAUUCCUUGACUCCGAAUGGUUUGCCACCACAUUAGUUGGUAUUGAAGGAAAAUGCACCAAUUAUGCUCUUAAGAAAUCUAGAUCCAUUAAAUGGUUUAUGCAACGGGACAAGAGUGGUAUGUAGACAUUUUCAAGGUAAUGUCAUCCAUGCAGAGAUUACAGUAGGUCAAUAUAAAGGGGUUCAUAUUCUUUUGCCCUACAUACCCCUUUCUCCAGUAGAGAAUGGAGGCUAUCCAUUUAAGUUCAAGAGGAAACAAAAUCCUAUAUGGCUAUGCUUUGCAAUGACCAUCAACAAAUCAUAAGACUAGACCAUUCCCCAUGUCGGCAUUUAUUUGCCACAACCCAUUUUUUCACAUGAUCAAUUUUACGUAGCUCUAUCAAGAGGAGUCAAUGGCAAACACAAAGAAUUUGGUGAAGUCAGAUUGUCCCACAGAGACAUAUGCUGCUACUAUCAAAAAUAUUUGUCUACAAAGAAGUACUCUAAUAUGAGAGGUAAAAUGAAUAUACUAUUCACUUUGACUUUGUAUCAUUUGUUUCAUAUCUUCUUCAACUAUUCAAUAAACUAUGACUAUUAUGCAAACUUAUGAUUUAUUUUGCAGACGUAUACAAAUGUAGGAGAAAGUAGGUACAUAGAACAAGAGUACAAUUCCAUACUCAACUAUACUUGACAAUGCAAAUGUUUAGUACUCAUAUUUCUCAUUCUGAUAUAAUUCCUUGCAUCUUAAUGUAUUGUUUCUAUACACAAAAACUUCAACUAUGAUGAUUUUCACUUGAUCAGGAUUACAAUUUCUAGAAGGCAGACUACUGGAUUUACCAAGUAGUCUUCUUGCAAAGUCAGCUUAGGUAUUUCGACACCGAUGAACAGUCGCCUCAUCCCCAUAGUCAAAGUAGAAAAGAUGACAGAAUUUAAGUUGUCCAUUUAUAUAAUAUCUUUCAUUUAUGAAGUCCAUUGCAUUUUCACCAGAUGUAUUGUUUUCUUAACUAAGUACUACAAUAUAUGGUUUAAGAUUACAAAGAAUGCGUCGGAUACUAUGGUAUUUGAUACACAAAUACCCUAUAACUACAAAAGCAAUGAAUAGCCAAUUUAGAAAGCUCACAAUAUGUGCUUAGUAGUCACUACCAAAAAUGAUUAUAUAGUUCCAAUUCCAGCUCCAAUAAAAAACAGGCAUUUUAAAUACCAAGCUUCACAUUUUCUAGAGCAAGUUGGAUGGUUUACGAAAGAAUUGCUUUAUUCUUUAUCAAGAAUCAAGGAUGCAUUUUAAAUCGGAUUGAUGAAAAGUUCAAUUGGAGUAAAUGCUUUGGAAUGGUUGCAUGACUUGAUCUGGUUUUUGGCACAGAAAUGAUACAGUAAUUUAGUAAUUGAAUGGAAAUAGUAGUACCUCACUCAUCGUGGGACGCCACAUGGAAGAACCUCGAAUGCAGAGAGAGGAUGCAAAAGCAAGUCUAUUAAGUUGUUUAACAUCAUAAAACCCUUCAAGUCUUGGAUCUACCACCUUUUCAGUCUCCCCUCGGUUGAGUAUUGGUUUGGCCUAUUGAAUUCACUACCACCAAUUAAAAAAUUGACUUUUCUAUCAUAUGUUAAACAGGAAUUCUAAAAUUGGCUACCUUUAAUUACCCAGCUGUGUAAGCUUUGAUGAGCACCAUCUACUGGUUUUUUGCCAGAUAGAAGCUCCAGCAAAAAGACUCCAAAUGCAAACACAUCUGUCCUCUCAUCAACAACCCCGUGCAUGAAGUCUUCUGGUCCUAAGUGCCUGUAAAAUCGGCAAGAAAUACACUUCAGCACAAGACCCAACUUGUAGCAGAUUAUGCAAGAAAGAAAUAAAAAAAAAAAAAACAUUGACAAGUAAUCUACCCAAAAGUUCCUUCAAUUGGAACAACUGAAUGGUGAUUCCCAAACAUAUAUUACGUAAAAUUUAAUAUCGUAAAACAAAUAAAAUAUCAUAAAAUAAAAUAUUUCUUAUAAUAUUAUAAAAAAGCAAACAAAAGGUAAAAACUGAUUAUGGUCUAUGCUAAUCUAUAUUAUGGGAAAACUGAUUUAUCCCCAAUCUAUAUUAUGCUAAAAUAUAAACAAAAUAUUAAUACAACCAGAAAACCUAACCAUUCUCUUUCAUUUGAGAUAGGAUAUCUGAUUGACUAUUUAAGCAAUGCAAAUGCCCAUUCAUUACUGACAAAGUAGGAUAUAUGUUUUACGAAUCAAAAAGGGUGGUGUAAUUGGGUUUUUAAGAAUAUUUCUCCUAUAUACAAAUGGCUUAUAACAAAUUAGAAUGAAAAAAGAAAUGGUAGAUAUGGUACCUUCACCAGAAUAAAAAAAGAAAUCAGAAUUUUAGUAUCAAAGGUCAUAACUAUAGUGCCUAGGUUUGGAAAUCUUGUUCUUAUGGCAGCACUAGCCUUUUCUCUUGGUUUUAAUUAUGGCCAGAAGCGACCACCUACAAAGUCCACUUAUUAUCAGAUUCAAGUUGGAGUACUAUUUCAUCUACUUGGGUUGAAAAAUACGAUGCACUCAAUAUUUCUUACCAUUGCAACUUUUGCACAUAGAAAUUUUUGGCAGCAGAUCAUUUGUAGGAUGAAGAAAAAAUGUGAUUUUCUCAAAGAAUCAAGAAUACUUCCCAUAUGUCCUUGAGGAAUCAAGCACGAGAUACAUAUAAUAAACAAGAGUCCACUUGAAUCUCUGCAUUGACUAUAUCCACAAGAUUUGGGGUAGCAAUAUAGAAAGAACAAGCGCUAUGGAGGAGUCAUCUUGAAGUUAGUCCAACAAUAAACGAACUUCUUUUACCUAAAAUUGGCAAGAGAAAAGACUCCAAUCCAAUCAUCAAUUGACGGAUUGUUAAUGCCAUACCGAGAGUAAUCGAUUCUGUGUUCUGUCCCUCUGAGAAAACAAGGAAAUUGCAUGUGAUUCUAAAGUUUGAUUUAAUUCCUCAAACUAAGACAAAGCAUUUCAGACUUUUUUUUUUCAUUCCUCAAAUUAACUUACAUUCAAACCAAGAAUUAACGGAGUGGCUCUGAUAUAAGCUCCAUCAUUAGAGCAAUUACAGCACUGUUGAUGUCAAUUAGGUACACUUAUAUAUGGAUCAAUUAUUUUUAAACACUUAUAACACUCAUAAACGUCAAAUUAUUUUUAAACACUUAUAACAAGAAGAUUUUAUAUGGGUCAAUUAGGUACAUGUUUAUCUGUUCGAAGGAAAUUCGACAUGGGCAGUUCAAACCCCAGUAAACUAAUUGCAAGACUUUACUGAAUUGCCUAUGCCACAUAAACUGAUAUUCCACACUUACUACAGCAUGCUUCAGAAUUCACUUGACACAUGGUGCCAUUGAAUGUGGUCACAUUUCAUUGGGCUGCAAACGCUUCAAGUUUCAUUGUUCAGUCCCGUAAUAUACGUCUACAAGGCUCAUUUCAAAUUUAAUUGGAUUCGAUUUCAGCAUAUUCUUUAGCCCAAACACCAUUAAGUCAAGAUUGUAUCAGCUUUAGGUUUCCAACUCAGAUGGACAGCAAGGCCCUUCGUACCCUUAAUUUUUUUUUUUUAAAGAUUACAACAAACAACAAUACUACUAAUAUAUUUUUAUACUGAAAACUUUUUCACACAGAACUAGGCUUUCCAUUGUUAAGUUUGUUUAUCAGAAUGCCUUCUCACUUCCAAUUUCUACAAAAUGUCAGGUUGGCUUUCACGCUCUCUAUGAUGAAACUAACCCUUCACAGGGUCUGCCUGUGACAAGACAUCUCUCCUGUUUGGCUAGGAAAACUUCUGAAAGAUCUCAUAUGGUACUGUAUCCAUGUUUAGGCCUCUGGCGGUCCAAGAGCAGAUAACAAAUAAUAUGUACACAAGGAAGCCUUUAAUUAAUAAAUCAACACCACAUGUAUCAUGCAUAUAUCAAUUUAGUUACAGCCAAUGAUAUGAAAAAAUGCGUAGCAAGCAAGUCCGAAAGUGUGCUAUAAAGUAGGGUCUCCCAAUAUUUUAUUUCAAAGUUCUGUGAUUAAUAAUUCAAGCAUGCUAUGUAAUAAAAACUAACAAAAUUGUGAUAUGAAAACUACAAUCACCCAUCCUCAUUCUAAAACAAAAAGGAAAAUUCCAAUUUGUUAGGUUUGGUCCCAAAAAAUUAGCAAAAGGGUUUUUGAAAAUCCCAAACGACAAAUAACAAAGCAAAAAUAAAUAAAACAGAAAUACAGGAAUUUGCGUGGUUCGAUAAAUUGAUCUACGUUCACGGGCAGAGGAGCAAAAUUUUACAAUGAAGAAGAGAGUACAAAAUGCCUUAAGAAAGUAUUCCUAGUUCCAAAACACCUAAUACUUAAAACAUAAGAAAGUCCAAAAAUAGUUUACUAAACAAAAGAUUUAAUAAUCCAAAUGUCCAAAUAACCCACUAAAUCUCUCUUGGUUUGGUGUACUUAAUCUCAUCGUAGGUUCAUUCUAUUUAUAGGCAACUAAGGGAAAGACUCCCUUGUGCAAGAAGCGAUAUGGAACAAAAUCACAUAUAACAAAUCUCCACCUUGGCGUGUCCCCGACAUUGACAAUAACAAAUCUGCUCUACCUUCUCCACAUAAGUUCCAAUGGGCCUAAGUCACUAGCAACAAAUACCAAUUAAGUUCAAGCAUUGCUUGAACUUGUAAACUGGAAGAGAUUUCGUGAACAUGUCAACAGAAUUUUUCUUGGUAUUGAUUUUUUGAAUAAGAACUUUUCCCUCAACAAUAGUAUCUCGAAUAAAAUGAAACUUCACAUCAAUGUGCUUUGUCCUCUCAUGAUACAUCUGGUUUUUAAUCAAGUGAAUGGCACUUUGACUAUCACAAUAAAUAAUAGUAACACUUUGAUGUAGACCGAGCUCACCAAACAAACCCUUUAACCACAAAACUUCUUUGAUUGUCUCAAUCGUGGCCAUAUAUUCUGCCUCCAUAGUAGAUCAAAUUACAACAGGUUGUAACGUAACUUUCCAACUAACUGCAUAACCACCAAUGUAGAAUACGUAACCUAAAAGUGAUAUUCUCCUAUCAAGAUCCCCGACAUAGUCAGAAUCUUCAAAACCAAUCAAAGUGUCAUUAUUUUUCAUAAACUCCAAACAACUAUUUGAAGUCCCUUGCAAAUAGUUGAGAAUCCACUUUACAGUCUGCCAAUGUGUUUUUCCAGGACAAUACAUAUAUCUACUAACCACACUGACGGCUUGUGCAAUAUCUAGACGAGUACAUUGCAUACAUAACAUUAUCGACUGAACUGGAAUAGGGAACUCAUGCCAUAUACUCUUUCUCUUCAAUUGACUAUGGUGACUAAAUAGCAGAUAGUCAAAAAUGACUAGCAAGAGAAGUAAUCACAUGUUUAGCAUCUUUUAUGCCAAGCUUUUUAAGAACUUUCUCAAGGUAAUUUUCUUAAGUCAAGAAUAAUUUUUCAACCUCUCGAUCUUUCUUGAUUUUCAUGCCAAGAAUUUUCUUAACUGCUCCCAAAUGCUUCAUUUCAAAUUCACUACUUAACUACAACUUCAAAGUGUAAAUUUCUGACAAAUUCUUGGCAAUAAUGAGCAUGCUAUCAACAUAAAGUUGCAAAUAAAUGAAAGAACCAUCAUCUAACUUUCAGAAGUAAACACAACUAUCAUAUAUGCGCCUUGAAUAACCAUGAUCCAAUAUGAAAAUAUCAAAUCUCUUAUACCAUUGUCUUGGAAACUGUUUCAAUCCAUUUAAAGAUCUUUUCAACAAACAAACAUGGUUUUCCUUUCCUUCAAUUUCAAAUCCCUGAGAUUGCUUCAUAUAAAUUUUUUCUUCAAGUUCACCAUGCAAGAAAGCUGUCUUAACAUCAAGUUGUUCCAAUUUCAAAUCAUACAUGGCAACUAAAACAAGCAAAAUACGAAUAGAGCUGUGUUUAAUAGCAAGUUAAAAUACUUUAUUAAAAUUAACAUCUUGUACUUGAUUAUAACCCUUUGCAACCAACCGUACUUUGUAUCUUGCAUUUUCAACCCUUGGAAUACUUUCAUUCUUCUUGAAGACCCAUUUACAUCUAACAAUUUUCUUAUUUGAAGGCAGUUUCACAAGAACCCAAGUUCUAUUUCAGUGGAGAGAUUUAAUUUCUUCAUUCAUCGUAAUCAACCACUUAACAGAAUCAUCACAAGAAACUGCCUGUAAAUAGGUAGUAGGCUCACCAACUUCAUCAGUUUUUUCAGCAACAGACAAAGCACAUGCAAUUAAAUCUGUAUAUCUUUAUGGUGUCUAUCUUUGGUUAUGAAAUGUUACUCCUGUGACGCUCCCACUUCUCCCAAGGGCAAAUCCAAAGUUAUCGGCGGGACGCCUGCCCAACUCUCGUCGGGACUCACUACAAUCAUAAUUCAAAACUAGGAAUACUUCAAAUAACUUCAAUAUAUAUAUUUAAAGUAUUCCAAAACACUUCACACUUACACUUAGUUAGCUUUCAAGUUUAAUACAAUCCAAAAGAAUAUGUACUACAGCCAUCUGCUAUAAUACAACUUAAAGUUUUCAAAAGAAAACAAUCUAGUACUAUUCACGAGCACCCUUGGUCUCGAACCCUGUUAAGGAAAACAAAAACGUGGAAUGAGUUACACAGCCCAGUGAGGUUCCAAGACACUCUAACAGUUCUAAUAAAUCUAGUAAUUUGAGCAUAAUACAUGAAUGAUUCAAGAUUGCACAUUGGCACAUUAACAUAAAACAGUUAUCAUUAUACAGAAAUAAACAUAUAUUGAAGGAUACGGUGUUCCAGUGGAAUCAUUUCGGUUAACUUCACCUUAUAACUUCAGAUCCCCUCGAUUUGUCUGGCCAUCACCUUAUCCCUCCAGUGGUAGUAUUCGAGUAUAUCGAAACGGUGUCCCAGGGUUGCAACCUACCCGACCGAAUCUAGUCUUGGCUUGAGCACGUUAGUAACCAAGGGCAGGGCCCAGUUCAGCUUAGAACUUACAACAUGCACAAGUAAUCAAGUAAAUCCGUGAAUAGUAAAAAUUUAUCAUUUUAGUAGGUCGAGUGAGAUAAAGUACACACUCGCCUUAAAACGGUGAGUAAUUUCAUAUGAACAUAUAAUUUACGAUAAUCAAAUAGUCAAGUAGUCAAGUAAGCAGGUAAUCAAGUAAAUCGGUAAACAGUAAGUAAUUACAGUUAACGGUAAACAGUAAUUGGUAAACGGUAGUAGUUCACAGUUAAUAGGUAAACAUUUAUAAUUUUAGUAGGUCGACCAUUGGCCGUUUUUCCACUUUUACCACUUAAGAGUCGAGGAGAUUCACUCCAAUCGACUUAUGCAGCCAUAACAUAAUCAAUCAUUGAAACAUUUCACGUAAAUAUGCACUUCAAGUAUUUCAUGUCGAGUAAUUCACGUACGUUUUACUUAAAUGAGAAUAAGUGCGGUAAAGUACACACUCGACUCAAAAUGGUGGAAAAGUCCAUAGAAGCAAUUAUUGGUAGCACUUAACAGUUAAACACAUAAUGACCAUGGAAUAAACAUGUCAUAAAACUAUCCAAAUCACGUACUCCUAUAUGAAACACUCACCAAGUAAAAUAAGGAAGAAAUGUAUACUCGAGGGUUCAGGCAUCCACCGUGGGAUCCUCUUGAAGGUUCUCUUGUGUGCCUGAGCAAUUAAUAAUUAACUAUUACACAAUAACGCUUAAAACCCCUAAUUAUCGAAGAAGAUUGUACACAUGUACAAUCUAGAAAAAUAUCAUGAAAAUGAGCCUUAAUUACUCGUAAAUCGAGGCUCAAAAGUGGGGUUUCAGUAAUACAAGAAAAUCUGAUUUUCAUCUUUAAAAUCAAGUAUAAAACGAUCUAGCGAUAUCGAGGGAAAAUGGAGAGUUCUAAAAACUCAAUUUCCCUAAGUUUGGAAAUUUUAGAUUUGACAAGCAAUCUUUGAAAAAUCGUAUCUCACUCUCUGUAGGUCCAACAUUGGAAAACUUGAUACCGUUGGAAACUACUUCCAAAGUACUAAAAGUUCCUAGAAGAUACUUUUUCAUGAUUCCAGAUGGAAGAUAUUCAAAUUUUGGCUUAAAGUCGCUGAUUUGGGCUAUCAAGACAGUUUUGGGGUUGGUUUUUUUGGCCAACUUUGAAAAUUCAGCAAAAUUCACAGAAUAUGAUCUAGCCUCUGAAAUUUGAAAAUCAAUUAGAGUUAUAAUCAAAGUUUAAAAUAUAAUAAACGGAACAAGAAUCGGAGUUUUAAGCAUCAAGAUAUAUCAGCUCAAACUUGGUCAAAAUUCGAGAUUGUUAGGCAAUUUUCCAGAUUUGGAAGUAAAACUUUGGUGACUUGUUCGUACAUCAAACCAGUCUUAGAAUGACACCAAAAUUGAUAUAUUUCAACUUCCACAUGAGGACUACUCCUCUACCAAAUUUCACUUAAAAAUUCACAAGGGAAGGUAGUUAACUAAACUACCAAAGUUCAAGGGAAUCCGAAGACAAAUCUGUCUUCAAGCUUCCGUUUUCUGUUUUCAAACAUUUGGCCAAUGAAAUCAUCUCAAACAUAGUUUAUUUAUGAAGAAAAGAUCUAAGAAACAUCCAAAAUACAUUUGGAAGGUGAUUAACACCAAAGUUUCAAAAUAACAAGUCCCAAUUUGAGCUAAGCCAUUCAGCUAGUCAAAAUGAGGGUUUUCCAUCACUAAUACAGUUUCGUAAUUCGGCCACAACUUACUCAAUUCAACUUGAAAUUGAGCAUGGUUGGUGUCACUGGAAAAUACAUUCAUAGGGCUACAAUUCAUCAGAAGGAAUCAUUUUGAAAUUCUAUCCAUAACUAGUUCAUAUUCGAGCAACAAUUCGCAGCUCAUAACAGGUUUUCUAGCACAGUCGAGAAACAGGGCAGGUGAAUUUAAAAGACUGGUAUGAUUCACUCAAGUGGAAUCAGGGAAUGCAUUUUAUACCGUUGGAAAAAUGGAAGUGUCUAGUUUCUAAUGCCACAAAAGGCACUCGAUUUCGACGUCGAAGCAAAGAGUUAUAGUCAUUUGAAAAUUACUGCCAGAAUAACUCUGGAUACGUUUUCCAAUCAUGAAGAAAUUUCGAAAUCUAAACAUUUACCCAACCAAAUCAAGUGAUUUUUUGUGAAAACUUUCCACACAACCUAUACAACAUAUCUAUAUCAAAAUCGAGUCAAUUUAACCACAAAAAAAUCACACCAAAGGUUUGACAAUAACAGGGCAGAUUCGGCCCUUCCGCAUGCAUCACCUCCUUUGAUUUUCUUUUCACUUUUUCCACUUAUCUCUACUAGAUUAAUACUUAAUCAACACAAAUAACAUCCAAUCUCAUCAAAUCAGAUCAUCAAGUCCAUUGUAGAAUUUCAUAGAGUCUACUCACAUGAUUUCCAACAAUCCAAAGCUACCCACUUGAAGCUACAAGCUUCUAAGUGCAAUUUAACUUACAUAAACUAAGAUUCAAAGGUUGGAUGAUGAUUACCUCCUAGAUGAUGUUAAACCAGAAAAUUUUGGUCCUUUUGAGCUCAAGAAAACUGUGAGAAUGAAGCUCUUCUCCUAGCCCAAGAUGAUCUCCAAGUGAAAUGGAAAUUGUGUGAUGAUUUGUGAAGGUUUUGGGAGUGAAAUGGAAGCUAGAAGAUGAAGUUUUUCCUUCCCUUUGUUCCUUCUUGGUGGCUGGACGAAAAUGAGAGGUAAGAGAUGAGAGAGAUGAGGGUUUGCUGAUGGUGAAACUUCUUGGAGAAGCUUGGUAGUUGUGGCAUUAAUAUGGCACAAAAGUCAACUCUCAAUAGUACGCGUAUGCGCGCAUUUCGUGCCUGAUUCCUCUCGGGUUUGUUUCACCUGUGCACUAAACCUCUAAUGCACUUCCUUUAACACUAUUAUUAUUCACUCUUAAUAGUUUAAAAAUAAAUAUCUAAGGUCCCUCAAUUAGUCACGCGCGCGAAAACACGAACUUCCAACUUGUGCGCGACAAGGCGAAAUUUCUAAGAAUGUCUUAUAACGAUAGUAUAACUGACUAAUACUUGAGUACUUAAACAUAAAAAUUUCUAUUUUAAAACUAAUGUAUAAGUCUUCAAUCUCCAAACUCAUUGUACACUCAAAUCGAUUAUUACUUCCAAACGCGCAUUCACUAUUCUCACUAAACGAGCUUUCAAAAUUAAAUUUUGUAACAAGUCAUUUUAAAAAUACAUGUAAGCCAUAGUUCCAUGUAUUUGGAUCUAAAAAGGUUGAAAUAAAUUAUUCGAAGAAAGCGGAUGAAUAAGUAUUUAAAUAAUCUAGUAAUAUACAAUAAAAUGAGAAAAAUUUUGGGGCCCUCACAUCUUCUCCUCCUUAAAAAGAAUUUCGUCCUCGAAAUUCACACUCAGGAUAAUAUCAUACCCUUUAAUAAUCACGCUUAUCAAAAUUUUCGAACUCAAUUUGCCCAUAACCAUCUACUGGCAUUUGAUUUUUGAAAUUAACAAUUUUAGAAAUGACCUGGUUUCUUUUGUCCCAAACGACCAAUCAAAUUUUUGUUCAAAUCAAGUCAAUCAUAAUAUGUGAUAUAAAAUCGAGGGUUUUAAUGCAUUUUGGAUAUGUAUGUGGCAAAAUGCGAUUCACAAUUUCAAAAUUAGAGUUAAAAGAUACAAACUUUUCUUCAUGAUCCGAAACUAAAUUUUCUUAGUAAGAAACUUCAAAUAAUGUGUUUUGCAACCAUCAUCAAUACAGAUUGCAAAUUCCUCAAAUUCGUUUAAGAAAAUUAAUCAUGCAACUCAAUGUGUGGUAUUAAAACACAUUUAUAAUAAAGUAACAUAUACAUGGAGGAUAUUUCAAAAAUUCUCUCAAAGUUUCGAGCUAAGAGUUGCGUUUGAGUAAGUGUAUAUUCUAGAAAACACUUUUAAGAAAUAUGAGUAAACAUGCAAGUUCAUAUAUGCAUAAACUUCGAUCCAACACUUUUAUCACUCUUCACCUCUAAUUCGAGAGCUAAUUCUAAUGUUGCAUAAAUCUCAGUCAUUUUACUCUCCAAUUCACAACAAAUUUUCAUUCUUAGUCCUAAGAAAAGAAUCGAACUUAAGCUCUACCUCAUUUUCGAUUCUCAUGUGGGUUCAAGAUGUAUAUACAAGUUAUGAAUACAUUUAGAAUUAAAGCAUGAUUCUUUGAAUAUAUCAAAGGUCAUAGUACAAGUCAAGAGAUCACAAACAAGUCAAGUAUGUCAAAUAUAGGACAUAGACAACUAAGCGCCACAAAAACAAAAGUACAUGCAGGCAAAUUACAAAAGACCUCACGGCGUGCACCACCCUUACUAUCAUAGGCAGGAUCAAAAGGAGAAAAAUCAUAAACCUAGAAGAAUCCACGAUACCAAGCCACAUCAUUCAAAUAAUUAUAAAUUCCAAAUUCCAUCCAAAAACCUAAGCCACAUUCUAAAUUCUUAGCCUAAAACUUCCAGCGAAUACGAGCUUUCCUUACUAAAUUCAAGAUGAAAAUCCUUAUACAGGUUAGGGUAAUGAGUCAAACCAAAAAGAAUGCAAAAGUGUCUCAUUUCAAGCUCAACUACAUUCCACUUCUCUCUGGUCAAUAUUGUCCCACACUCGGUUAAAAUAUUUUUCAUCCGAUGUAUCACUUCUCUUACUACAUGAACUAGACGUCCGUUGACCUUUUGCACUUGCUCUCGCAAAGCAUUAGUCCGUUCUUAUUUCCCAUAAUGGAGAUCUCAAGUCCAACACAAGAAUCCUCCGUGCUCUGACCUUUGCCAUCAGAACUUAUCUCAAAAACCACUUAUGAUUUCUAUUCACAUUAUAAUACACGAGACUAUAUCCCUUCCGAAGUCACAAGUAUUCCCUCAGGAAAAGUAUUUAGUAUUCAAGUACAUGAAUCCAAAACUAAGAGAAUUUGCAACUCAAGCCGUACGCUCCCAAGUGCAAAUCAAUAAAGUUUAAGAUCCCUACCCGACGUAUAUAUCUAUCUACCUCAAGUAACAUGAUAAAGGUUUUACGCUUACCACUUUCGUAGUUCACAACUUACACACAAGAAGAGCAUUUAGUCCUUUAUACAUAUUCACAUAAUUGGGACCAUAUCACCACUUGGCCUAAGCUCACUCCGCGCAGAGAUCAUGUGAAGCUGCUCUGAUUGUUAUCCCUACAAGUAGUCGCUUAACUUUUAAACCAGUCCCACAAUCCGGCAUCCUAAACUUUUAGCCUAAGAUACGCUACAGAGAUCUGAAACCUAAGCUCUGACACCAACUGUGACGCCCCCACUUCUCCCAAUGGCGAAUCUAAGGGUAUCAGCGGGACGCCUGCCCAACUCUCGUUGUCACUCACUACAAUCAUAAUUUAAAACUAGGAAUAUUUCAAAUAACUUCAAUAUAUAUAUAUUUAAAGUACUCCAAAACACUUCACACUUACAAUUAGUUAACUUUCAAGGUUAAUACAAUCCAAAAAAAUAUGUACUACAGCCAACUGCUAUAAUACAAUUUAAAGUCUUCAAAAGAAAACAAUCUAGUACUAUUCACGAGCACCCUUGGUCUCGAACCCUAUUAAGGAAAACAAAAACGUGGAAUGAGCUACACAACCCAGUGAGGUUCCAAGACACUCUAGCAGUUCUAAUAAAUCAAGUAAUUUGAGCAUAAUACAUGUAUGAUUCAAGAUUGCACAUUGGCACAUUAACAUGAAACAGUUAUCAUUAUACAGAAAUAAACAUAUACUGAAGGAUACGGUGUUUCAAUGGAACCAUUUCGAUCAAUUUCACCUUAUAACUUUAGAUCCCCUCGGUUUGUCUGGCCAUCACCUUAUCCCUCCAGUGGUAGUACUCGAGUAUACUGAAAUGGUGUCCUAGGGUUCUAACCUACCCGACCGAAUCCAGUCCUGACUCGAGUAAGUUAGUAACCAAGGGCAGGGCCCAGUUCAACUUAGAGCUUACAACAUGCACAAGUAAUCAAGUAGAUCGGUGAAUAGUAAAAAUUUAUCAUUUUAGUAGGUCGAGUAAGAUAAAGUACACACUCGCCUUAAAACGGUGGGCAAUUUCAUAUGAACAUAUAAUUUAUGAUAAUCAAAUAAUCAAGUAGUCAAGUAAUCAAGUAAGCAGGUAAUCAAGUAAAUCGGCAAACAGUAAGUAAUUACAGUUAACGAUAAAUAGUAAUUGGUAAACGGUAGUAGUUCCCAGUUAAUAGGUAAACAUUUAUCAUUUUAGUAGGCCGCCCAUUGGCCGUUUCCCCACUUUUACCACUUAAGAGUCGAGGAGAUUCACUCCAAUCGACUUAUGCAGCCAUAGCAUAAUCAAUCAUUGAAACAUUUCACGUAAAUAUGCAUUUCAAGUAUUUCAUGUCGAGUAAUUCACGUACAUUUUACUUAAAUGAAAAUGAGUGCGGUAAAGUACACACUAGACUCAAAAUGGUGGAAAAAUCCAUAGAAGCAAUUAUCGGUAGCACUUAACAAUUAAACACAUAAUGACCAUGGAGUAAACAUGUCAUAAAACUAUUCAAAUCACGUACUCCUAUAUGGAACACUCACCAAGUAAAAUAAGGAAGAAAUGUCCACUCGAGGGUUCAGGCGUCCACCGUGAGAUCCUCUUGAAGGUUCUCUUGUGUACCUGAACAAUUAAUGAUUAACUAUUACAUACUAUCAUUUAAAACCCCUAAUUAUCGAAGAAGAUUAUACACUUGUACAAUCUAGAAAAAUAUCAUGAAAAUGAGCUGUAAUUACUCGUAAAUCGAUACUUAAAAGUGGGGUUUUAGUAAUACAAGAAAAUCUGAUUUUCAUCUUUAAAAUCAAGUAUAAAACGAUCCAGCGAUAUUGAGGGAAAAUGGAGAGUUCUAAAAACUCAAUUUCCCUAAGUUUUGAAAUUUCAGAUUUGACAAGCAAUCUUUGAAAAAUCGUAUCUCACUCUCUGUAAGUCCAACAUUAGAAAUUUGGUACCAUUGAAAACUACUUCCAAAGAACUAAAAGUUCUUAGAAGACAAUUCAUAUAAUGCGAUCUAGCCACUAAAAUUUGAAAAUAAAUUAGAGUUACAAUCAAAGUUUAAAAUACAAUAAACAGGAAUCGGAGUUUUGAGCGUCAAGAUAUAGCAGCUCAAAUUUGGUCAAAAAUCGAGAUUGUUAGGCAAUUUUUCAGAUUUGGAAGUAAAACUUUGGUGACUUGUACGUACGUCAAAACAGUCUUAGAAUGACACCAAAAUUAAUACAUUUCAACUCUCCCACAUGAGGACUACUCCUCUAUCAAAUUUCACUUAAAAAUUCACAAGGGAAGGUAGUUAACUAAACUACCAAAGUUCAAGGGAAUCCGAAGACAAAUCUGUCUUCAAGCUUCCGUUUUCUGUUUUCAAACAUUUGGCUAAUGAAAUCAUCUCAAACAUGGUUCAUUUAUGAAGAAAAGGUCUAAGAAAUAUCCAAAAUAUAUUUGGUAGGUGAUUAACACCUAGAGUUUCAAAAUAACAAGUCCCAAUUUGAGCUAGCCAUUCGGCUUGUCAAAAUGAGGGUUUUCCAUCACUAAUACAGUUUCGUAAUUCGUCCACAACUCACUCAAUUCAACUUGGAAUUGAGCAUGGUUAAUGGCGUUGGAAAAUACAUUCAUAGGGCUACAAUUCAUCAGAAGGAAUUGUUUCGAAAUUCUGUCCAUAACUAAUUCAUAUUCUAGCAACAAGUCGCAGCUCAUAACAGAUUUUCUAGCACAGCCGAGAAACAGGGCAGGUGACUUUAAAAGACUGGUACGGUUCACUCAAGUGGAAUCAGAGGAUGUAUUUUAUACUGUUGGAAAACUGAAAGUGUCUAAUUUCUAAUGCCAUAAAUGGCACUCGAUUUUGACGUCGAAACAAAUAGUUGUAGUCAUUUGAAAAUUGCUGCCAGAACAACUCUGGACACGUUUUCAAGUCAUGAAGAAAUUUCGAAAUCUAAACAUUUACCCAACCAAAUCAAGUGAUUUUUUGUGGAAACUUUCCACACAACCUAUACAACAUAUCUACAUUAAAAUCAAGUCAAUUUAACCACAAAAAAAUUGCACCAAAGGUUUGACAAUAACAGGGCAGAUUCGGCCCUUCCGCAUGCAUCACCUCCUUUGAUUUUCUUUUCACUUUUUCCACUUAUCUCUACUAGAUUAACACUUAAUCAACACAAAUAACAUCCAAUAUCAUCAAAUCAGAUCAUCAAGUCCAUUGUGGGAUUUCAUAGAGCCCACUUACAUGAUUUUCAACAAUCCAAAGCUACCCACUUGAAGGUACAAGCUUCUAAGUGCAAUUUAAUUUACAUAAACUAAGAUUCAAAGGUUGGAUGAUGAUUACCUCCUAGAUGAUGUUAAACCAGAAAAUUUCGGUCCUUUUGAGCUCAAGAAAACCGUGAUAAUGAAGCUCUUCUCCUAGCUCAAGAUGAUCUCCAAGUGAAGUGGAAGUUGUGUGAUGAUUUGUGAAGGUUUUGGGAGUGAAAUGGAAGCUAGAAGAUGAAGUUUUUCCUUCCCUUUGUUCCUUCUUGGUGGCUGGACGAAAAUGAGAGGUAAGAGAUGAGAGAGAUGAGGGUUUGCUGAUGGUGAAACUUCUUGGAGAAGCUUGGUAGUUGUGGCAUUAAUAUGGCACAAAAGUCAACUCUCAAUAGUGCGCGUAUGCGCGCAUUUCGUGCCCGAUUCCUCUCGAGUUUAUUUCACUUGUGCACUAAACCUCUAAUGCACUUCCUUUAACACUAUUAUUAUUCACUCUUAAUAGUCUAAAAAUAAUUGUCUAAAGUCCCUCAAUUAAUCAUGUGCGCGAAAACAUGAACUUUCAACUUGUGCGCGAUAAGGCGAAAUUUCUAAGAAUGUCUUAUAACGAUAGUAUAACUAACUAAUGCUUGAGUACUUAAACAUAAAAAUUCCUAUUUUAAAACUAAUGUAUAAGUCUUCAAUCUCCAAACUCAUUGUACCCUCAAAUCGAUUAUUACUUCCAAACGCGUAUUCACUAUUCUCACUAAACGAGCUUUCAAAAUUAAAUUUUGUAACAUGUCAUUUUAAAAAUACAUGUAAGCCAUAGUUCCAUGUAUUUGGGUCUAAAAAGUUUGAAAUAAAUUAUUCGAAGAAAACGGAUGAAUAAGUAUUUAAAUAAGCUAUACAAUAAAACGAGAAAAUUUUCGGGUCCUCACAACUCCUCUUUAGGAUUAUUUUCAUAAGUAUAUUCAGGUGCAUCUACUGGAAAUUAUUGAAUAGAAAGACCUGAACUAUCAAUCUCAACCUCCACUUGCUUCUGUAUACUAUCAUCUGCAGGACAUGAACUAGAAGAUUCCUUCUUGGAAGAUAACAUAGAAAAUUCAUCAAAAGUAAUAUCUCUACUGAUCAUAAAUUUAAAAAAUUUGGAAUUAGAACACCACAAUCUAUACCUUUUCACCCUAGAAGCAUACCCAAGGAAAAUAUACUUUUUAGUUGGGGCUCUAAUUUUUUAUCAUUCAUAUGCAUGUAUAUUGGACACCAAAAAAUUUUUAAAUCAGAAUAAUUAGCAGGAAUAUCUGACCAGACUUCCUCAAGAGUUUUGAAAUCAAGAGCUACAGAAAGAGCACGGUUGACAAUGUAACAAGGCAUAGAAAUCGUUUCUACCCAAAAGUCCUUUGUCAACCUUGCAUUAGAGAUCAUGCACCUCACUCUCUCCAAAAGUAUUCUGUUCAUACGUUUGGCGACACAAUUUUGCUAAGAUGUCAUCUUGACAGUACGAUGUCAAUCAAUUCCUUCAUUUUUGUAAAAUUCAUCAAAUUCACUUUCGCAAAAUUUCGUGCCAUUAUCUGUUCUAAAUCGCUUUAUCUGUCUACCUGUUUAUUUCUCAAUCAAAACUUUUAAUUACUUGAAAGUGAGGUAAACAUCAUUCUUAUGUUUAAGAAAAUAAAUUCAAACUUUUCUUAAAUAAUUAUCAAUGAAAGUUAACAUAUACCUGACACCACCUUUAGAUGGAACAUGAGAUGGAUCUCAUAAAUCUGAAUGAAUAUAAUCAAGCGUACCUUUUAUCUUAUGAAUUGCUGGUGAACUGAAACUAACUCUUUUCUACUUUCCAAAGACACAAUGUUCACAGAAUUUCAAUGACCCAAUGCUUUGACUGUAAGGAAAUCCCUUUUUACUCAGUAUGUCCAAGCCUUUUUCGCUUAUAUGUCCCAAACACAUAUUCCACAAUUUGGUGAUGUCAGAAUCAAAUAAAGAUGAUGAUGAUGAAACUGUAACCGAACUUGUGACAAUAGAUCCCUGCAAAACAUAUAAACUAUCAAAACUGCAAGCUUUCAUAACAACAAGAGCACCUUUAAAAAUUUUCAUAACACCAUUUUCAACUGUGUAUUUGUACCUAAGAGGCGCCAGGGUGCCCAAAGCGAUGAGAUUCUUUUUUAAAUCAGAAACAUGUUUAACAUUAGUGAGCGUCCUCACAAUACCAUCAUGCAUUUUAAUUCAAACUGUACCCUUACAAACAACAUCACAAACGACAUUAUUGCUUAUCAAAAUAAUUUUACCAUUACACGAUUCAUAAGUGGAAAACAAAUUCCUAUUGGGACACAUAUGAUAAUAGCACCCUGAAUUUAAAAUUUAUUCAUUUUUAGACAUUGUUCUGUCAUCAAUUACAAAGAAAAUAUUUUCUUUAUUCUCAUCAGCUGCAACACGAGUUUCGGCAGUCUCAAUAUUUUUCUUACCAGAUUUUUCCUUUUGCUUUAAUCUAUUUUUCAAUUUAAAGCAAUUUGUCUUAAUGUAUCCCAUUUUGUGACAAUAAUUACACUUCAAAUUUCUAUGUUUGGACUUAGAUCUAGAUUUAGAUCUACUAUUGUCAAAUUCUCUUUUCUCGGUUCUACCCUUAGCAACCAGGUCUUCUGCCUGACCUUUAUUAAUUUCUCCGGCAAUAUCCCAGUCUAUCUGCUUAUUAGAUUUUAAUGCAGAUUUUGUGACGGCCCGACCUCCCCCUAGGGCGUACCCCAGGGUUCGGCGGGUCGCCUGCCCAACUCUCGUCGGGACUCACUCACUCACUACAGAUCUCAAACAAAUUACAAUAUAAAUCUCAAAUAUACAUCAAUUAUCCAAGAAUUACAUAUCAAAAGCGAAGCGACCACGCUUUCGCUGCGCCACUCUGAUCCUUGAUACCAACUAUUAUACAGAGGAAAUUCCAAAUCAAAACUGUACAAAAUAUAAGCCAUCCAGUCGCAUGAGUAAGUACUACAAGCCUUUCCUUCGUCACGAGUCCUGUGGAGGGGAAUAAAAAUAUUUUUGGGGUGAGCUAAAAGCUUAGUGAGUAACCAAAUAAAACCAGUAAUCAAAUAUCUUUCACCAUAAUGUAUUUCGAUGAUGUCAUGUUGUCAUGAUUCAAGUAUCAAAUGCACGUAUUUUUGCUCUCGUGAGCCAGUAAAAUCAUUGAAACUAAACACCCAACGCUCAAAUAGAUCCAUUAACAGUAAACAGAAAUAGGGAGCCAUGAGCCUCAGCUCAAGGCACAAGCAAUAAAUGCUCUAAAAUAAUUUUCAAGCAAUAAAUCUCUAAAUCGUAGUUCAAGCCGUUGGUGCUCAGUACAAGACUUCCCAAGAACUCAUUGAAACCAAAUCAUGUCAUAAACUCGUAUGCAAGCACGCAUGAUAUGCAGUUGAGUAAAUAAUGCAAGAAACAUUUCAUAAGAAGCUUUAACAAUAGUUUGGGGUCACUCACCUCCACGGUUCAGAACCCAUCCAUCAUAUAACAUUGCCUUGCUCAAAUCCAAGUCUUAGAUCAUAAACUCAAAGCAAUCAAACCCUUUAAAACUUCGGACAGCACUUCCCCUAAAUUUGCUUAUUUUCCCAGCCAUCAUGGCUUCAUUAUUUCUUCAGCUAGUCCCAAAGGUACACACACAACAACAAGUUCAUCCAAAAGCCAUUCAGCAAGCUCCAAGUAGCACUAGUACAAGUCAAGUUAGGGAAAAGUUCGGAAAUGAAAGUUAAGCUCAAAACCAGAAAAAUAGCUUUUGACAUCCUUUUGCGGUAAUGGCCCCAAAGGCACUACGAUUGUCGGAUGAAAGUGCAAGAUACACUGUUUCGAAACUAAGAGAUAGGGCUACAAUAUUACAGAAGGUCACUCAACCCAGUUUCGAGUGUAACAAGGUCAAAAAUGCAAGAUACUACACCAGAAUCACAAAAACAGAUUCACAGAACGCAAUCUAGCGGAAACAUCAUAAAUCAGUCUACCUAAGUCCAAAUCCAGAAAUUCCAAAACCAGCUGAAAGCUAAGAAACAGAGCUACAUUUCAUCAGAAGGCCUCAACAACCAAUGCCGAAGCAAUUCCAGCCAAAACAACCAAUUACAGGCGCAAUUCUUACAUUAGGGUAAAACCAGAACAGCAAUAGUAAUUUCAACUUUUCUCAUUCUACACUACUCCGAUUGACCUGAAAUUUUGUAUGCACCUCUAAAAUGUCAUUCCCUACAACUUUCAUGUUUUAAUCCAAGGCCAAUUCGGCCUCUAACUAGGAGCUAAAAAUUCGGGCAGAAUGCUCCCUCAAGAACCCUAAUUUUCUGAAAUUUCUUCCAAACCAGAAAUUGGUAGCAAUUAAUCACUUUUUCCACCUCAUAGAGUCCUUAAACAUCAUUUCCAAUCAUCAUACAUGACCCCAUAAUCAUAUCCAUAUGAAUACAGAAAAAUCCUCAAUAAUUAUAAAACUUCACCAAUUCAACCAAAAUCAAGAUAUAAUCCAUAAAAGUGCAUCUUAUACCACCACCAAUCAUGAAUUGAACAUCAUUAGAGGAAGGAGAGGGGUCCUUCACAACUCACCUUAGCAAUACAAGAGAUAGAGCAACUAGCCACCUUAACUUUCCAAACCACUCCACAAAACACCUCAAGACCACUUAGCAAAGAGAUUUUAUGGAAUGAUUUGGAGUUUUAUUGGUUGGAUUUGAAGAUUGAGCAAGAAAUAGAAGGAAGAAAUUGAUAGCUUUUCUUUCUUUUCCUUUGAGAGAGAGCCGGCUAUGAAGCUUUAGAAAUAAGGAUGAUUUUUGGUAAUUUUUUGAUUUAUUUGGUAAAGUAGGGAAUAGUGUAGUCAAAGUCCAAGACUUAAUCUUAUGGUGACACUUGUCACCUUUAGGUUUAAAACUUAUCUUUUUGUCUCUCCAAUACAAAUAUCUUAACACCUUGUAAAAUAAUCUCACUUAAUACAAAAUUCCAACAAGUUGUCAAAAAUAUAAUGCAUUUACCGCACUAGCGGGUCCCACGUCCAAAAUACGCUUUUAAUUUCUCAAAAACUAACCGAUACUAGAAAAAUCAUUUUAAAACUAUCUUUGCUCAUAAACUUUAUCUGGGAAAUUUUUCUAAUAAAGAAAUUGUAGAAAAGGCGGACGAUUAAAUAAAAUAAACCGUAGAAAAUUAGAAAAUUUCCGGGUUCUCACUCUCAUUCUUUUCGGGGUGUCACAAACUCCCCUCCUUAAAAGAAUGUCGUCCUCGACAUUCCAUCUUAUACCAAUCAAGUCGAGAUAUCCCGCAAGAAUCACUAAUAUUGCAAACCAAACCCACAGUCCGGCAUUUUAAACUUCAAGCCUAGGAUACACUACAGAGAUCUGAAACCUAAGCUCUAAUACCACCUGUGACGGCCCGACCUCCCCCUAGGGCGUACCCCAGGGUUCGGCGGGUCGCCUGCCCAACUCUCGCCGGGACUCACUCACUCACUACAGACCCCAAAAAUAUUUUUAUUCCCCUCCACAGGGCUCGUGACGAAGGAAAGGCUUGUAGUACUUACUCAUGCGACUGGAUGGCUUAUAUUUUGUACAGUUUUGAUUUGGAAUUUCCUCUGUAUAAUAGUUGGUAUCAAGGAUCAGAGUGGCGCAGCGAAAGCGUGGUCGCUUCGCUUUUGAUAUGUAAUUCUUGGAUAAUUGAUGUAUAUUUGAGAUUUAUAUUGUAAUUUGUUUGAGGUCUGUAGUGAGUGAGUGAGUCCCGGCGAGAGUUGGGCAGGCGACCCGCCGAACCCUGGGGUACGCCCUAGGGGGAGGUCGGGCCGUCACAGAUUUAAUUUCUCCAUACGAAAUGAUUUAUUUUCCAUAAAUCAUAGUAUUGUGAAAAUAUCUAAAAGACUGGGAAGUGAACACAAAAAUAAUAGGGUCAGAUCCUUAUCAUCAAUUUUUGAAUUUAUAUUCUCCAAAUUCAUAAUAAUUGAAUCAAAUUAAUCAAGAUAUGAGAAUAUAGAUGUACCUUCAGUAAUAUGAAGCAUAUACAGACUUUGUUUUAAAUAAAAUCGAUUCUCAAUUGUCUUUUUCACGUACAAAACUUUAAAUUCGUCCCACAUAACCUUUGUUGAAAUUUUAAUGGCUACCUCUCGCAAAACCUCGUCAGAGAGAUUUAAAAUAAUAUUGGAUCGAGCCUUCUUAUAUAUUCAUCUUAGCAAAAUUUGUAUCUGUCAAACUCUCUGGCUUUUUCUCAACUCCCUGUAUCUCUAAAUCAAUUCCAUUUUGAACCAAAAUGACCUCUAUCUUGAGCUACCACAUCCUAAAAUUGACAUUUCUGUUGAAUUUCUCGAUUACAACAUUUGUUAUUGGCAUUAUUGCCACGAAAUUCAAAACUUCUUUGAAAACGUUUUGAUACCAAUAUGUUAGGUCUGGUCCUAGAAAAUUGACGAAAGGAUUUUUGACAAUCCCAAAAGAUAAAUAACAAAGCAAAAAUAAAUAAAACAGAAACUCAGAAAUGUACGUGGUUCGAUCAAAUUGAUCUACGGCCACGGACGGAAAAGGAGAAAAUUUUACUAUGAAGAAGAGAGUACAAAAUGCUUUAAAAAAGUGUUCUUAAACCCAAAAUACCUACUAUUUAAAACACAAAAGCAUCCAUAAAUAUUUUAAUAAACAAAAGGUUUAAUGAUCCAAAGGCUCAAAUCACCCACUAAAAUUCUCUUGGCUUGGCGUACUUAAUCCCAUCAUAGGCCCACUCUAUUUAUAGACAACUAAGGAAAAACUCUCUUGUGCAAGAAGUUGUAAACUAAGAAAAAAGGGAGAGAAAAAUACUCUUCUUCAUAUCUUUGGACUAUACAAUAUACAAAUAUCUAUACAUAAGUGUAACCUAAUUUAGAUUCUAAAAUUAUACUAAUCUAAAUCAAUCUACUACCUAAUUAAUAUAUGAUACUGUAAUCAUAUGAUACCUAAUUAAUACAUGAUACUAUAAUCAAAUCUUUCCUAAUAUUUACAAUAUCAAAUCUUUCCAUAAUAUCAGAUCACAUAUCUUCAACACUCCCCCUCAAGAUGGAGCAUAGAUGUUUAUCAUGCCCAUCUUGCCACAAAUGUAAUCAAUUCUCAGACCAUUUAGAGGCUUAGUGAAAAUAUCAGCUAACUGUUCUCCAGUUCUCACAUGGCUGGUUAAGAUCAAGUUUCGCUGAAUUUUUUCACGAACAAAGUAGCAAUCAACUUCAAUAUGCUUUGUUCUCUCAUGAAAAACUGGAUUUGAUGUUAUAUGAAGGGCAGCUUGAUUGUCACACCAUAACUUCAUUGGAAGUGAAUUAUUGAUUCCCACCUCACGCAAUAAUUGAUGUAUCUAUAUAAACUCACAAGUGGAUUGUGCCAUAGACCGGUAUUCAGACUCUGCACUAGAGCGAGAUACUACACUUUGUUUCUUACUUUUUCAUGAUACCAUAUUACCUCCAACGAAGACACAAUAUCUAGUUGUAGAUCUUCGAUCAAUUUUAGAACCUGCCCAAUCCGCAUCUGAGAAGCAUUCAACAUGAGAAUGACCAUGAUUACCAUAUAGUAUACCACGUCCUGGAGCUCCUUUAAAAUAACAUAAGAUUUGCUCUAAAACUGCCCAAUGGGUGGUUCUUGGUGAGGACAUAAAUUGACUCACAAUACCAACUGGAUAUGCAAUAUCUGGACGAGUCAUAGUAAGAUAAUUCAACUUUUCUACUAAUCUCCGGUACAUUUCAGGAUCUGAGAAUAACUCCCCAUCAUCUGUUGUAAGUUGCAUGUUGGGGAUCAUUGGUGCACUGCAUGGCUUAGCACCUAGCUUUCCUGUUGCUUUCAAAAGAUCAAGAACAUACUUUCUUUGGCAUAAGAAGAUACCUUGUUUACAUUUUAUAACCUCAAUGUCUAAAAAGUAUUUCAACAUACCUAAAUCUUUUGUCUGAAAGCGCGAUUGAAGAAAAUUUUUAAGGGCUGCAAUACCUGCAUUGUUACUACCAGUAAUAACAAUAUCAUCAACAUAAACUACUAAUAGGAUAAUACCAACUUCAGGUUGUUGAUAAAAGACAGAAUGAUCAGAAUUAUACUUCUUCAUGCCAAACUCUUGAACCACCUUACUGAAUCUCCCAAACCAAGCACGAGGACUUUGUUUUAAACCAUAUAGUGACUUUCGGAGUCUAUAAACCUUAUCAGACUCCCCCUGAGCAACAAAUCCAAGUGGUUGUUCCAUAUAAACUUCCUCUUGCAAAUCCCCAUGAAGGAAUGCAUUCUUAACAUCUAACUGGUACAAAAGCCAAUUAUUAGUAGCAGCAAGGAAAAUAAAUAAUCGAACAGAUGUGAGUUUUGCUACGGGAGAAAACGUGUCUGAGUAAUCCACCCCAUAUGUUUGAGCAUACCCUUUUGCAACAAGACGAGCUUUGAGGCGAGCAACAAAACCAUCAGGAUUGACUUUUACAGCAAACACCCAUUUACAACCAAUAGGUUUCUUACCUGUCGGUAGAUGAACCAAAUCCCAGGUACCAUUAUUAUUUAGGGCCAUCAUUUCUUCCUCCAUAGCAGCCCGUCAACCAGGAUGUUCCAAAGCCUCAGAUAAGUAUUGAGAAAGAGAUAUUGAAUCUAAGGAAGCAGUAAAAGAACGCAAAGAGGGAGACAAAUGGUCAUAUGAAGCAAAUGAUGAAACUGGGUAAGUGCACUGUCUUUUACCUUUCUUAAAGCAAUAGGCAAAUCAAGACUAGAAUCUAGAGACUCAGGAAGCAAUAGAUCAGGACUCGGAUCUGUAGACAGAGAAGGUAGUGGAGGAUGUGAGUCUAUGUGUUGAGAACGACGAGAAUACACUUGAGUGAUCGGUGGUUUUGUAGGAAUAGUUGUUGUAACAGUGUAGACUAGAAUAUCAUCUCCCUCCCCCUGACUACUAUAGACAUUAGACUUAAGAAAAAAUGGAUGCGUCUCAAAAAAUGUAAUAUCAGCAGAGACUAAAUAACGAUUUAAAUUUGGAGAAUAAUAUCUAUAUCCUUUUUGAAGACGUGAAUAACCCAAAAACACACACUUGAGAGAUUUGGGAUCUAAUUUAGAGACCUGAGGACGGGUAUCACGAACAAAACAAGUACACCCAAAUAUGCGUGACUCAAUGGGGAAUAAAUAUUGGGUUGGAAACAAAAUUGAAUAAGGAAUCUCACCAGCAAGCACAGAAGAUGGAAUGCGAUUAAUUAAGAAACAGGCUGUUGAAACCGCAUUUGCCCAAAAUUGCUUAGGAACCUUCAUGUAAAAUAGAAGGGCUCUAGCAAUUUCUAAUAAGUGCCUAUUUUUCCUUUCAGCAACAUCAUUUUGUGGUGGUGUGUCAGGACAUGAAGAUUGGUGAAGGAUUCCAUUUUCUAACAUAUAUGAAUUAAAGGGUUUAGAAAAGUACUCUUUUGCAUUAUCACUUCGCAAAAUACGGACAGGCACAUUGAAUUGUGUUUUUAUUUCAGAACAAAAGGAACAAAAGAUAUUAAAUAAAGCUGAACGACUUUUCAUUAAAUAUAACCAAGUAACACGAGAGUAGUCAUCAACAAAGGUGACAAUAUAUUUAAAACCAAACUUAGAUACUAUUGGACAAGAGCCCCAUAUAUUUGAGUGCACUAAUUCAAAGGGGGAUGAAACCCGUUUAUUGACUCUAGGCAAGUAAGACAAACGAUGAUGCCUAGCAAAUUGGCAUGACUCACAAUCUAAAUGGGAUAAAUUCUGAAAACUUGGACACAACUUUUUCAAAGUGGAAAGAGAUGGAUGAUCUAAACGACAGUGAAUUUCAAGCAGAGUCAAGGUGGAGGAACAUACAACAGGUUUCGGCACUUUCGAUGAUGGGGUUUCAAGUGUAUACAGGCCGCCAAACUCGCGUCCUUUACCAACAAUCUUCCCCGUCAUAAGAUUCUGAAAAACACAAUAUCCAAGAAAGAAUGAAACAGAGCACUUGAGAGCUUUUGUAAUUUUACUGAUUGAGAGUAGAUUAAACGAAAAAUUAGGCAAGCAUAAGACUGAACAUAAGGGGAUAGAUGACACAGGAAUUGCUAUACCAGAACCCACAACUGAAGCACAUGACCCAUCAGCCAAAGUAACAUUCGGAUGAUCUUUGUUAGGAUUAAAAGAGGAGAGGAUACCUUUAUUACCGGUCAUAUGAUCUGUUGCACCGGAAUCGAUUGUGAAAAUCUUGAAAUUAUAAAUAUACAUAUAUAUAUACAUGUACGUGUUGCAUGUGCAUUUUAGACUUUUAAUAAAUUUUAUUAUUGUUGGUUCUUAAAUAAGUGUGUAAAAACAAUUUUAAAGUUGUAAAUAAGUUAAUUAUGCAAAAUAUUAAAUUAUUUGAAUUUUGUUAAGAUAAAUUCAUAUUUCUUGAUGUAGAUUAUUGCAUUGCUUUAAUAUUAAUCCUUUGAAUUCCGAUAGCUAAUUCUAAGUGUUAAUAACGUUAAGUGUCAACGGGAAUCUAGAAUUAAGAUGAAAUCAUUUUAGGAUAAGACUCGUUCUAAUUAUUCUUAGGAUUUUGAAUUUCGAUAAUUUAAUUUUGCGAGAUUAAUAUGCUAGUAGGCUAUCGAAUUUCAUUUGGAGUGAAAUCUAGGAAUUAGUUCACAAAUGAGAACUUGAGUGAAAGGUCGAACAAGAUGUUAAAAAACCGAAAUAGCCUUCCUCCAUUUCAAAUUCACCAUGCAGCCAUGGAACAUUCCAAACACUUCUAAUUUCCAGCCGGUUCCAUUUCCUUCAUAUCUACUCCACCAUUCCACUAACUAUAAUGUCGGUUCCUUUCUCCACUAUCCCACUCCCCUAUAUCAUUUCCAAUCCGCUACAAUAUCAUUUCCAAUCCACUACAACAUCACAUUUCCAUUUCUUUUCCUGCCGCAAGCUGAGCCGUGAGUGACCAGCUCCUUAGGAGUUAACGACCGAGAGGAAAAAUAAGGUGAGACUUUAGCUUAACUCCUAGCUUCACCUUAAGACCAACCGAGAGAGAGUGAGCAAGAGGAAGGGUGCGAACCGUCUGUCCUCACCUCCACCACCACUGCCGAGUUGCCAUUUCCUUCUUCGUCCUCCAUCAGCUGAGCUCAACCAGAACCACCAACUCCACAGCUUACACAAACCGAACUCAGCCCAGCCAUACCUGAGUUCUAUAGCAAGCCGAGAAAAAUUUUUUUGCAGCUGCUUGUCGUGUGAGCUAAGCCUUAAGCUGAGGUAAUCUCUGGACUUAAACUAGUUGAUUAUGGGUUGAUGAAGCCGUUUAUAAGCAUGCAUGUGGGGUUUGUGCAGUUGGAUGACAAAAUUAAGUUACAAGAAAUCUGGUUGUGAAGGAAUUGGAAUUGCUGAGAGCUUGAGCUGGAAAUUUCAGCUUUAAUUUGUAAAUUUGUGAUGAUCUGAGCUUGGUUGUGUGUUUAGCUAAUUAAUAGCUGGGUGAUUAUGCCUUGCAUGAGAUUAAUUAAUUGUGAGUAAGUCAGAAAAUUGAAGGAAAACAAAAGCUGCUGGCAUGCAAGCUAACCGAGUGCCGACUGGGAUGAAUUUCUGGUCGGUUAGUGACUUUGGUGCUGCUUGAACUUGGUUUUGGAUCAAAUUUGAUAGAUAGCUGUUUAUUUGGUCAUGCAUGUAGCUGAUGAUCCGUGAAAGAGGAAAAUGAAGAAAUUGAGGGAAACAGUCCUGUACUUAACUGCCGAACUGCUGGAAGUUGCAUUUAGUUGAGGACAGAAUUAAUUGUUGCUUUUGCUGGGAUUAUUUGCUCAAAUUACAUGUUAUUUGUUUUAGUUUAGGUAGGACAGAGUGUAUACUGAGUGUUGAGUGUUUUAACCAAGUAAAAUAUGGAACUUUGUUGAAAACCUUGAGGUAAUGUUGCUGGAAAUCUGUUUUGUCGGCUAAGAGAGGGGGAAGAUGAAGCUCUUAUGAUAUUUCGAAAAAUUCCAGGAUGAUUGGUUGUAACCUUGUAUAAAACAUCUUAUAACAUCUUGACCCUAUCAUUCACGUCCAUUUUAGUGAAUUUGAGACCUGAAAAGCAAAUGAAAUCUGAGAGAAUUUAAACAACAAAGUUGAUUGGAAUUUGAUUUGGCCGAGAGAGAAGAAAUGAAAAGUUUUUCCAGUUCUACUCUUUUAAGUGGGAUUGAAAAUGAUUUAAUCUUAGUUUAACUAUUUCACAAGACUUUAAAUUCGGUGUAUUUGUAUAUAUUCGUCAUUCUUAGUUAAUAAACUUAACAAAUCUUGAAGAGAAAUGUGAGAGAGAUUGUUGGAAUUUCGUAUCUUGUUUAAUAAGCUAAGAAACAUGGUUUCUAAUAAUCUAAACUUUAAAUUUGGUGAGUGAUUAGUGGCCGGAAAUCAAGUUAAAUGGUUGAAUUGGUAAUGAGAUGAAGACUUAUAUAUUGUUUUAGAAACUUUAAGGUAAUUUGUUAUGGCUAUAUACAUGAAUGGCUCCUAAUCACUUAAAUUAGUUUUUAUAAUAUUUAAGAGACUAUAAAACUUGAGAAGUUAAGGUUGUGAAACAAAAUUUAAUUCACAAACAACCUAGAGCUUAGUUAGUUUUAAAAGGGAAAAUGAAGUGUCUAUAAGCCAUAAUUAAUACUGGAUUGAGAAAGUAUAUUAGUUUAAACAUUAUACAAGUUUAUAAACUUGGAAUGUAUGUGUAUUUCUUUGGGUUUCUGUUCAAAUUUGAUGCUUGAAUUAUGUUAAAAUUGCUGGUAUGAAUGUCAUACUUAAAUGUAUGGAUGGUUUGAAUAAAAGUCUUAUGGUUUUAAAAGAGAAAAAAAAAAGAGAUUUUCACAAGAGAAAAAUGAGUUUCCAGAUUUUCGGAUUUCACUGACCAGUCCCAGUAAAAUGCUUAUAUCUUGGUGUAGGAAAAUCCGAUUGAGGUACCGUCGGUGGCAUUUGAAACUAGAAUCAUGAGCCUUUGUUCUGUAGAAAUUUCAUAUUUUUCCUCCAUGUGUACUGCUGUCCGUGACUCUUCAAAGUUUUACCCUUUUAACAAGUUACCUUAAUUAAAGCGGUCAAGACUUGUACUUAGCUUUUAGCCACCAUUUCUGAAUUUUCAAGUGAAGCUUACAUGCUAAAAUUGUCUUGUGUGUGAAUGACAUUGAGCCUAGUGAAAGACUAUUAUGGUAAUCUGAGUUUAGAUGUGCAUCUAGCUAACUAAAAUCUGGAUUUCUAGAGUUAAUUAUGAGUAAGCUAGCCGUGACUUCCUUUUAUGUUUUUGAGUUAAAAUUCUGGUUGAUUGUUGUAAGGAAUGAUUGUUUGUCGUCAAGAGCUAAUGAUUGAUGAAGCUCUUGGUCAUUUGAGUAAUUUUUGCAAGAGUUAAAUCCUUGGUGGAAUUGUUUAAGUGGUUUGGCCGAAAUUCUCCACUAGUUCUCCUGAUUGAUCAAUUUUCCAUUGUGAACUGGUGAUCAAUCAAGACAUGUUUCAUCCUUGAUCAAUCCUGAUUGAAAUCCAUGUUUCAAUAUGUAUAAGUAAACUCUUGAUUGAAUUCGCUGGCCAGUUCUCCACCAGACUUCGUGAAUUCAAUAUGUAUAAAGGAUUGGUUUCACAACAUGACUAUAAAGGAUUGUCUAGCUAUUUUAUGCCUCUUCUCACGUUCUUCCUCAAAUCCAUGUUGUAAAUGACUAUGUGUGCUUUAAACAAGCCGUAGAAAAAUUAAAUUCACGAACGGAAGCCACUGCAACCAGCAUCAUUCUUCACUCUAGAAAUAAAGUUAGAAUUCCUUCGUUGCUUAACCACUGCAUGGAAAUACUUGGAAUUAGCAUCUCCAACCUGAAGCCAUUUAACUACCGCCUAUCACUACAAGAAAAUUGGUCAUCAGUGACAACUUUUCUCUGUGACGAAAAAAAGUUGUCACAAAAGUGGAUCCUUUAUUGACGACUUUCUAACUCGUCACAAACCUCUAAUGGGAGCCAACUCAUUUGUCACGACUUUCUAAGUCGUCACUAGUAAAUUCCCGCCAAGUUUUAGCAAGAGCGCGGGAGUGUUUAGAACACACAAUAGUGACGACAUUAAGAACAUCAUCACUAUUGCUUGGCCUAUUUACGGACGACUUUUUGUUGUCGUCACUGAUCACUAAAAAAAAAAUUUAUUAGUGACAACAUUUUUGAGUGAUGACAAUAAGUCGUCACAAAAGGAGCUUCUUUAGUCGCGACACCUAAAGUUGUCAUAAUUGCAUCAAAGCAACUAAAUGUUUAGUGACGACCCGUUAUUUUCGUCACAAACUACACUGCAAGAAAUAUGGUCAUUAGUGACAACAUUUUUUAGUGACGACAAAAGUCGUCACAAAACGUGGUUGUUUAGUGACGACAAGGAAAGUUGUCAUAAUUGCUCAAAGCAACUAAGUCUUCAGUGACGACCUUGAAAAAGUUGUCACUAAAAUGAUCUAUAUAGUGACAACUUCUAAUAUCGUCACUGUCACUCUACCGAUUCGGAUUUAGUGACAAGAAUUAAUCGUCACUGUUUAAAGUACUUAUUUCUAAGUCACUUUCAUUAAUUCUACUGUGCCACCCUAACUUUUGCGAUUUAGCCCCAAAUGUUGUAAAAAAUUCCAUUAAUUCCAUUAUGAUACCUUAACUUUUACAAUUUAGCCCCAUAUGUAGUACACCGAUUUCUUUAAUUCUAUUAUUACUCCCUAACUUUUGUAAUUUAGCCCCAUAUGUAAUUCACCAAUUUCAUUAAUUCUACUAUGGCACUCUAACUUUUGCAAUUUAACCCCCAUAUGUAAUACACCAAUUUUAUUAUUUCUAUUAUGGCACCCUAGCUUUUACAAUUUAGCCCUAUUUUUUUAUUAGGAAAUUGCGAAUGGUAUCUUGAUAAACUAUGCAUAAAUAUUUUAUAAUUUUCUCAAACUUAAGUAAUAAUUUGUUAUAAACUCUAAAGAUAUAUCUUUCAUUACAAUAGUUAUAAGGCAGGCAGGUCUUUUUAUCAAUGGAAUAAGAAAUUUAUGCCAGAUUUAUCCUUUGUACUACAUGCCAAGUAGUAUUAGCAAAGGAAUAACAAAGUACUACAAAGUAAUUAACAAAAUAGCCUUCAGGGAGUGUAGUUUAUGGGCAAAUGAGCAUUAUCUAUUCAAAGUACCAACUUUUUAUGGGCAUUUUACUCUCAAACAUAUAAUUUAUGAUAAAUUUAUAAAUGUUUGUAAGUAAAAUUCAAAAAGUGUUACACUGAUUUCUUACAAAACGAAAACUGGCAGGUUAUCUUUUCAACAUAAAUUAAAUUUUUUUAAAAAAAGAAAUGGCCCAUAAAGUACCAACUCUUUGUGGGUUUCCUCCAUUACAUGAACAAAUAUUCUGCUCUUUAUGGGCAUUUCACUCUGAAUCAUUUAAUUUAUGUUAAAUACAUAAAUGUUUGUAAGUAAAAUUCAAAAAGUGUUGCACUAAUAUUUUUAUGAAAGGGAAACUGGUAGGUUUUGUAUUUAACAUAAAUUAAAUAUGUGAAAGCAAAAAAAAAAGAAAUUACCCAUAAAUCUAUGUCUUGCAAAUCUAUACUAGUAAAAUAGUUUCAAACAAAAUUAAACAUUAAAAUAAACUGUAAUUUAUACACAUUAAAAUAUCUGUAAUUUAUACACAUUUUGCAACUACUACUUUGUGUUUUCUCUGUAAUGAAUUUUUUAACUAUUGAGAACUUAAGUUUUGUUUUGCAAAUCUAUACUAGUACAAUAGUUUUAAACAAAAUUAAACAUUAAAAUAAAUGUUUGAAAAAGAACAAAAGUACAUUUAUCACUUGCAGUAAUGUAACAAAAUUUUCUCAACCAUUAUCAAUAUUUUCACAAAAGUAUUAAAAACUAGCAAUUGACAAUAUUAAAAACUAGCAAUUUAAUUAGUGACGACUUUUCUUGUCAUUAUAAUCUUGAAUAAAUUAGUGAUAACAUUAUGUCAUCACUAAAUUUUCUUUGAUUUUGACUUAACAAUAAUGUCUUAUUAAUAGCAUUUGAUUAUUUUUAAUGAAAGUCUGUUAUAACCAUAGAAUUUGACUUUCGUUAUUUUCAAUUAAUGAUGUACUUUAGUGCUGCAAUUAUAAAAAAUUGCAGGGCUAAAAUAUUUGCAAAUUAUAAAAGUAUAUUUUCACUUAUAUGUAAUUAACAAAUUUUGCCACCUAUAUUGAUGAAAAUUUGUGUUUUUGUACUAAAAAAUAAAGAAUAAUACUAUAGCAAUAAAAUCUAUGCUUCAAACCAAAUUAAAAAUAAAAAAAGCAUGAUGAUUGGUCUCAAAUGUUGGGAAAAUGAUUAUUUUUAUUGAAACUAUGUUAUAACCAUAUAAUUUGAGUUUAAUUAUUUUCAAUUACAUGAUGUUCUUUAGUGCUGCAAUUAUAAGAAAUUAGUAUAAAAUAUUAGCAAAUUAUAAAAGUACAUUUUCAAUUAUAUGAAAUUAACAAAUUUUACCACCUAUGUUGAUGAAAAUUUUUAUUUUUUGCUAAAAAAUAAAGAAUAAUACUAUAGCAUUAAAAUCUAUGGUUCAAACCAUAUUACAAAUCCAGAAAAAAACAUGAUUUUUGGUAUCAAAUGGAGGGAAAAUGAGUGAAGUCAAAAUUUUGAUCAAAUCAUAGUGAAAGUGCCGCGCAACAAAAACAAUAUCCAAAGCAAAGCACAGACCAAAGCAGCGGAACACAUUCUGAAAAGAAAAGCAACGGAACACUUGGUCUGAGUUAAAGCAACGGAACACUUGAGCAACACAAACUUUCACCGAGCUGAAACAAACAAGCUUCUGCACUGAGCACAAAACAGAGCUUCCGCACGGCACCUGAUACCUUCACCCACACAACAAAUCUGUUCUCUGGCUUCUCACUAGAAUCACCAUGGCUGUCCAGCAUUAAAGGGCAAGGUUUUCAUUGGAAAUGUUCGUUUUUCUCUCUCCUAUACAUUUUCCCCAAUUUUUCCAAAUCCCUAAUAUUCUACAAUAUUUUUUGCAAAUUUCUGCCCAAAAUCUUUUAGCUGUCGAGGAAGAAAAGGGGGACGUCGGCAGGGGAACGAAGGAAAAGACUAAAGUUUCAUUUGGGGGCUGGUGAUUGAGGAAGUGAAACCAGAAACAGAGAAAGGUCUUGGCCUAGAGGGGACACAAAGAAAAUACAGAGCAACAGCCGCUCAUCGGCCAUCGCAGCGCGCAAUCUCCAUAGCUGCCGUCACUCUGCUCUCAUCCAAUUUCCGCCGCCUCCAAGUUCCGCCACGGCACCUCCAUUUCGUGCGCCGCCUAGCUGCCUGACGCAUCUCCCCUUCCCGCACGGCCUUUCUCUCUCACUGUCGCUCCUCGAUUUCAUGUUGCCACCCACCACUGGCGCCCAGCUCCAGCGCGGCUACCAUGGCAGCUACAGCCGCCUGAUCAUUCGCACCUUCCUUCGACCAUCACCAUCACCUGCAGACUUCGCCAAGCAAACGCUGUAAGCCGUCUGCCUUCUUUGAAUUUUAGUUUUCCAUUUUUAGUAUGAACAUUGAAAAGUCUCAAAGCAUGUUUGCCGUGCGUUUGUUCAGUGCCAACUUCAUGUUGAUUGCUAACGAUUUUAGAUUGUAUGCUAUUGUAUGUUGUUUGGACUGAAAUCUCUUGUGUUUUGACAAAUUUUGGGGGGCUAAUUACAGUCCCAAUUGAGCAAAAAUUGCUGGAUCCUUCUAUGCCCAUGUACUGUUUGUUAAAAUGCCCGAGUGAAGGUCUAAAUAGAAGAUUGAUGCCUAAUCUGCUUGGGGAAGACGAUCGUUUGCUUAAAUUUGCAAUUCCGGUCAUUCCAUCAAAUAUCAACUGAACUGAAAGAGGCCUCUAAUUAGUUGUCGUUUUUAAGUGAAUUUCUUUAGAGUGCGCGCGCGAUAUCAGAACCUAAUUCAGGAUUUUAAAAUCAAUUUACUAGAAAUUGGAAUUAGACGGUUGAAGUACACUACACACAUGCUCCUUACAGAUUGACGCAGGCAGUUUAAAGUUUUAAAACUUCAGAGUCUUUGCUUUGUAGUUUGACUUCCACAAUGGUGCAUAUAUCGUUUAGACAGAUGGUUAUUUUUAGUCGCUUUUUUAUAAGUGAAUUCAUUUGAUUAUUAAUAUUUUUUUUUUAGUAAACUAAAUAGUUUCAUGGCCGCUACGCGAAACUCUUAUACAAACCUUUGAUUUAAAGGUGGGUUUUUUCACUCUCUCUUCCCAUGGCUUUGGAGUCUAGCUUUGUUAAUAUUGGAUCACUUUACGAGAUGUAAGCUGGUAAUAAUAAUAAUAAUGUAUCACUAGACAGUGGUUCUUUUUUACACUCCAUUAUUCAAUCUAGUAGGAUUUCAUUGGUGGGUGCAUUCUUUUUGUUGGUUUCUUUUAUAAACGUGUAACUCAGCCACCUCUUCGAUUCCAGAAAGUUGUCUGACCCUCUGAGGAGGUUAAAGAACGUCGUCAUGGAUAGGCCUGUUCUUAACCCUUUUUUUGUAGUAGUAGUAGUGUAUUUUUCCGAAUACGACGAUUAUUCAAAAGUUGCCGUCUGGUGUUUUAGCUUCUCUCCCACUAAAUUGCUAAAAUGACGCACAUUUAUUUAUCCCUUCCCUUGACUGACUACAUAAAGACACUUCUUUACUGGUAUUAAUUGACUAUGCCUUGAGGAGAUCCAAUCUUCUGUCGGAGCUCGCCAACCCCUUUUUUUUUUUAACGAUAACUAUUGUUUAGCUUCUUCUCGUACAGAAACAAACAAAACCGUAGCUUAUGAGCCCACGUCACGAAACGGCACAGUAGACUGGAAAUACGUAGUAGUUUAAUCACAAAUUACUGUAUAAAAGUAUGUUUCGUGUACAACUUCUUUAGGGAAAUUCCAGUUGAUUUUUGCUAUUGGUGCAAAUUAAUAAUUGAUGUUCUUUCAUUUAUGUUACAUGAUUGGAUUUAUUAUUGACAUUAUUAGUACAGAGUCUCUCUCUUAUUAUGAUGGAAUGGAACCCACUAAUUGACUCGGUUAUCUUUUCAAUAAAAAAAACUGUUUGUAUUAUUGGAAAGCAUUAAGGAUAUGUCUGUAAAUUGGUUGGAAAUGAUUCAAAUUAGUUCUCUCCAAUUAAGCCAAAAAGUAUAUCAAUUCGAAAUGAGCCAAAAAACAAAGAGUUAUUAUCUGCCACGCCCUCCUCACGUAGCAAGUGACUAAAGAUUUUUAGAAUAACUAUUAUAGGAUCUUCUUUAAACUAACUCAGUUCGCUAAUUUGAUAGGUACUAUUUGAUACUUUCAAAGCCAUUUUUUAGCAAGGAAGGAUUGGGAAGGAAGAAAAAAGGGAGAUGGGAAAAAAAACCAUUAACCACUAGGCUAUCUAUCAGAUUGUUCUUCGCAGUUCAUAUCCUUCUUCUGUUCCUGCACUGUUUGUUAGUUUGAUACUUGAUGUUCAUUUCAUUUUCUUGAAAUUAAAUGAGUUCUUAUUUUUUCCACUUGUUCUUGGGAUGGUCACCACAAUGUUUGAGCAAGCUCUUCGAACUCUUCAAUCCCACGGUUGCUCGAGUAAUUGUGGAUUUCAUCAUGAGUGUGGAAUUGCUUCAUCCUGCAGUGUUUUAGUUUUUUUCUCUCAAAAACUAUACAUAAGAGUUUUACUUUUUCCAAUAAUAUUUUUCGGUGCAAAAGGCUGUCUAUCUACAAUUUCCAUCACCAAAGAAUAAGCUGCAAAAUUGGGAAUAGUCAUUGGAAUAGAUCUUGGAACUACCUAUUCAUGUGUUCAUAUUUACAAAAAUGGUCAUGUUGAAAUCACAGCAAAUGACCAAGGAAUCGUAUUAAGCCAUCAUGGAUUGCAUUUGCUGGUAGCGAAAGACUGAUUCGAUGUUAAUGUUGAAAGAACUAUCUUUGAUGUCAAGAGACUUAUUGGAUGAAAGUAAGGCACACUCGUGUAUUUAUCAUUUUUGCUGGAACAUUUUGGUGUGUAUACAUAUGCUCACUGAAGUCUUAACUGUUAUAUAACAGGAUUGAGACUAAUGAAGUUUAGAGGGAUAUGAAGCUCGUUCCUUGUAAGAUUGUGAACAAGGAUGGAAAACCUUAUAUCUAGGUGGAAAUUAAGAAUAGUAAGGUUAAAGUCUUCAGUCUUGAGGAAAUUAGUGUAAUGGUUUUAACUAAGAUGAAAGAAGCAGCUGAAGCUUUCCUUGCAAAGAAAAUUAAGGAUGCUGUGGUAACUGUUCCCAGUAUAGUUCAAUUUCUAGAGUUACUCGUUGAAUCAUAUUUUACUUCAAUGAUGCCCAGAGGCAGGCAACAAAGAAUGCAGGUAUUAUUGCUGGGCUGAAUGCUGCUAGGACUAUCAAUGAACCCAGAGCAGCAGCAGUUGCCUGUCUAACUACGAAUUAAAAAAGUUUAUCUAACUACACUAAUUAACUGUUGAUUUUGCAAAAUAUUGAACAAUGAUUAAAGCAACCAAUUUCUUGUAUAAGUUUUAUUAGUUACAUUUCUUAUAAAAAGCUUUCAUAUGGUUCUAAUUGCUCUGUUUUAUUGUAGGCAAAGGCUUUCAUCAAAGGAUUAUAGAAUAUUUCAUCAAGUUGAUUAACAAGAAACAUGGAAAGAACAUCAGCAACCACAAUAGACCACUUGGAAAACUGAGGGAAGCUGAACGUGCCAAAAGAGCUUUAAGCAGCCAGCAGCAAGUUAGGACUCAUGCUUGAUUUGACGAGUUGAACAAUGACCUCUUUAGCAAAAACAUGGGACUUGUCAAGAAGGCUAUGGGGGAUGCUGGUUUGGAGAACCACCAGAUGCAUGAAAUUGUUCCUGUUAGUGGGGCUACCAGGAUCCCAAAAGUCCAAUAACUUCUCAAGGACUACUUUGAUGGAAAGGAACCCAACAAGAGUGUAAAACCAGAUGAAGCAGUGGCUUAUGGGGGUGGUGUUCAAGGAGGUAUUCUAAGCCGGAAAGGUGGUGAUGAAAGCAAAGGUACUUUUUAAAAUUUUUAAUGGACAUGUAAAACUUGAUAUUUUGCAAACUUAAGAUGCAACUUGAUUGUCUCAAGAAAGUUGAAACUGUUGGUAUUGAAACUGUUGCUGUGGUAAUGACCAAGUGAUUGGUACUUGUGAAUUUAUUUUGCUGCUUCAUAAUUUAUGAAUUCAUUCCUUGUGAACCCAGAACAAAAAAAAAAUUUGCAUGUGACCAAGUUGUAGCAAUAUCUUGCUACUUCCAUUAACUGUUACUGCAGUAAUGACCAAGUGAUUGGUACUUGUGAAUUUAUUUCAUUGUCAUCUGAGUUGUUGUUACAUGUUAAUGGAAUGUAUUUGAACGUCAAAGGAGCCUCUUUCUUUUGAAUCAUCUAUACUAAAUUACUGCUGUAUAUGUAAAUAUCAUGCUUUCCUUUUUCUUGUGAAUCAUUAUUACUGCAUUGGCUGUAUCCUUUGUAUUAGUACAUGACUACUCUUUGAACUAAUAUAUUUUUGACUAAUACUCCUUUUCACUCCCAGCCCAAGUUCACGAUACACACCACAUCACUCUUUUCAUCAUCUAAAAUAUUAAAAAUAUUACAAUAACAAAUACAACCUUACUAACAGGUCUAAAGUUCCCACGCCUUGCGUGGGAAGCAAUCACCUAGUUUUAAUAUAUAAACAACCAAAAGCAUAAACAUUAAACAAUAAUUACUGUGGGAGUCCAAUUUAAUUGUUCAAUAAGUUGAGCUAUUUAAAGAAGAAGAAAGAAAAUUAAAAAAAACUAUUUUAGAGAGCUCUUUAGUUGAGCUUAUGCAGUGUUGUAUUUGUAUAGAUUGGACUGUGAUUUCUAACUUCUUGCUGGUGUUGUAAUAUGUGGGCCCAAAUUAUAUGAGGUUCUUAAUGAAUUGUAAUUUUUGUCUUAAUAAUCUAAGUCUCAUUACUUGUUCUUUAUUAUUGUACUCCUCCCCUUACCUACUUCUUUUACUCUUUUAUGACAGAUAAAUGCUAUUCAUACUAGCUUUUGGAAGAUAUCUAUGGUUAUGGUUGAACAAUGUUGAAGACAAAAUUGCCUUUUGCUCAUGGAGUGGUUCAUUUAGAUGUUCUUCAAUUUCUUAAACUGUGAUUGCUUUUGUAAAUGUACCUUAUGUACAAGUGAUAUUUUGGACAAAUGUUAUUUUUGUAGGCAUUAGUUGGGCAAUGUACACUUGAAUUUGGCAUUUGAGAAUGCUAUAUUAUUACCAUAUAAUCUAAUGCAAAUACUUUUGGUUAUCAAUCGUUCAUGUUUAUUUGUAUGGUUUGUUUAAAAUCAAUGAUUUAGCAAUGAUUUAGCAAUGAUUACAGGCCAAAUUAUGACUAUUAAGCUAUUAUGAAAUUAUCUAAUGACAAAAAAAAGUUGUCACAAAAUAGAAAAUAAAAACUCCUUGUCACAACAGAGACUGUCACUAAAUCUAAGUUACAUUUGUGACGACAAUUGUUGUCAGUAAAAUAGUUAUAUACAAUGGCUUUCGGUGCUUUUUAGUGACGAUUUUAAGUAGACCAUUUUUGACAAAAGGUUAAUUCGUCAAUAAAACACUUCCAGAUUGUCGUCACUAAUGACAACUAUUUAGUGACGACCAAAUAGUUGUCACUAAAUAGUUGUCAUUAGUGACGACAAUCUGGAAGUGUUUUAUUGACGAAUUGAUCUUUUGUCAAAAAUGCUCUACUUAAAGUCGUCACUAAUGAGAACUAUUUAGUGACGACCUAAAAAUGUCGUCACUGUUUACCUUUACCGACGGGGAUUUAGUGACGACUUUGUGACGAUCAAAAAGUCGUCAAUAAAAGGUAUUUGUGACGAUAUUUGUAUGUUCUGUGAUGACUUUGUGUUGUCACUGAUGAACAAUUUUCUUGUAGUGUAUGUCGCCAAUAAUCAGGACCAUAACACCAUUUGCCCCAAGCUCACCCCACGCAGAGAUCAUGCGAAGUAGCUCUGAUACCACCUGUGACGACCCCACCUCCCCCUAGGGCGUACCCAAAGGUUUGGCGGACCGCCUGCCUAGCUCUCGCCAGGACUCACUCACUCACUCACUCAAUCAACUUUCAAGAUUAAUCAUUCAAGCCUCCAAAAUAAUAUUUAAGUUCUAUAAUUCAACCAAAAUGCAAACUUAUUUACAACCUAAAGCCAAACGUAUGAUACAACGUCAAAUGUCAAAAUACAUCUUAUCAACCAAGAGUACAAGUACAAGAGGGUUAUACACUCUAGGUCAUACUUGAUUGCUCCAGACCUCCACUCCUGUAAGGAAAACAAAAACUAAAGGAAUGAGCUAAAAGCCCAGUGAGGUUCCCAAACAAGCAAUCAGGUAGAGAAACCAUAGAAGUAUGGUACUUAACAGUUUGAACACUUUGCACAAUAAUAAAUAGUCAUUCAAGAAAUAAACAUUCAUUCAUAGGAAGGAUACGUGCUUACUUGGAGCCAUUCAUUCAGUCAUUCAGUCGCCAACCUUUUCCCUUAUUCCUCCAUCAUUUCGAAACAUUUAACAGUGAAAACUCCUUCAGUAUUCAUUGUCACUCAUUCAUUGAUUUCAUUGCAUUGAAUUCACUGGCCAGUUCUCCACCAGACUUCGUGGUAAUACCAGCCGCCCGACUGAGUCCUCUUCUGACUUGAGUCAACUGGCAACGAAGGGCAAGGGUCCAGUUCAGCCAAAGGCUUACAUUCAUGCACAAGUAACGUUCAAUCACUUGAUCAUUUUAAAUUCAUAUUCAUUUAGGUUGAGUGUGAUAAAAUACACACACGCCCAUUGAAAAUCCAUUUAACAGUUAUUGGAAAGCAUUUAACAUUCAAACAAUCACUCACAGAUAUUCACAUAGUCACUUAUUGCACAAACAUGCAAGGAACACUCACCACGGUACAAGUUCAAGUGUUCGCCUCAAGUGCACUUCCGACCUCACCUCCUCGUCCUAAAUCACAUUUUAAAGUGCCAUGAGAUCCACUAAGCCCAGUCACAUUAUUCCAAAAGAAAAAUCAAGCUCAAAAUGGUUCAACAACUCCAACUUGAAGUUGGAAGUGAAAGUAAGGAGAGCUUUAAGAAAACAGAAUUUUUCCCAGUUUUACACGAUGCUAUUUGAAAAAUCAUAUUUCAAGGUUCUUAAGUCCAAAAUUUAAAAAAUUUAUACCGUUGGAAAAUAGAUUCAAAGGAUUACAAUUUCUCAGAAGACCUCUUUGCAAGAUUCUGUCCACAAGUUAGUCAAAAUCCAAUCUAAAGCGGCUGCUUUAUCCAGUAGAAAGACAGAAUAGGAAUGGAAAUUCAGUCAAUUUUGGAAAAUCACAGAUGUUCAUAGAAAUUGAGAAAAAUUCUAAAAUUUUCACGGUCAAAAUAUCUAUAAGUCUAGUUUCCAAUGCAACAAACGGAACUCAUUUUGAAUUUUUCUACACCUAGAUGUAAUAGAUUUCCCAAGACUGCUCAAGGUCUCCUGCGGAGAAAUUUUCGGCAGCACUUCCCCUUAUUUUCCCUAAUUUCCAGCCAUUUUCAAGGCUAUAAUCUCAUAGUAUAACAGCCCCAAAUCAAGCUCACAAAUUAUAGGAGAAAAUUGGUACGUAUUCUAGAUAGCAAAGACUAACCAAAUUCAACAUAUACUUGAUAUAUAAACAAAUAUACCCAAGCUGAAAUUUUGAAACCCUAAGCUGGAAAAUUCUACCAACUUCACAAAUUCAUGAUAUCUUCCAUAUUCAAGUCAUCUAUCCAAUAAAAUGCAACAUAAGAAAGGGAAGGAGAGUUUCUUAGCUUAAUACCUUCAAACCUCAAGGAAAAAUACAAAACCAAGGCUGCCUAUGCAAAAUCACUCCACCUCAAGUUUCCUUGUCACCUUGUUGCACCUUUGUUCGGAUUAGAUUUGUAGUUCUUGUUGAUUUCUUAUUAAAUCAAGGCAAGAUCAAGAUGAUUUGUGAAGCUUUCUCCUUUAUUUUUUCUCUCUAAGGGUUGGCCAAAGAAGGAAGAAAAUGAAUAGGUUUUGAGGAGAAUUUACAAGAUAAAGACUAGAAUGGUCUUCGGUCAAAGUUGGCUUGAUGGCCAACACUUGUCGCUCUACCAUUUUUCCUCUUAUUUUUGUUCUUUUUCCUCUCUUUUUUGGUCAAUAAUUUUGGCCAACCAUAGGGAAAAUUUAGGGAAAGAAAAAUGAAAGAAAAAUAAGAUGAUUAAGGGAAAGAAAGUCUUGGUCAAGUGGUGUGCUCAACCGGUAACAAACGGCACACGUUAGUUCAAGCCUAUUUCUUAACUCUCUUAUACUUUUAUCUUAACUUAUGAUUCACUAAUUUACUCUUAGCACUUUUUAACCACAUACUUCCUCUUACUAAAUACCCGCUCUUAUCCACCAAAUUUAGUGCACACACCUCACCAAUCAAUCACACUACCAAAAUGCAUCAAAACCCUACUUACUCUAACUUUAAAUGUAAAAAUAAAACUCUUGACUCAACUAAUGAAAUCACCAUGAAAUUUAGGGCUAGUAAAUAGUUAAAUAAUCAAGUAAAUAAAUAUAGAAGGAAAUAUAAAUUAAUGUUUCAAAAAUGGGAGGAAAUUCUAAAGGAAUUUUCGGGUCCUCACACAUGGCCCCCACUGUCCCCCUUAAAUUCCUAUACUACCCAUAGAAUUUUGAUAUAAUCUUAAGUGUGUCUCCGGAAUUUUCUUAUGAAGGAAAUGAAAGAAUUACGUGGUCCUCUAAGUUAAUUCAUGAACUAAUAUUCUAAAAGAAUAUAUGGGCCACAAAAUUGCAUUUGAAGUAAGCUAAAAACAGGCUUUUCAUUUCAACUUGUUAGUGAAUAUUUUUUUUUGCUUAAAAAAUUAGAAAAAGAGUAGGUAAACAAUUUUAGUAUUACUUUUGCCCUUACUGAGAAUUUUUUUUGGCUCCGCCACUGUUACCAUUAUCUAGAUUAUGAACUUCUAUCCUUUUGGGGAUAUUCGUUAAUUGGAACGAUUCUGAACUCCUCAAAUGAUAGGUUUUCUACUAUGAACCUUUGGAAUUAACUCAGGUUCAUCAAUUAUUACUUUCAACACUUGAUUCAUUCUCAUCAUUCAUUGCUUUUCUAUAAAUUAGUCUAGCUUAUUGGUUUUCGGUUAUAAAAGUACUAUUACAAUAUAUACCUCACACAUAAAUAUACCUAGCUUCUCAUAAGUUACUACUUCUAACAUUUUUUCCCUCUAAAAUUAAAAAUUAUAUCCCAAAACCCACAAAAUAUUAAACUUAUACACUUAUAUUGUAAAUCCAAAAGUACGGAGUUUCACAAUCGAUAUUUGUCGUGUUAAUAUCUACAACUAUUAGACUUAGUGUCCAUAUUAUAUUAUGGACUUGAAACUGAUUACUAAACAUGCCCUGAAUUCGUAGUUUGGAGUUUGAACAAGAGAAUUGCAACAGAGGAUAACGAUCACGAGCUAGUAGACGUGGUUAAUGAAAAUACUAGGCAUUGUGCCCCGCGAGUUUCGCGGGGUGCCCAUUAUUGACUGUUUAAGAGUAAUGUAAGAUUUAUUUAAUAAUUAAUGUUUAGAGUGUUUUAUAUGAUAUUAGGGUUGAAAUAAUAAAUAGAGGAACAAUAUAUUGGAUUAAUAUAUUUAUAAAUAGAUAUAGUAAUAUUGUUGUGAUUUGUAUUUAAUUUUUUAAGAGUAAUAGGAGUAAAUAUUAUUUAAAUUAAUGGAAUGUAAAUAAUUUUUUAAGAGUUGAGAUAAAUUAAUAAUUCGAAAUAAUUUCGAUAUGUUUAUUUUUAUAUUGUUAAAUAUAAGUGGAAGUAGAAUAAAGAAAAUUUAGGGAACAGAUAAUUGCUAUGUGCAAGAAGCUGUAGUGGACAUGUUUACUUAUGAUUGUUGGAUAAAGUCUCUGCUGAUGAGCUACAGAUGAUAAUUGUUUUCAUUGAGCAAGGUGAACAUGAUGACACUUCCUUCAUGUAAGAAGUGUUUUUGUGUGAAUAUUGGCCAACAUUUUGUUAUUUCUAUUCCUUCUAGCUGAAAGAUCCAUCGAGUUAUAGCAUGAUAGCAAUUGAUGACUCACAUGUUGUCUGUUUGUAUAUGCGAUGGUAUAUCACCAGUGAGUACCUGAGAUAGAAAAUAGGGAAAAAAUGUAGUUGUAUUAUGAAAUGAGAGUAACAAUGUAGUGUAUGAAUUAUAUUGAUUGGAAUGUAAUUUGUAUGAAACUCACCAAAGAUUCAAAAUCGUGUGUUAGAUAAUGGAAGAGUUUAGUAUUAGAAAAACUAAAAGAAAAGAAAUAUAGUGAAGCAUAUAAAUUCAUAAAUAUAAUAUAUACAAAUUAAGGAUUUUUAACAAUUUGAAAUUAUAAAUUUAGAAUCAUAUAUUUGUAUUUAUUGAUCGAAUAAUUGUUUUUUGAAUCAAUAAAUAUUGGAUUGAUUUAUUUUUAAGUUUAUAUAUAUUAGAUACAUGUCAAGUACAUAUGAUUUUCAUUCAUUUGUAUUAAUAUGAAAUAGCAUAAUCAAUUUGUAUAUUUGACUGGAUACACAUAGAAUUUGUAUUCAUUUGCAUAUAUUAGAUGCACGUAGCAUUUUUAGCGAUUUGCAUAUUUUUUUCAUAUUUAAUAUUUUUGCUAAUAUAUACAUUUUGGAGAAAAUUAAUUAAAUUUAUAUACAUUAGAUACAUGUUAAGUAUAUAUGAUUUUCAUUGAUUUGUAUUAAUACGAAACAUCAUAAUUGAUUUAUAUAUACUGGUUGGAUACACAUAGAAUUUUUAUUCAUUUGCAUAUAUUAGAUGUACCUAAGAUUUUUAGGGAUUUGCAUUUUUUUCAUAUUUAAUAUUUUUGCUAAUAUAUAUCUUGGAGAAAAUUAAUAAAUAAGCGAAAAAACAUAAAAAGAAGGCUAUUUUAUGUAUUAGAUGUGCAUAACAUUUUUAGCGAUUUGUGUAUUUUUUAAUAGUUAAUAUUUUUUGUCAAUAUACACACUUUCGACAAAAUUAAUAAAUAAGCGAGUUAAUAAAUAAGCAGAUAAAUAUAAAGAAGGAGAGAAAAUUAUAAAUAUAGAAAUAGUCUCGAAAUUAUAAUUAUUUGAUAUAAAUAACACUUAUUAUAUGUUAAUACAAGGCAGUAUUAUUAAUUUAUAUAUAUUAGAUAUAGGUUAAACACAUAUAAUUUUCAUUGAUCUGCAUUAAUACAAAAUAAUAUAAUCGAUUUAUAUAUAUUGAUUAGAUACAUAUAGAAUUUUUAUUCGUUAGUAUGUAUUAGAUAUACAGAGGAUUUUUAGUAACCUGCGUAAUUUUUUGAUAUUUAAUAUUUUUUUCAAUACACACACUUUUGACAAAGUUAAUAAAUAAGUGAGUUAAUAAAUAAGUGGAUAAAUAUAAAGAAGGACGAAAAAUUAUAAACAUAGAAAUAGUGUCGAAAUUAUAAUUAUUUCACAUAAAUAACACUUAUUAUAUGUUAAUACAAAGUAGUAUUAUUAAUUUAUAUAUAUUAGAUGCAUGCAAAUCAUAUAUGAUUUUCAUUGAUCUGCAUUAAUACAAAACACCAUAGUCGAUUUUUAUAUAUUGAUUAGAUACAUAUAGAAUUUUUAUUCGUUUGUAUGUAUUAGAUGUACAUAGGAUUUUUAGCGACUUGCAUAUUUUUUUGAUAUUUAAUACGAAACAGCAUAAUUGAUUUAUAUAUACUAAUUGGAUACACAGAGAAUUUUUAUUCAUUUGCAUAUAUUAGAUGUACGUAGGAUUUUUAAGAAUUUGCAUUUUUUUCAUAUUUAAUAUUUUUGCUAAUAUAUAUUUUGGAGAAAACUAAUAAAUAAGCAAAUAAACAUAAAAAGAAUGCUAUUUUAUGUAUUAGAUGUGCAUAGCAUUUUUAGUGAUUUGCGUAUUUUUUAAUAGUUAAUAUUUUUUUCAAUACACACACUUUCGACAAAAUUAAUUAAUAAGCGAGUUAAUAAAUAAGCGAAAAAAUAUAAAGAAGGAGAGAAAAUUAUAAAUAUAGAAAUAGUCUCGAAAUUAUAAUUAUUUGAUAUAAAUAACACUUAUUAUAUGUUAAUACAAGGCAGUAUUAUUAAUUUAUAUACAUUAGAUAUAAGUUAAACACAUAUAAUUUUCAUUGAUCUGCAUUAAUACAAAACACUAUAAUCGAUUUAUAUAUAUUGAUUAGAUACAUAUAGAUUUUUUAUUCGUUAGUAUGUAUUAGAUAUACAUAGGAUUUUCAGUGACCUGCGUAAUUUUUUGAUAUUUAAUAUUUUUUUAGUCUCGAAAAAUAGUCUCGAAAAUGCAAAAGCUUUAAAUUAAUAAUUAGUAGUUAACAAAUAUUAUGGAAGUUCAUUUUUUAAAUAGAGGGAAAUUAUCCUAUAUUUUAAAAAACAAUUGGUCGUAUUAAUGGAAGCUAAUACAAAGUGGCACAAUUGAAUAUAUAUAUAUAUAUAAAGGCACACAAAUAGGAUGCAAGAAUAUAUAUAGAUUUGGAUAACCCAAAAAAUUCGCGUCUGCAUUAAGGAAUGGAAGGUAGCGGCUGCACAGCUACAACAAACAAAAGUAAAGAAACAAUAAUUAAGAGAGAAUAUCAUCGAAGCAACAUCUUUAUUAUUCAGUGUGUGUAUCUUGUUUCUUGUAUAUAAAUUAACAAUGUGAUAUUGAAGCAACAUAUAUAAAUUAAAGAUUUUUAACAAUGUGAUAUUAGAAAUUAAGAAAUCAUAUAUUUGUAUUUAUUAAUCGAAUAAUCAUUUUUGUAUUCUAUGAGUAUUAGAUCGAUUGAUUUGUAAAUAAAUGUUGCUGGAAAGAAUAGUACUUGCAUUAAUUUUUUGGGAAUUAAUAAGAUUCUAAAAUUUAUAGAUAACACAAUUUCAAAGAGUCCGUUAGUUUAUUGAUAUCAAAAAUUAAUAAUGCUUGAUUGAAUAGCAUAUAUGAAAAAAAAUUUAUUUAAUCAUGAAGCAAUUUAUUUAUUGAUCAAAUGGUAUCAUAUUAUAUAUAGAAUUUAUAUACUGUUCUAUACAUAUUAGACGGAUAAAGAUUUUUUAUUGAGUUUGCAUAUUUGUUCACAAAAUCAAUAUUUUUGCUAAUAUAUAUAUUAAUUAAUGAAUAUCGUAAUAAAUAUGGAAUUUAUAUACCGUUCUAUAAAUAUUAGGUGCAAAAAUAAUUUUUUAGUGGUUCGUAUAUUUUUUCACAGAAUCAACAUUUUUGCUAAUAUAUAUAUAUAUUAAAUAAUGAAUAUCGUAAUAAAUAUAAAAGAGAAGGGAAAAUUAUAUUUUGAAGAAAGAAACCUUAAUACAAUACAAAGUUAAGGGAGUUAUAUGCGAAAGAAACUUAAUAAAUAAAAGCGAGAAGCUAACAUUUUGGUGAAUAAAGUUAGACAUAACAAUUGCAGCGAAAAUGGAAGAGAAAGAAAAGGGCUAAAUCGCGGAGCGAAGGUAACAAUUACAGCUGCGGAAAACGGAGGAGAAAGAAAAGGACGAAAUUGGGGAGAAAAGCCAACAUUCGUCAGUAAACUCAGGCAACAGCGGAAGAUCGGGGAGAAACAAAAGGACAAAAUCGGGGACAAAAUUACAGGCGUACCAAGCGAAAGGGCAGAAUGGGAACAAAGCAACAAAACAAGCAACAAGGACAAGCGGAAGCAGAAGCAAUUGCGCUAGAUGAAGCCCACGAAAAGACUAAAAAGGACAAACUGAGCUGCAAAUUACAGGGAAACCAGGACAAUUGACUGUAGCAAAGCCUUCGCGGCUUUAUGUAGUUUAAGAUACACCACAAUUUCUUUGAGAGUAAGCUGGGGGAAACUGCAUCAUCUGUGUUUUAUGGACAGGCUAAUCAGAUUGAUGGAAAGGCAAUUCCCUUCUUAAAUGACUACAAUACAAUUGAGAAGAAAGAUGACCAAACAUCGAGUCCUCCAAAGUAUCUGGCAAAAAUUAAAGAAAUUCGGUCACAGGGUUACCAGGGACCGCUUGGAAUUGGACUCGAGGGACACUUCGGUGCUCCGGACCUAGCUUAUGUAAGGACUUCAAUUGAUUUGCUUGCUUCCACAAAAUUACCUAUUUGGGUUACGGAAUUGGAUGUCUCUAGCCAGCCCAAUCAGGCCACGUACUUGGAUCAAAUAAUAAGGGAGGUUCGGGGACAUCCAGCCAUUCAAGGGCUACUAAUCUGGGCUGCAUGGUCUCCUCAGGGAUGUUAUAGAAUGUGUUUGACGGACAAUAACUUCAGAAACCAUCCAACAGUGGACGUUGUUGACAAGAUCAUCAAGGAAUUGAAGCAUGAGGAUUUGAUAGGCACUACAGACGAUGAGGCCCAUUUUGAGACUUCACUUUAUCAUGGAGAUUAUGAAGCUAUAAUAAGUCAUCCAGCUAUGACGAGUUCAUCCUCCUCAGUGGGAAUCAAAUUUAAUGUGGCUCCAACAACAAACCAGGAAACUUUGGAUGUCAAGUUCUCCUCCAUCAGCUUUUCUUGAAUUAAGAAAUUCACGCUGAACUAGUGACUUGUUCACCAAGGUUAAAGCAAUACAUUUAUGUAGGGAGAAAUUUUGAACAAUAGUGGAUGAUUAUCUUCUAAUAAAAAAAAAAAAAAAAGAUCACGAGCUAGUAAGCUUCAUUCUUUUCGAUAGAGACAAUUAUGCCUACUACGGAUAUCUUGACUAAGAAUUUAAUUAAAUAAGAUUCAAUUUGUUCUUUCUUCUUCUAUUUUUUUUUUCAGUUAAUAAAUCGAGAAGUAGACUGGAACCGAGGGCAGAAAAAUCAAAACUAUACAAGUUAUCACUAGCUGAGAAAAUUCAAAUGCAAUUAUGGCAAUUGAUUCGUUAUUCUUGUCGUGGGGGAACAUGUACAGACAUGCACCUAUCACAUGAGGAGGAAAUUGAGAUGAGAAUUUCAGCUUGAAGAGAGUAGAAGUAGAAACUAUAAAGAAUGUCAAGCGUGACGCAACUAUGCCAUUAAAAUUAUGCAAGUUGGGCUUUACAACUUGCAUGUGAUAUACUUCCAACGUUGAAUAGGCAACCAUCUCCGUCUAUGUCCUACUUUGAUUUCUACCUCCCAACGAAACCCUUCAGAUUUCAUGCACAAGGCUUUAGCUGACAGCUCUUGACAAUGGUCCUACAUUUUCGAUCUUAUCAUCUAUCAUCUACCGGUGGAAUUUGAUUGGUGUUCUAUUCGCACUUGUGCUCCUCUUUUCCUCAGAUUGGUGUUCUCUUUCUCUUUUCCUCAAUUUGAUUGGUAUCAUACAAAAGUGUAAGGGAAUUAUGAAUAGUUUACCUAAAAAUGUUCCAUAUACACAAACGCUAAAUGAAUUAUGAGCUAAUUUGAAUUAUUGACAUGAAUAAAAAAAAACUCCAACGCAGUUAACGAUUUAAAAUUAUUGCAAGCUUGAAUUAAUGUAUGGAAUUUUUGUAUAUUCAAACAGAAAGUGCUAAAAUUGCACACAACUUGCAAUGAGUACCUCUUUCAAGGCCAGGGAUAUUUUCAGUUAGUAAUAUGUUGCAUCGAAAACAUUUUGGUAUCUGUGAAUGUGCAAAACCCCUGUGCUUCCAACUGCAGCUGAAGUGGAAUGUAUGUGGAAUAACAAGCAUGUUUUUUAAAAUAUAAACAGAACAACUCAACCAAUACAGAAAGGAUUUUCAUAUGACGAUAAGGAACAUCUUACACAAUAGAAUACCCUAACCUAAAAAUGUUACCAAGUUAGAGGACGUCUAACUUAGCUGAACGACAAAGUAGUAGUUGUGAAGGUCUUCCUUUAUUUUGGCAGCUCUCAAGACAGGAUAUUGUACACCAAACCCUGAUUUUGAUAAAUGAAUAGGAUAGAGUAAUAUUACAACUACUCCAAUGUAGAAGAUGAAGAAAGCUGUUGGUCAGCAAGAUUUUGUGAUAGAAUUGGAUAGAUCCAAAAAACAAAACAAAAAAAAAAAAGCAAAAAUUUUAUCAAACAAGGAAGAGAACAUAAGAGCAGAAAUUUGAAAUACAAAUGCUACAUUCUCGAUUGUGUCAAUAGUGCGAUGGUUAUCCUUUUUGUACUUUUGGCUGCUGUCCAUUGAGGUCGAAAAUAUUUUCGGCAAAUAGUAUGUGUGCAAGAAAGAUACGACUAAUCAAUAACUAAAUAAAUGAGAAAAUAUUUAGAAGAUUUUAAACAAGGUAAUUCUGAGAAAUAUGGACAUAUAUGUUAGAAGACUUUAAACAAGGUAAUUCUGAGAAAUAAAAAUCAAUAACUAAAUGAAUGAGAAAUUUUUUGACUCUAUAUUGCUUUUAGUACUAUAUGUAUGGGUAAUGCAGUUGUAUGCUUGGUGCUUAAAUUGGAAGAUAUCUAUUAUUGUGACUGUAUCUUUGUUUGAAUUCAAGGCUUCUGGAGUAUGUAAUUACUAAUUGAAUACAUCAUGAAAUACACAUUACUAUUUAGUUAGUUUCAACAUGGCCUAGUGGUAUAAUUUCAAGAAAUGUACAAUUGUAAUCUUUUAUUUAUCUAUUUAAAGUGAAGGAAUAAGUCUGACAGGCUGAUACUGAAUGAGAAUGCUCAAAUUUUCCCUGAGUUUUGAUUUGAAUUCAUUUAGUCAAGAUGCUAGGGAAAUUUGAAAUCAAGAGAACAAACCUUUUUUGUUUUUGUUGACAAGGAAACCCUCAGCCGACCGUGCAAGGGACUCAAGAGAACAAACUUUACCAACUAAUAAAACUAAUUGAUGCUUUCUUCUAGUAGACUGUAAACCCACCAAGAGUAUACUUACCUAGAAGUGCAUUUAACAUAGUAACCAAUAUACUUAUGCUGAAUAUAUUAAGAAAAAUAUGAGUAAUUAAAGAGACACUGGAUAGAGGAAAAAACUGUAACAAAGAUUUGUCCACAGCCAUGCAACUGUUUUGAAACUUCUGAAAGAUCACACUUCAGUCCAUUGCCUGAUUAGACCAUCAAAGUUCAAGUUGACAAAGCCUUUCAGAAUUCGGUCAAAAGAAGUGGCUGAACUGUUAGUUGAUCACUCUUUAUGUACUGGAGAGGAUAUGGUUGUUAAGGCGAUUAUAUAUAGAAUUGAUAAGAAAGAAUGAUGAGCCACAGAUUGGUUAUCUAUAAGACGGUGGAUAAGGCUGAAGAAACAAUCAAGGUGGAAUUCAAGGACAAGAAAUCUGUAUAUGUCAUUUUCGGAGGCAAUUGAUGACGGCUGGAGUGGAUAUGUGUACAGCCUUCUCUAUGUCGUAGGAUUUUUUUUUUUUUUUUUUUUGAAUCCUGAAAAAUUUCAUACGAAUAAUUUCUACACAAAUUCAGAAGUUUCUAGCGGCAUUUUGUCCUGCAUUGUCCAAUGAGUUCAAGUUCCUGGUCUUCAAGGUGUAUUAACUUCGCAAAUUAAAGAGUAUCACACGAUAAAGGGUACCUAUGGUCUACGAAUCACUAACAAUUUGCUAUUCAAGUUGUAUGCCAGACAUAUAAUGUGAUGUAGAGUACGAUCCAACGAGGAACUUGGCUAAGAAUUAAUUUGCAGAAGGAAGGAAAACAAUAGGACGAGAGAGCCUGGCUGCCCUGAUGCCUGUGCACUACAACCUGCGACUCUGAAAUUUCAAUCAAGAUAUAGCACCUAAUUUGAGAAUUAAUGACAUUGACCCAUGGACUAUGGCUAAUAACUCUGAAAUUUCAUUUAUAGUUGUCAAGGAAUAUGGCUAAAACCCACCUUUUGCAGCAAUCUUCCUUCACCCAAUGAAAGAUUUCUGGAGGUUAAAGUUCAGCUCCUAAAGCUCUUCUCCAGCUCACCAACCAACAGAAGAAAUUAGUUUUAGUAAAAGUUGUUAAAUUUUGGCACCAAGUUUUGAGGGUAUGUAGGUAAAUUUGUAGAUGAUAUUUUGCUUCUAAAAUAGUGUUUAAAAAGCUAUUUCAGUGAGGUAUUACGGUGAAUUUGUCCUUGAUGAUAUUGACAUUAGGUCCCAUCAACAUCAAAUACAAGUUAAUCUGAUGUUGGAAACAAGAAGGGUUCUAGCUAAAAUUAUUAGAAACCUCAGGAAAUUAUUCCUAAAAUAUUUCCUCCACACAAGACACAGUGUUCCCAUCCUAGUUCUUAUAAAUAGGGCUUUAGCUCAAUGCACUUGUCACUAGAUAUCAAUAAAUUUUGCACGUCAUUUAUAUUUUGAGCGAAAUUGUGAUCAAAUGGCGUCUUCAAAAAGUUUGCUCUUUCUUUUUGGUGUUCUCUUCGCACUUGUACUCCUCAUUUCCGCUGAUGUAACAACAGCAGGUACCCUGUUUUUUUCUUUCUUUUUUAUAUUUUUGGCUGCACCUGAACACUCAAAUGAAUGAAGCCUAGCAAACUUAUUAUUGGGAUGUGAUCAAAUUAACGUCAAAUUAAAUACUUCUAAUUCUAAUUUAUUGAGUAGACUAUAAUGCAAAAUAAUUCAUAUGCAAGUCGCAACAUCGUAUAUGCCUAGACUGUUCUGUUUAAUCCACAGUAUUCUUUUCUUUGCAUAUAUCUUGCAAAUUUUCCGCCUGGCCAGUCACUUUAUUUUCCAGCAUAAGGUAAAUCUCCUAACAGUUAUGUCUCCUUAUGUCUUGAAACAGAUCAGGAGACCACGAAGGCCACUGGUGUCCACGAUGCCAGCUCAGGUGAGGCUCAUCAGGAUCCUGUAAUCGUAGAUCGUUGCGCAUUUGGUUGUUGCCGCUUGUUCCAUGGACUUUGCUUUAGAUGCUGUCCACCUGCUGAGAAGACCCCUAAUAUUGAAUUUGGAGAUGAGGUUAAGAAUUAAAGCUAAGUCAAUAAGGAUGUGAGAUCCGUAACACCUAUAUUAUUACCUUAAUAUGUUGUGUUUGUCUUGAUGGUUGAUUUCCUCUUAUGCGUAAAAAGGACUCGUGGAGCUUCUCUUUGACUUGGUGUAGAAUCAACAGGGGAGGCAUGUAAUGAGUACUCAGCUCGACUGCCCUUCUUGUGUUGUUGUCAUGUUGAAUAAAUAAAUCUACUUGAUCAUCUACGACACUUGAUGAUCUCUAUCUCAGUUACAUCAGAAACUUCUGUACCUUGGACUUGCUAGAAUUUAGUGUGAUUGAUACAAGACGUGCAGAAUGUUCAAUAUAUGUAUAUACGUGCUUCUUCAUCGUCCCAUGUCUUUACAGUGUAAAAUAAUUCAGUAAACCCAAUCCUGUUCCUUCCUGAGAAAGGAACUAAAGUCCUUUAAAUGGAUAUUUUGGAUGCUAUCAAGGGUUUGAAUGGAUUGCCAUUUAGAGAUCUGAAUGUUGGUCUUUUCUCUUUAUCUUUGCUCAAGAAUUUUUUUUGGCGGAAAUGCUUUACUUAUACGAAUUUUCCUAGUCAGUGAAUAUUUUAAUUAUACUUGCACAACACAAUGUUUAUAUGGAUAACACAAAAAAGCUUCUGUAGUUUGUAUACUUGAAAAAUAUUCAUAUAUACUUUUUAACUAACCUAGAAAAAUACAUAAUAAAUUCUUGAUGCAUUAUACUUUAAAUUUUAAAAAAUUUUAAUACUAACACUUAUCAAUGACUCCACAUGUUAAUUUGUCUUCCAACUCAAUAAUUUAUAGUAGUUAAUUUUCAAAGCUAACUGACUCCAAUAUUCCUGAUGCGUGGGGAGUUUGAACCUUAAUUAUUUUCAAAUUUUAAAUAUAAUCCAAACUUUCACUGCUGAUGCGUGGGGAGUACGACCUGUACACGAGUAUAGGGAAUGCUGGAGUGUCAACCCCAGAGAGAAGAUUGUCAAUUAUUGGAGUGAUUCGAACUCCUCUAUUAUUUAGAUUGUCACAAUUAAAACAAGUAAAUCUAAUUUACAAAUAUAAAGUAGUAAAAAUAACAAGGAAAUGUGCCUAGGGUUAUAUCAUCUUUAACUACUCUUACAAGUGAAAAUAACCAAUUAAAUGAGUUGAUUAUCUUGACUAACUCAUGGCUAAUUUUCUAAUAUAAGUGAUAUUCGCUUUCGCUAAUGUACCAACCAUACAUAUAACUAUCCCUCACCUAUGUUUAGUGAUAAAGAAACUAUCUAUAAACUCAUAGAAUCUAUGAAAUUAUUUGUUAAAGCCACAAAGGUUUUUUCCUCCUUUCGUGAGAAUACUUCCUAAGUUGAACACUUCCACGAACUAAUGUUAAAUCACAACUUUCAUUGAUGAAACAACACCUUUAGAUAAUCACCAUUAAUGAUCAGUUAAUCGUGAUUGUAAUAACAAAAGUGUUAAAUAACUUGCUCAAGAAUUAAGAUGGAAUAACCAAGAAAAUAUCACUAACAAGCAUAAUAGUUUAUCCAUCCCUAUGCAUACAAACUAGCAAAACGUAGAUGAAACAGAAAUAACAACCAAACAUGUAUAUUCACUAAAUAUGAGAAUCAAUUUAAGAAAUAAAGUGAUAGAAAAGAAGUCACCCUUGACACAUGAGUUCCAAAACUCUCAAUCUUCAUCUUCAUCCUCAACUUCAUCUAUAUUUAGUUACAAUACAAGAUGGAUAAAACUUACCUACACUAAGCUAAUUAACUAAUGAGAAUAGUGAAAGUUACAUUUUUUGUGGUAGUUCCUAACCUUCAAAGGUUAUGAAAAUGAGUUUUGAAGGCCCCUAUUUAUAGAAGAAAUUGCUCCAAAUAAUCAUGUUUCAAGUUGUGCAAUUUGUGCUUUCGAAUCUCCAAAAGUUAUUUCUUGAAAUCUCCAAUAUUUCUUCAGUAGUUACCGCUAAAAUUUGAUUAGAAAAAUAAGCUAUAAAAGCUAUGGAAAAGCUAUACAAGGCCAUGAGAAAAUACAGGUAAUGACCCUCAUUUUACCUCUUGUUUUGCCUCCCAUGUAUUUUCCAUGUCAUUUCUGGUUUCAUCCCAAUACGAGGGUCAAAACAUUGGUUACUCCUCAUUUUAGCCCUGAUUUUCUCCUCAGAAGAGUAAUUUUGUAGCUUUUGUCAUUUCCGAAUCGUUCUCAAAUCAUCUCUGACAAUAUCUUACUUGUAUUUCACUUGAUUCGAAAUAAACAUGAAAGACCAAAAUCUACAAAAACAACAUGUUUUGCACAUUAAACCAUUCAAAUACAAGUUUCGGUUAUUAACUGCAGCUUGAAGAAAUGUUUGCUUAAAAUGAGUAUUUUUCAUCCUUAAAGCCCUAAAAACAAACCAAAAACUAAGUAACAAAACAUAUUAAAAAUAUGCAAAGUAAACACUGUUCAAUUCCCUCACUUUCUUCAUCUCCUAAUGGAUUUAUUUCCUAAGCAUGAGUUUUGCAACCCCCAACAUUAAAUCUCAAUGAUUGAUUUCGGUGGUUAUAAAGGCUUCUAACUUUUCACACGUUUGUUUCAUAGUGUACUAUUGGUUUGCUAUUAAUUCUAACUAGACAUUUACUAGGUCUUGUAGAAUUUAUUCCUUCUUAUCACUUAAUUCAUAAGCCUUAUUAAUCAUUAAAUUUAUCAGUUACAACCAAAAGGCAAAUGCCUUGCAUUUCAAUCUUUAAUGUCUGUACUUAACUUAUAUUAGCCAUUCGUACUGAUUGAUUUUAUUAUAUUGCUUCUAGAAUGUUACUCGUCAUGUUCUUACCAUUAUCUGGAUUAUGAACUUCUAUCCUUCUGCGGAUAUUCGUUAAAAUUGGGACGAUUCUGAACUCCUCAAAUGAUAAGUAUUCGACUAUGAACCUUUAAAUUUAACUCAAGUUCAUCAAUUAUUACUUUCAACACUUGAUUCAUUCUCAUCAUUCAUUGCUUUUCUAUAAAUUAGUCUGGCUUAUAGGUUUUCGGUUAUAAAAGAACUAUUACAAUAUAUACUUCACACAUAAAUAUACCUAGCUUCUCAUAAGUUAUUACUUCUAACAUUUUUUCCCUCUAAAAUUAAAAAUUGUAUCCCAAAACCCACAAAAUAUCAAACUUAUAUACACUUAAUGUAAAAGCCAAAAAUAUGGGGUUUCACAAUCUAUAUUUGUUGUGUUAAUAUCUACAACUGUUAGAGGUAGUGUCUAUAUAAUAUUAUGGAGUUGAAACUGAUAAUUAAACAUGCCCUAAAUCCAUAGACUGUAAAAAUUCUAAAUUUGCUUGUAUGCUCUAUGGUUUCAAUGUUCUAACCUCCAUGGUUAAUUUGAAGUUUGAACAAGAGAAUUGCAAUAGAGGCCAACGAUCACGAGCUAGUAAGCUUCAUUCAUUUCGAUAGAGAUAAUUAUGUCUACUAUGGAUAUCUUGACUACGACUUUAAUUAAACAAGAUUUAAUUUAUUUUUUCUUCUUUUUUUCAGUUAAUAAAUCUAGAAGUAGACUGGAAUCGGAGGCAGAAAAAUCAAAACUAUAAAAUUUAUCACUAGCUGAGAAAAUUUUAAGGCAAUUAUGGUAAUUGAUUCAUUAUUCUUGUCGUGGGGGAACAUGUACAGACAUGUAGCCAUCACAUGAGGAGGAAAUUGAGAUGAGAAUUUUCAGCUUGGGGAGAGUCGAAGUAGAAAGAAUGUCAUGUAUGACAUGCACAAGAAUAAUUGGCAUUUCCAUUAAAAUUAAAUCUCCAUCAAUUUCAUUAAAAUUAUGCAAGUUGGGCUUUGCAACUCGUAUGUGAAAUACUUCCAACGCUCAAUAGGCAACCAUCUCCGUCUAUGCCCUACUUUGAUUUCUACCUCCCAACGAAACCCUUCAGAUUUCAUGCAUAAGGCUUUAGCUGACAGCUCUUGACAAUGGUCCUACAUUUUCGAUCUUAUCAUCUAUCAUCUACUGGUGGAAUUUGAUUGAGCUUUGAGAUCAAAUCGCAUUCUCCAAGAACUUGUUUCUUUCUCCUUGGUGCUCUGCUCGCACUUGUGCUUCUCAUUUCCUCAAGACUCUCUGAGGUUCCAGCUUGACUAAGUGCCUAUUUCAUCGAUCGUUUUAAUUUUUGUCUUUUGGGAUGUUCCAUUUUAACUCUACUCAACAUGUUGGGCCCAUAAGAAGUCGGUAAGAGGAUAAGUGUAUGAUCCAAAAAUUUAGCGUAAGUUGUUUGUUUCAUAACAAAUUACUAUUGAUAAAUGUUACAAUUGCAUUUCUUUUUCUAGUUCAAAGAGAAAUUCUAAACCUUAUAAGAGAGAAGAUUGAGAAUCGAAUCAGAAUUCUCAUAUUCGCCUAAUUAGUGGUUCUAUUAGUUGAGUUGGAUUUUAAGGACCGUUACAAAAUAACUUUGUAUCUUUAACAUUAUGACCUUACAUAGGUAAUUGGAUCACAUACUCUGCAAUAACGUUGCCUAGGACAAAUGUCAUGCACGAAAGAGUUCGUGUCAAUCCAUUCAUUAAAUGCACAAAAGUAUAUAUUGACGCAUAAACUAUAAGCAGAGGUGGAGCUACUUAUAAGCGACAGAGUUCGUGAUAAAGAAACAACUUAUAAGCUCAUUAGAAUCUAUGAAAUUAUUUGUUAAAGUCAUAAAGUUGUUUCCCUACUUUCGUGAGAGUACUUUCCUAGGUUGGACACUUCCACGAAUUAAUAUUAAAUCACAACUUUCAUUGAUGAAACAACACCUUAACAUUAUCACUAUUAAUGAUCAGUUAAUCAUGAUUGUAAUAGCAAAAUGUUAAAUAACUUGCUCAAGAAAUAAGAUGAAAUAAUCAAGAAAAUAUCACUUAACAAGCAUAAGUAGUUUAUCCAGCCCUAUGCAUACAAACUAGCAAAAUGUAAAUGAAACACAAAUAACAACCAAACUAGUAUAUUCAAUAAACAUGAGAAUCAAUACAAGAAAUAAAGUGAUAAGAGAAAAGUCACCCUUAUUACAUGUGACAAGUAUCUAUUUUACCUAAUAGUUUGUCUAUAUUUUAGUUCAUUUAUAGUUAAUUUUAAGUUUCUAAGACAAUAUGAGUGACCAUUUUGACAAUAUUUGAUGUUCUUGAGUAAUUUUGAUAAGACUUGUGAAUUCAUCCCUUUUACUUGUUAACGUUUAUAAUGUUUUGGUAGGGAAGAAUGACGAGGUUCUACCAUGCACCAAAUUUUAAUAAAACCUAAAUAUCCCUUUUUCUAUAAGUAUACAUAUCAUUUAUCGAGUAUAGGGAUAUUAGAUGUCCAUCCCAUAAGGAAGAUUGCCAAUUAUAGAUAGUUUUCGAACUCUUUUAUUAUUUAGACUAUCGCAAAUGCAAGAUAUUAAAUUUACACUAUAAACAUAAAAUAAAAGUAAUAAUAAUAAUAAUAGAAAGUUCUUAGGGUUAUGGAAUUCCUCACUACUCUUGCAAAUAAAAUUACUGGUUAAUUGAAUGUUAUUAUCUUGGCUAGUUAUGGUGUAAUUUUCUAAUGUAUGUGAAACCUAUUGUCGUAAUGAAUCAACUAUACUUGUAACUAAACCAUACCUACUCUCGUGGUUAUGAAAUUAACUACAAAUUCAUUUUUUCUAUGAAAUUAAAUUAAACAAACCACUAAAACCACAAAGGUACACAUCUACUCUUGUGAGUGAACUAUCUAAAUUUAGCACUUCUUUGAACUAGUGUCAAAUCCCAAUUUUCAUUGCAAACUUAAUCCCUUAAGAUUAUUACAAUUAAUGACCAGUUAAUCAUGAUUAGAUAAGCAAAAGUGAUAAAUAACUUGCUCAACAUAACAGCAUCAAAUAACUAAUUUAGCAUCAGUAACAAGAUAUAGAAAGUUCAUCCAUAACUCUAGGCAAAAACUUUAAUAAAACAUGAUAAAAUUCAAACUUGUAUUAUAAUUGAUAAGAGUUUAUUUUACGUAUUUUUAGUGUGUUUUAUUAGUUAAUUUUGGUUUGAUUAUUUAGUUUUAUAACUAAAAUAACUAAGGUUUUGGUAAAAAUCUACAUUUUAUGUUAAAGUGGCUAACAUUGCAUUUCUAUUGAUUUUUAUGGGAAAAACUUCAUAUUUUGUAGGUUUAAUGAUUCAAUCAUCAAAUGAAGUGCAUUGAGAAGAUAUUUGGAUGAUUGAAGAUGGAUUAAAGUGGUGAAAUUAAAAUAUGAAGUGUAAAAGGAAGAAAUGCAAUUUGAGGACAAAAAAAUCAAGAAAAGUCAGCUUUGACAACUCAGACACAUUUUCGUAUUUUGACUAUACCAGGAGCUACAAUGAUCGGAUGAAGGUGAUCUUGGUAUCAUUUUGAAGGUAAGAGAUAUAUCUACAUUUGGUAUGAAGACAUCAAAGUCCAAUUCAGCCGUUUUCUUGGUCAAAAGGUCGAAACACAGAAACUUAUCUGGAUGGUCGAAAGCUGAAGCCCAGAAUUGACCAGUCUAUGGUAUUUGGACCAUAUCUCCGUCCGCCGAUCUCCAAAUUAGAUGAUUCUUGAAGCAUUGGAACGCUAAUUCAAAGGGCUACAACCUUUGUGUUUUCCACAAAAGCCAGUUCGGCCUUCAUCAUGGAGAAAAAUGCAGUUGAAGUGAGGUCAAAAGUGAAAACGUGUAUGGCAGCCGAAUUUCUGUAAUUUGCUCAGCCAUUUUUCUCAUCUUCACACUACUUUCCAGCUAGAGUUGGAGAGAAAACGUAGGCUGCACAUGCUUCAGAAGACAUAAGGAAGAGAUAUAGCCAAGGUUCCAAGUCAAAAGCCAUUAUUUUUUACUCCCUUAACAAAUUCAGAUUUGGAGAAUCAUAGCAGAAAUUUUGGACCAGUGGAAAGGCACCUCAUAUCAGUUUUAUAUAGAGAGCAAUCAGAGGGAGAAGAGAUAUACAGGGGGAGAGAACUUGAAGUGCAGAAAUGUAGUUCUUUCAUUUCCUUAGUGUAGGAUAGUGUAGUAAGUGUAGUUAAUCCAUUCUUGUAUAAUAGCUAGAUUAGGAUGAAGAUUGAGAUGAAGAAGGAGGAGUUGAAGCUCAAGUGACAUGGGUUAUCUCUACUCCAAUUCUUUAUCUUUUGUAUUGGAUUCUUAACUAUGGUUAUUAUGCAAGUUCUGAAAUUUAUGUUUAUAAUUUGUUUUUAAAGUUUAUACAUUGGGUUUGGUUGAACUUUCUAUGAUUGUUAGUGUUCAUUAUUUGGCUAUUUGACUGCCAUAAUUUGAGCAAGUUAUUUAGCACUUUACCUCUUUAAAUCAUGAUUAAUCUGGUACCAUUAAUUGUGAUUAUCUAAGGUGUUAUUUCUACAAUGAAAAUUGAGAUUUAAUAUUAGUUCAAUAAGUGCUAAACAUGGGGAGUACACUCACGAGAGUAGAGGUGCACCUAUGGGGUUUUGGUGAUUAAUUUCAUGUAAUUUCACUGAAGAAAUGAACUUGUAGCUAAUUUCAUAACCAUGAGAAUAGGUAUGGAUUAGUUAUAAGUAUAAUUGAUUCACUACGAAAGUAGGUUUCACAUGGUUAAGGAAAUUACACCAUAACUAGCCUAGAUGUAGUAUUCAAUGAUCCAAAUAUAGCACUUGCAUGAGUAGUUAGGGAUACCACAACCUAAGGAGCAUUUAUUUGUUAUUUUGUAUAAUUUCAGUAGGAUAAAUUUGUUAUAAUUCAUUGAUAGUUUAAAUAAUAGAGAAGCUUUAGUAAUACCGGUAAUUGUUCACUCUUCCCUGUGGGAUCGACCCGAUAUAUACCCUAAACUACUAGUUGAUCUGUAUACUUGCAGUGAACGGGUGUAAUUCGGUAUUUUUUAGCUUGCACGUAUGUAAAAUACCCGUCAAGUUUUUGGUGCCGUUGCCGGGGAAGAUUUGGCAAUAUCGGUGUGAAGAGCAACUUUAUUAAUUUAGACAAUUUUUCUUAUUUUUGUUGUUUUUGUUGUAUCUUAUGUGUUUUAUGUCAUUUUUUUUUAGUCAACUUUUAUUUUUUUUUUCUGUUGUAGUUUGUGUCUUGGAAUCUAUCCUUCUUAACUAAUCUUACUUUUGAGAUUGUUUAAAAGCAAUUUUAGGUGAUGAGAAGGGUAGGUCAAUUUGGAGGACAAUGCUUGAGGAAUGGAAGAUUGGCAAUGGAUGGUUACCAAGUGCAAAACUCCUUCAAUAAAGGUAACCAAGAAAUUACCAAAGGUAUGUCUUUUGAAGAUGGUUUGAAGUGCUUAAAGACAAAAUUUGAUGUAAUUAUGUUACAAGUUCAAAUGGACACAAUUAUACAUGAAAUUGAGCAAGGGAGGAAUGUUAAUACUUUUAAUUCUUAUCAUGUGAUUUGUGACUUGUGUGGAGGUUAUCAUGCAACUAAUACAUGUAUGCAAGCACAAAAUGUGGAUUACUAUGAUGAAUUAGAACAUUACAAUCCUUAUUUUGAUCAAUACAGUGCUAAUUGGAGCAAUUCUCUUUCUUAUGGUUGGGAAAAUCAAUGUGCAUAUAGUGAUUAUCCAUAUUUUUAUAAUUACCAAUCUGAAAAUGUCCAAUAUAAAGCAAAACCAUCUUGGGAGUUAGCUAUAGAAAAAUUAGCUAAUGUGACUUCCGACCGUUUUGAUAGGAUUGAGGAAAUGAUAGAUGAAUUGGCUUCUCACUUUGGUAGAAUAAAAGAUCAAUUACAUGUAUUGUGUGAAGUUAUUUCCUCUAAUAAUGUGCAAAAUGAUCCUAGCAUGAAUGGUGGGAAUGUUGUAUGUGAAAAUGGGUUGCAUUUUAAUGAAAAUGAUGAAUCUCAAUUGUGUUUCAAUGAGCAAAUGUCCAUUUCACAUGAUAAUAUCUUUGGAACUAACUUUGAACCUCAAGAGGUGAGUUUUAAUGACUCAUUUUUCACCCCUCUUGAGGAGUGUAUAAAAAGUACAGGUUUUAAAGAUAUUCCUGCCCAAGAUACUUUCGUGGCAUUUCCUUUGGUAAGUUCUCAAGUGGUGCAUAUUCAAGGUAAUAUUUAUGAAACACUUGGAAUAUGUAAGUCACUUUCAUUUCUCACAUCAUUAGAUUAUGUGGCUUUCGCGAUAAAGCCACCUUUUAAUGAUCCACCACGGCCUAAAAUGGUGGAUUAUUCGUUAACUAACCCUCCUUGAAAAAUAAGGUGAAAUAGUCAAGCUAUUGACUUUAAAGAAGCGCUUAUUGGGAGGCAACCCAAUGUUUGUUUAAGUUUAUGUUAUUUUGGGGUGAUUUUAUGUUUAAAGUAUGUGUUUGAGUUAUUUUGUUAUUUUUCAUUUGUAGGUAUUGGAAAUGGAAGCAAAAGUGACCAAAUGAGGUGAAAAAGGCGAAAUUUGAUCGAGGAACUCAACCCCUCGAUUUGAGUAAUUGUUGUUUUUGAUCCGUUAAAAGGGGCUAAAAUGCAUGUUUUUAAUGUUUUACAUGUGUGCACAUUGAUAAAUUUUACAAACAAAUGAUUUAUGAUGCAUUUUGAGUGAUUGGGGAAUUAUUUGUAAAUUUUCAAAAGUUGAAUUUCUGCUAAAAUUCGCAGCAGAAAACGCAUUUCUCAAGAAAACGCGCCUCUGAGUCGCGUGUUCACAGAAUCGCGUUUUCAAUUCUGCACCUGCAGAACAGAAAACGCGCCAUUAAAACGCGACAUUAAGUCGCGUUUUGAAGGAAGUCGCGUUUUGUUGCCUGGAUCAAAGAUGAAAACGCGCCAUUGAAAACGCGACUUCAAGUCGCGUUUUCUCACAGAACCGCGUUUUCAGUACUGCAACUUUUGGGAAGAAACGCGCCUUCAAAACCGCGAGUUAAAGGCGCGUUUCUACUCACGUUUUCUGAGCAUUUUUUUUUUGAAAGAAAAAAUGCAGGUUCCUUGGUUCUCUUUUUCUUCUUUUCCUCAUAUAUUUUCUUGUACCUUGAGUUGCUUAUUAUGUAUUUUUUAUAGGUACAUCACCAAAACAAGGGCUUGAAGUUACGGAUAGCCGUUUUGAUGUCUUAAGCCUUUGUUAUCACUUUGGUUUCUCAUUUUCCAUUCUUAGGUUUAUAUUACUAAUGGUUAUCCAAUGGAACUCGUGAAGUGAUGAAGACCGGCGAACAACAUACCUUGAAGCUUCAUAUUCAAUCACAACAAUAGAGGAGUAUUAUUUUUCUUUAUCUUCAUUUUCCUUUUUACACAUUGAGGACAAUAUGCAUGUUAAGUGUGGGGGGAGAAUUGAGAUUAUAUAUAUUGUAUGUGAUUGACUUAUUAGUUGCAAAUAUUGGACUCGUGUUAAAAUUCAAAAUUUUUCUAACAUCUUGUCCAAAAUUGCAAAUUUGCCCCAAAAAUUUUAAAUUUUAAAUUUCAUCCAAAGGGAUAACAAAGUUCCAUACCAUUAGUAGUUCAAAUUCCUUCUACAUUUGAGAUAAAUAUAUAUGAUUUGGAAACUUCUUUUCUCAUUUAACUUGGAAAUGACUAUUAUGUGAUUAUAAUUUUGCAUUUGUAGGAAAAUAUAUCUUGUGAAGUGGAGAAAAUUAUGCCUAUUUUUUUGCAUAUUUAAUGAAAUUUCUUUUCUUUACUUGAUUUUAUAUAGUUAAGUGAUAAAUAUGGUCAAUAAGUGCAAUACUCUUCUCAUGAUUAUUUUUUUUAAAAUUAUUAUUCUCUUUGCUAUUAAAAAAAAAAAAAGAGAAAGAAAAAAAAACAAAAGAGAAAAGAAAAUAAAUAAAAAUUGUUCUACUCCAAUGAUUCUCGUACCGAGUAACCGGGGGUUGGCAUCUACAAAUGUCAACAUUCGCGUAAAAAGGUACUUGAAUUAAGAGUAUGCAAAGCAACUUGAGUAUGUGAAGUGUUGAGUAACCGGUGAUUUUCAUCUAAAAAUGUUGAUCCUCGCGUAAAAAGAUACUUUCACAACUUAAGUAAUAUUUAGCUAUAUUAUAUAAAUAAAUCCCUCUUUAAGUUAAAUAAGAAGAUGAUCAUGGGUUUAGGAAGCAUAUUAUUGACCAUAUGAGUUACUUACUUGUAAGAUUGGGUAAGGAUGAAAAAUUGAUUUGAAUUUGUUAUAAUGACGGUAUAAUUGGCUCUCCUUUACUUGAUAUUAUGAGUACUUGAAUUUAAUUAAAUAAUUGCAUAAUGGUUAUUUACUUUGUUUUGAGGAAAUGAAGUUGAAAUGCUACAUAUGUUUAUUUUCAAAUUUUGGAUCAUUGUUGGUUUGUAUUUUUUUUAUUGCUUGAGGACAAGUAAUGGUUCAAGUGUGGGGGUAUUUGAUAAGAGUUUAUUUUACGUAUUUUUAGUGUGUUUUAUUAGUUAAUUUUGGUUUGAUUAUUUAGUUUUAUAACUAAAAUAACUAAGGUUUUGGUAAAAAUCUACAUUUUAUGUUAAAUUGGCUAACAUUGCAUUUCUAUUGAUUUUUAUGGGAAAAACUUCAUAUUUUGUAGGUUUAAUGAUUCAAUCAUCAAAUGAAGUGCAUUGAGAAGAUAUUUGGAUGAUUGAAGAUGGAUUAAAGUGGUGAAAUUAAAAUAUGAAGUGUAAAAGGAAGAAAUGCAAUUUGAGGACAAAAAAAUCAAGAAAAGUCAGCUUUGACAACUCAGACACAUUUUCGUAUUUUGACUAUACCAGGAGCUACAAUGAUCGGAUGAAGGUGAUCUUGGUAUCAUUUUGAAGGUAAGAGAUAUAUCUACAUUUGGUAUGAAGACAUCAAAGUCCAAUUCAGCCGUUUUCUUGGUCAAAAGGUCGAAACACAGAAACUUAUCUGGAUGGUCGAAAGCUGAAGCCCAGAAUUGACCAGUCUAUGGUAUUUGGACCAUAUCUCCGUCCGCCGAUCUCCAAAUUAGAUGAUUCUUGAAGCAUUGGAACGCUAAUUCAAAGGGCUACAACCUUUGUGUUUUCCACAAAAGCCAGUUCGGCCUUCAUCAUGGAGAAAAAUGCAGUUGAAGUGAGGUCAAAAGUGAAAACGUGUAUGGCAGCCGAAUUUCUGUAAUUUGCUCAGCCAUUUUUCUCAUCUUCACACUACUUUCCAGCUAGAGUUGGAGAGAAAACGUAGGCUGCACAUGCUUCAGAAGACAUAAGGAAGAGAUAUAGCCAAGGUUCCAAAUCAAAAGCCAUUAUUUUUUACUCCCUUAACAAAUUCAGAUUUGGAGAAUCAUAGCAGAAAUUUUGGACCAGUGGAAAGGCACCUCAUAUCAGUUUUAUAUAGAGAGCAAUCAGAGGGAGAAGAGAUAUACGGGGGGAGAGAACUUGAAGUGCAGAAAUGUAGUUCUUUCAUUUCCUUAGUGUAGGAUAGUGUAGUAAGUGUAGUUAAUCCAUUCUUGUAUAAUAGCUAGAUUAGGAUGAAGAUUGAGAUGAAGAAGGAGGAGUUGAAGCUCAAGUGACAUGGGUUAUCUCUACUCCAAUUCUUUAUCUUUUGUAUUGGAUUCUUAACUAUGGUUAUUAUGCAAGUUCUGAAAUUUAUGUUUAUAAUUUGUUUUUAAAGUUUAUACAUUGGGUUUGGUUGAACUUUCUAUGAUUGUUAGUGUUCAUUAUUUGGCUAUUUGACUGCCAUAAUUUGAGCAAGUUAUUUAGCACUUUAGCUCUUUAAAUCAUGAUUAAUCUGGUACCAUUAAUUGUGAUUAUCUAAGGUGUUAUUUCUACAAUGAAAAUUAAGAUUUAAUAUUAGUUCAAUAAGUGCUAAACAUGGGGAGUACACUCACGAGAGUAGAGGUGCACCUAUGGGGUUUUGGUGAUUAAUUUCAUGUAAUUUCACUGAAGAAAUGAACUUGUAGCUAAUUUCAUAACCAUGAGAAUAGGUAUGGAUUAGUUAUAAGUAUAAUUGAUUCACUACGAAAGUAGGUUUCACAUGGUUAAGGAAAUUACACCAUAACUAGCCUAGAUGUAGUAUUCAAUGAUCCAAAUAUAGCACUUGCAUGAGUAGUUAGGGAUACCACAACCUAAGGAGCAUUUAUUUGUUAUUUUGCAUAAUUUCAGUAGGAUAAAUUUGUUAUAAUUCAUUGAUAGUCUAAAUAAUAGAGAAGCUUUAGUAAUACCGGUAAUUGUUCACUCUUCCCUGUGGGAUCGACCCGAUAUAUACCCUAAACUACUAGUUGAUCUGUAUACUUGCAGUGAACGGGUGUAAUUCGCUAUUUUUUAGCUUGCACGUAUGUAAAAUACCCGUCAAGUUUUUGGUGCCGUUGCCGGGGAAGAUUUGGCAAUAUCGGUGUGAAGAGCAACUUUAUUAAUUUAGACAAUUUUUCUUAUUUUUGUUGUUUUUGUUGUAUCUUAUGUGUUUUAUGUCAUUUUUUUUUAGUCAACUUUUAUUUUUUUUUUCUGUUGUAGUUUGUGUCUUGGAAUCUAUCCUUCUUAACUAAUCUUACUUUUGAGAUUGUUUCAAAGCAAUUUUAGGAGAUGAGAAGGGUAGGUCAAUUUGGAGGACAAUGCUUGAGGAAUGGAAGAUUGGCAAUGGAUGGUUACCAAGUGCAAAACUCCUUCAAUAAAGGUAACCAAGAAAUUACCAAAUGUAAGAGCCCGGUGCAACCCAAUGAGUACAAACAAUUUCACAAUGAUGCACAAAGAUAUAUCAAAUUUAAGCACAAUAAAGAAAACUUAAUUAAAGAGAAAAGAUAAGAAAUGCAAACCAAAUAUCAAUCCAAUAGCCUCUUCAAUUGAUGGCGAUGCUAACCAAGAUGUACAAGUGAAGGCUCACUCCUUCCUCACCCCAAACACACUUUGGUUGAGCCAAGGAGUUUUACAACUAUUCUAGUUAACCCUCAACAACCUACACUUGAAAGAUCACUCACCCAAUUAAGAACUAUUUUAUACAAAUGAGGCAACGUUCACCAAGGCUUUACCACUUCAAAUGAUAGGUUCACCUUCACCAAGGUUUUUCUCCUCCUAGAGAGUAACCUUCACUUGAGCAACCUCACAACCCAACUUUCCCAACCCCUUAUACAACCAACAAGGAAUCUUUCUACUCAAAAAUCUCACUUGUAAGCUUGUAUUUUGUGUUGGCAAAAGUCCCUUGUCUUCUUGUGCUUUGGGGUUUUUAUAGAAGGUGAGAAAUGGCACCAAAAGGCUCUCCAACGGUCAAAUAUUAAAUGCUGUCAAAACUAGCCGUUGGCCUGUCGGACGUUCGAACCACCUGUCGAACGUCCGAACCCUGCGUCCAAACCACCUGUCGGACGUCCCAACCCUGCGUCCGAACGUCUUCAGAGAGUCAUCAAAUCUUUGCGAAAUUUCUCGGACGUCCGAUGCGAUCGAUGUGCGUCCGACAGAGUUUCCUUCUUGACGUUCUUCAUCCUUUCGGACGUCCGAUAGCUUCCUUUCGGACGUCCCACAUGAGUGCCCUGUUUUUGCUUAUUCUUUUGUGCCACAAGAAUCUGUUCUAACAAAUUGCUCACAUAAAAACAUUAGCCCAAAUCUACAUUUUGGUUUGUUAAUCAUCAAAACCAAGGAUUGAUCGACCAAGGUCAACAAUCUCCCCCUUUUUUUAUGAUGACAAACAAUCGGAAUUUGGCAUGGUUUAAGGCGUUGGAAAACACAUUCAUAGAGCUAUAAUUUCACAGAAGAAAUCAUUCUGAAAUUCGGCACACAACUAGCUCGAAUUCGAGUCACAAGUUGCAGCCUCAGCAUUUUGUUCUUUUAAAACAGAGAAACAUAACAACCGACUUAAAAUAGUUGGUUUGGCUCACAUUCAUGGAACCAGAAUGUGUAUUUUAUAUCGUCGGAAAGGUUGGAAUGUCUAGUUUCAAAUGCCGCUGACGGCACCGCUGACGGCACUCGAUUUCAACUCGGAGUUCAAAAUUAUGGCCGAAAUACGAAAGCUGGUCAGAGCAUUUCGGAAAUAGUUCCAGAUUUACUAGCUUUGUUAAAUCGAUUUAUUUGACGAACCAAACCUCAAUAUUUUUCAAUGAAACUUUGUACACCAUAUAUUCAACAUAUCAACAUGAUAUACAAGUCAUGAAACCCUCAAAAUUUUGCAAAAAGGGUUGCGAUUAAAACAGGGCAAAUCUGAACAUUUUUGAACUAUGCAUCUCUUGGAGUCUAGACUAGCUAGGUAUCAUUAAUCUACCUAUUUAAACACUAAACUAGCAUUAUAUCCAUCAUCAAUCCAAGGGUGGGAGUUCAUAGAGCCCACCAUCAAAAUUUUCCGACAUGAAACAAAACAAAUAGCAUGUGAUUUUGGCAAAUAAUUCCACCACAAUAAAUCUGUCCUUGGCUAAACAGAAUUUCCAGCAGCUAAUUGGUCAUAAUCCAACUUUUUACUCGGCUAAAACAUGAUAUUAAGUACUCAAUUUUGGCAUGCAAUUUCUUAACUAGCCAAUUAACAUUUCCAGUUCAAAAUUAGAUUCAAACAACAGUUUUACUCAUCUAAAACAAAUCCAGAAAUUCUGUUUAGCUUGGCCUCAGUCGAACAUACGUGUAGCAGAUUUCUAAUUCAUUUUAUUUCUCUGAUUUAAACCCAUUAAUUAGCUACAUGCAAAGAUCAAUUAUCAUGUUAUUAACUAGUUAAUCAUGGUUACAAACUCAAAACAACAAAAUUGAAUCAAAUGAAGCUGUAAAAUACAGGACAAGCUCUCGGCUGCAGCAAUUCAUAACAACAGAAUUUCUUAUUUUUCUUGAUUCAUCAUCCGGCUGCAUAGAGUUAACAUGCAUGGUCUUAAUCUUCAAGUUUUCACUCAGCUAAUGACACUUAGGUGUUCAGAUUGCCACGGAAAACAAAAAUGGAGCUGCAUUAUCACCUCAGUUUCUCGGCAGCAACAUUUCAUCAAAACAGAAUUUUUCUGGUGUCUUGGUUUCAUCAACCGACUUCACAAGCAACACAUGCAGCUCUGAUAUGGCUUCAUCUACUAAAAGUUAACUUAAUAUAGCCCAGAAAUUACCUCAGAAACAACUUAGCUCACGCACAAGAAAUCUGAAAAGAAAAAUUCUGUUCUCCCUCUCGACUCUCGGCUCGCUUGUGGCUGCAGGUUGGUUGCUGCUGUGAUGGUGUUGGGUUCUGAGGUUGUUUUGUAGUUGGUUGAGGUUGCAGCAAGGGAUGAAGCUCACGUAGCCUCCCUCAUUUCUCCUCUUUAGUUUACGGACAGAACGGAAGUUGCAGCUCGCGCGAUUUCCUUUCUUUUCUUUCUUUCCUCUCGGCUUGCAGAGUGCAGCCCGGCCUCUCACUCUCUCUCAGUCAAUAUUCACGAGGUGGAGGCUGGAGAGGAAAUGUUUGUGGUUGUGGUCUGGAUGAGUUUGUGCAGAGAAAAUGGGAAUGGUGGUUUGUGAUAUAGGAAUGAGGUAGAAAUGUUGCCGCGGUUUUGGAGAAGGAAGAAAGAAUGGUUUACGGUUUUGGAGUGUAUGAAAUGGUUGCAUAUAGAAUUGGUGAAAAUGUGAUUGGUCGAUUGGGGCGGUGAUUGAAAUGCUAUCAGAGGGAUUGUUUGGUUUUGCAUGGAAACGUUGGGGUUGUAAGGGCAUUUUAGUCUUUUCACUCUGCUUCCUAACCUCUACUUAAAUUCUCCAUUCUAACUUAGCUCCAAAAUUAUCCCAAGUGUGAUUUGAACGCCUAAUUAUACACUAGUAUACUUAAACCAUUUUUAUCGAAUAUUUAUCGAUCACAAUUUAAUAUUAAGGUUCCUAGUAAUUCCUAACAUUAUUACCUAAAUAUUUAAACUACAAAAAUCAAGUUUGACCUUAAUAUAUAAAUUUAACAUUCUUAAUAUUCGUUUAUCCUUUUAUAUCAAAACUUAUUAACUUAAUCAUUAUUAACGCUUAAGAUUAGCUAUCGGAAUUCAAAGAAAUUUAAUUGUUAAAUCAAUGAAAUAAUUUACCUUCGAAAUAUGAAUUUAAUGUAACAAAACUAGGAAAUUUAACCACUUAUUCGUUAUAUGUAAUUUCUUGAAUCGAUUAUUUACUCCAAUCGCGUAUUUACUAUUUUCACUUAACGAACUUACAGAAAUGAAAUUUCGAAACGAAUUGCUUUAAAAAUAUAACUAAACUAUGGAUACGUUUAAUUAAACCGAAAAAGCUUAGAAAAUAAUACUCAGAGAAAUCGGGUGAGUAAAUACUUAUUUUAGCCAGUAAAAUAAAUAAAAUAAACAAAAUUUUCGGGUCCUCACAACCUACCCUCCUUAAAGAGAAUUUCGUCCUCGAAAUUCAUACCUUCUGAAAUCUUGGAUAACCCUGAACCAUGUGGUGUGAUCAUGUCAUAUGUUCGUUCAGACGCCACUGGUCGGUUCCUCCUUCCAUUGACUUGUCGAGGGACAGUUCCAUUUCCCUGUUGAGCAGUGGUUUCUCGUAGAUACCUCCUUAGACAGUCAUGAACUUUAUGGCUAGUACUCCACAUCCCAUACACUUUCGUCCCUUUAGCCAACAGUUUUCUUCAAUGUGAUUCGUCCUUCCACAAUAUCCACAAAUUGGAUGAGGUGUUGUGACCUGACUUGUUUGCGAGGUUUUCUUUGAUCGUGUCUGUCCUACUGAAGUCUCUCGCGACAUAAUUCCUUUUGGUUCCUUUAUCCUGAGUGGUGCAGGAAGUAACAGUCCUACCCCAUCCACUUCUUUUCUAACUUUGGGUAGUGGUCCAUUUUCUCCUAGUGUACUGUCAGAUGCGUCUCUUUUCCUUGCUUGAAAAGCUCUCAGUUGAGAUUUUGUGAUUUCUACCCUUUGCGCUUUUUCGAGAGCGUCACUAAAUGUUUCAACCUGUGCUGCGGCAAGGGCAUCUUGGAUUUCUAAAUCUAAUCCUUGGAUAAACCGUCUUAUUCUCUUCCUUUCAGUAGCCACCAAUUCUGGAGCAUAUGUAGAUAACUUCGUAAAGCGUGUUUUAUACUCAGAUACAAUUAAAGUUCCUUGACGAAGCUUUAUGAAAUCAUCUUCUCUCUUUUCUUGGACUAGUGGUGGAAGAAAUUUUCCAUUAAAUUCUAGGACAAAGUUCAUCCAAGUUUUCGGAGUUUGUUCCCUUUCCCACUUAUUUCUUAUAACAUUUCACCGUGCUCGAGCCGGCCCUUCAAGUUGGAACACAGCAAAAUUUACUUCUCUCUCCUCGGAAUAAUCUAGUGCAUCAAAUAUAUUUCUUAUUUUUCUAAUCAAUUCUCAGCCACCUCUGGAUCAGGUCCUCCAGCAAACUUAGGCGGGAAGAAUUUCUGAAACCGCUCUAAAGCUCGAUCCUCCCCUAUUUCUUGGUUUCCCUGUCCAACACCUUGACCUUGUUGAGCUACUAAGAGCUCUAGUAUAUCCGUCAUGCGGUUUAGAACUUGUCCCAUUUGGUCAUUUCCUCUCCCAGCACUGGGCUCGGCAUUUUGGUCAAUAUCAGAUCCAUUAUCUACUCUUUCAUUUCGGGGUUGUCUAGAUUGACGUCCCUUUCGUCGUCUCCCAGCUUCCAUUCUCACAACUAAUCUAUACAAAUAUGUGCAAAUGGCUCACUAAACUAAAAAUUAUCUAUGCACACGUAUAUUUAACAAUUUUCAAAAUGAGCAAUAAAACUAUAUCCACAGAUGACAUUUUCACAAAUAGCACAUUAACAGUUAACAUAGAAUUUAAACUAGUCUCAAUUAGGUUGCAUACCAUUACAAAAUUAGAGCUAAUCAAGUCAUAAUACAAGUUGAAAUCAAAGGUCAUUUAUCCAAAGUUUAAAAAUCUUUAGCAAGCCAGCCAAUAACUAAAGUGCAUUCAUCUCCAAGAAUAACCAACCUUGGAAUUUCUAGUUAAAGCCUCAAGUACCAUUUUCAAACUCAGGGAAUAUGUACAACUGGCUCACUUAAGCGUCAAGUGGGAACCAAGUCAAUUCGCACUAGGACUGGCCAUCUCCAGAUGCAAAUCAACUCAAUCGCCACCAUUCCUCAAAGAAAAUUUCACAAAAUGUCUCAAUCAAGCAAUCGAUCUAAGAUUCACAUUCAAUUUCAUACAUAUACUUACGAAGAUUACAAGCCUAGAGGAUACCUCGAAUCUUACAAUUUACCCAGUCAAAUUCGAUCUUAUAGAUAUCAGCUAGUACCAAUAUUCAAGAAACUCAACUAUUACUUUUCAAAUCAAUUCUCACACAAUUCUCUUCAGUUUCUUACAAUAUAAGAAACCCUAGUGUGUAAACCCACUUAAAAACAAACACUUCAAUAUUACUCAAUCAAUCAUCAAGUAUUAAGAUCACAUUCCACUUACUAAACAAUCAAACUCCACAGUCCGGCAUCUUAUGCUUAAAGCCUAAGAUACACUACAAAGAUCUAGAGUCUAAGCUCUGAUACCACCUGUGACAGUUCUCAGGGUCACAUCACGGGGUACCUAUCAGCUUGCCAUCCGCACGCGGGCAUCCCCUACGGAGAGUUUCGCUUCGUGACUCUUCACGAACGAAAGGCUCGGGGCUUUUCCAGACGAAGGACUUAAAGUCCCAACUGUCGGCAUAUGGCUCUGAUACCACCUGUGACGAUCCCACUUUCCCCUAAGGCGAACCAGAGGGUUGGCGGGUCGUCUGCCUAGCUCUCGCCAGGACUCACGCAAGCAAGCUAGCAAAAAUCCUUCCGAAGUAUAACCUAAUCUAUUACAACAUCGUUUCCCUCCAAAUAAGCCGGUUUCUAGAAUCACAUUAACUUCAGAGAUAACAGUGCCUUAAGAUAGCCAACGUCGAUUCUUAAAAUACCUUCCCGAAUACAACCCAAGAAACAAAACAUCAAUUCAAAUACAUCCUUACAAGCCAAGUAACAAAUUCAUACAAGCCACAUACAAAUCCAGGGUUUACACUUUUCCAGCUUCAAGUGGCAACCUAAGGCAAAACUACAAUGUUUAACUCGAAUUACAUUCAUGAAAUAAACAAUCUAGUACUACUUCGAGCACCUUUGGUCUCAAAUCCUGUAAAAGAAAAUCACAACGUGGAAUGAGCUACACAGCCCAGUGAGGUUCCAAGACACUCUAACAGUUCAAACAAAUCAAGAAAGUUGUGCAUGUCAUAUGCAUGGUGCGAGGUUACACAAUGGCAGGUUAUCAUGAGAUGAUAAUCAUUACUCGGGUAAUUGCUACUUUGAAAACACAUGUAGUAGUAGUACUUUUGCUGGUAACUUUACUAUGGUACAACUCAUAAAUUAUCUAAAAUCACUAACGUAUUUUUGGAAUGAAUGACCAUAUAAAUAUAUUUUCAUGAAUUUUUAGUCAAACAAAUAGUGGCUCGUCUGACUAGAAGAACAUUACAAGGAUUGCUUCAUCUCAGAGAUUAAUGCUCAUGAGGAGUCUUACCCGAGAAAUGUCAACUAGGAGAGCAAUAACAUUAUUAAUAGCAAAGCAAGCACAAAAGGAUACAGUACUCGGUCCACUUCCCGUCCUUAUAACUCCGAUCGGUAACUCUUUCGAUUGACUGGCCAUCACCUUAUCCCUCCAGUGGUAGUACUCGAGUAUACCGAAACGGUUGUCCAGGGUUCCAACCUACCCGACCGAGCCCAGUCCUGGCUCGAGUAGGUCAGUAACCGAGGCAGGCCCAAGUUCAGCUUAUAGCUUACAACAUGCACAGGUAACCAAGUAAUUCGACAAAAAGUAAAAUUCAUCAUUUGAAUAGGUCGAGUGAGGUAAAGUACACACGCCUAACAAUGAUGGACAACUUCAUAUAACGUGUGAUUCAUGAUAAUCAAGUAAUCAAGUGGAUACUUAGCACGUAAGCACGUAAGCAAUACAAGUUGAUUUCAUGGGAGCAUGUAAUUCACGGAUAUCGAAUAAUCAUAUAGAUUAGAAAUCAUGUGAGCAAAUAGUCAGGUAAUCAGGUAGUCAUGUGGUUGGUAAACGGUUCACAGUUAACGGUUAACGGUUGACGGUUGAGUAAUGACGGUUAUUUGGCAGGCAUUUGCCAUAUUAAUAGGCCAUCAUUGGCCGUUAUCCCAUUUUUACCAUGUGAGAGUCGAGGAGAUUCACUCCAACGACGUAUGCAACCAUAGCAUACCAAGUCAUGUUAUUCGAGCAUUUUCAAGCAUGGGUAUGGUAAAUAUUUAACACAUAGUACUUAACACUUAGAAAUCAUGAAAUGAGCAUGUCCUAGACUUAUUCCAUUACGCAUUCCUAUAUGGAACACUCACCUAGUCAAACAAGCGCAAUAGGUCUCAAACAAGCGUUUUAGGCGUCCGCUCCGAGUUCCUCUUGGAGAUCUCCUCGAUUGCCUGAGCAAACAAUAAUUCAAGUACUACUCAAUAUCGCUACGAAUUCUCUAGUUUUCGAUGAAGAUUGUACGCUAGUGCAAUCUAAGAAUUAACGCGGAGACGAGCCUAAAUUCGUGUAACUCGAGCUUCAAAAGUGGGGUUUUAAAACACAAGACAAAUUUGAUUUCCAUCUUUGGAUUCAAAUGUAAAACAAUCAAAUGAUAUUGAAAGAAAUGAAGAGUUCGAAACCCCUUUGUUUCCUUUAAGUUAGAAAAUUCCAGAUUUAACAAGUAAUCUUUGAAAAAUCAUAUCUUACUCUCUACAAGCCCAAAAUUGGAAAACUUGGUACUAUUGGAAACUCUUUGAAAGUACUAAAAGUUCCUAGAAUACACUUUUCCAUGAUUCUAAAUGGAAGAUAGUAAAAAAUGGGCUCAAAGUUACUUUUUGGUUCAUAAGGCAGAUUUAAGUUGGUUUUUGGCCAACUUUGGAAUUUCGGCAAAAUUCACUUGUUUGGAACUAGCUUUUGAAAUUUUUGAACUCUAUUAGUGUUGUAAUCCAAGAGUAUAACAAAACAAACGGAAUGAGAAACGGGUUUUGAGCACCAAGAUACGGUAGCUCAAAUUUACUAAAAUUCCCUUGUGAAACAUGGGUUUUUCAAAUCUCGAGUCAUGAACUUUGGUAAUUUAUUUGACCCAUGAAACGGCCUCAGAAUAAUACCAUAAUUAGCAGUAUAAUACUACCAUAUAAGGGUUGUUCCUCUACCAAAUUUCAUGGAAAAAUAACUUCGGAAAGGUGGUCAAUCAAACACCUAAAAUUUCGCAAAUACUAAGACAAAACUGCCUUGAACCUUUUGUUUUUCCAUUUCAGACAUUUGGUCAAAGAAAGAUUCCUCCAAACCUGGUUCAUUUGUUUAGGUAAAACUUAAAGAACGUUCAUGGUACAUUUGGUAAGUGUUUAGCAUCAAAAUAUUCAGUUAGCAAGUCUUUGCCAAACCUUGCAUCAAAUCUGUCUAAAAAUCAGGGUUUUCAAGGGCAGAGCAGGUUUCAUAUUUUGAUCACAGAUCUCUCAAAUUAACUCAUAAUUUGGCAUGGUUUAAGGCGUUGGAAAACACAUUCAUAGAGCUAUAAUUUCACAGAAGAAAUCAUUCUGAAAUUCGGCACACAACUAGCUCGAAUUGAGUCACAAAUUGCAGCCUCAGCAUUUUGUUCUUGUAAAACAGAGAAACAGAACAGCCGACUUAAAAUAGUUGGUUUGGCUCACAUUCAUGGACCGAGAAUGUGAAUUUUAUAUCGUCGGAAAGGUUGGAAUGUCUAGUUUCAAAUGCCGCUGACGGCACUCGAUUUCAACAUCGGAGUUCAAAAUUAUGGCCGAAAUACGAAAGCUGGUCAGAGCAUUUCGAAAAUAGUUCCAGAUUUACUAGCUUUGUUAAUUGAUUUAUUUGACCAACCAAACCUCAAUAUUUUUCAAUCAAACUUUGUACCAUAUAUUCAACAUAUCAACAUGAUAUACAAGUCAUGAAACCCUCGAAAUUUUGCAAAAAGGGUUGCGAUUAAAACAGGGCAAAUCUGAACAUUUUUGAACUAUGCAUCUCUUGGAGUCUAGACUAGCUAGGUAUCAUUAAUCUACCUAUUUAAACACUAAACUAGCAUUAUAUCCAUCAUCAAUCCAAGGGUGGGAGUUCAUAGAGCCUACCAUCAAAAUUUUCCGACAUGAAACAAAACAAAUAGCAUGUGAUUUUGGCAAAUAAUUCCACCACAAUAAAUCUGUCCUUGGCUAAACAGAAUUUCCAGCAGCUAAUUGGUCAUAAUCCAACUUUUUACUCGGCUAAAACAUGAUAUUAAGUACUCAAUUUUGGCAUGCAAUUUCUUAACUAGCCAAUUAACAUUUCCAGUUCAAAAUUAGAUUCAAACAACAGUUUUACUCAUCUAAAACAAAUCCAGAAAUUCUGUUUAGCUUGGCCUCAGUCGAACAUACGUGUAGCAGAUUUCUAAUUCAUUUUAUUUCUCUGAUUUAAACCCAUUAAUUAGCUACAUGCAAAGAUCAAUUAUCAUGUUAUUAACUAGUUAAUCAUGGUUACAAACUCAAAACAACAAAAUUGAAUCAAAUGAAGCUGUAAAAUACAGGACAAGCUCUCGGCUGCAGCAAUUCAUAACAACAGAAUUUCUUAUGUUUCUUGAUUCAUCAUCCGGCUGCAUAGAGUUAACAUGCAUGGUCUUAAUCUUCAAGUUUUCACUCAGCUAAUGACACUUAGGUGUUCAGAUUGCCACGGAAAACAAAAAUGGAGCUGCAUUAUCACCUCAGUUUCUCGGCAGCAACAUUUCAUCAAAACAGAAUUUUUCUGGUGUCCUGGUUUCAUCAACCGACUUCACAAGCAACACAUGCAGCUCUGAUAUGGCUUCAUCUACUAAAAGUUAACUUAAUAUAGCCCAGAAAUUACCUCAGAAACAACUUAGCUCACGCACAAGAAAUCUGAAAAGAAAAAUUAUGUUCUCCCUCUCGGCUCUCGGCUCGCUUGUGGCUGCAGGUUGGUUGCUGCUGUGAUGGUGUUGGGUUCUGAGGUUGUUUUGUAGUUGGUUGAGGUUGCAGCAAGGGAUGAAGCUCACGUAGCCUCCCUCCUUUCUCCUCUUUAGUUUACGGACAGAACGGACAGGUUGCAGCUCGCGCGAUUUCCUUUCGUUUCUUUCCUUUCCUCUCGGCUUGCAGAGUGCAGCCCGGCCUCUCACUCUCUCUCAGUCAAUAUUCACGAGGUGGAGGCUGGAGAGGAAAUGUUUGUGGUUGUGGUCUGGAUGAGUUUGUGCAGAGAAAAUGGGAAUGGUGGUUUGUGAUAUAGGAAUGAGGUAGAAAUAUGGUGCCGCGGUUUUGGAGAAGGAAGAAAGAAUGGUUUACGGUUUUGGAGUGUAUGAAAUGGUUGCGUAUAGAAUUGGUGAAAAUGUGAUUGGUCGAUUGGGGCGGUGAUUGAAAUGCUAUCAGAGGGAUUGUUUGGUUUUGCAUGGAAACGUUGGGGUUGUAAGGGCAUUUUAGUCUUUUCACUCUGCUUCCUAACCUCUACUUAAAUUCUCCAUUCUAACUUAGCUCCAUAAAUUAUCCCAAGUGUGAUUUGAACGCCUAAUUAUACACUAGUAUACUUAAACCAUUUUUAUCGAAUAUUUAUCGAUCACAAUUUAAUAUUAAGGUUCCUAGUAAUUCCUAACAUUAUUACCUAAAUAUUUAAACUAUAAAAAUCAAGUUUGACCUUAAUAUAUAAAUUUAACAUUCUUAAUAUUCGUUUAUCCUUUUAUAUCAAAACUUAUUAACUUAAUCAUUAUUAACGCUUAAGAUUAGCUAUCGGAAUUCAAAGAAAUUUAAUUGUUAAAUCAAUGAAAUAAUUUACCUUCGAAAUAUGAAUUUAAUGUAACAAAACUAGGAAAUUUAACCAUUUAUUCGUUAUAUGUAAUUUCUUGAAUCGAUUAUUUACUCCAAUAGCGUAUUUACUAUUUUCACUUAACGAGCUUACAGAAAUUAAAUUUCGAAACGAAUUGCUUUAAAAAUAUAACUAAACUAUGGAUACGUUUAAUUAAACCUAAAAAGCUUAGAAAAUAAUAAUCAGAGAAAUUGGGUGAGUAAAUACUUAUUUUAGCCAGUAAAAUAAAUAAAAUAAGCAAAAUUUUCGGGUCCUUACACUAUCUAAACCCAUGAUCAUCUUCUUAUUUAACUUAAAGAGGGAUUCAUUCAUAUCACAUAUAGCUAAAUAUUACUCAAGUUGUGAAAGUGUCUUUUGACGCGAAGAUCGACAUUUUUAGAUGAAGAUCUCAGGUUACUCAAUAUUUCACAUACUCAAGUUGCUUUGCAUACUCUUAAUUCGAGCACCGUUUUGCGCGAAAGUUGACAUUUGUAAAUGAAGACUCCCGGUUACUAAGUACAAGAACCAUUGGAGUAGAAUAACUCUUAUUCAUUUUUUUCCUUUUUUUCUUUUUUUUCUUUUUUUUUCUUUUUUUGUUUAAAGUAAAGAUAAUAUUUAGUCCCUCAAAAGAAUAAUGAUAAGAAGAGUAUUACACUUAUUGACCAUAUUUAUCACUCAACUUAUAAAAUCAAGUAAAGAGAAGAAAUUUCACUAAACUUGCAAAAUGUUGGCAUAAUUUUCUCUACUUUACAAGAUAUACUUUCUUAUAAAUGUACAAAUUAUCAUCAUAUAAUAGUCAUUUCCAAGUUAAUAAGAAAAGAUGUUUUCAAGCCACAUACAUUAAGCUCAAAAGUAGAAGGAAUUUGAAUUACUAAUGCUGUGAAACUUGUUAGCCCUUGGAUAAAAUUGAAAAAAAUUUGAAACUUUUUGGGGCAAAUUUGCAAAUUUGGACAAGAUUUUGAAAAAAUUUUGACUGAGUUUCCCCUUAAAUUUGGACGAAACUCCCUGCCAGCAACCUAAGAUUAACAACAAUUAAGUGUAAUCAAAUUCCAAACAUCAAGUCCAUGCAAUAAACACAAAAAUACUAUCAAGUACCAUACAUUUCCUCCCCCACACUUAAAAUACACAUUGUCCUCAAUGUGUAGGGAAAGAAAAAUAACAAAAGAUAGAAAGAAAUACUUCCCAGUGCAAUGGCUAAGAUCCAGAUCAACCAUGAAUCACGAACCUUCGCCAAAACACAAAUAUCUACUAAGACUGUCCAAAAGGUGAAAUUGAAAACAGAAAAGGGUCAAGUUAAACAUACUACAAACAAAAGAUUAAACACGACAAACAAAUCUGGAAGCAACAAAAAUAGCCAUGCUAAAGGUGCAGCUUCAAUCAUUAUCUUCAUCUUCAUCGCUGUCAUGAGGUGAAGGAAUGCCUAAAUGAUACUUGAUCCUCUCCAAGCGAGUAUCCAUUCAUCCCAAUUGAUACUCGAUGUCAUCCAAGUGAGUAAAGAGCCACUGCCAAUUCGAUUGCGGUGGUGGAGGAGAAGAUGCAGUAGUAGAAGAUCCGACUCCCUCUUGGCCAUGUCGUGCCUUUUGUCGCCUUUCACGAGCAGGUUGAGGAAUGUUAUCCGUACCAAUACCCAAACAAUUGAUACCCAAACGAUAACUCGGUUCUAGGCUUAACAAAAUCCCGAGUUACACCCUGCAAGUUAACAUAGAAAUGCUCGAAUACCAAAGAGAGCAGACGAGGAAAUGCCAAUUUGAACGAAGUAGUCCGCCGCCUCUCCCUAGAGCUUAUGUGGUUAAUGAAAAUGUUUGGAAAUGGAAUUCAAGCGUAGGAGGACUCCCGAUUAUGAAACAUAUGAUCCAAAAAAUAGAUAUCACUUUUUCGGACCUCCGUAAGACCCGUCUUCUUGGGUAUGACGUUGUGUGCCAUCAUAUAGAUAAUGAGACGAUGACAAUGUUCAAAGAUGCUUGCCAUCAUUGUCUCCUUCCAUGAAGACCUAAAAGGUUGGUACUCAAAACCAACCCUAGUUAUGGCGUGCGAUGGAUCCCACUGCCUAUUUAGUGCGACAAAACCCUUCUUUAGGUUGACUGCCCGACCUUGGUUGGUACAACCCAAAAUGGUAGCUAAAUGCUCCCGUGACAAAACAAUACGGGUCCCACGCACCCAUGACUCCACCAUCUCGCCACUGUGACGUGCUUUGGAAUCAAUGUUGGCGUAGAACUCACGCACAAAGUCAGGGUAGUAGUGAGUCGGCAAUGUGAGAAUCGGCGCCCAACCUAGUUGGUUAAACGCUUCCGAGAUGUGAUAAACCACUUCAAUUUUUGGACUCACAUGCAUCUCAAAAAGAAACUCCAAAUUAGCGUGCGUCUCGUGCCACUCUUGAUGUCUAAGAUUGAUGAACUUGGCACUAUUAAAGAUGGCAGUUUUGGCACUACGAGAAGUGCCCUCCCCUUGUCGUCGCUGCACCGAUUGAGGUGAAGGUGACCUCUCUUCUUGACUUUCUUCAAUAUCCUCACUCACCUCCAUUUCAUCGCUAGUAAAGGAUGAAUAGACAACUUGCUUUCCUCUUCCAUAGUACCUAAGAAAAAUGACUCAAUUCCAUAUGUACUAAGACAUAUUUCAUAACUUGGACAAUAAGUAACCUCAAUUGGCUCAAAUAACCACAAAUACAUGCCUCCAUGUCAUAAGAAAUCAAAUAAACAUACUUAAAUGACUACUAUUAUGACAUAUGAGAAAUGACAUAGUCAAAAUGCCAAAAAUUGCCAAAAUCACCAAUUUAUCAAAAUCGGCAACAAAUAUAUCCAAAUCAGUGAAAUUAGCACUAAUCAUGAUUAUGGCAGUCGAACUUUAGUAACAAUAAUGGACAUUUAGCUAUAAACAUGGUUAAGCAAAAGUUAUCCUAAUAACUCACAAAAUUCAUCAAAAUUACUCACUAUACACAAUGUACAUACCAAACCAUCAUCACUCAACCCUUUGCAUCCAUAAUCUGUAAACACAAAUGGCUCAACAACAUUCCAAGCUAACUUUCCAAUUUUAGCCAAAUAUAGCAAUUUAAAAUUUUAAAGAACUAUUAAUCCAUCAAAUUGCUACAUUUGAACAUGUAAACAUGCUUAAACAACCUUAAUAUGCAUAAUGGAAGUCAAAAACAUCAAUAGAAAUCAUCAAAAAUUUGAAAUUAAAAAAUGUUAGAAAGUUCAAAAAAUUGAAAACUAUCAACUUUUAAAAUAUGAAGAUUUGAUGAAGAAACUUACUUGAAUCACGUAGAAGGAGGUUUGGUGAUGCUAAUGAUGCAAAAAUCCCUAUGAAACACCCUCCGAUUGACCCUCAAUUGCUUGGAAAAAUGUUGAGAAACCCUAGCCUUCAAUCUCCUUACAACUGAUUUUAAGUUAUUUAUGUUGGAUUUUAAUCGGUUAAAAAGAUGUUAUGAAGGCUAGAUGAUGAUGGGUAGAUGUUUUCUAGCAAGAAAAUGUAGUAAAAAUGGAAUUUUGUGAAGGUGUGAGUAUGGAGAGAAGAGAAAACACGGCUAGAGAAGAUGAAGGAAGAAGAAUGAAACUAAAAAGGGAAAGUCGUGUUUACUGGUUUUGUACAAAGGAAGAAAAACGCGGCUUCACAAAACACACCUUCAACUCGCGUUUUGCUUAAGUCGCGUUUUCUAGUGAAAUUUUACACGCGACUUCAAGAAAACGUGGUUUAAUGUUACGUUUCCUAAUUGCGUAUUCUUCUUUAUCUUUGCGGAACUGAAAAUGUGCCUUCUUGAACGCCACUUAAAGUAGCGUAUUCAUGUCGCGUUUUAUACAGAAAUAAAAACGCAAUUGUAAGUCGCAUUUUACUACAAUGUGUGUUUUCUUCUACGAAAUUUGCAAAAAUGCUAACUUAAAAAAAUUACACAUAGUAUCCCAAUUGCUCAAAAUGCAUUCUAAAUUAUUUUUUUGCCAAAUUUAUCAUCGCAUACACAUGUAAAAUGAUCAAAACAUGCAUUUUAUCCCUUUUAACGGAUCAAAUACAUCCUUAACGCAAGUCGAGGGGUUGAGUUCCUUGAUCAAACUUCGCCUUUUCCACCUCAAAUGGUCAUCUUUGCUUCUGUUUGCCGAACCUAUAACACAAAAAUAACAAACUAACUUAAUUGCAUGCAUUAAAUAUAAAAUCAUACCAAAUUAACAUAAAUAACUUAAACAUUAGGCUGCCUCCCAACUAGCGCUUUUGUUUAUAGUCGUUGGAUCGACUUAAAAGGUUUGGGUUAUUAAGUUGAAGAAGAGUCACCCAAAGGACAUAUGAGUCCUUUGGGAAUGAUUUCCCCCCGCCCAGUAGAGUUUUAAUCGUUGUUCGUUGAUCUUGAAUCGUUCGUUUCUUGCAUUAACCACUUCAACGGCCCCAUAUGGAAACACUUGAGUAAUUUCAAAUGGUCCAGACCACCUUGAUUUGAGUUUUCCAAGAAACAACCUAAGGCGCGAAUUGUAUAAGAGAACCAUUUUCCCCAUCUCAAAUUGUUUGGGUAUAAGAUGAUUAUCAUGCCAAUAUUUCACUUUAUCUUUAUAGAUCUUGGCAUUCUCAUAAGCAUGUAGCCGAUGUUCCUCGAGUUUGCUCAACUCAAGUAGUCUCCUCCCACAUACAAGACGAAAAUCCAUUGUAAUUGAUUUGAUAGCUUAAUAUGCCUUAUGUUCAAUUUUUACUGGUAAAUGACAAGUUUUUCCAUAUACUAAUUGAUACGGUGACAUCCCCAAAGGUGUCUUAAAUGCCGUUCAAUACGCUCACAAUGCAUCGUCGAGUCUUCUUACCCAAUCUUUUCUCGAGUUGUUCACCGUUUUCUCCAAGAUGAGCUUGAUCUCUCGAUUGGCCAACUCCGCUUGUCCAUUCGCUUGUGGAUGAUAUGGUAGUGAUGUCUUAUGCCUACAACCAUAUUUAAGCAACAAAGAAUCAAGUUGUUUGUUAUAAAAGUGUUUUCCUUCAUCACUUACUAUGGUCCUAGGAAUACCAAAUCUACUAAAAAUGUUCUUUUUGAGAAACCAAAAUACUAUCUUAGUAUCAUUCGUAGGUGAGGCAAUUGCCUCCACCCAUUUAGAAACAUAGUCCACUUGUGACGGCCCCAUUCUCCCUAAGGCGAACCAGAGGGUUGGCGGGUCGCCUGCCCAGCUCUCGCCAGGACUCACACAAGCAAACCGACCAAUUAUCCACGUAUAACUUAAACCAAAACACAAUUCGCCAUCCGAACAUGCCAACCUUUAAGCGACUUGAAUACUAAAACACAUUAACUUCAGAGAUAACCUUACCAUUGAACAUCCACAUGUUCACUCCUCUAAAUACAUCUGUGACCAGAUCACCACAUAAUCUCAAAUAUACAAUACAAACCACACAGUAAGUUCAUAAAGCUCAGAUAAAAUUCAUACAAGCCAAAUCUUAGGGUUUGCACUUUUCCUGCUUCAAGUGGCAACCCAAAACGAAGAUACAAGUAUGAUUCGAAAUAACAUUUACAAAACGAUAAGAUAGACUUCAAGUCUCUCGAUUUCCGGAACCUGUUAAGGAAAACAAAUAUCGUGUGGUGAGCUAAAGCUCAGUGAGGUUCCGAACACAUAGGCAACAAGAAAAUCAAUGCAUUCAUUACAUAUAACCAAUAAUUCAAGAGACAAGUACAAAUAAAGCAAUAAACACGUUCAUGAAAAGGAUACGGGCUCACAGGGAGCCAUAUGUUCGUUCGUUCGUUCGCUGACAUUUCCCCUUAUUCCUCCAGUCAUUUGCAAAAUCCAUUUUGUAUAAGUAAAACCCCUCAUUCAUUCAUUCGUUCAUUCCUUUCAUUCACGCCACUCCGCUCCCUUUUUGGCCAGGCCUCCACCAACCUACAGGGUAAUACUCGAGUAUACCGAAACGUUCACCCAAGUCCUAAUCGCCCGACCGAAUCCGCUUCUGGGCUCGAGACGACCGGUAACAAGGGCAAUGGCCAGUUCAACCCCAAAAGGCUUACAUUCAUGCGCAAGUCACAUGUCAAUCAUUCAAUCAUUAAAAUUUCAUAAUCAUUUAGGCUAAGUGCGAUAAAGUACACACUCGCCUUGAAAACUCGUUUUGACAAUCAUUGAAAGCAUUAACACAUUAUCAAGCAAUAAGAUCAAGCCAAUAAGCCAAGGAAAUCUAACAAACAAGGAACACUCACCAAGAGUGAAGUCACAACCACGCUGGAAAUCGAAAUCCGCGUCCUCGCUAAACCCUAGAAAUCCAAGUUUUAAAACUAUAAAUUUCACUAAGCACACCCUUGUUUUAUAUAUAAAAGGUUAUCUUAUAUAAAACUAAUUUAAUUUCCCGCAACAAGUCAAUAAAUUUCUUAAAAAAAACAAAGCUAGUAAAGGAAUAAAAUAUUCGUGUGGUUUCUUUAAGGUAUUUCCCCUCUAGAGGCAAACUAGAAUCAAAUUGGUUCAAACGGGUUUUCUUGCCGAACAAGUUUCUAUGUCUGUAAUUUGAAAUUAUUCAAAUCUAGUGUUUUUCCAAAUUUCCUUUAAAACAACUAGUCAAGGAUAGUUUAUGAAAAACUUAAAGUUUAGAAGUUAAAUACAAUUAUUCCGCUAAAGUAAUAAAACUAGUUUAAGCAAAAGAAAAGAAAUUAACUAGUCGGCAAGGUUUUAAAAGUCCCAAUAUCUAACUUUUUAAUAAACAUACUAAGCUCAAAUGCUAUCACUUGAUAUUAAAACAAAGUAUUUCCACGAAACUUGAUUUUGAAAGUAUUCAAGUUCAAGAAAACCAAAACGGUCUUUAACAAUUCUAGCUCAUUUGCACAAUGAAUUCCCAAGUCAUCAAGAUUGAAACAUUACAAACCAAAUAUCAAUUUCACUAGGGUUUCAUCAAUCAUUAGCCUAGGUCUCAACAAAUUCCAGUACAAUUAAAAUUCAACAAAGGAAGUCCAAGGUACUAAAGCAAUCCAAAUCACAACCCACGGACCUUCCAAGUACAUUUCAACCAAACCACUUGAACAAAUUCACCAAAAAUUAAAAUUAUUGCAAAACUACUCAAAUGGUCAAGAGCUUCAUCAAUCAUUAGCUCUUGACAACCAAUACUCACUUCAAACACCAAUCCAUUCAAAACAAGAAUAAAACUACAGCCAACUUGAGUUCCAAAUGAUUCCAAGAAUCCAAAUAUCCAUUAACACUUCUUUCCUUUUUCUUGCUAAAAUCACUAUACAUAUAGUUUAUAAUCUGCUCAAACUUAAACUGAAGCAAACAAUACUCAAAUCAAAAGAAAAAUAACUCACUAAGAGCUUGAACUAGUAUGGCUAGCAAUUAUAUACAAAUUUCCAGCGAAGAUAUUCCAAAAUUUCAACAAGGUUUCCAUCCUUAGCUUGCUUUAAACACUAAACACUUAACAUGCAUUUUGUCCAACAUGAAGUGAGUCAAAUAACAGGAAAUUUCAGCAAAUUAUUCCACCAAGAAGCCCCAUAAAUCUGUCAUCAGCUAGGAUAUAAUUUUCCAGCAAUUGAUAGUUUAAAUUUGAAACUUUCCCCAUAAUCCUCAUUUUUUUUUCCAUUCCAGCUCAACAUGCAGGUACGAUUAUCAUGCUAAGGUGUAUCUUGUGCAAAAAUAUGAAAUUUAUAACCAAAGAUUCAAAAGAAAAAGUUGGAUAAAACUCUGGCUUCUUUCUCUCGGCCAAAGCUAAGAAACUCCAGCAGCUUUCUUUCAUAUUUUUUUUCUACAAAUCCACGACUCAUAUCAGCUUCAUGCUUGAUCAAAAUAAUUAACUAUCUAUUAGGUCUUGAUCCAACCAAGUGCGGACAACAUAAAAAAAAAACAUCAUCUAACCAGAAAUUUAAUCAAUCCUGCUCUCGGUUGGCUUACAUGCAACCUGAUUUUGGUAUCUUUUCAAUUUUCUGACUUAAUCAAAGCUAAUCAAUCUCAUGCAAAGCUUAAUCAUCCAGAUUUUAGUUUAGUUAAGAACACAUCUAGGCUCAGAUCGUCACAGGUUAGCCAAUUAAAGUUACAAAUUUCUAGCUCAAACUCUCGUAGCUUCAAUUCUUUCUCAAACAGAUUUUUCUAUGAUUUAAGCUAUCAUCUAACCACACAAUCCCACAUGCAUGCUUAUAGUCAGCUUCAUCAACCCAUAAACAACUCAUCUAAGUUCAGAAAUUAUUACCUUAGCUUGAAGCCUAAAAAACAACACGACUAGCAGCUGCAGCAAUCCUCCACUCUCGCUGUCCAGAAAUUUAGCCCGCUAGCUCUUCCUCUCCCUUGCUCAAGCUCGUCACUAGGAUGAAGAAGGUUUGGUUCAGACUCUUCACCAACUCACGGAUGAAAGAAAGAAGGAGUAGCAGCUCUCACCUUUUCUUAGCUCACGGCAGAAUGGAAAGGAAAUGAGAGGCUCGGCUCACUCUCUCCGCGGUCGAUAAUUCCAAGGCUGCUCCCUCACAGUUCACGGCAGGGAAGAAAUUGGAGUUGUGAUAUUGUGGUGAAGUGAGAAUGAUAUAAUGAAAGUGUGUGAGUAGUGUAAUGUAUAUAAGGUGAGGCUGUGAGUGGAGUUGGUCGGCAAUAUCAAAUGGAAAAGGCUGGAAUGACACGUGGGAAGUGGAACCGGCAGGAAUUGGAAUUGUUUGGAAUGUUCCAUGGCUGCUUGGUGGAUUUGUAAUGGAGGAGGGCUGUUUUAGUCUUUUAGCAACUUGUUCAACCUUUCACUUAGGUCCCUCAUCUUAAACUAAUUCCAAAAUUUACCCCAAGUGUAAAUCGAAUGCCUACUAGUACACUAAUCUCGCAAAAUUCAAUUAUUGAGAUUUUAACCUCCUAAGUGUACCCAAUGCACUUGUAACGGUUUAUCAAAAAUAUAUCGAUUCAUCUUAAUUCUAAGGCUCCUAUUAACACUUAACGUUAUUAACACUUAAAACUAGCUAUCGGAAAUUCAAGGAAUUAAUCUUAAAACAAUAAAAUAGUUUACAUCAAGAAAUAUUAUUCUAACUUGGCGAGAGUCAAAUAACUCAAUAUUUUGCACGAUUAACGUGUUUGAAACUUUAAAAUUGUUUUUACAUACUUAUUCAAAGACAAAAAUUCAUUUUCCUGAAGAAACAAGACAUUCAAGCAGGACAGCCUACUUCUUGAGCAAAUGAAUGAUUUCAAUGGUAAAUUUAUAAUUCGUAAGUGAUCACUUAUCAUUCUUACCUUAUUAUUUAAGUUAUUAAAAUCAAGUUUGACCUUAAUAUAUAAAUUUAACAUUCUUAAUAUUCGUUUAUCCUUUUAUAUCAAAACUUACUAACUCAAUCAUUUUCAAACCAUGAACAUACCUAUCUUCAAGUUUAACUUGUAUACUCAUUCAAUCUAAUAUACUCUAUAUACAUAUCUCGCACAUAAAUACACAUAACAACAAGGCCUUUCGUUGUUUCCAACGAGUAGUUAACAAAUUUGCACGUAAGAGGAGAAAAUGAGAAGAAACAAUAGACUAAGGAAAUAUGCAAAUUCUAGGGUUCUCACACCACUGCUACUAAGAUGUACUUAUUAUUGAAAGAGCUUUAAAAUGGUCCCAUAAAAUCCAUACCCCACACAUCAAAUAACUCAACUUCUAAAAAAAUAGUGUAGGGCAUUUCAUUUUUUCUAGAAAUAUUUCCAAUUCUUUGACAGGUAUCACAACUUUUAACAUAUUUCCAAGUAUCUCGGUACAUGGUAGUCGAAUAAAAUCCCGAUUGCCAUACCUUAGCCACGGUCUUAGAAGUGCCAAAAUGACCACCCAUUUCUAAAUUAUGAUAAUGAAGUAAAAUAUCACGUACCUCCUCUUCGGGAAUACAUCUUCUUACCAUACGAUCGGCACAAUGCUUAGCAGUGGUUCUUCCCAAAAGUAGCUUUUAACAUCAUGUAAAAAUUUCUUCCUUUGGUGAAAAUUAAAACCCUUCGGAAGUGCCCCACUUGCCAAGAAGUUAGCAAAAUCCUCAUACCAUGGAGACUUGGUUAGUGCUAGAAAAACCUCGUCCGGAAAAAUCUCCUUAAUUGGAACUUGAUCAUUAGUAGGGAUAUACUCUAAUUGCGAUAAAUGAUCUACCACUAGGUGUGACGACUUGAAAGAUUGCUUAUAUUUUCUUAUAAUACCCUCUUAUUUUGAUUAAGUUAACUUAUAAUUCCUUUACUACUAAUUUACUCUCUCAAUAGUUGUAAUAAAUAAUAAAAUUGAGAGUUUUACCUUUGCUUUUAUAGUUAGGGUAAACUAGGGUUUUUGCAUAUUUUGGUAGUGUAAUUAGUUGGUGAGGUGUGUGUACUAAAUUUGGUGGAUAAAAGUGAAUAUUAGGUAAGAGAAAGUGUGUGAUUAGAAAUGCUAAUAAUAAGUUAGUGAAUCAUAAGUUAAAACACAAGUACGAGAGAGUUAAGGAAAAUAGGCUUGAACCGACGUGCACCGUUUGUUAUCGAUUGAGUACACCACUUAACCACUACUUUCUUACUAUAAUCCUCUUGUUUUUAUUUCAUCUAAUCAGCCCUAAAUUAAACCCUAAACCAGCCAAAAUCUUUGACUAAAGAAAAGGUGAGAAAAGAAAAAAAAAGGAAAAAAUCUUGAUUGAAAAGUGUUGGCAAUCAAAGAAGGGUUUGACCAAGUUAUUUCUUUCCUUCUUAUCUUUCAUCUUGGCUACAUUUCCUCCAUUAUUUCUUCAUGUUGGCCGAGAGCAAGAGAGAAAAAAAGAGAGAAGAAAACCUUCAUUCCAAUCUUGAUUUUGCCUUGUUUGAGUUGAGAUCACAAAAACCAAACCGAUGAAACUAGUCCCUUGAUGCUUAGGAAGCUUGGAGUGGAGAGUUUCUUGGAGAAAGUGUUUGGUUCUUCAUUUCUCAAGAAAUUUGGGAGGUAUAAGUUCAUCAACUUCUUUUUUUGUUCUUAUUCUUGCCAAAUAUGGUAUCGAUGCCUUGAAUCUUGGAAUAUUAUGGAUGAUCUUCUAGUUUUGGUGUAGAUUAGUGGAAUUUCAGCUAGGGUUUUGCCAUUUUUCAUCUUUCAUUUCAUUAUGUUUAACUAUAAAAUGUUGGUAUUGGGCUUGGAUAUGAAAAAUUUGUGAGGUGUUUAGUGUGAGACCCGAAAUUUUACUUGUCUUUAUAGCUUUUAUUUGAAGUUACUUGCCUUAGUUCUUGGUUGUUUUAAUGGUUGAAUUUGAGCCAAGAGAGUGAAUUUUGUUAAGAAAAGUUUCAUAAUCUCAAGUUGUUAGAAAAUCUAGAAAUUUUCGCAAGAGGCUCUGCGCAGCUUUGGGAAAUUGGCUAUAACUUCGUAUAGGAAAGUCGGAAUUGAGUUCCAUUUGUUGUGUUUGAAACUAGACUCAUUGUGACGCCCCCCAUCUCUCCCUAGGGUGAACUUUAGGGUAUCAGUGGAACGCCUGCCCAACUCUCGUCAGGACUCACGCACUCAUUCAAGCUUAAUAAAGGAUUACAAAUUAACCAUCGACUUAAUUAAGAAGUACUUCGAAUAUACAAGCUCGAAACUCCCAAGUAUACCAUUUAUGAUUACAAACCACAAAACCCGAGUUUACAAAAUUUAUACUUUAAUGGACUCCAAUAACAUACAUAAGUAUAGUAGCUUCAACUAAGAGUCACUAGUCUAGGAACUCUAAUUUCCACAUCCAAAACCUGUUAAGGAAAACAAACUUAAAGGGAUGAGCUAAUGUUCAAUGAGGCCAAGAAAACAAGCAAGCAAGCAAGUAGAACCAAUUAAUCGAAUAGCAUGCUUUAACAACUUUAAACAUGACAUUUUAUUUAAGUGCACAAGUAGGAAUUAACACACAAGAAAGAAUACAAGAGCUCUCAGGAGCUAUUCCACGUCUCGAUCAAUUAAGCCUUCGGGGGUUGACCCUCCGUCAAUUCAAGUAGUAACACGACCGUAGUGCUCCACUUACUUCCUCCAUCCAACAUAACACCCACUCGGAUCCAGAACCAAACAUGUAAGAGGUGGUGAUACUAUUCGAGCAUGCCAUGCGAGAUCUCAAAAGAUCAAGCUAUUUUUUUCCCAAGGUUCACCAAGCUUCUCGACCAAGCCCUUGCCAGCUCGAGUUACAAGGUAGCUGAUGGGUUAGGGAGUCCCCACACGUGUAUUUGGUAGAUGAGAUAUCGUUUCAAUCGACUUUGAGUCGAUCAUAGCACUGGGUCAGGGUGAGCGAUAACUCUUACCCGAAUAGGGCGUGAUACUUCUAGCCGCUCAGUGCUUACGACUUAAAACAUGUUCAUGUACAAGAGCAAGUCAUAUAUAUUCACGUAACAAGUAUCAUAUAAUCAAGAGAGAGAGAGAGGACGAGAGCGAUAAAGUACACCCUCACCUCGGUAAGUUCACGUAUCAUAUAUAGUACUUGUUCAUCUAUCAUUUCAAACACAUAAGCAUUUAACAUGCACUUGACACUCACCAAAAGUCAAGGCAAAACAAGAGCAAAGCGAGAAGUCAGAUGAGCUCUUCGGCAUCCUCGUGACCACCUGAGACAUGUACAACCAUAAUUAUCUAGGUGCUUGACCAAGGUUUAAAAGAAAGACAUUUUCUCGCUACCCACUCCCCAAGUCACAAGUUCGAGUCAAGUUAAAGAAGUUUUUCUAGCUCAAACGUUGGAAUAAUAGUCAAAGAGAGCUCAAAGGUUGUUUUUGAUCCAAGUCGUGGUAAAUAAAUCUCAAUUCCAAAAGAAAGUACCAUUUUUACUUCAGCACGAAAAUCGAGAAAAAAGGGUAGAUGGUUCAUCUCCCAAAACUUCAAAUUUCAUAUCCAAGGUUUAGAAUAUAAAGAGCAUGCACAUUAUCCAAACUAAUGGAGUUAAAACUCAUCCAAACUCCACUCAUUUUCAUAGAAAAAUAUCAAAGCUAAGAUUCCAAUGUUCAAGUAUAAAACUAGUGAAAUUCAGCAAGAAUUACUCUAGUCAAAACACUCCCUUUUUAGAUUUUCAACUCAUGGAAAUCGAUGCAAUAAGAAUAGGGUUGUAGUCUAUAAUUCGAGUAUGAAGAGAAGUGCUAUUAACCAAGGGAAGCUAUAGAGCCAAGAAGAAUCACAAAAAGGGGAUUAAUCCCUUGGAAACUAAGAUUCGAUAUAAAGGUUUAAAGUUCAAAGAGACCUUGUAUGAAAUCAUGAAAUGAAACUUAAAACAAUCCAACAAUCACAAAGGAAGGUGGAAAGUUCUUAAAAGAGUAAUUUGGUUGAAAACAGAAAAUUUCCAACUUAGAGUGACACUACUUGGAAAACUCAUAUCUCAAGUUCCGUAAGUCCAAAAAUUGAAAACUUUAUGCCGUUGGAAAUUAGACUCAAAACACUAAAACUCUCUAGAAGACACUUUUCUCAAAAUCCAAUUCAAAAUCAUUCAAAUUUUAGCUCAAAGUCACUGUUCUAGACAGGACAAAGCAAAACAGGCUUGUAAAUUCAGUAAAGUUUGGAAAUUCGGUAAAAUUCGUAAAAAAGGAAUGAACCCCUGAAAUUUAUUCCACAAUUAAAAUUCCAAAUCUAGUUUCAAAUGCAAGAAACAGAACUCAAUUCGGACCUUCCUACACCAAGAUACGAUAGUUCUAAAAAAACUAAAGUUUGGAACCUGUUUACGAAAAUUCCAGUUCUGACGAACUAGAUAGAGUUUCAAAAUCUGAUCAUAACUAGAGCUACACGCCUCAAAAUUUAGUGAGGUUUGUAGCAUUGAAAAUUAAUUCAAAAUGAUACAAUUAACUAGAAGCGACUGUCUUAAAAUUCAUUUUGAAAGAUAAGCAAAAUUGAGCUACAAACUGUAGCUAAGACUGUUUCUCGGAUGAAAGCAGGAAGGAAUUUCAGUCAUUUUUGCCGGUUCAUUACCACUUGUAGGAAACGAGUUAGAAGGUGUGUUUUAUACCGACAGAAAUCUCUCAGGAGUCUAGUUUUAGAUGCCACAAACAGCACUCGAUUUCAACUCCCAGACAAAAUGUUAUGACCAAAAACGUGAACAUUGGGUGGUGUCACCUGAUCAGAAAAAUUCCAGAAUUCAUCCUCACUUUCACUUCACUUUAACUCAACGAAUUGGAAAGUUUUUUGGGAGAUAUUUCAUACACAUAAUCACCAACAUGUAUCAAGUAUUAUUGCACCAAAAUAGCAUCAAAAUUUCGAAAUUAAUAAGAGAGGAACAACCAGAAAAUUUCGGCCAGCAAGCACUUUCAUUCCUCUAGCUUGCUUUUCCAAUUUUCCAACUAGAACUACACCAUAUCUCAUCAAAGCAAGUAACAAACAAGCAAAUAAACACACAAAAUCCUCAAGGCCUCUACCUAUCAAACCACCUCAAGUUCACUACCUAAUGUCAAGGUUCUUGUGAAUCCAUCAACAACCCAACAACUAAACUAACUAAACUAUCUUACUAAUAAGCUUUGACAGGAAAAGUUGAAGGUUUCUUGGAUGAUUACCUUGCUGCCAAAAGAAGAGUAAACAUUAGGGUUUGAGCUCUUAAAUCACCAAAGUUUCUUCCUUGAUCAAGUCCUCUUCCAAGCUUGUAUGAAGAACCAAAAGGAAUAGCAAAUUUGGGGAGCUUUCUUGGAGGAAAAAUGGAAGAGAAAGAGCUGAAAUUUUUUUGUAGGAAAUGGGGGAAGAGGGAUCGGCCAAAGCAAGAGGAAGAAGAAGGAGUUUUUGUUGGUAGAUGAGUGAUGUGAUAGUGUGUAAGAAGGAUGGACAUAAAGUGCUCUUGGUGCCCAAAAGUCAACGUCCGAUUAGUGUGCAAUUAGUGCUCCAAAUUGAGAUUAACUUAACUCACUCACAUCUAAUCCCUCAAUUAACUUUUUUUAGUCUACUAUUGAUCAUUCUUAAUUCUCCAAGAUUAUUACACUUUCGGAUCUAAUUUAUCUCAAAAAAUGUAUAUUUACUAUUUCUCGCUAAAUGAGCCACCAAAAAAAGUUAAAUUCGCUAAUGAAAUGUUUUAAAAAUAUAAACGAGACAUGGUUCCAUGCAAAUGGGUUUAAAAUGGGUGAAAUAAAUUAUUUGGAGCAAACGGGUGAAUAAAUAAUUAAAUAAACCAGUAAAAUGAAAUAAAAAUAAGAAAACUAAAAAAUUCGAGUUCUCACAUUCUUCCCCCCUUAAAAGAAUUUCUUCCUCAAAAUUCAUGCAUUGAUUUAGAAACAAUUCUGGAUAUUUCUUCUGGAUCUUUUCUUCUACUUCCCAAGUCGCUUUCUCCAUUCCAUGAUUUCUCCAUAAAAUCUUCACUAGAGGGAUUUGCUUGCGUCUUAACUCCUUCACUUUUCGAUCUAAAAUCUUUACCGGCUUUUCCUUAUAGGACAAAUUCUCAUCAAACUCUACUUCUUCCGGUCGUAACACAUGAGACGGGUUGGAAUGAUAUUUCUUAUGUGACGACCCCACUUCCCAAGGGCGAACCCAAGGGUAUCGGCGGGCCGCCUGCCUAGCUCGCGCCAGGACUCAAAACUUAAAGCAAUCAAACGAGAUAGAUCGAAAGAGCACUAUAUACAAUAUAUAUACAAUCCCAAAAGUUAUAUUUACAUCUUCAAAAGUCUCGAGUCAAACCACUCUAAUAUACUACAACCACAAUCAGUAGAAGAUAGACCCUAAGAAGGGUCCUUAUACAAACCACCAAAACAAAACAAACAUCCUAACUGUUCAACUAUUACAAGCCAAUCUAACUAUACUAGUAUACGAGCCAAAAGUCCCCGCGUCGGCCCCUGCUAAGGAAAACAAAAGGAAUGGGGUAAGCUAUAUGCUUAGUAAGUAAACAGGGGCGAAAGCAUAAAUUCACGUAGCAACAAUUACACAAUAAGAGUAAAGCAAAAGCAGAAAAGAACAACAUCAUAUAACAAGGAUACGGGUGGCUCCAAAGCCAAUUCAUGUGCCAUGUAUGAUCUCCUGCCGACACUCCGUCGACCACAAAUAAUAGUCCGUAGAACUUCACUUGUACACCCACCGACACCUUAUCACCCUCACUGGCCAGUCACCUCACAAACUUGCCCGGGCGAACGAAAUCACAAACUUGAGCUUGAGUCACAAGCUCGGUCACAAACUUGGUCACCUUCUCGGUGAACCGGAUUCACAAAAUUGGUUCAUAACAUGAACCUACAAACUUGGUGACCUCAGACUAAGUUGGACUGACUUCGACCAACCCCCAACCGGCUCGAAUAGUCCAAACAGGUCUUAGAUCGGGCCCACGAACUCACAAACUUCACAAAAUUCACAAACUUUACUCGAAAGUCGCCCCGAGCCACAAGCUCAAGGGUUUUGGUUCUAAAAGGUUCAUAUACAUAUGCUAAGUACAAUUAUACAUUCAAAUUAGGGUUUAGGUCGAGUGCGAUAAAGUACACUCUCGCCUAAGUACCCUUUUCACAUAUCUCAAACACAUAGCAAAGAAAACACAUCAAACUGGCCUGAAUACUUACUCAAAAUACCAAAAGUAGUACGAAAGCAAAAUCGCUUCGCGCGUUCGCUAGUAGUGGGCCCCACCGGCUCCGCCUAGCUCACCGCUGUCUGAAAUAGAAGAUUUUAUCACAAACGGCCACUAACAUGCCCAAAACAAGCAAAACGGCAAAACAACACGCGCGCACGAAAAUAUGACGGACGGAAACGGAAACGGCAGAUUUGAUACUCAUUUCUAGUUUACUCAUAAGUUGAGCUACGAAUAUCGGAUUAAGGCGUAUGAGAUGCCAAAUCGAAGCUUAAAGGAUGAACAACAACUGUUAUGAAGACAUCCAGAACUGAAACUGGAGGCUUCAGUCCCAAAUGAACCAAACACAAUCACUUACGAAAUCUGGCCAAUGCACAAAUGGUCAGUUUUGAGUGCGAACUGUUUUCUAUGCUACACAUGGUCAAAAGAGCUGAAAAUUGGCAGUUAGAUAGUUCAUUCCAAAUGGAACAACUUUCAUGAAGGUCGGCAAUCAAAAUUCGGAACGGAAAUUGGUCAUCAGGACCAAAACAGAUCUGACCAGAGAAUGGUCAUCUUCACGGCCAGGCCUUAUUUGCUCGGCUAUAUCUCAGGUCUUAUAAAUCCGAUUCCUGAAAUCCCAAGGGCGUUAGAAAGCUCUGAUAUAGGGCUAUAAGUUUGGUUUUUUGGUCGCGAGCCCAAACAGCUUGUAACCCAGUCAAAUGUGAAGCCAAAGUUCCAGUCAUAAACUGUCCAAAAACGUAACAGAAUUUGACGGUCAAAACAGGUCUGAGUAUUUCGUUUAUAGCUCAGGAUAUACUAAUCCGUUUAACCUGAAACUUUACAAGGAUAUCCAGGACUUAAGGGGAUACAAUGUUGAAGAAGGAAACUUUGUCCAAUUUUGAAUGUAACAAGGUCAAAAAUGCAAGACACUAUACCAGAAUUGCAAAACAGGAUCACAAACCGUAUUUGACCUUAAUAUGCGGUAAUGGCACCAAAUUCACUACGGUUAUCGAAUGGGGGUGUAAGACCCACCGUUUCGAAGCUAAGAAACAGGGCUACAACAAUGUAGAAGGUCACUCAGUCCAAAUCCUAACACAACUAGGUCAAAAUGCAGAAUACCAAAUCCAGAACCGUAAUUGCAGGUUCCCAAAUCGCACUAUGCUGUAAUGAACACAACUCAGUCUAUACAGGUCCAAAUGCCGAAAUUCCAAAGGCAUAUGUUAGCUAAGACAUCCAGAUACAUUUCAUCAGAAGAUACCAACUUCAAAAUCUAAACCAAUUCUAGUCAAAACAAAUGAUUACAAGCGCAGUUUUCACAUUCUGAGCAACCCUGGACAGCAACAGUAAAAACGACAUAACUCACUCUACACAAAUCCAAAUGACCUAAAAUUUUGCAGGCACUUCAAACUCAUCAAUACCUACAACUUUCAUAUUUUGAGCAAAGUCCAAUUUGGCCUCUAACCCUAUGAUCUAAAACCGGACAGAAUUAGGGGAUUAUGAACCCUAACUUUCCAUUUUUCCAUCCAAAUCCAAAAUUAGUUGCAUUUAUCAUCAAUUCACACCUACUAGAGUCAUUAUAGUCCAUUGCCAAUCAUCCAAGAUAGCCACAACAUCCCAUUCAUAUUAAACCAGAAAAUUCAUCAUAAAAUUGAAAACUUCACUAAAACACUUCAAAUCAAGAAAUAAAUCACAUAAUCCAUCACUUUAGCCACUCCUAAGCAAAUCAUAAGCAUCAUUAGGUGUAGCAUGGUGUUCAAGCAUCACUUACCAAGAAAUCAAGAGAGAGGGAGAUGAUGGACACCUUAGCUCUUCCAAAAAGCUUCACUAAACCAACCACUAUCACCAACUAGAAAAGUUGUAUGGAAAGGAAACUAAUUUAUGUGCUUGAUUGAGAUGAUUUGCUAGUGGAAAGCUUGAAGAUUGAAGAGGUUUUUCUCCUUCUUGCAAGCGAGAGAGAGAGCCGGCUAUGGAGAAAGAAAAUGAGGGAAUUUUAGUGAAUUUUUGAAGAUAUUUAACCUUUGGUCAAAAAGUCAAAAAUGUGAAUAGUGUUUCUUAAAGUCCAACCAAUGAGAAAGUGACACUUGUCACCUCAUUAAUGCAAUCCUAUCCUUUCUUUUCUCUCUCACAUCAAUUAUUUCACACACUCUACUUAUCUCUUGACACCGAUAAAUUUUACACAGUAUCCGGAAUUUAACCUAAUUGGCCGAAUUUUUCUGAACUUUUCACACUAGUGGGUCCCACGUCCAAUAUACGUUCUUAUUUUCUCAAAAUCUAACCGAUACUAGAAAAAUCAUCUAAAAACUCUAUUUACUCAUAAAAAUUAUCUGGGGAACUUUCUAAUAACGAAAAUAUCAAAAAGACGGGUGAACAAUCAAACUCCACUUAAGCUUUCUACUAAAAUGAACUAGGGUUUUCAACCCUAAUCGAGGUUAGGGUUUUCUUCUUAGCCUUAAAACCCUAAUUCCACCCCACCGAUCAAUGAAUAACCCUCAUAUCAGCUUACGAACGGACUGGGGCCUCACAUCUUAAGUAUGGAGACAUGGAAGACAUCGUGAAUCCUAGACAAACUUAAAGGCAAUUCCAACUUGUAAGCUACAUUUCCUACGCACUAGAUAACCUUAUAGGGUCCCACAAAUCUCGGUUGCAACUUCUUCCCUUUUCCCGCCAUUGGAUUUGCUUUCAAGGGUGUAAUUCUAAGAAACACUUUAUCUCCAACCUCAAACUCUAACUUCUUUCUCCGAUUAUCCGCAUAGCUCUUUUGGCGGUUUUGAGCUGUUCGAAUCCUCUGACGAAGUAAUUUCACCUUCUCAUAAGCUUCCUCAACCCAAGCUACGGUAGUCGGGUCCCAAAUCUUCUUUUCUCCAACUUUGUCCCCAUGAAUCGGAAAUCGACACUUUUGACCAUAAAGAGCUUCGUAAAGAGCUAUAUGUGUUGAGGAAUGAAAACUGUUGUUAUAAGAAAAUUCCACCAACUUAUGGUAUUGAAUCUAAUUUUCUCCAAAAUCCGCAAUACAUGACCUCAACAUGUCCUCUAGGGCUUGAAUUGUCCUUUCCGACUGUCCAUCAGUUUGCGGGUGGUAAGUGAUACUAAAAUUCAGUUUAGUCCCCAAACUCUCUUGCAUCUUUGGCCAAAAUCGAGAUACAAACCUAGGGUCCUGAUCUGAGACUAUACUCACUGGUAUCCCAUGCAGUCUUAUAAUUUCAUCCAAGUAUAAUUUAGUUAACUUUUCCAAGGAAUACUUCAUACUAAUCGACAAAAAGUAAGCAGAUUCGGUCAAUCGAUCUACUAUUACCCAAAUAGCGUUGUGUCCUCUCUGAGUCCUUGGUAACCCUGAUACGAAAUCCAUUGUGAUAUUUUCCCACUUCCACUCAGGUAUUUUCAACGACUGUAAUAAUCCAGAUGAUUUCUGAUGUUCGACCUUAACCUGCUGGCAAGUGAGACAAGCUCGAACAAAUUCAGCAAUUUUUCUUUUCAUAUUCUCCCACCAAUACAGGCUCUUCAAAUCUUAAUACUUCUUAUUACUUCCAGGAUGCAUCAUAUACUUUGAACGGUGAAUUUCGUUUAAAAUUUCCUUCUUUAGACCUUUAUCCUUGGGUACCACUAUGCGAUUUCUAAACUUUAACACUUCAUCAGUCCCCAAAUUGAAGUCAGACUUUUUCCCCUUUUGAACUUUCUCAACCCAUUUUUACACUUCAGGGUCUCCUUUUUGAACUUCUUUGAUUCGAUCUAAUAAAGUAGAUUUCACAGUAAUAUUCCCAAAGAUUACCCUCUGUGGUUCAAGAUGCGGAUUCCAAACACUAAUUUCUUCUAGCAUGUGCCAUUCUCUCACCAUAAAUUGGCCACUUGUGUGAGGACCCAUCAUUUUCUUAUUUUCUAGGUUUUAUUCUAUUUAAUUGCAUGCUUUUCUGCAUUUUCUUUAUUAGAAAAAUUUUCUAGAUAAGUUUUAUGAGUAAAUAUAGUUUUAAAAUGAUUUUUCUAGUAUCGGUUAAUUUUUGAGAAAUUAAGAGCGUAUACCGGUUGUGGGACCCACUAGUGCGGUAAGUUCGAUAAAAUUCGGUCAAUUAGAUUAAGUGGUGUAUACCGGGUUUAAUUUAUCAGGUGUUAAGAGAUAAUUAGAAGUUACCUAGAUGGAUUAUCAUUGGAGAGACAAAAGGAUAGAGUUGCAUUAAAUAAGGGUGACAAGUGUCACCUUGUGGUUUAUUCUUGACUUUGACCAUCUUACUUACCUUUACUAAUUAGUCAAAAUUGACCAAAAAUUCACCUUAUUUCUCCCUCUCUUGGCUGAAUUUCUUGGAGCAAAAAGAAGAGAAAACUUCCAACUUCUUUCUUCAAUUUCUUGUCUUGAUCUCACAAACCAACCGUUAAAACUUUGAUUUACUCCAUAAAAACUCUUCUCUAGGUAGGAUUAAGGUUGUUGGUGAAGUGAUUUGGAAGAAAUUGGUGCUAAGUAGCUUCCUUUCUUGAGGUUGCAAGGUGAGUAGCUAAGGAGUUCAUUCUUUGGUCUUACUAAUGUUAAAUUGGUAGAUUGUGUUAGUCAAAGAUGUGAUUUAGUGGAAGAUUUCAUGACUUUUAGUUGAGAUUGGUGAAUUUUAUAUUUAUUCUUGAAUUUUUCUGUUUUAUAUGUUUAUUAUGGUGUGGCCAUGGAUGAUGACUUGGGAUAGUUUAGAAUGAAACUAUUGUGCGUAAAUUGUAGUUAAUUGCGGAAAAUUUCCACUUUGUGCGGAAAAUUUCAGAUUAGGGUUUCAUUUUCCCAAAUUCUGCCCGGUACUGUUCUACAUAGUUAUAGGCCGAAUUAGCCUUAGGGGAGGUGGGGCUGUCACAGUUGGUAUCAAAGCCUGCUUCGCGUGGUCUCUGCGCGGAGCGAGCUUGGGGCCAAGUGGUGUUAUGGUCUUGAUUCUGUGAAUGUGUUUAAAGGAUUAAGUGCUCUUCUAGAGUAUAAGUUAUGAACUGAUAAGUGUAAACAUCUUUAUCAUGGAACUUGAGGAAAAUAGAUAUGUAGGUCGGGUAGGAAUCUUUAAUAUGGAUGGUUUACUCUUGGGACCGGCCGGCUCGAGUUGUGAAGUAUCUUAUUUGAGAUUCUUGUGCCCGGCUACUAAAUAAAUGAGAGCCUAGGUUAGGAGCGACUUGGGCGACCUAGGAAUGUGAUUCUAUGGAACUUUGUGUAGUUUGCUCGGGUGUAAGUAAGCAUGGCUAACCUUGAUUAAGAUAUACAUUGUGUUAUUCCUGUAGGCUAUGGACGGAGCCCUAGAGAGGAUAGUUUAUCGCGCGUUAUUGUUGUACUUUUGGCCUUGUUUAUCUAUAGUGCCUUUUGGAUGACCCCGCUACCUUCAUGGCUUUCCUUAUUUGUAGUUAACUGACUGCUACCGUGUGAUUUGUUUGAUAACGUGUGUGAUGUAUCUAUGCUUUUGAUCUGUGUGUACCUCUAGUUACUUGUUUAUUUAAUAUUAUAUUCACGAUUCGAUCCUAAAUUGGAUAGACCAAUGGAGGGUUCUCAUAGUGGAUGAGGUCGUGGGCGCGGGCGUAAGCAACCCACGAAUGAAGGGGGUAAUCGGGAACCAAUACAUGAACCUAGGGCCGACCAAAAUACCCAAGUAGCCACUGCUAUUCAGCGCAUGACCGAUCUGCUAGCCCACAUAGUGGAAUACCAGGGCCAAAACCCCAAUUCUCAACCUGGAAGCCCUGGUAAUCAUAUAGAGGGCGAGGAUAGAGCCCUUGAAAGAUUUCAAAAGUUCUCCCCACCCAAAUUUCUCGGAGGCCCUGAUCCUGACGUGGCUGAGAGGUGGCUGGAGAAGAUGAUCGAUAUUUUUGCUGCAUUACACUACAUUGAGGAGAGACAGGUGACAUUUGCUAUCUUUCAACUAGAGGGAGCCGCCCGUUCCUGGUGGAAUAUCCUUCGAAUGAAAUGGGAAAGAGAACAAACCCCGAGGACGUGGGCGAACUUUAUGAGAGAAUUUAAUGCCAAGUUUUUCCCUCCUCUAAUCCAAGAAAAGAAGCAAGAUGAAUUUAUUCGGCUUCGCCAAGGAACUCAGACCGUAGCGAGUGUGAGAGUCAAUUCACUCGGUUGUCUAAGUUUGCGCCGAACUGAUUGUAAUCGAACAAAGACGGAUAAGGCGAUUCAUCCAAGGAUUAAAUGUUGAAAUUCAGAAAGAUCUGGCGGUAGCCCAACUUAAUGCCUUUAGUGAUCCGGUGGAGAAGGCCCAGCGAGUUGAAACUGCGAGGUUACAAGUUAGAAACUUCCAAGCCAAAAAAAGGAGGCUUUCCGGGGAGCAGCUCGGAACAGGAAGAUAAGAGCACACCCCCUAAGAGUGGAAGAGGAAACGGGGAGUACGAAAACGGGGGUGGCCAGUGGUGUCUCACCGGGAGGAUCGGUCUCUGCUACUCGAGGUUCCUGUGGAUAUUGCGGAGGGCCAAAUCACACGGAGGCAAAUUGUUAGAAGAAAAAAGGAAAAGGCCUGCGUUUGGGAACGCCGAACAUCGAAUUGCUAAUUGUCCAGCUCGACUGUGCGAAGGGAGAGGGACUCCGCCGCCAACCAAGACCAACUCUAAGCAACCAGCUAAGACCAACCCUGGACAGUCGAAAGGAGAAGGGACUGGAGCGAAGGUACCGACUGGAGUAUAUUCCCUGGACCAUCAUCAGGUCCCUGACUCAUCUGAGGAUGUAGAAGGUAUGAUCCAUUGGUUACCUUGGAUUUUGAUAGAUCCCAAUGAUAAGAAAAUUUCGAGUACGAAAUUUCUUUAAGAGGGAGAGAGUGUGAGGACCCAUAAUUUUCUUAUUUUCUAGGUUUUAUUCUAUUUAAUUGCAUGCUUUUCUGCAUUUUCUUUAUUACAAAAAUUUUCUAGAUAAGUUUUAUGAGUAAAUAUAGUUUUAAAAUGAUUUUUCUAGUAUCGGUUAAUUUUUGAGAAAUUAAGAGCGUAUACCGGUUGUGGGACCCAUUAGUGCGGUAAGUUUGGUAAAAUUCGGCCAAUUAGGUUAAGUGGUGUAUACUGCAUUUAAUUUAUCAGGUGUUAAGAGAUAAUUAGAAAUUACGUAGAUGGAUUAUCAUUGGAGAGACAAAAGGAUAGAGUUGCAUUAAACAAGGGUGACAAGUGUCACCUUGUGGUUUAUUCUUGACUUUAACCAUCUUACUUACCUUUACUAAUUAGCCAAAAUUGAACAAAAAUUCACCUUAUUUCUCCCUCUCUUGGCCGAAUUUCUUGGAGCAAAAAGAAGAGAAAACUUCCAACUUCUUUCUUCAAUUUCUUGUAUUGAUCUCACAAACCAACCGUUAAAACUUUGAUUUACUCCAUAAAAAAUCUUCUCUACGUAGGAUUAAGGUUGUUGGUGAAGUGAUUUGGAAGAAAUUGGUGCUAAGUAGCUUCCUUUCUUGAGGAUGCAAGGUGAGUAGCUAAGGAGAUCAUUCUUUGGUCUUGCUAAUGUUAAAUUGGUAGCUUGUGUUAGUCAAAGAUGUGAUUUGGUGGAAGAUUUCAUGACUUUUAAUUGAGAUUGGUGAAUUUUAUAUUUAUUCUUGAAUUUUUCUGUUUUUAUAUGUUUAUUAUGGUGUGGCCAUGGAUGAUGACUUGGGAUAGUCUAGAAUGAAGCUAUUGUGCGUAAAUUGUAGCUAAUUGCGGAAAAUUUCCACUUUGUGCGGAAAAUUUCAGAUUAGGGUUUUAUUUUCCCAAAUUCUACCCGGUACUGUUCCACAUAGUUAUAGGCCGAAUUAGUCUUAGGGGGAGGUGGGGCUGUCACAACUUGCACCUUACGACUUAGGGCAUCCGCCACUACAUUAGCCUUUCCAGGGUGGUAAUUUAACGAACAGUCAUAAUCUUCCAAAAAUUUCACCCAUCUACGUUAUCUCAAAUUCAAGUCUUUCUGGGAGAACAAAUACUUAAGCCUCUUGUGAUCCGUAAAAACCUCAAAAGUCACUCUAUACAAAUAAUAUUUCCAUUUUUUCAAGCAAACACUACUGCCACUAACUCCAAAUCAUGGGUCGGGUAAUUCUAUUAAUGAGAUUUUUCAACUUACGAGAGGCAUACGCAAUUACCUUUCCAUUUUGCAUUAAUACACAUCCUAAACCAUUCUUUGAAGCAUCUAUAUAAACCACAAAACCAUCUCCUCCGCUUGGCAAUACUAACACAGGUGCCUCGGUUAAACACUUUUUCAAUUCUUGAAACCCUUCCUCAUAUUUAGAAUCCCAUAUGAACUUGCCAUACUUCUUAAUCAACUCGGUUAAGAGUUUUGCAGUCUUAGAAAAAUCCUUGAUAAACUGACGGCAAUGUCCGGCUAACUCUAAGAAACUUCGAAUUUCCGUAGGGUUCUCUGGUUGUUUCCACUUAGAAUUAGCUUCUACCUUAGCUAGGCCCACAGUAAUUUCCUUUCUUAGAGAUUAUAUGACCUAGAAAGGUUAUUUCUUCCAACCAAAACUCACAUUGAUUUAACUUAGCAAAAAGUUGGCACUUUCUCAGGGUUUAUAAAACUAUUCUCAGGUGCCGUUCAUGUCCUUAUGUUCUAGAGUUUGAGAAUUUGUUAUUCAUUCUAGCCUUUUGAAAUUCUUGUUCACAGGUCUAAAGGUAUGGGGUAAUAAAUUAGAUAUACACGUAAGCCGUAAAAUCAAUUAAAGCAAAGUAAAUUUUUAUAUGUUCUAAAAGAUCAUAAUAGUUACACCAAGUGAGAAUAACUUCAUAAAAUCAUUUCAAAAGAAAGGGGAGACAAACAAAAUCAAAAGAAAACGUGCUAAGUUGCAAAUGUACAAAACAACAAAAGGACUUUAUCCCUUAUACAAAAGAUUACAACCUCCAAAAGUACCAAUUUAAACUAGGGUAAAAUUACACCCCCUAUCCCUCGAGUAAAAUCAGAUCCAUCCCCUACUCGUAAAGUUUCUACUACUUGGAUCCCUCUUACAAUCAUUAACAUUAAUUACUCAUUCUGGCACUCGAUUGCUUUGCAGCGGACCUAGCAGAUUGCUGAAUAUUUUCUCUUUUUAGAGGCAUUAGGGCAACUUGAAACCUGAUGUUUGGCACUACCGCAAGUCAGACAUUUUCCUUGCUUUGUCCAGCACUUGGUCUCCGCAUGGUUAAACUUGCCACAGUAUCCAUAGGCCACACGAGAAGUCACGGCCUAACUAGUUUGGGAAUUUUCUUUGUUUUUCUUUUCCAGUUCCACUUUCUUGUGUAGCAACUCAAUUUUUUCCGCAUAUUCUUGUUUCCAUCGUCCUUCCCAGUAGUCAGCUAAUUUCUUUUAAAACUCUACCUCCUUUCGAAGAGUGUCUAUUUCCAUAUACAUCUCUCCCAAAUUUGUCAUCUCACUGAUUGGUGUAAGGAUUGAAGACAACCUAAGAGGGGGGUGAAUUAGGUAAAUUAAAAAUUAACCAAGUUAUGAGACACUUUUUGUUAAAUAUGAAAUUUACCCCCUUUUCGAUGACCACACAAUGGAACAAUCAAUGAGAAAGCACGAAUGCUCGUGAGUAGAAGAGAUGAACAAUUUAUAUUGCAAGAUAGUAAAUAAAAGAGAUAGAGUAGCAAACCAAAUUCCAAACUCCUCUUGAUUUUGAAUAUCACUUUAUAAAGUAAGUUUCUUCUAGUUGAUCAAUUACAACCAAUCUUUGUGUACAAAGGAAGGAUCACUUCCUCCUUACCCCAAGCCACACUUGGUCAAGUUAGGAAGUUUUACUAUCACUCGGAUAACCCUCACAAAGUUACACUAUUGAAAUAAUUUUCUCACACAAGAAAAGCUUAUACAAGAUUCACACAACUAAGAGUACAAAUUUUUCUUUAAGAGAAUUUUCUCACUAAAAAUGCUCUUGAUCUUUUGUAGUCUCAAUGUGCAAAAGUGUUUUGAAGUGGUUGACUUUGCUCUGUUUAUAUGAGACCAAAAAGUUCCUUCAUUAAUGUUUCCAAUGGAUAGAGGGCAGCUGAAGAGUCAACUAGCCGUUGGUGGUGUCGGACGUCCGGUGAUCUUGUUUCUUGCGUCCGACAGUAGGUAGUGAGCAAAAGAGAUUUUCUUUAAUUCAUUCGAAUGUUCGGUACCUUCAUAGUUCGCAUCCGAAAGCAGAUAAUAAAAUUAAAAAUUUUCUUCAAUACUUUCGGACGUCCGGUACCUCCAAUGCUCUGCGUCCGAAGUCUUACGCAGAUUAUUGGAUGUCCGGUGCUCUAAUGUUUUACGUCCGAUCAAGGUUGGCAAGUUUAGAAAAAUGUUUUGAACAUCUCUUGUUGAAGAUCUUCUUGAAACUUUUGAUGUGAGGAGUUAUAUCAUUGUCCACUUCCAUGAUUUCAUUACCCAUGAAGGAUGGGUUAUCCCCCACUUGAGAUGCUUUAAAAGCAAUGCCUCUCUUAUACAAUCUUGCAUUUUCUUCCUCUUGCACUUUGAAUUUCAGCUGUAAUUCAUAAGAGAUUAGGGUAUCCACAAGAGAUUCAAUGGACAUAGAAUUUAAAUCCUUUGCCUCUUCUAUAGCAUUUAUUUUGUUUUCCCAUUCUUUUGGCAAGGCAUUCAAAAUCUUUCUAUUUUUCUCACCCAAAGAAUAUUCUUUUCCAAGCAAUUUAAGAUCUUGAAUAAUGUCACAAAAUCUACUACACAUCUUAUCAACAUUUUCAAGAGGAUGCAUUUUGAAAAAUUCAUAUUGAGAAACAAGUAAAGAUUUCUUUUGUUCUUUAAUAUCUUGGUUACCUUCAUGAAAUUCACACAAUUUAUCCCAAAUAUCUUUAGCUGAUUUACAACCUUUAAUUCUACCAGAUUCAUUUACAUCUAACGCAAUGCACAAUAUAUACAUGGCCUUGGCAUUCAAAGAAAGAUAUAUCUUGUCUUUUUCAUUCAAUUCUUGUCUAGUCUUUAAUCUACUCAAAUUAGUGGUAGAGUCAAUUAUUCUGGCUUCAUAAGGACCAUUUUCUACCACAUACCAUAAUUCAAUAUAAACGGAUUGUAAGAAAAUCAUCAUUCUUUGUUUCCACAUGCUAAAAUGAGAACCAUUAAACAUAGGUGGUCUAUCAAUAGAUUGCCCUUCUAAAAAAGAAACUUUUAUGGUUGCCAUGAUCUUUACUCUAAGCGGUUAAGCUUGAUCAAAAGAGACCAAGCUCUGAUACCAAUUGUAAGAGUCCGGUGCAACCCAAUGAGUACAAACAAUUUCACAAUGAUGCACAAAGAUAUAUCAAAUUUAAGCACAAUAAAGAAAACUUAAUUAAAGAGAAAAGAUAAGAAAUGCAAACCAAAUAUCAAUCCAAUAGCCUCUUCAAUUGAUGGCGAUGCUAACCAAGAUGUACAAGUGAAGGCUCACUCCUUCCUCACCCCAAACACACUUUGGUUGAGCCAAGGAGUUUUACAACUAUUCUAGUUAACCCUCAACAACCUACACUUGAAAGAUCACUCACCCAAUUAAGAACUAUUUUAUACAAAUGAGGCAACGUUCACCAAGGUUUUACCACUUCAAGUGAUAGGUUCACCUUCACCAAGGUUUUUCUCCUCCUAGAGAGUAACCUUCACUUGAGCAACCUCACAACCCAACUUUUCCAACCCCUUAUACAACCAACAAGGAAUCUUUCUACUCAAAAAUCUCACUUGUAAGCUUGUAUUUUGUGUUGGCAAAAGUCCCUUGUCUUCUUGUGCUUUGGGGUUUUUAUAGAAGGUGAGAAAUGGCUCCAAAAGGCUCUCCAACGGUCAAAUAUUAAAUGCUGUCAAAACUAGCCGUUGGCCUGUCGGACGUCCGAACCACCUGUCGAACGUCCGAACCACCUGUCGAACGUCCGAACCCUGCGUCCAAACCACCUGUCGGACGUCCGAACCCUACGUCCGAACGUCGUCAGAGAGUCAUCAAAUCUUUUCGAAAUUUCUCGGACGUCCGAUGCGAUCGAUGUGCGUCCGACAGAGUUUCCUUCUUGACGUUCUUCAUCCUUUCGGACGUCCGAUAGCUUCCUUUCGGACGUCCCACAUGAGUGCCCUGUUUUUGCUUCUUCUUUUGUGCCACAAGAAUCUGUUCUAACAAAUUACUCACAUAAAAACAUUAGCGCAAAUCUACAUUUUGGUUUGUUAAUCAUCAAAACCAAGGAUUGAUCGACCAAGGUCAACACCAAAGGUAUGUCUUUUGAAGAUGGUUUGAAGUGCUUAAAGACAAAAUUUGAUGUAAUUAUGUUACAAGUUCAAAUGGACACAAUUAUACAUGAAAUUGAGCAAGGGAGGAAUGUUAAUACUUUUAAUUCUUAUCAUGUGAUUUGUGACUUGUGUCGCGCCCCAUUUUUUGAUAAAUAAAUAAAAUGGUUUUAAAAAUGUAUUUUUUGAUUCAAAUUUUUUAUAGGAAAAUGAGUUUUGAUUUAAAAGAAAAAUGGGUCUAAAUGGGGGUUUGAGAAUGCGACGAUUUGACCCAAAAUGUAGUUUAAAAAGGGUUUUUGCAAUGAAAAUCGGAGUCGCCACUUGGUAAUGAGUUAAGGUGUACCAAAUCACCUAAAAAUGAAUUUUUAAAGAAAGAUAGGAAAAAGUAGUAAGAAACCCCUUUUAAACGACUCCUAGUCCACGUAAACCAACGAAAAAGGUUCGGGAGUCACAUUUGACGAAGGGGAAGGCAAGGAUAGAAAUCCAAGGCACCCUUUCGACCUAGCCAAGGCUAGUUGCGUGAUUUAAUCAAAGAUUUUCUUGUUUUAACCAAAGAAUUUAUUACAUUUGGAUGCACUACAUGAAUGCAAACCCUAGACCUAGGGGUAUUGGGGGAAAUUUCUCUUCAAAGGUUGAGUGGUGCCAAUCACAUUAAUUGUGAAGCCCAAUAACGACCCUUUGAAGAAGUCACGAAUAAUGUGAUUGGGAUGCAAAUGAAUGGAAUGCAUGCAUGCAAUGUGAGGAUAUGUGAAGUGAGAAAAAUAAUAAAAAUAAUAGGAUGUAAGUGGAGGUGUGCAAAUGUAUUUACAAGUGUUUGUGUGCAAGUGAAGGGAUAAAAAGGUGCAUGUGUGCAAAUGAGACAAAAGUGAAAGUGUGCAAGUGAAAGGAUAAAAGGUGUACGUGUGCAAAUGGGAGGAAAAGUGAAAGUGUAAUGAUAGAGUGGACUUAGAAAUGCAUGAGCCUAGGGAAUUCAUGCAUAUUGGGUACGGGGAGACCUAAAUCGUGACUCAAUUUGCCCUUUUAUAGAGGGAAUACAAGCGUGCUAAGGCUUAGAAAAAGCCACACUCGUCUAUAUCCCAUAUUUAAGGGGACUCUCAAGCAAAUGAAUCCUAUAACUAGCAUGAAAUGCAAAAAUCCUAAAAUGGAGGGAAAAGAUUCGAGGGGCAUGCAAAAUGAUAAAACUAAAAAGAAUGCAUGACAUGUAAUGAACAUGCAAACAUGUACUAACGAGGGGAAAUCCCUAAGGGUCUAGCGUUGGACUAGCCCAUUCUAUGAAUUCCGACUAGCGUUGGACUAGUGGAAACGUACAUUCAUCCAUCACAUUCAUCCAGGCUAUAAAAAGCGAGUAGACAUGCCAAAACACUCAUAAACAUAUAGCACAUAACACUUAGCAUGCUCGACUAGAUGCAAGACCUAACAAAGCAAGUUAACACGUAGCACGUAAGCAUGCAAGUCACACAAAGCGAUUAAGGCCCUAACUAUUACAUUUUGAGGGGAAGAAGGCCUACUACAAUCUAGGAGGGGGAACGGAAUAAAAAUAAAAAUAAUAACCUAGCUAUUACAACUUGGCAUUCAAGUGCCUUCAAAUGACUUUGCGCAUUAAGAAUAAUGAAACAAAAAGAAAGUGAAAUAGGCAAUUAAACAUGAAAUGGAAAGCGACUUAAAGCAUGCAUAUUCACACAUAGCACAUAGGAGCACGUAGAGUCAAAUAAAGUAAGAAAUAAAUGAUUAGAUAUACCUCCCCCUCGAUGGUAAUCAAAUGAAGUGAAAAUGGCUUCAAAACAAUAAAAAAAUCAAGGUACCACUUUAUUUGGGAAAAUUAAAGAAAACAUACAAACACGGGCUCACAUGGUCAUAAAGCUCUUAAAUUCAUGCAUGAAGUGCAAUUUAAACAAAGCAUGGUGAUUAUUUGAAGCAAACAAGCAAUAAAACUUACAAAAUUAAAGCUGCCAAGGACCAAAUUGAGGACAUUAUUCAAUUGGUUGGGUCAUAGUAGAAUAAAGGGAGACUUGGGGGGUCAAAGUGCAAUUUCUGAAACAUUCUCAUGCAAAUUCAUGCAAAGCUACGAAGGAAAUGGGCUUCUGCAACUAACUCAUAUGCUCUAGCAAAAGAAAUGAAAACUGCUGCGCUUGCUUCUCAAACUCAAAUCUCAUAAUCACAACCUUGGUUAGAUUUUUCCAAAAACAACUAACUUCAUUCAUACCAAACAACCGAAAGCUUAGCCACUACAUUCAAACAAACGAAAAAACUUAGCAAAACAUCAAUGGUUUCAAACUUCAGCAAGCAAUGGAGCCUGCUGCGAUUGGUUUUCAAGCUCAAGAAGGGAAAAAAAAAUGGAGUCUGCUGCAAUAUUAUUUCCAAGUCUCUGUUACCGAAAAAACUUUGCAAUUUCCUUAUGGGCUUCAUGGUAUAGGUUCCCUUUCGCAUAAGACAUCAGCUAGACAUCAAAACCUUAAUUCAAAUACUGAAACACAACACUUUAACAUCCAAUAAGUAACAAAUUGCAGUCACAAGGAAGAAAAAGCAAGGAAUGCAAGACGCCGCACUUUUCUGCUGCAAUUCCGCAGCUUCAAACCAUUCGGCCGAGACAAGCACUCAUGCCAAGGACCCAACCCAUUCCCACAUACUCAGGCACACAAUGCAAAUGCUUACAAACGAAGGCAAAAAGGAGAAUAAAACAGGCCCUUGAACUAAAGUAUGUAAUAAACAUGAUCUGCAAACAUGCUCGCUUUGAAGAACAAAAUUUCUGUAGCUUUCUUAUGCAAACCAAAGAUGAUUAUACGCAGUGCUAGGAAUGAAACUUAUGGGUUUAUCCACCGAACCCCAAUAUUAUAGCUUCCUACUCUUGUGGUUAAUGUCAAAGCAACCAUUUAUUUCCAAAAGAUCUACUUCCAGAAACUGAACAUAAAACAGCGAAAACCGUGAAGAAAGCAUUCUGAAACCAUUUAGCAGCCCAGAUUCAUUCAUUGUUUCAAAUUUCUGGGUUUUCAUCAAUUAAAAAAACGCUGCCAACACACACCCACAACUCAUACCAAACAAAAACCAAUUAUGCAAUCUGAAAUCUAACCAAGACUCGUCAUUUAAACAUCAUCUUAAUCACAUACAACAGGACGGGCAUCUCAAACCACAUACUGACAAACAAAACAGUGAAUGACACAAAACCUUCGUUUUCUAAGAUUGAAUCUUCACACGAGUUGUAUAAAGUCAACAGGAAAAAGGUUAAGGUCACCUGAUGAAACUAGCGCAGUCCAAUGGAGGUGAAGUGUUCUGAGGAAGUCGUAUGGAUUUGCUGGAACAAAAACCCAGAAAGCUUCGUUGCUGCAAGGUUCUUCCAGUGAUGUUUGUCGCAGGAGGGUUCUCGGUGUGGGUGAUGGCCGUCGUAAGACUCUCCCUCGUUCUCACGACCUCCUUUCCUAGCCGCAACCCUCUUGCCUUUAGAUUCUCUGAUUCUCUCCUCCAAGACUCAGCUCUCGGUUCCGUUCUUUUCCUUUGGUCGCCGACCUUUACAGACUGCCCUUACUUUUUGUUUUCCUUUUCUUCCUCCACCAGCCCAUUUCUAGCAUAGCUUUCCCCCCCCCUUUGCCCGUAGGUUUUUCCUUUUUUUUUUAAGCCGUCGCCACCAACUCCCUUUUUCUCUCUUGUUUUGUUCUACCCGCCGUCCACUUCUCUCCGUCUCUGUUUUUGCAGCCCCCAACCUCUCUUCUGAUUUUUCCUUUUGCCGUUUUCCCUCUCUCUCCCUCUCUCUCCUUAUCAGCCGUCACUUUCCUCACCCUCAACUCUCUACUCUAUCCGCUACCUUAUUUUUUCCUGUUUGCGGCUGUCUAUCCCCUUCCCCCCUCUUGCAUCUCAUUCUUUUAUAUACGGGACUCCUACCCUAAAACCCUCAAACACUCUCUCCAAAAUUGCAGCCCAAGGGCUGCCCAUGAGCCCUUCCUUGCAAGCUGCAAAAACGCAGCUUUCAAGUCGCGUUUUUUUUUUUUUAAUAAUUAUAAUAACAAAUUGACAAAAACCAGGUAAUAAUAAUAAUAAAAACAAAUUAAAAAAACUAAACAAAUGGAAACAACAAAAAUGGUCAUUUUUCAAUUUUUCUUUCAUUUUUUCAAUUUUGUCUCAAAAUAACUUAAUAAAAAUAACUAAAAUGCCAAAAGAUUGAAUUUAAAGAAAUAAACAUAUUUUUGUGAACAAAAUUUCCUUUUCCUUUUCCAUUUUUUUCAAGAAAACUAAAGCCUAUUUUUUGAAUGUUUUUGUAUUUUUCUUCUUUUCCCUCUUUUCUUUAAUUUUCUCUUUUCUCUUUUUUUUUAUGAUUUUUCAUUUUCAUUUUUCCUUCAAGAAAGCAUUGAAUAAAAACAACAUGACUAAAACAUAUUUUUGAUGUUUUCCUUUUCUUUUUCUAAAACUCUAUGCUAAUCCUAAACUUAAAAGCUAAAACUAAAAACUAAAACUAAAAGUAAAUAAGAAUGAAUAGCAAAUGAAAUAGGUCAACUAAAAGGGCGAAAAUGAAUAAAACUAAAAUAUCAUAACAACUAAUAGUGCAAAACACACAAUAACGAACUAAAAUGCAAGCAAUCUAAAAUGAAAAUCAUGAAAUAGAUGAUACAUACAAAUUAUUCAAAAUUUGGUGUCUACAACUUGUGUGGAGGUUAUCAUGCAACUAAUACAUGUAUGCAAGCACAAAAUGUGGAUUACUAUGAUGAAUUAGAACAUUACAAUCCUUAUUUUGAUCAAUACAGUGCUAAUUGGAGCAAUUCUCUUUCUUAUGGUUGGGAAAAUCAAUGUGCAUAUAGUGAUUAUCCAUAUUUUUAUAAUUACCAAUCUGAAAAUGUCCAAUAUAAAGCAAAACCAUCUUGGGAGUUAGCUAUAGAAAAAUUAGCUAAUGUGACUUCCGACCGUUUUGAUAGGAUUGAGGAAAUGAUAGAUGAAUUGGCUUCUCACUUUGGUAGAAUAAAAGAUCAAUUACAUGUAUUGUGUGAAGUUAUUUCCUCUAAUAAUGUGCAAAAUGAUCCUAGCAUGAAUGGUGGGAAUGUUGUAUGUGAAAAUGGGUUGCAUUUUAAUGAAAAUGAUGAAUCUCAAUUGUGUUUCAAUGAGCAAAUGUCCAUUUCACAUGAUAAUAUCUUUGGAACUAACUUUGAACCUCAAGAGGUGAGUUUUAAUGACUCAUUUUUCACCCCUCUUGAGGAGUGUAUAAAAAGUACAGGUUUUAAAGAUAUUCCUGCCCAAGAUACUUUCGUGGCAUUUCCUUUGGUAAGUUCUCAAGUGGUGCAUAUUCAAGGUAAUAUUUAUGAAACACUUGGAAUAUGUAAGUCACUUUCAUUUCUCACAUCAUUAGAUUAUGUGGCUUUCGCGAUAAAGCCACCUUUUAAUGAUCCACCACGGCCUAAAAUGGUGGAUUAUUCGUUAACUAACCCUCCUUGAAAAAUAAGGUGAAAUAGUCAAGCUAUUGACUUUAAAGAAGCGCUUAUUGGGAGGCAACCCAAUGUUUGUUUAAGUUUAUGUUAUUUUGGGGUGAUUUUAUGUUUAAAGUAUGUGUUUGAGUUAUUUUGUUAUUUUUCAUUUGUAGGUAUUGGAAAUGGAAGCAAAAGUGACCAAAUGAGGUGAAAAAGGCGAAAUUUGAUCGAGGAACUCAACCCCUCGAUUUGAGUAAUUGUUGUUUUUGAUCCGUUAAAAGGGGCUAAAAUGCAUGUUUUUAAUGUUUUACAUGUGUGCACAUUGAUAAAUUUUACAAACAAAUGAUUUAUGAUGCAUUUUGAGUGAUUGGGGAAUUAUUUGUAAAUUUUCAAAAGUUGAAUUUCUGCUAAAAUUCGCAGCAGAAAACGCAUUUCUCAAGAAAACGCGCCUCUGAGUCGCGUAUUCACAGAAUCGCGUUUUCAAUUCUGCACCUGCAGAACAGAAAACACGCCAUUAAAACGCGACAUUAAGUCGCGUUUUGUUGCCUGGAUCAAAGAUGAAAACGCGCCAUUGAAAACGCGACUUCAAGUCGCGUUUUCUCACAGAACCGCGUUUUCAGUACUGCAACUUUUGGGAAGAAACGCGCCUUCAAAACCGCGAGUUAAAGGCGCGUUUCUACUCACGUUUUCUGAGCAUUUUUUUUUUGAAAGAAAAAAUGCAGGUUCCUUGGUUCUCUUUUUCUUCUUUUCCUCAUAUAUUUUCUUGUACCUUGAGUUGCUUAUUAUGUAUUUUUUAUAGGUACAUCACCAAAACAAGGGCUUGAAGUUACGGAUAGCCGUUUUGAUGUCUUAAGCCUUUGUUAUCACUUUGGUUUCUCAUUUUCCAUUCUUAGGUUUAUAUUACUAAUGGUUAUCCAAUGGAACUCGUGAAGUGAUGAAGACCGGCGAACAACAUACCUUGAAGCUUCAUAUUCAAUCACAACAAUAGAGGAGUAUUAUUUUUCUUUAUCUUCAUUUUCCUUUUUACACAUUGAGGACAAUAUGCAUGUUAAGUGUGGGGGGAGAAUUGAGAUUAUAUAUAUUGUAUGUGAUUGACUUAUUAGUUGCAAAUAUUGGACUCGUGUUAAAAUUCAAAAUUUUUCUAACAUCUUGUCCAAAAUUGCAAAUUUGCCCCAAAAAUUUUAAAUUUUAAAUUUCAUCCAAAGGGAUAACAAAGUUCCAUACCAUUAGUAGUUCAAAUUCCUUCUACAUUUGAGAUAAAUAUAUAUGAUUUGGAAACUUCUUUUCUCAUUUAACUUGGAAAUGACUAUUAUGUGAUUAUAAUUUUGCAUUUGUAGGAAAAUAUAUCUUGUGAAGUGGAGAAAAUUAUGCCUAUUUUUUUGCAUAUUUAAUGAAAUUUCUUUUCUUUACUUGAUUUUAUAUAGUUAAGUGAUAAAUAUGAUCAAUAAGUGCAAUACUCUUCUCAUGAUUAUUUUUUUUAAAAUUAUUAUUCUCUUUGCUAUUAAAAAAAAAAAAAGAGAAAGAGAAAAAAAACAAAAGAGAAAAGAAAAUAAAUAAAAAUUGUUCUACUCCAAUGAUUCUCGUACCGAGUAACCGGGGGUUGGCAUCUACAAAUGUCAACAUUCGCGUAAAAAGGUACUUGAAUUAAGAGUAUGCAAAGCAACUUGAGUAUGUGAAGUGUUGAGUAACCGGUGAUUUUCAUCUAAAAAUGUUGAUCCUCGCGUAAAAAGAUACUUUCACAACUUAAGUAAUAUUUAGCUAUAUUAUAUAAAUAAAUCCCUCUUUAAGUUAAAUAAGAAGAUGAUCAUGGGUUUAGGAAGCAUAUUAUUGACCAUAUGAGUUACUUACUUGUAAGAUUGGGUAAGGAUGAAAAAUUGAUUUGAAUUUGUUAUAAUGACGGUAUAAUUGGCUUUCCUUUACUUGAUAUUAUGAGUACUUGAAUUUAAUUAAAUAAUUGCAUAAUGGUUAUUUACUUUGUUUUGAGGAAAUGAAGUUGAAAUGCUACAUAUGUUUAUUUUCAAAUUUUGGAUCAUUGUUGGUUUGUAUUUUUUUAUUGCUUGAGGACAAGCAAUGGUUCAAGUGUGGGGGUAUUUGAUAAGAGUUUAUUUUACGUAUUUUUAGUGUGUUUUAUUAGUUAAUUUUGGUUUGAUUAUUUAGUUUUAUAACUAAAAUAACUAAGGUUUUGGUAAAAAUCUACAUUUUAUGUUAAAGUGGCUAACAUUGCAUUUCUAUUGAUUUUUAUGGGAAAAACUUCAUAUUUUGUAGGUUUAAUGAUUCAAUCAUCAAAUGAAGUGCAUUGAGAAGAUAUUUGGAUGAUUGAUGAUGGAUUAAAGUGGUGAAAAUAAAAUAUGAAGUAUAAAAGGAAGAAAUGCAAUUUGAGGACAAAAAUCAAGAAAAGUCAGCUUUGACAACUCAGACACAUUUUCGUAUUUUGACUAUAUCAGGAGCUACAAUGAUCGGAUCAAGGUGAUCUUGGUACCAUUUUGAAGCUAAGAGAUAUAUCUACAUUUGGUAUGAAGACAUCAAAGUCCAAUUCAGCCGUUUUCUUGGUCAAAAGGUCGAAACACAGAAACUUAUCUGGAUGGUCGAAAGCUGAAGCCCAGAAUUGACCAGUCUAUGGUAUUUUGACCAUAUCUCAGUCCACCGAUCUCCAAAUUAGAUGAUUCUUGAAGCAUUGGAACUCUAAUUCAAAGGGCUACAACUUUUGUGUUUUGCACAAAAGCCAGUUCGGCCUUCAUCAUGGAGAAAAAUGCAGUUGAAGUGAGGUCAAAAGUAAAAACGUGUAUGGCAGCCGAAUUUCUGUAAUUUGCUCAGCCAUUUUUCUCAUCUUCACACUACUUUCCAGCUAGAGUUGGAGAGAAAACGUAGGCUGCACAUGCUUCAGAAGACAUAAGGAAGAGAUAUAGCCAAGGUUCCAAGUCAAAAGCCAUUAUUUUUGACUCCCUUAACAAAUCCAGAUUUGGAGAAUCAAAGUGGAGAGUCAUAGCAGAAAUUUAUGACUGGUAAGGGAAGGACUUUUCAUCAGCUUAUAUGUAGAGACAUUUGAGGUCUAUGAGGAGGGAGGAAUCAUACGGGGAGAAGCUUGAAGAGUGCAGAAAUGUAGUUCUUCCAUUUCCUUUGUGUAGGAUAGUUUAGCUAGUGUAGUUCAUCCAUUCUUGUAUAUUGCUAGACUAGGAUUAAGAUGGAGAUGAAAAAGGCAAGGUGAUGAGCUCAAGUGACAUGGGUUACAUUCCUUUCCAACUCUUUAUCUUUUGUACUUGAUUCCAAAUUUAGUUAAUAUGCAAGUUCUGGAAUUUAUGUCUAUUAUGUGUUUCUAAAGUUUAUGCCUUGGGUUUGGUUGAACUUUCUAUGAUUGUUAGUGUUUAUCAUUUGGCUAUUUAACUGCUAUGAUUUGAGCAAGUUAUUUAGCACUUUAGCUCUUUAAAUCAUGAUUAAUCUGGUACCAUUAAUUGUGAUUAUCUAAGGUGUUAUUUCUGCAAUGAAAAUUGAGAUUUAACAUUAGUUCAAUAAGUGCUAAACAUGGGGAGUACACUCACGAGAGUAGAGGUGCACCUAUGGGGUUUUGGUGAUUAAUUUCAUGUAAUUUCAUUGAAGAAAUGAACUUGUAGCUAAUUUCAUAACCAUGAGAAUAGGUAUGGAUUGGUUAUUAGUAUAAUUGAUUCACUACGAAAGUAGGAUUCAAAUGCAUAAGGAAAUUACACCAUAACUAGCCUAGAUGUAGUAUUCAAUGAUCCAAAUAUAGCACUUGCAUGAGUAGUUAGGGAUACCACAACCUAAGGAGCAUUUAUUUGUUAUUUUGUAUAAUUUCAGUAGGAUAAAUUUGUUAUAAUUCAUUGAUAGUUUAAAUAAUAGAGAAGCUUUAGUAAUACCGGUAAUUGUUCACUCUUCCCUGUGGGAUCGACCCGAUAUAUACCCUAAACUACUAGUUGAUCUGUAUACUUGCAGUGAACGGGUGUAAUUCGGUAUUUUUUAGCUUGCACGUAUGUAAAAUACCCGUCAAUAAUUAAAUAUGAAAUCAAAUGCAAAAGAGAAAGUAAUAGGAGAGAUGUCACCCUUGUCAUAUGACGGGUUUUUGAUAUGAGUACAAGUUUAAUUCCGAAAUAUGUCCAUUUUAACUGCAAGUAUACAGGUCAAAUUAGUAGUUUAGGGCAAAUAUCAGGUCAAUCCCACAGAGAGCAACUUUACAAGUUAGGUCCCUACUUACUUUAUUAUUUAGACUAAUGACCGAUUUAAACAAGAGAAAUUAUAAUUACUACUAUCUAACUAGUUUUAACUAGAUAUUUGCAAGGAAGCAAUAACUAGAUCUACUUUUGUUUUCUUCAUGAAAUGCAAGUUUAAUCUACUUAAGUGUACCUCUAUUCUCAUGACUCUACUACUCAAGCUCUAUUUAUAUUGUUCUAUCAUUAUUACCAACUUUCAUUGAAUAAUAAUAACUAAAAGCUUGCUAUUGGUGAUCAAGCAACAACAAGUGAUAAGCAUGCAUAAAUAGAAAAGUUAAUACAAGGUGUAACUAGUGUAAAUCAUAUUCACUUCAUAUCAAGUAGCCAUAAGUUUCAUCUACUCCCUAGAUCUAGAAAUUUAGCUACUCAUAUAAUAUGUAACAAGAAAGAGCAUAACUUCAUUGCAUGAACACAUAUUGAAUUACAAAUGAAAGAUAGAUAAAGAAAGCUUAUCCAAGAUCAAUGAAGAAGCUCCCAAUGAUCUUCUAUUUCUUCAACAAAAUGAGUUGUACGAUGAAGUCUCCAAUUGUUCUCACAAAAUUUCUAGCUAGAGAGAACAAAAAAAAACUAACCACUAAGCUCUCAUCCUCAAAUCUGAUGAGAACUACCUCUAAUAUGUCCUCUUCUCCCUCUCUAAUGAUUCUAACAACUCUAGUGUUUAGAGAGUCAAAAAGUGGUGUUUUGACAAGACAUCAAGCUCAUUUUUUUCUUCCAAAAGGUUCCUUGAACAUGUGCAGCUGAAAUUCUUGUCUGGAGUUGAGCUGGAAAGUUGUGUGAAAGCAAAGCAAGUGGCUGAGCAAAUUGCAGAAAUCAGGCUACAAUACGCGACUAUGUAAUAUGCGACUUCAACCCACGUAUUGCCAAGUCUUGUAUUAUUUUCUGUGAAUUUUGCGUCACUGAAACUGAGAUUUCCUUAAUGAUGUUGGCCAAAAUAGCUCUUGUGAAAAACAUGAAAGUUGUAGCCCUUUGUGUUAGAUUUCCAAUGAUUCAAGAAUCAUCCAAUUUGGAGCUCUGUGGACCGGGAUAUGACCAAAAUACCAUCAACUGGUCAGAGCUCUAUUUCAGCACUCGACCAUGCAUACACACUUUUGUAUUUCAACUUUUUGACAAGGAAGAAGACUGAACUGGAUUUUGAUGUCUUCAUACCAAAUGUAGAUCUAUCUAUUAGCUUCAAAAUGGUAUAAUAAUUACCGCAAUUUGAUGUUUGUAGCUCAAGAUAUUGCCAAAAUACCGCCAUGUAUCAAAACUAUCUUCACUUGCAUUUCUUCAUUUGAGUGUUUUGCACUUCAUGCCUUCUUAAAACCACUUCAAAUCAUCGAUAAUUAUUCAAUUCUCUUCUCAAUUCAUGCCAUUUGAUGUUUGAAUCAUUAAACCUAUAAAACAUGAAGUUUUCACCAUUAAAAUCUAUAGAAAUGCAAUCUUUACCACUUAAACCACAAAAUGCAUUUUUUUUUCACUAAAACCCUAGUUAUCUAGCUAUAAAACUAAAUAAAACACACCAAAACUAACUAAUAAAACACACUAAAAUCAAGUAAAAUAUACUCUUAUCAAACUCCCCCACACUUGAGCCAUUGCUUGUCCUCACGCAAUUAGAAAUACAAACCAACAAUGAUCCAAACUUUUGAAGAUAAACAUAUGUGCACAAUUCAACUUCAUUUCCUUAAAACAAAGUAAAUAACCAUUAUGCAAUCAUUUAUUAAUCCUCAAGUACUCAUAAUAUCUAGUAAAGGAAAGCUAAUUAUACCCUAAUUAUGCUAGUUCAACUCAAUUUCUCAUCCAUAUCCAAUUUCACAAGCAGGUAACUCAUAUGGUCAUUAAAAGUGCUAUCUGUGACGACCCCACUUUCUCCUAAGGUGAAUAAGAGGGUUGGCGGGCCGUCUGCCUAGCACUCGCCAGGACUCACGCAAGCAAGCUAGCAAAAAUCCUUUCGAAGUAUAACCUAAUCUAUUACAACAUCGUUUCCCUCCAAAUAAGCCGGUUUCUAGAAUCACAUUAACUUCAGAGAUAACAGUGCCUUAAGAUAGCCAACGUCGAUUCUUAAAAUACCUUCCCGAAUACAACCCAAGAAACAAAACAUCAAUUCAAAUACAUCCUUACAGGCCAAGUAACAAAUUCAUACAAGCCACAUACAAAUCCAGGGUUUACACUUUUCCAGCUUCAAGUGGCAACCUAAGGCAAAACUACAAUGUUUAACUCGAAUUACAUUCAUGAAAGUAAACAAUCUAGUACUACUUCCGAGCACCUUUGGUCUCAAAUCCUGUAAAAGAAAAUCACAACGUGGAAUGAGCUACACAGCCCAGUGAGGUUCCAAGACACUCUAACAGUUCAAACAAAUCAAGAAAGUUGUGCAUGUCAUAUGCAUGGUGCGAGGUUACACAAUGGCAGGUUAUCAUGAGGUGAUAAUCAUUACUCGGGUAAUUGCUACUUUGAAAACACAUGUAGUAGUAGUACUUUUGCUGGUAACUUUACUAUGGGUACAACUCAUAAAUUAUCUAAAAUCACUAACGUAUUUUUGGAAUGAAUGACCAUAUAAAUAUAUUUUCAUGAAUUUUUAGUCAAACAAAUAGUGGCUCGUCUGACUAGAAGAACAUUACAAGGAUUGCUUCAUCUCAGAGAUUAAUGCUCAUGAGGAGUCUUACCCGAGAAAUGUCAACUAGGAGAGCAAUAACAUUAUUAAUAGCAAAGCAAGCACAAAAGGAUACAGUACUCGGUCCACUUCCCGUCCUUAUAACUCCGAUCGGUAACUCUUUCGAUUGACUGGCCAUCACCUUAUCCCUCCAGUGGUAGUACUCGAGUAUACCGAAACGGUUGUCCAGGGUUCCAACCUACCCGACCGAGCCCAGUCCUGGCUCGAGUAGGUCAGUAACCGAGGCAAGGCCCAAGUUCAGCUUAUAGCUUACAACAUGCACAGGUAACCAAGUAAUUCGACAAAAAGUAAAAUUCAUCAUUUGAAUAGGUCGAGUGAGGUAAAGUACACACUCGCCUAACAAUGAUGGACAACUUCAUAUAACGUGUGAUUCAUGAUAAUCAAGUAAUCAAGUGGAUACUUAGCACGUAAGCACGUAAGCAAUACAAGUUGAUUUCAUGGGAGCAUGUAAUUCACGGAUAUCGAAUAAUCAUAUAGAUUAGAAAUCAUGUGAGCAAAUAGUCAGGUAAUCAGGUAGUCAUGUGGGUUGGUAAACGGUUCACGGUUAACGGUUAACGGUUGACGGUUGAGUAAUGACGGUUAUUUGGCAGGCAUUUGCCAUAUUAAUAGGCCAUCAUUGGCCGUUAUCCCAUUUUUACCAUGUGAGAGUCGAGGAGAUUCACUCCAACGACGUAUGCAACCAUAGCAUACCAAGUCAUGUUAUUCGAGCAUUUUCAAGCAUGGGUAUGGUAAAUAUUUAACACAUAGUACUUAACACUUAGAAAUCAUGAAAUGAGCAUGUCCUAGACUUAUUCCAUUACGCAUUCCUAUAUGGAACACUCACCUAGUCAAACAAGCACAAUAGGUCUCAAAGAAGCGUUUUAGGCGUCCGCUCCGAGUUCCUCUUGGAGAUCUCCUCGAUUGCCUGAGCAAACAAUAAUUCAAGUACUACUCAAUAUCGCUACGAAUUCUCUAGUUUUCGAUGAAGAUUGUACGCUAGUGCAAUCUAAGGAAUUAACGCGGAGACGAGCCUAGAAUUCGUGUAACUCGAGGUUCAAAAGUGGGGUUUUAAAACACAAGACAAAUUUGAUUUCCAUCUUUGGAUUCAAAUGUAAAACAAUCAAAUGAUAUUGAAAGAAAUGAAGAGUUCGAAACCCCUUUGUUUCCUUUAAGUUAGAAAAUUCCAGAUUUAACAAGUAAUCUUUGAAAAAUCAUAUCUUACUCUCUACAAGCCCAAAAUUGGAAAACUUGGUACUAUUGGAAACCUCUUUGAAAGUACUAAAAGUUCCUAGAAUACACUUUUCCAUGAUUCCAAAUGGAAGAUAGUCAAAAAUGGGCUCAAAGCUACUGUUUUGGUUCAUAAGGCAGAUUUAAGUUGGUUUUUGGCCAACUUUGGAAUUUCGGCAAAAUUCACUUGUUUGGAACUAGCUUUUGAAAUUUUUAACUCUAUUAGUGUUGUAAUCCAAGAGUAUAACAAAACAAAUGGAACGAGAAACGGGGUUUUGAGCACCAAGAUACGGUAGCUCAAAGUUACUAAAAUUCCCUUGUGAAACAUGGGUUUUUCAAACUCGAGUCAUGAACUUUGGUAAUUUAUUUGACCCAUGAAACGGCCUCAGAAUAACACCAUAAUUAGCAGUAUAAUACUACCAUAUAAGGGUUGUUCCUCUACCAAAUUUCAUGGAAAAAUAACUUCGGAAAGGUGGUCAAUCAAACACCUAAAAUUUCGCAAAUACUAAGACAAAACUGUCUUGAACCUUUUGUUUUUCCAUUUCAGACAUUUGGUCAAAGAAAGAUUCCUCCAAACCUGGUUCAUUUGUUUAGACAAAACUUAAAGAACGUUCAUGGUACAUUUGGUAAGUGUUUAGCAUCAAAAUAUUCAGUUAGCAAGUCUUUGCCAAACCUUGCAUCAAAUCUGUCUAAAAAAUCAGGGUUUUCAAGGGGAGAGCAGGUUUCAUAUUUUGAUCACAGAUCUCUCAAAUUAACUCGGAAUUUGGCAUGGUUUAAGGCGUUGGAAAACACAUUCAUAGAGCUAUAAUUUCACAGAAGAAAUCAUUCUGAAAUUCGGCACACAACUAGCUCGAAUUCGAGUCACAAGUUGCAGCCUCAGCAUUUUGUUCUUUUAAAACAGAGAAACAUAACAACCGACUUAAAAUAGUUGGUUUGGCUCACAUUCAUGGAACCAGAAUGUGUAUUUUAUAUCGUCGGAAAGGUUGGAAUGUCUAGUUUCAAAUGCCGCUGACGGCACCGCUGACGGCACUCGAUUUCAACCUCGGAGUUCAAAAUUAUGGCCGAAAUACGAAAGCUGGUCAGAGCAUUUCGGAAAUAGUUCCAGAUUUACUAGCUUUGUUAAAUCGAUUUAUUUGACGAACCAAACCUCAAUAUUUUUCAAUGAAACUUUGUACACCAUAUAUUCAACAUAUCAACAUGAUAUACAAGUCAUGAAACCCUCAAAAUUUUGCAAAAAGGGUUGCGAUUAAAACAGGGCAAAUCUGAACAUUUUUGAACUAUGCAUCUCUUGGAGUCUAGACUAGCUAGGUAUCAUUAAUCUACCUAUUUAAACACUAAACUAGCAUUAUAUCCAUCAUCAAUCCAAGGGUGGGAGUUCAUAGAGCCCACCAUCAAAAUUUUCCGACAUGAAACAAAACAAAUAGCAUGUGAUUUUGGCAAAUAAUUCCACCACAAUAAAUCUGUCCUUGGCUAAACAGAAUUUCCAGCAGCUAAUUGGUCAUAAUCCAACUUUUUACUCGGCUAAAACAUGAUAUUAAGUACUCAAUUUUGGCAUGCAAUUUCUUAACUAGCCAAUUAACAUUUCCAGUUCAAAAUUAGAUUCAAACAACAGUUUUACUCAUCUAAAACAAAUCCAGAAAUUCUGUUUAGCUUGGCCUCAGUCGAACAUACGUGUAGCAGAUUUCUAAUUCAUUUUAUUUCUCUGAUUUAAACCCAUUAAUUAGCUACAUGCAAAGAUCAAUUAUCAUGUUAUUAACUAGUUAAUCAUGGUUACAAACUCAAAACAACAAAAUUGAAUCAAAUGAAGCUGUAAAAUACAGGACAAGCUCUCGGCUGCAGCAAUUCAUAACAACAGAAUUUCUUAUUUUUCUUGAUUCAUCAUCCGGCUGCAUAGAGUUAACAUGCAUGGUCUUAAUCUUCAAGUUUUCACUCAGCUAAUGACACUUAGGUGUUCAGAUUGCCACGGAAAACAAAAAUGGAGCUGCAUUAUCACCUCAGUUUCUCGGCAGCAACAUUUCAUCAAAACAGAAUUUUUCUGGUGUCUUGGUUUCAUCAACCGACUUCACAAGCAACACAUGCAGCUCUGAUAUGGCUUCAUCUACUAAAAGUUAACUUAAUAUAGCCCAGAAAUUACCUCAGAAACAACUUAGCUCACGCACAAGAAAUCUGAAAAGAAAAAUUCUGUUCUCCCUCUCGACUCUCGGCUCGCUUGUGGCUGCAGGUUGGUUGCUGCUGUGAUGGUGUUGGGUUCUGAGGUUGUUUUGUAGUUGGUUGAGGUUGCAGCAAGGGAUGAAGCUCACGUAGCCUCCCUCAUUUCUCCUCUUUAGUUUACGGACAGAACGGACAAGUUGCAGCUCGCGCGAUUUCCUUUCUUUUCUUUCUUUUCCUCUCGGCUUGCAGAGUGCAGCCCGGCCUCUCACUCUCUCUCAGUCAAUAUUCACGAGGUGGAGGCUGGAGAGGAAAUGUUUGUGGUUGUGGUCUGGAUGAGUUUGUGCAGAGAAAAUGGGAAUGGUGGUUUGUGAUAUAGGAAUGAGGUAGAAAUGUGGUGCCGCGGUUUUGGAGAAGGAAGAAAGAAUGGUUUACGGUUUUGGAGUGUAUGAAAUGGUUGCAUAUAGAAUUGGUGAAAAUGUGAUUGGUCGAUUGGGGCGGUGAUUGAAAUGCUAUCAGAGGGAUUGUUUGGUUUUGCAUGGAAACGUUGGGGUUGUAAGGGCAUUUUAGUCUUUUCACUCUGCUUCCUAACCUCUACUUAAAUUCUCCAUUCUAACUUAGCUCCAAAAAUUAUCCCCAAGUGUGAUUUGAACGCCUAAUUAUACACUAGUAUACUUAAACCAUUUUUAUCGAAUAUUUAUCGAUCACAAUUUAAUAUUAAGGUUCCUAGUAAUUCCUAACAUUAUUACCUAAAUAUUUAAACUACAAAAAUCAAGUUUGACCUUAAUAUAUAAAUUUAACAUUCUUAAUAUUCGUUUAUCCUUUUAUAUCAAAACUUAUUAACUUAAUCAUUAUUAACGCUUAAGAUUAGCUAUCGGAAUUCAAAGAAAUUUAAUUGUUAAAUCAAUGAAAUAAUUUACCUUCGAAAUAUGAAUUUAAUGUAACAAAACUAGGAAAUUUAACCACUUAUUCGUUAUAUGUAAUUUCUUGAAUCGAUUAUUUACUCCAAUCGCGUAUUUACUAUUUUCACUUAACGAACUUACAGAAAUGAAAUUUCGAAACGAAUUGCUUUAAAAAUAUAACUAAACUAUGGAUACGUUUAAUUAAACCGAAAAAGCUUAGAAAAUAAUACUCAGAGAAAUCGGGUGAGUAAAUACUUAUUUUAGCCAGUAAAAUAAAUAAAAUAAACAAAAUUUUCGGGUCCUCACAACCUACCCUCCUUAAAGAGAAUUUCGUCCUCGAAAUUCAUACCUUCUGAAAUCUUGGAUAACCCUGAACCAUGUGGUGUGAUCAUGUCAUAUGUUCGUUCAGACGCCACUGGUCGGUUCCUCCUUCCAUUGACUUGUCGAGGGACAGUUCCAUUUCCCUGUUGAGCAGUGGUUUCUCGUAGAUACCUCCUUAGACAGUCAUGAACUUUAUGGCUAGUACUCCCACAUCCCAUACACUUUCGUCCCUUUAGCCAACAGUUUUCUUCAAUGUGAUUCGUCCUUCCACAAUAUCCACAAAUUGGAUGAGGUGUUGUGACCUGACUUGUUUGCGAGGUUUUCUUUGAUCGUGUCUGUCCUACUGAAGUCUCUCGCGACAUAAUUCCUUUUGGUUCCUUUAUCCUGAGUGGUGCAGGAAGUAACAGUCCUACCCCAUCCACUUCUUUUCUAACUUUGGGUAGUGGUCCAUUUUCUCCUAGUGUACUGUCAGAUGCGUCUCUUUUCCUUGCUUGAAAAGCUCUCAGUUGAGAUUUUGUGAUUUCUACCCUUUGCGCUUUUUCGAGAGCGUCACUAAAUGUUUCAACCUGUGCUGCGGCAAGGGCAUCUUGGAUUUCUAAAUCUAAUCCUUGGAUAAACCGUCUUAUUCUCUUCCUUUCAGUAGCCACCAAUUCUGGAGCAUAUGUAGAUAACUUCGUAAAGCGUGUUUUAUACUCAGAUACAAUUAAAGUUCCUUGACGAAGCUUUAUGAAAUCAUCUUCUCUCUUUUCUUGGACUAGUGGUGGAAGAAAUUUUCCAUUAAAUUCUAGGACAAAGUUCAUCCAAGUUUUCGGAGUUUGUUCCCUUUCCCACUUAUUUCUUAUAACAUUUCACCGUGCUCGAGCCGGCCCUUCAAGUUGGAACACAGCAAAAUUUACUUCUCUCUCCUCGGAAUAAUCUAGUGCAUCAAAUAUAUUUCUUAUAUUUUCUAAUCAAUUCUCAGCCACCUCUGGAUCAGGUCCUCCAGCAAACUUAGGCGGGAAGAAUUUCUGAAACCGCUCUAAAGCUCGAUCCUCCCCUAUUUCUUGGUUUCCCUGUCCAACACCUUGACCUUGUUGAGCUACUAAGAGCUCUAGUAUAUCCGUCAUGCGGUUUAGAACUUGUCCCAUUUGGUCAUUUCCUCUCCCAGCACUGGGCUCGGCAUUUUGGUCAAUAUCAGAUCCAUUAUCUACUCUUUCAUUUCGGGGUUGUCUAGAUUGACGUCCCUUUCGUCGUCUCCCAGCUUCCAUUCUCACAACUAAUCUAUACAAAUAUGUGCAAAUGGCUCACUAAACUAAAAAUUAUCUAUGCACACGUAUAUUUAACAAUUUUCAAAAUGAGCAAUAAAACUAUAUCCACAGAUGACAUUUUCACAAAUAGCACAUUAACAGUUAACAUAGAAUUUAAACUAGUCUCAAUUAGGUUGCAUACCAUUACAAAAUUAGAGCUAAUCAAGUCAUAAUACAAGUUGAAAUCAAAGGUCAUUUAUCCAAAGUUUAAAAAUCUUUAGCAAGCCAGCCAAUAACUAAAGUGCAUUCAUCUCCAAGAAUAACCAACCUUGGAAUUUCUAGUUAAAGCCUCAAGUACCAUUUUCAAACUCAGGGAAUAUGUACAACUGGCUCACUUAAGCGUCAAGUGGGAACCAAGUCAAUUCGCACUAGGACUGGCCAUCUCCAGAUGCAAAUCAACUCAAUCGCCACCAUUCCUCAAAGAAAAUUUCACAAAAUGUCUCAAUCAAGCAAUCGAUCUAAGAUUCACAUUCAAUUUCAUACAUAUACUUACGAAGAUUACAAGCCUAGAGGAUACCUCGAAUCUUACAAUUUACCCAGUCAAAUUCGAUCUUAUAGAUAUCAGCUAGUACCAAUAUUCAAGAAACUCAACUAUUACUUUUCAAAUCAAUUCUCACACAAUUCUCUUCAGUUUCUUACAAUAUAAGAAACCCUAGUGUGUAAACCCACUUAAAAACAAACACUUCAAUAUUACUCAAUCAAUCAUCAAGUAUUAAGAUCACAUUCCACUUACUAAACAAUCAAACUCCACAGUCCGGCAUCUUAUGCUUAAAGCCUAAGAUACACUACAAAGAUCUAGAGUCUAAGCUCUGAUACCACCUGUGACAGUUCUCAGGGUCACAUCACGGGGUACCUAUCAGCUUGCCAUCCGCACGCGGGCAUCCCCUACGGAGAGUUUCGCUUCGUGACUCUUCACGAACGAAAGGCUCGGGGCUUUUCCAGACGAAGGACUUAAAGUCCCAACUGUCGGCAUAUGGCUCUGAUACCACCUGUGACGAUCCCACUUUCCCCUAAGGCGAACCAGAGGGUUGGCGGGUCGUCUGCCUAGCUCUCGCCAGGACUCACGCAAGCAAGCUAGCAAAAAUCCUUCCGAAGUAUAACCUAAUCUAUUACAACAUCGUUUCCCUCCAAAUAAGCCGGUUUCUAGAAUCACAUUAACUUCAGAGAUAACAGUGCCUUAAGAUAGCCAACGUCGAUUCUUAAAAUACCUUCCCGAAUACAACCCAAGAAACAAAACAUCAAUUCAAAUACAUCCUUACAAGCCAAGUAACAAAUUCAUACAAGCCACAUACAAAUCCAGGGUUUACACUUUUCCAGCUUCAAGUGGCAACCUAAGGCAAAACUACAAUGUUUAACUAGAAUUACAUUCAUGAAAAUAAACAAUCUAGUACUACUUUCGAGCACCUUUGGUCUCAAAUCCUGUAAAAGAAAAUCACAACGUGGAAUGAGCUACACAGCCCAGUGAGGUUCCAAGACACUCUAACAGUUCAAACAAAUCAAGAAAGUUGUGCAUGUCAUAUGCAUGGUGCGAGGUUACACAAUGGCAGGUUAUCAUGAGAUGAUAAUCAUUACUCGGGUAAUUGCUACUUUGAAAACACAUGUAGUAGUAGUACUUUUGCUGGUAACUUUACUAUGGGUACAACUCAUAAAUUAUCUAAAAUCACUAAUGUAUUUUUGGAAUGAAUGACCAUAUAAAUAUAUUUUCAUGAAUUUUUAGUCAAACAAAUAGUGGCUCGUCUGACUAGAAGAACAUUACAAGGAUUGCUUCAUCUCAGAGAUUAAUGCUCAUGAGGAGUCUUACCCGAGAAAUGUCAACUAGGAGAGCAAUAACAUUAUUAAUAGCAAAGCAAGCACAAAAGGAUACAGUACUCGGUCCACUUCCCGUCCUUAUAACUCCGAUCGGUAACUCUUUCGAUUGACUGGCCAUCACCUUAUCCCUCCAGUGGUAGUACUCGAGUAUACCGAAACGGUUGUCCAGGGUUCCAACCUACCCGACCGAGCCCAGUCCUGGCUCGAGUAGGUCAGUAACCGAGGCAAGGCCCAAGUUCAGCUUAUAGCUUACAACAUGCACAGGUAACCAAGUAAUUCGACAAAAAGUAAAAUUCAUCAUUUGAAUAGGUCGAGUGAGGUAAAGUACACACGCGCCUAACAAUGAUGGACAACUUCAUAUAACGUGUGAUUCAUGAUAAUCAAGUAAUCAAGUGGAUACUUAGCACGUAAGCACGUAAGCAAUACAAGUUGAUUUCAUGGGAGCAUGUAAUUCACGGAUAUCGAAUAAUCAUAUAGAUUAGAAAUCAUGUGAGCAAAUAGUCAGGUAAUCAGGUAGUCAUGUGGGUUGGUAAACGGUUCACAGUUAACGGUUAACGGUUGACGGUUGAGUAAUGACGGUUAUUUGGCAGGCAUUUGCCAUAUUAAUAGGCCAUCAUUGGCCGUUAUCCCAUUUUUACCAUGUGAGAGUCGAGGAGAUUCACUCCAACGACGUAUGCAACCAUAGCAUACCAAGUCAUGUUAUUCGAGCAUUUUCAAGCAUGGGUAUGGUAAAUAUUUAACACAUAGUACUUAACACUUAGAAAUCAUGAAAUGAGCAUGUCCUAGACUUAUUCCAUUACGCAUUCCUAUAUGGAACACUCACCUAGUCAAACAAGCGCAAUAGGUCUCAAACAAGCGUUUUAGGCGUCCGCUCCGAGUUCCUCUUGGAGAUCUCCUCGAUUGCCUGAGCAAACAAUAAUUCAAGUACUACUCAAUAUCGCUACGAAUUCUCUAGUUUUCGAUGAAGAUUGUACGCUAGUGCAAUCUAAGGAAUUAACGCGGAGACGAGCCUAAAAUUCGUGUAACUCGAGCUUCAAAAGUGGGGUUUUAAAACACAAGACAAAUUUGAUUUCCAUCUUUGGAUUCAAAUGUAAAACAAUCAAAUGAUAUUGAAAGAAAUGAAGAGUUCGAAACCCCUUUGUUUCCUUUAAGUUAGAAAAUUCCAGAUUUAACAAGUAAUCUUUGAAAAAUCAUAUCUUACUCUCUACAAGCCCAAAAUUGGAAAACUUGGUACUAUUGGAAAACUCUUUGAAAGUACUAAAAGUUCCUAGAAUACACUUUUCCAUGAUUCUAAAUGGAAGAUAGUAAAAAAUGGGCUCAAAGUUACUAUUUUGGUUCAUGAGGCAGAUUUAAGUUGGUUUUUGGCCAACUUUGGAAUUUCGGCAAAAUUCACUUGUUUGGAACUAGCUUUUGAAAUUUUGAACUCUAUUAGUGUUGUAAUCCAAGAGUAUAACAAAACAAACGGAAUGAGAAACGGGAUUUUGAGCACCAAGAUACGGUAGCUCAAAUUUACUAAAAUUCCCUUGUGAAACAUGGGUUUUUCAAUCUCGAGUCAUGAACUUUGGUAAUUUAUUUGACCCAUGAAACGGCCUCAGAAUAAUACCAUAAUUAGCAGUAUAAUACUACCAUAUAAGGGUUGUUCCUCUACCAAAUUUCAUGGAAAAAUAACUUCGGAAAGGUGGUCAAUCAAACACCUAAAAUUUCGCAAAUACUAAGACAAAACUGCCUUGAACCUUUUGUUUUUCCAUUUCAGACAUUUGGUCAAAGAAAGAUUCCUCCAAACCUGGUUCAUUUGUUUAGGUAAAACUUAAAGAACGUUCAUGGUACAUUUGGUAAGUGUUUAGCAUCAAAAUAUUCAGUUAGCAAGUCUUUGCCAAACCUUGCAUCAAAUCUGUCUAAAAAAUCAGGGUUUUCAAGGGCAGAGCAGGUUUCAUAUUUUGAUCACAGAUCUCUCAAAUUAACUCAUAAUUUGGCAUGGUUUAAGGCGUUGGAAAACACAUUCAUAGAGCUAUAAUUUCACAGAAGAAAUCAUUCUGAAAUUCGGCACACAACUAGCUCGAAUUUGAGUCACAAAUUGCAGCCUCAGCAUUUUGUUCUUGUAAAACAGAGAAACAGAACAGCCGACUUAAAAUAGUUGGUUUGGCUCACAUUCAUGGACCGAGAAUGUGAAUUUUAUAUCGUCGGAAAGGUUGGAAUGUCUAGUUUCAAAUGCCGCUGACGGCACUCGAUUUCAACAUCGGAGUUCAAAAUUAUGGCCGAAAUACGAAAGCUGGUCAGAGCAUUUCGAAAAUAGUUCCAGAUUUACUAGCUUUGUUACAUUGAUUUAUUUGACCAACCAAACCUCAAUAUUUUUCAAUCAAACUUUGUACGCCAUAUAUUCAACAUAUCAACAUGAUAUACAAGUCAUGAAACCCUCGAAAUUUUGCAAAAAGGGUUGCGAUUAAAACAGGGCAAAUCUGAACAUUUUUGAACUAUGCAUCUCUUGGAGUCUAGACUAGCUAGGUAUCAUUAAUCUACCUAUUUAAACACUAAACUAGCAUUAUAUCCAUCAUCAAUCCAAGGGUGGGAGUUCAUAGAGCCUACCAUCAAAAUUUUCCGACAUGAAACAAAACAAAUAGCAUGUGAUUUUGGCAAAUAAUUCCACCACAAUAAAUCUGUCCUUGGCUAAACAGAAUUUCCAGCAGCUAAUUGGUCAUAAUCCAACUUUUUACUCGGCUAAAACAUGAUAUUAAGUACUCAAUUUUGGCAUGCAAUUUCUUAACUAGCCAAUUAACAUUUCCAGUUCAAAAUUAGAUUCAAACAACAGUUUUACUCAUCUAAAACAAAUCCAGAAAUUCUGUUUAGCUUGGCCUCAGUCGAACAUACGUGUAGCAGAUUUCUAAUUCAUUUUAUUUCUCUGAUUUAAACCCAUUAAUUAGCUACAUGCAAAGAUCAAUUAUCAUGUUAUUAACUAGUUAAUCAUGGUUACAAACUCAAAACAACAAAAUUGAAUCAAAUGAAGCUGUAAAAUACAGGACAAGCUCUCGGCUGCAGCAAUUCAUAACAACAGAAUUUCUUAUGUUUCUUGAUUCAUCAUCCGGCUGCAUAGAGUUAACAUGCAUGGUCUUAAUCUUCAAGUUUUCACUCAGCUAAUGACACUUAGGUGUUCAGAUUGCCACGGAAAACAAAAAUGGAGCUGCAUUAUCACCUCAGUUUCUCGGCAGCAACAUUUCAUCAAAACAGAAUUUUUCUGGUGUCCUGGUUUCAUCAACCGACUUCACAAGCAACACAUGCAGCUCUGAUAUGGCUUCAUCUACUAAAAGUUAACUUAAUAUAGCCCAGAAAUUACCUCAGAAACAACUUAGCUCACGCACAAGAAAUCUGAAAAGAAAAAUUAUGUUCUCCCUCUCGGCUCUCGGCUCGCUUGUGGCUGCAGGUUGGUUGCUGCUGUGAUGGUGUUGGGUUCUGAGGUUGUUUUGUAGUUGGUUGAGGUUGCAGCAAGGGAUGAAGCUCACGUAGCCUCCCUCCUUUCUCCUCUUUAGUUUACGGACAGAACGGACAGGUUGCAGCUCGCGCGAUUUCCUUUCGUUUCUUUCCUUUCCUCUCGGCUUGCAGAGUGCAGCCCGGCCUCUCACUCUCUCUCAGUCAAUAUUCACGAGGUGGAGGCUGGAGAGGAAAUGUUUGUGGUUGUGGUCUGGAUGAGUUUGUGCAGAGAAAAUGGGAAUGGUGGUUUGUGAUAUAGGAAUGAGGUAGAAAUAUGGUGCCGCGGUUUUGGAGAAGGAAGAAAGAAUGGUUUACGGUUUUGGAGUGUAUGAAAUGGUUGCGUAUAGAAUUGGUGAAAAUGUGAUUGGUCGAUUGGGGCGGUGAUUGAAAUGCUAUCAGAGGGAUUGUUUGGUUUUGCAUGGAAACGUUGGGGUUGUAAGGGCAUUUUAGUCUUUUCACUCUGCUUCCUAACCUCUACUUAAAUUCUCCAUUCUAACUUAGCUCCAUAAAUUAUCCCAAGUGUGAUUUGAACGCCUAAUUAUACACUAGUAUACUUAAACCAUUUUUAUCGAAUAUUUAUCGAUCACAAUUUAAUAUUAAGGUUCCUAGUAAUUCCUAACAUUAUUACCUAAAUAUUUAAACUAUAAAAAUCAAGUUUGACCUUAAUAUAUAAAUUUAACAUUCUUAAUAUUCGUUUAUCCUUUUAUAUCAAAACUUAUUAACUUAAUCAUUAUUAACGCUUAAGAUUAGCUAUCGGAAUUCAAAGAAAUUUAAUUGUUAAAUCAAUGAAAUAAUUUACCUUCGAAAUAUGAAUUUAAUGUAACAAAACUAGGAAAUUUAACCAUUUAUUCGUUAUAUGUAAUUUCUUGAAUCGAUUAUUUACUCCAAUAGCGUAUUUACUAUUUUCACUUAACGAGCUUACAGAAAUUAAAUUUCGAAACGAAUUGCUUUAAAAAUAUAACUAAACUAUGGAUACGUUUAAUUAAACCUAAAAAGCUUAGAAAAUAAUAAUCAGAGAAAUUGGGUGAGUAAAUACUUAUUUUAGCCAGUAAAAUAAAUAAAAUAAGCAAAAUUUUCGGGUCCUUACACUAUCUAAACCCAUGAUCAUCUUCUUAUUUAACUUAAAGAGGGAUUCAUUCAUAUCACAUAUAGCUAAAUAUUACUCAAGUUGUGAAAGUGUCUUUUGACGCGAAGAUCGACAUUUUUAGAUGAAGAUCUCAGGUUACUCAAUAUUUCACAUACUCAAGUUGCUUUGCAUACUCUUAAUUCGAGCACCGUUUUGCGCGAAAGUUGACAUUUGUAAAUGAAGACUCCCGGUUACUAAGUACAAGAACCAUUGGAGUAGAAUAACUCUUAUUCAUUUUUUUCCUUUUUUUCUUUUUUUUCUUUUUUUUUCUUUUUUUUUGUUUAAAGUAAAGAUAAUAUUUAGUCCCUCAAAAGAAUAAUGAUAAGAAGAGUAUUACACUUAUUGACCAUAUUUAUCACUCAACUUAUAAAAUCAAGUAAAGAGAAGAAAUUUCACUAAACUUGCAAAAUGUUGGCAUAAUUUUCUCUACUUUACAAGAUAUACUUUCUUAUAAAUGUACAAAUUAUCAUCAUAUAAUAGUCAUUUCCAAGUUAAUAAGAAAAGAUGUUUUCAAGCCACAUACAUUAAGCUCAAAAGUAGAAGGAAUUUGAAUUACUAAUGCUGUGAAACUUGUUAGCCCUUGGAUAAAAUUGAAAAAAAUUUGAAACUUUUUGGGGCAAAUUUGCAAAUUUGGACAAGAUUUUGAAAAAAUUUUGACUGAGUUUCCCCUUAAAUUUGGACGAAACUCCCUGCCAGCAACCUAAGAUUAACAACAAUUAAGUGUAAUCAAAUUCCAAACAUCAAGUCCAUGCAAUAAACACAAAAAUACUAUCAAGUACCAUACAUUUCCUCCCCCACACUUAAAAUACACAUUGUCCUCAAUGUGUAGGGAAAGAAAAAUAACAAAAGAUAGAAAGAAAUACUUCCCAGUGCAAUGGCUAAGAUCCAGAUCAACCAUGAAUCACGAACCUUCGCCAAAACACAAAUAUCUACUAAGACUGUCCAAAAGGUGAAAUUGAAAACAGAAAAGGGUCAAGUUAAACAUACUACAAACAAAAGAUUAAACACGACAAACAAAUCUGGAAGCAACAAAAAUAGCCAUGCUAAAGGUGCAGCUUCAAUCAUUAUCUUCAUCUUCAUCGCUGUCAUGAGGUGAAGGAAUGCCUAAAUGAUACUUGAUCCUCUCCAAGCGAGUAUCCAUUCAUCCCAAUUGAUACUCGAUGUCAUCCAAGUGAGUAAAGAGCCACUGCCAAUUCGAUUGCGGUGGUGGAGGAGAAGAUGCAGUAGUAGAAGAUCCGACUCCCUCUUGGCCAUGUCGUGCCUUUUGUCGCCUUUCACGAGCAGGUUGAGGAAUGUUAUCCGUACCAAUACCCAAACAAUUGAUACCCAAACGAUAACUCGGUUCUAGGCUUAACAAAAUCCCGAGUUACACCCUGCAAGUUAACAUAGAAAUGCUCGAAUACCAAAGAGAGCAGACGAGGAAAUGCCAAUUUGAACGAAGUAGUCCGCCGCCUCUCCCUAGAGCUUAUGUGGUUAAUGAAAAUGUUUGGAAAUGGAAUUCAAGCGUAGGAGGACUCCCGAUUAUGAAACAUAUGAUCCAAAAAAUAGAUAUCACUUUUUCGGACCUCCGUAAGACCCGUCUUCUUGGGUAUGACGUUGUGUGCCAUCAUAUAGAUAAUGAGACGAUGACAAUGUUCAAAGAUGCUUGCCAUCAUUGUCUCCUUCCAUGAAGACCUAAAAGGUUGGUACUCAAAACCAACCCUAGUUAUGGCGUGCGAUGGAUCCCACUGCCUAUUUAGUGCGACAAAACCCUUCUUUAGGUUGACUGCCCGACCUUGGUUGGUACAACCCAAAAUGGUAGCUAAAUGCUCCCGUGACAAAACAAUACGGGUCCCACGCACCCAUGACUCCACCAUCUCGCCACUGUGACGUGCUUUGGAAUCAAUGUUGGCGUAGAACUCACGCACAAAGUCAGGGUAGUAGUGAGUCGGCAAUGUGAGAAUCGGCGCCCAACCUAGUUGGUUAAACGCUUCCGAGAUGUGAUAAACCACUUCAAUUUUUGGACUCACAUGCAUCUCAAAAAGAAACUCCAAAUUAGCGUGCGUCUCGUGCCACUCUUGAUGUCUAAGAUUGAUGAACUUGGCACUAUUAAAGAUGGCAGUUUUGGCACUACGAGAAGUGCCCUCCCCUUGUCGUCGCUGCACCGAUUGAGGUGAAGGUGACCUCUCUUCUUGACUUUCUUCAAUAUCCUCACUCACCUCCAUUUCAUCGCUAGUAAAGGAUGAAUAGACAACUUGCUUUCCUCUUGCCAUAGUACCUAAGAAAAAUGACUCAAUUCCAUAUGUACUAAGACAUAUUUCAUAACUUGGACAAUAAGUAACCUCAAUUGGCUCAAAUAACCACAAAUACAUGCCUCCAUGUCAUAAGAAAUCAAAUAAACAUACUUAAAUGACUACUAUUAUGACAUAUGAGAAAUGACAUAGUCAAAAUGCCAAAAAUUGCCAAAAUCACCAAUUUAUCAAAAUCGGCAACAAAUAUAUCCAAAUCAGUGAAAUUAGCACUAAUCAUGAUUAUGGCAGUCGAACUUUAGUAACAAUAAUGGACAUUUAGCUAUAAACAUGGUUAAGCAAAAGUUAUCCUAAUAACUCACAAAAUUCAUCAAAAUUACUCACUAUACACAAUGUACAUACCAAACCAUCAUCACUCAACCCUUUGCAUCCAUAAUCUGUAAACACAAAUGGCUCAACAACAUUCCAAGCUAACUUUCCAAUUUUAGCCAAAUAUAGCAAUUUAAAAUUUUAAAGAACUAUUAAUCCAUCAAAUUGCUACAUUUGAACAUGUAAACAUGCUUAAACAACCUUAAUAUGCAUAAUGGAAGUCAAAAACAUCAAUAGAAAUCAUCAAAAAUUUGAAAUUAAAAAAUGUUAGAAAGUUCAAAAAAUUGAAAACUAUCAACUUUUAAAAUAUGAAGAUUUGAUGAAGAAACUUACUUGAAUCACGUAGAAGGAGGUUUGGUGAUGCUAAUGAUGCAAAAAUCCCUAUGAAACACCCUCCGAUUGACCCUCAAUUGCUUGGAAAAAUGUUGAGAAACCCUAGCCUUCAAUCUCCUUACAACUGAUUUUAAGUUAUUUAUGUUGGAUUUUAAUCGGUUAAAAAGAUGUUAUGAAGGCUAGAUGAUGAUGGGUAGAUGUUUUCUAGCAAGAAAAUGUAGUAAAAAUGGAAUUUUGUGAAGGUGUGAGUAUGGAGAGAAGAGAAAACACGGCUAGAGAAGAUGAAGGAAGAAGAAUGAAACUAAAAAGGGAAAGUCGUGUUUACUGGUUUUGUACAAAGGAAGAAAAACGCGGCUUCACAAAACACACCUUCAACUCGCGUUUUGCUUAAGUCGCGUUUUCUAGUGAAAUUUUACACGCGACUUCAAGAAAACGUGGUUUAAUGUUACGUUUCCUAAUUGCGUAUUCUUCUUUAUCUUUGCGGAACUGAAAAUGUGCCUUCUUGAACGCCACUUAAAGUAGCGUAUUCAUGUCGCGUUUUAUACAGAAAUAAAAACGCAAUUGUAAGUCGCAUUUUACUACAAUGUGUGUUUUCUUCUACGAAAUUUGCAAAAAUGCUAACUUAAAAAAAUUACACAUAGUAUCCCAAUUGCUCAAAAUGCAUUCUAAAUUAUUUUUUUGCCAAAUUUAUCAUCGCAUACACAUGUAAAAUGAUCAAAACAUGCAUUUUAUCCCUUUUAACGGAUCAAAUACAUCCUUAACGCAAGUCGAGGGGUUGAGUUCCUUGAUCAAACUUCGCCUUUUCCACCUCAAAUGGUCAUCUUUGCUUCUGUUUGCCGAACCUAUAACACAAAAAUAACAAACUAACUUAAUUGCAUGCAUUAAAUAUAAAAUCAUACCAAAUUAACAUAAAUAACUUAAACAUUAGGCUGCCUCCCAACUAGCGCUUUUGUUUAUAGUCGUUGGAUCGACUUAAAAGGUUUGGGUUAUUAAGUUGAAGAAGAGUCACCCAAAGGACAUAUGAGUCCUUUGGGAAUGAUUUCCCCCCGCCCAGUAGAGUUUUAAUCGUUGUUCGUUGAUCUUGAAUCGUUCGUUUCUUGCAUUAACCACUUCAACGGCCCCAUAUGGAAACACUUGAGUAAUUUCAAAUGGUCCAGACCACCUUGAUUUGAGUUUUCCAAGAAACAACCUAAGGCGCGAAUUGUAUAAGAGAACCAUUUUCCCCAUCUCAAAUUGUUUGGGUAUAAGAUGAUUAUCAUGCCAAUAUUUCACUUUAUCUUUAUAGAUCUUGGCAUUCUCAUAAGCAUGUAGCCGAUGUUCCUCGAGUUUGCUCAACUCAAGUAGUCUCCUCCCACAUACAAGACGAAAAUCCAUUGUAAUUGAUUUGAUAGCUUAAUAUGCCUUAUGUUCAAUUUUUACUGGUAAAUGACAAGUUUUUCCAUAUACUAAUUGAUACGGUGACAUCCCCAAAGGUGUCUUAAAUGCCGUUCAAUACGCUCACAAUGCAUCGUCGAGUCUUCUUACCCAAUCUUUUCUCGAGUUGUUCACCGUUUUCUCCAAGAUGAGCUUGAUCUCUCGAUUGGCCAACUCCGCUUGUCCAUUCGCUUGUGGAUGAUAUGGUAGUGAUGUCUUAUGCCUACAACCAUAUUUAAGCAACAAAGAAUCAAGUUGUUUGUUAUAAAAGUGUUUUCCUUCAUCACUUACUAUGGUCCUAGGAAUACCAAAUCUACUAAAAAUGUUCUUUUUGAGAAACCAAAAUACUAUCUUAGUAUCAUUCGUAGGUGAGGCAAUUGCCUCCACCCAUUUAGAAACAUAGUCCACUUGUGACGGCCCCAUUCUCCCUAAGGCGAACCAGAGGGUUGGCGGGUCGCCUGCCCAGCUCUCGCCAGGACUCACACAAGCAAACCGACCAAUUAUCCACGUAUAACUUAAACCAAAACACAAUUCGCCAUCCGAACAUGCCAACCUUUAAGCGACUUGAAUACUAAAACACAUUAACUUCAGAGAUAACCUUACCAUUGAACAUCCACCCGUUCACUCCUAAAUACAUCUGUGACCAGAUCACCACAUAAUCUCAAAUAUACAAUACAAACCACACAGUAAGUUCAUAAAGCUCAGAUAAAAUUCAUACAAGCCAAAUCUUAGGGUUUGCACUUUUCCUGCUUCAAGUGGCAACCCAAAACGAAGAUACAAGUAUGAUUCGAAAUAACAUUUACAAAACGAUAAGAUAGACUUCAAGUCUCUCGAUUUCCGGAACCUGUUAAGGAAAACAAAUAUCGUGUGGUGAGCUAAAGCUCAGUGAGGUUCCGAACACAUAGGCAACAAGAAAAUCAAUGCAUUCAUUACAUAUAACCAAUAAUUCAAGAGACAAGUACAAAUAAAGCAAUAAACACGUUCAUGAAAAGGAUACGGGCUCACAGGGAGCCAUAUGUUCGUUCGUUCGUUCUCCUGACAUUUCCCCUUAUUCCUCCAGUCAUUUGCAAAAUCCAUUUUGUAUAAGUAAAACCCCUCAUUCAUUCAUUCGUUCAUUCCUUUCAUUCACCCCGUCCCUGGCUUUUGGCCAGGCUCCACCAACCUACAGGGUAAUACUCGAGUAUACCGAAACGUUCACCCAAGUCCCUAAUCGCCCGACCGAAUCCGCUUCUGGCUCGAGACGACCGGUAACAAGGGCAAUGGCCAGUUCAACCCCAAAAGGCUUACAUUCAUGCGCAAGUCACAUGUCAAUCAUUCAAUCAUUAAAAUUUCAUAAUCAUUUAGGCUAAGUGCGAUAAAGUACACACUCGCCUUGAAAACUCGUUUUGACAAUCAUUGAAAGCAUUAACACAUUAUCAAGCAAUAAGAUCAAGCCAAUAAGCCAAGGAAAUCUAACAAACAAGGAACACUCACCAAGAGUGAAGUCACAACUCACGCUGGAAAUCGAAAUCCGCGUCCUCGCUAAACCCUAGAAAUCCAAGUUUUAAAACUAUAAAUUUCACUAAGCACACCCUUGUUUUAUAUAUAAAAGGUUAUCUUAUAUAAAACUAAUUUAAUUUCCCGCAACAAGUCAAUAAAUUUCUAAAAAAAACAAAGCUAGUAAAGGAAUAAAAUGUUUCGUGUGGUUUCUUUAAAGGUAUUUCCCCUCUAGAGGCAAACUAGAAUCAAAUUGGUUCAAACGGGUUUUCUUGCCGAACAAGUUUUCUAUGUCUGUAAUUUGAAAUUAUUCAAAUCUAGUGUUUUUCCAAAUUUCCUUUAAAACAACUAGUCAAGGAUAGUUUUAUGAAAAACUUAAAGUUUAGAAGUUAAAUACAAUUAUUCCCUAAAGGUAAUAAAACUAGUUUAAGCAAAAGAAAAGAAUUAACUAGUCGGCAAGGUUUUAAAAGUCCCAAUAUCUAACUUUUUAAUAAUAACAUACUAAGCUCAAAUGCUAUCACUUGAUAUUAAAACAAAGUAUUUCCACGAAACUUGAUUUUGAAAGUAUUCAAGUUCAAGAAAACCAAAACGGUCUUUACAAUUCUAGCUCAUUUGCACAAUGAAUUCCCAAGUCAUCAAGAUUGAAACAUUACAAACCAAAUAUCAAUUUCACUAGGGUUUCAUCAAUCAUUAGCCCUAGGUCUCAACAAAUUCCAGUACAAUUAAAAUUCAACAAAGGAAGUCCAAGGUACUAAAGCAAUCCCAAAUCACAACCCACGGACCUUCCAAGUACAUUUCAACCAACCACUUGAACAAAUUCACCAAAAAUUAAAUUAUUGCAAAACUACUCAAAUGGUCAAGAGCUUCAUCAAUCAUUAGCUCUUGACAACCAAUACUCACUUCAAACACCAAUCCAUUCAAAACAAGAAUAAAACUACAGCCAACUUGAGUUCCAAAUGAUUCCAAGAAUCCAAAAUAUCCAUUAAACUUUCCCCUUUUUCUUGCUAAAAUCACUAUACAUAUAGUUUAUAAUCUGCUCAACUUAAACUGAAGCAAACAAUACUCAAAUCAAAGAAAAAUAACUCACUAAGAGCUUGAACUAGUAUGGCUAGCAAUUAUAUACAAAUUUCCAGCGAAGAUAUUCCAAAAUUUUCAACAAGGUUUCCAUCCUUAGCUUGCUUUAAACACUAAACACUUAACAUGCAUUUUGUCCAACAUGAAGUGAGUCAAAUAACAGGAAAUUUCAGCAAAUUAUUCCACCAAGAAGCCCCAUAAAUCUGUCAUCAGCUAGGAUAUAAUUUUCCAGCAAUUGAUAGUUUAAAUUUGAAACUUUCCCCAUAAUCCUCAUUUUUUUUCCAUUCCAGCUCAACAUGCAGGGUACGAUUAUCAUGCUAAGGUGUAUCUUGUGCAAAAAUAUGAAAUUUAUAACCAAAGAUUCAAAAGAAAAAGUUGGAUAAAACUCUGCUUCUUUCUCUCGGCCAAAGCUAAGAAACUCCAGCAGCUUUCUUUCAAUAUUUUUUUUCUACAAAUCCACGACUCAUAUCAGCUUCAUGCUUGAUCAAAAUAAUUAACUAUCUAUUAGGUCUUGAUCCAAACCAAGUGCGGACAACAUAAAAAAAAACAUCAUCUAACCAGAAAUUUAAUCAAUCCUGCUCUCGGUUGGCUUACAUGCAACCUGAUUUUGGUAUCUUUUCAAUUUUCUGACUUAAUCAAAGCUAAUCAAUCUCAUGCAAAGCUUAAUCAUCCAGAUUUUAGUUAGUUAAGAACACAUCUAGGCUCAGAUCGUCACAGGUUAGCCAAUUAAAGUUACAAAUUUCUAGCUCAAACUCUCGGUAGCUUCAAUUCUUUCUCAAACAGAUUUUUCUAUGAUUUAAGCUAUCAUCUAACCACACAAUCCCACAUGCAUGCUUAUAGUCAGCUUCAUCAACCCAUAAACAACUCAUCUAAGUUCAGAAAUUACCUUAGCUUGAAGCCUAAAACACACGACUAGCAGCUGCAGCAAUCCUCCACUCUCGGCUGUCCAGAAAUUUAGCCCGCUAGCUCUUCCUCUCCCUUGCUCAAGCUCGUCACUAGGAUGAAGAAGGUUUGGUUCAGACUCUUCACCAACUCACGGAUGAAAGAAAGAAGGAGUAGCAGCUCUCACCUUUUCUUAGCUCACGGCAGAAUGGAAAGGAAAUGAGAGGCUCGGCUCACUCUCUCCCGGUCGAUAAUUCCAAGGCUGCUCCCUCACAGUUCACGGCAGGGAAGAAAUUGGAGUUGUGAUAUUGUGGUGAAGUGAGAAUGAUAUAAUGAAGUGUGUGAGUAGUGUAAUGUAUAUAAGGUGAGGCUGUGAGUGGAGUUGGUCGGCAAUAUCAAAUGGAAAAGGCUGGAAUGACACGUGGGAAGUGGAACCGGCAGGAAUUGGAAUUGUUUGGAAUGUUCCAUGGCUGCUUGGUGGAUUUGUAAUGGAGGAGGGCUGUUUUAGUCUUUUAGCAACUUGUUCAACCUUUCACUUAGGUCCCUCAUCUUAAACUAAUUCCAAAAUUUACCCCAAGUGUAAAUCGAAUGCCUACUAGUACACUAAUCUCGCAAAAUUCAAUUAUUGAGAUUUUAACCUCCUAAGUGUACCCAAUGCACUUGUAACGGUUUAUCAAAAAUAUAUCGAUUCAUCUUAAUUCUAAGGCUCCUAUUAACACUUAACGUUAUUAACACUUAAAACUAGCUAUCGGAAAUUCAAGGAAUUAAUCUUAAAACAAUAAAAUAGUUUACAUCAAGAAAUAUUAUUCUAACUUGGCGAGAGUCAAAUAACUCAAUAUUUUGCACGAUUAACGUGUUUGAAACUUUAAAAUUGUUUUUACAUACUUAUUCAAAGACAAAAAUUCAUUUUCCUGAAGAAACAAGACAUUCAAGCAGGACAGCCUACUUCUUGAGCAAAUGAAUGAUUUCAAUGGUAAAUUUAUAAUUCGUAAGUGAUCACUUAUCAUUCUUACCUUAUUAUUUAAGUUAUUAAAAUCAAGUUUGACCUUAAUAUAUAAAUUUAACAUUCUUAAUAUUCGUUUAUCCUUUUAUAUCAAAACUUACUAACUCAAUCAUUUUCAAACCAUGAACAUACCUAUCUUCAAGUUUAACUUGUAUACUCAUUCAAUCUAAUAUACUCUAUAUACAUAUCUCGCACAUAAAUACACAUAACAACAAGGCCUUUCGUUGUUUCCAACGAGUAGUUAACAAAUUUGCACGUAAGAGGAGAAAAUGAGAAGAAACAAUAGACUAAGGAAAUAUGCAAAUUCUAGGGUUCUCACACCACUGCUACUAAGAUGUACUUAUUAUUGAAAGAGCUUUAAAAUGGUCCCAUAAAAUCCAUACCCCACACAUCAAAUAACUCAACUUCUAAAAAAAUAGUGUAGGGCAUUUCAUUUUUUCUAGAAAUAUUUCCAAUUCUUUGACAGGUAUCACAACUUUUAACAUAUUUCCAAGUAUCUCGGUACAUGGUAGUCGAAUAAAAUCCCGAUUGCCAUACCUUAGCCACGGUCUUAGAAGUGCCAAAAUGACCACCCAUUUCUAAAUUAUGAUAAUGAAGUAAAAUAUCACGUACCUCCUCUUCGGGAAUACAUCUUCUUACCAUACGAUCGGCACAAUGCUUAGCAGUGGUUCUUCCCAAAAGUAGCUUUUAACAUCAUGUAAAAAUUUCUUCCUUUGGUGAAAAUUAAAACCCUUCGGAAGUGCCCCACUUGCCAAGAAGUUAGCAAAAUCCUCAUACCAUGGAGACUUGGUUAGUGCUAGAAAAACCUCGUCCGGAAAAAUCUCCUUAAUUGGAACUUGAUCAUUAGUAGGGAUAUACUCUAAUUGCGAUAAAUGAUCUACCACUAGGUGUGACGACUUGAAAGAUUGCUUAUAUUUUCUUAUAAUACCCUCUUAUUUUGAUUAAGUUAACUUAUAAUUCCUUUACUACUAAUUUACUCUCUCAAUAGUUGUAAUAAAUAAUAAAAUUGAGAGUUUUACCUUUGCUUUUAUAGUUAGGGUAAACUAGGGUUUUUGCAUAUUUUGGUAGUGUAAUUAGUUGGUGAGGUGUGUGUACUAAAUUUGGUGGAUAAAAGUGAAUAUUAGGUAAGAGAAAGUGUGUGAUUAGAAAUGCUAAUAAUAAGUUAGUGAAUCAUAAGUUAAAACACAAGUACGAGAGAGUUAAGGAAAAUAGGCUUGAACCGACGUGCACCGUUUGUUAUCGAUUGAGUACACCACUUAACCACUACUUUCUUACUAUAAUCCUCUUGUUUUUAUUUCAUCUAAUCAGCCCUAAAUUAAACCCUAAACCAGCCAAAAUCUUUGACUAAAGAAAAGGUGAGAAAAGAAAAAAAAAAGGAAAAAAUCUUGAUUGAAAAGUGUUGGCAAUCAAAGAAGGGUUUGACCAAGUUAUUUCUUUCCUUCUUAUCUUUCAUCUUGGCUACAUUUCCUCCAUUAUUUCUUCAUGUUGGCCGAGAGCAAGGAGAGAAAAAAAGAGAGAAGAAAACCUUCAUUCCAAUCUUGAUUUUGCCUUGUUUGAGUUGAGAUCACAAAAACCAAACCGAUGAAACUAGUCCCUUGAUGCUUAGGAAGCUUGGAGUGGAGAGUUUCUUGGGAGAAAGUGUUUGGUUCUUCAUUUCUCAAGAAAUUUGGGAGGUAUAAGUUCAUCAACUUCUUUUUUUGUUCUUAUUCUUGCCAAAUAUGGUAUCGAUGCCUUGAAUCUUGGAAUAUUAUGGAUGAUCUUCUAGUUUUGGUGUAGAUUAGUGGAAUUUCAGCUAGGGUUUUGCCAUUUUCAUCUUUCAUUAUGUUGUUUAACUAUAAAAUGUUGGUAUUGGGCUUGGAUAUGAAAAAUUUGUGAGGUGUUUAGUGUGAGACCCCGAAAUUUUACUUGUCUUUAUAGCUUUUAUUUGAAGUUACUUGCCUUAGUUCUUGGUUGUUUUAAUGGUUGAAUUUGAGCCAAGAGAGUGAAUUUUGUUAAGAAAAGUUUCAUAAUCUCAAGUUGUUAGAAAAUCUAGAAAUUUUCGCAAGAGGCUCUGCGCAGCUUUGGGAAAUUGGCUAUAACUUCGUAUAGGAAAGUCGGAAUUGAGUUCCAUUUGUUGUGUUUGAAACUAGACUCAUUGUGACGCCCCCCAUCUCUCCCUAGGGUGAACUUUAGGGUAUCAGUGGAACGCCUGCCCAACUCUCGUCAGGACUCACGCACUCAUUCAAGCUUAAUAAAGGAUUACAAAUUAACCAUCGACUUAAUUAAGAAGUACUUCGAAUAUACAAGCUCGAAACUCCCAAGUAUACCAUUUAUGAUUACAAACCACAAAACCCGAGUUUACAAAAUUUAUACUUUAAUGGACUCCAAUAACAUACAUAAGUAUAGUAGCUUCAACUAAGAGUCACUAGUCUAGGAACUCUAAUUUCCACAUCCAAAACCUGUUAAGGAAAACAAACUUAAAGGGAUGAGCUAAUGUUCAAUGAGGCCAAGAAAACAAGCAAGCAAGCAAGUAGAACCAAUUAAUCGAAUAGCAUGCUUUAACAACUUUAAACAUGACAUUUUAUUUAAGUGCACAAGUAGGAAUUAACACACAAGAAAGAAUACAAGAGCUCUCAGGAGCUAUUCCCACGUCUCGAUCAAUUAAGCCUUCGGGGGUUGACCCUCCGUCAAUUCAAGUAGUAACACGACCGUAGUGCUCCACUUACUUCCUCCAUCCAACAUAACACCCACUCGGAUCCAGAACCAAACAUGUAAGAGGUGGUGAUACUAUUCGAGCAUGCCAUGCGAGAUCUCAAAAGAUCAAGCUAUUUUUUUCCCAAGGUUCACCAAGCUUCUCGACCAAGCCCUUGCCAGCUCGAGUUACAAGGUAGCUGAUGGGUUAGGGAGUCCCCACACGUGUAUUUGGUAGAUGAGAUAUCGUUUCAAUCGACUUUGAGUCGAUCAUAGCACUGGGUCAGGGUGAGCGAUAACUCUUACCCGAAUAGGGCGUGAUACUUCUAGCCGCUCAGUGCUUACGACUUAAAACAUGUUCAUGUACAAGAGCAAGUCAUAUAUAUUCACGUAACAAGUAUCAUAUAAUCAAGAGAGAGAGAGAGGACGAGAGCGAUAAAGUACACCCUCACCUCGGUAAGUUCACGUAUCAUAUAUAGUACUUGUUCAUCUAUCAUUUCAAACACAUAAGCAUUUAACAUGCACUUGACACUCACCAAAAGUCAAGGCAAAACAAGAGCAAAGCGAGAAGUCAGAUGAGCUCUUCGGCAUCCUCGUGACCACCUGAGACAUGUACAACCAUAAUUAUCUAGGUGCUUGACCAAGGUUUAAAAGAAAGACAUUUUCUCGCUACCCACUCCCCAAGUCACAAGUUCGAGUCAAGUUAAAGAAGUUUUUCUAGCUCAAACGUUGGAAUAAUAGUCAAAGAGAGCUCAAAGGUUGUUUUUGAUCCAAGUCGUGGUAAAUAAAUCUCAAUUCCAAAAGAAAGUACCAUUUUUACUUCAGCACGAAAAUCGAGAAAAAAGGGUAGAUGGUUCAUCUCCCAAAACUUCAAAUUUCAUAUCCAAGGUUUAGAAUAUAAAGAGCAUGCACAUUAUCCAAACUAAUGGAGUUAAAACUCAUCCAAACUCCACUCAUUUUCAUAGAAAAAUAUCAAAGCUAAGAUUCCAAUGUUCAAGUAUAAAACUAGUGAAAUUCAGCAAGAAUUACUCUAGUCAAAACACUCCCUUUUUAGAUUUUCAACUCAUGGAAAUCGAUGCAAUAAGAAUAGGGUUGUAGUCUAUAAUUCGAGUAUGAAGAGAAGUGCUAUUAACCAAGGGAAGCUAUAGAGCCAAGAAGAAUCACAAAAAGGGGAUUAAUCCCUUGGAAACUAAGAUUCGAUAUAAAGGUUUAAAGUUCAAAGAGACCUUGUAUGAAAUCAUGAAAUGAAACUUAAAACAAUCCAACAAUCACAAAGGAAGGUGGAAAGUUCUUAAAAGAGUAAUUUGGUUGAAAACAGAAAAUUUCCAACUUAGAGUGACACUACUUGGAAAACUCAUAUCUCAAGUUCCGUAAGUCCAAAAAUUGAAAACUUUAUGCCGUUGGAAAUUAGACUCAAAACACUAAAACUCUCUAGAAGACACUUUUCUCAAAAUCCAAUUCAAAAUCAUUCAAAUUUUAGCUCAAAGUCACUGUUCUAGACAGGACAAAGCAAAACAGGCUUGUAAAUUCAGUAAAGUUUGGAAAUUCGGUAAAAUUCGUAAAAAAGGAAUGAACCCCUGAAAUUUAUUCCACAAUUAAAAUUCCAAAUCUAGUUUCAAAUGCAAGAAACAGAACUCAAUUCGGACCUUCCUACACCAAGAUACGAUAGUUCUAAAAAAACUAAAGUUUGGAACCUGUUUACGAAAAUUCCAGUUCUGACGAACUAGAUAGAGUUUCAAAAUCUGAUCAUAACUAGAGCUACACGCCUCAAAAUUUAGUGAGGUUUGUAGCAUUGAAAAUUAAUUCAAAAUGAUACAAUUAACUAGAAGCGACUGUCUUAAAAUUCAUUUUGAAAGAUAAGCAAAAUUGAGCUACAAACUGUAGCUAAGACUGUUUCUCGGAUGAAAGCAGGAAGGAAUUUCAGUCAUUUUUGCCGGUUCAUUACCACUUGUAGGAAACGAGUUAGAAGGUGUGUUUUAUACCGACAGAAAUCUCUCAGGAGUCUAGUUUUAGAUGCCACAAACAGCACUCGAUUUCAACUCCCAGACAAAAUGUUAUGACCAAAAACGUGAACAUUGGGUGGUGUCACCUGAUCAGAAAAAUUCCAGAAUUCAUCCUCACUUUCACUUCACUUUAACUCAACGAAUUGGAAAGUUUUUUGGGAGAUAUUUCAUACACAUAAUCACCAACAUGUAUCAAGUAUUAUUGCACCAAAAUAGCAUCAAAAUUUCGAAAUUAAUAAGAGAGGAACAACCAGAAAAUUUCGGCCAGCAAGCACUUUCAUUCCUCUAGCUUGCUUUUCCAAUUUUCCAACUAGAACUACACCAUAUCUCAUCAAAGCAAGUAACAAACAAGCAAAUAAACACACAAAAUCCUCAAGGCCUCUACCUAUCAAACCACCUCAAGUUCACUACCUAAUGUCAAGGUUCUUGUGAAUCCAUCAACAACCCAACAACUAAACUAACUAAACUAUCUUACUAAUAAGCUUUGACAGGAAAAGUUGAAGGUUUCUUGGAUGAUUACCUUGCUGCCAAAAGAAGAGUAAACAUUAGGGUUUGAGCUCUUAAAUCACCAAAGUUUCUUCCUUGAUCAAGUCCUCUUCCAAGCUUGUAUGAAGAACCAAAAGGAAUAGCAAAUUUGGGGAGCUUUCUUGGAGGAAAAAUGGAAGAGAAAGAGCUGAAAUUUUUUUGUAGGAAAUGGGGGAAGAGGGAUCGGCCAAAGCAAGAGGAAGAAGAAGGAGUUUUUGUUGGUAGAUGAGUGAUGUGAUAGUGUGUAAGAAGGAUGGACAUAAAGUGCUCUUGGUGCCCAAAAGUCAACGUCCGAUUAGUGUGCAAUUAGUGCUCCAAAUUGAGAUUAACUUAACUCACUCACAUCUAAUCCCUCAAUUAACUUUUUUUAGUCUACUAUUGAUCAUUCUUAAUUCUCCAAGAUUAUUACACUUUCGGAUCUAAUUUAUCUCAAAAAAUGUAUAUUUACUAUUUCUCGCUAAAUGAGCCACCAAAAAAAGUUAAAUUCGCUAAUGAAAUGUUUUAAAAAUAUAAACGAGACAUGGUUCCAUGCAAAUGGGUUUAAAAUGGGUGAAAUAAAUUAUUUGGAGCAAACGGGUGAAUAAAUAAUUAAAUAAACCAGUAAAAUGAAAUAAAAAUAAGAAAACUAAAAAAUUCGAGUUCUCACAUUCUUCCCCCCUUAAAAGAAUUUCUUCCUCAAAAUUCAUGCAUUGAUUUAGAAACAAUUCUGGAUAUUUCUUCUGGAUCUUUUCUUCUACUUCCCAAGUCGCUUUCUCCAUUCCAUGAUUUCUCCAUAAAAUCUUCACUAGAGGGAUUUGCUUGCGUCUUAACUCCUUCACUUUUCGAUCUAAAAUCUUUACCGGCUUUUCCUUAUAGGACAAAUUCUCAUCAAACUCUACUUCUUCCGGUCGUAACACAUGAGACGGGUUGGAAUGAUAUUUCUUAUGUGACGACCCCACUUCUCCCAAGGGCGAACCCAAGGGUAUCGGCGGGCCGCCUGCCUAGCUCGCGCCAGGACUCAAAACUUAAAGCAAUCAAACGAGAUAGAUCGAAAGAGCACUAUAUACAAUAUAUAUACAAUCCCAAAAGUUAUAUUUACAUCUUCAAAAGUCUCGAGUCAAACCACUCUAAUAUACUACAACCACAAUCAGUAGAAGAUAGACCCUAAGAAGGGUCCUUAUACAAACCACCAAAACAAAACAAACAUCCUAACUGUUCAACUAUUACAAGCCAAUCUAACUAUACUAGUAUACGAGCCAAAAGUCCCCGCGUCGGCCCCUGCUAAGGAAAACAAAAGGAAUGGGGUAAGCUAUAUGCUUAGUAAGUAAACAGGGGCGAAAGCAUAAAUUCACGUAGCAACAAUUACACAAUAAGAGUAAAGCAAAAGCAGAAAAGAACAACAUCAUAUAACAAGGAUACGGGUGGCUCCAAAGCCAAUUCAUGUGCCAUGUAUGAUCUCCUGCCGACACUCCGUCGACCACAAAUAAUAGUCCGUAGAACUUCACUUGUACACCCACCGACACCUUAUCACCCUCACUGGCCAGUCACCUCACAAACUUGCCCGGGCGAACGAAAUCACAAACUUGAGCUUGAGUCACAAGCUCGGUCACAAACUUGGUCACCUUCUCGGUGAACCGGAUUCACAAAAUUGGUUCAUAACAUGAACCUACAAACUUGGUGACCUCAGACUAAGUUGGACUGACUUCGACCAACCCCCAACCGGCUCGAAUAGUCCAAACAGGUCUUAGAUCGGGCCCACGAACUCACAAACUUCACAAAAUUCACAAACUUUACUCGAAAGUCGCCCCGAGCCACAAGCUCAAGGGUUUUGGUUCUAAAAGGUUCAUAUACAUAUGCUAAGUACAAUUAUACAUUCAAAUUAGGGUUUAGGUCGAGUGCGAUAAAGUACACUCUCGCCUAAGUACCCUUUUCACAUAUCUCAAACACAUAGCAAAGAAAACACAUCAAACUGGCCUGAAUACUUACUCAAAAUACCAAAAGUAGUACGAAAGCAAAAUCGCUUCGCGCGUUCGCUAGUAGUGGGCCCCACCGGCUCCGCCUAGCUCACCGCUGUCUGAAAUAGAAGAUUUUAUCACAAACGGCCACUAACAUGCCCAAAACAAGCAAAACGGCAAAACAACACGCGCGCACGAAAAUAUGACGGACGGAAACGGAAACGGCAGAUUUGAUACUCAUUUCUAGUUUACUCAUAAGUUGAGCUACGAAUAUCGGAUUAAGGCGUAUGAGAUGCCAAAUCGAAGCUUAAAGGAUGAACAACAACUGUUAUGAAGACAUCCAGAACUGAAACUGGAGGCUUCAGUCCCAAAUGAACCAAACACAAUCACUUACGAAAUCUGGCCAAUGCACAAAUGGUCAGUUUUGAGUGCGAACUGUUUUCUAUGCUACACAUGGUCAAAAGAGCUGAAAAUUGGCAGUUAGAUAGUUCAUUCCAAAUGGAACAACUUUCAUGAAGGUCGGCAAUCAAAAUUCGGAACGGAAAUUGGUCAUCAGGACCAAAACAGAUCUGACCAGAGAAUGGUCAUCUUCACGGCCAGGCCUUAUUUGCUCGGCUAUAUCUCAGGUCUUAUAAAUCCGAUUCCUGAAAUCCCAAGGGCGUUAGAAAGCUCUGAUAUAGGGCUAUAAGUUUGGUUUUUUGGUCGCGAGCCCAAACAGCUUGUAACCCAGUCAAAUGUGAAGCCAAAGUUCCAGUCAUAAACUGUCCAAAAACGUAACAGAAUUUGACGGUCAAAACAGGUCUGAGUAUUUCGUUUAUAGCUCAGGAUAUACUAAUCCGUUUAACCUGAAACUUUACAAGGAUAUCCAGGACUUAAGGGGAUACAAUGUUGAAGAAGGAAACUUUGUCCAAUUUUGAAUGUAACAAGGUCAAAAAUGCAAGACACUAUACCAGAAUUGCAAAACAGGAUCACAAACCGUAUUUGACCUUAAUAUGCGGUAAUGGCACCAAAUUCACUACGGUUAUCGAAUGGGGGUGUAAGACCCACCGUUUCGAAGCUAAGAAACAGGGCUACAACAAUGUAGAAGGUCACUCAGUCCAAAUCCUAACACAACUAGGUCAAAAUGCAGAAUACCAAAUCCAGAACCGUAAUUGCAGGUUCCCAAAUCGCACUAUGCUGUAAUGAACACAACUCAGUCUAUACAGGUCCAAAUGCCGAAAUUCCAAAGGCAUAUGUUAGCUAAGACAUCCAGAUACAUUUCAUCAGAAGAUACCAACUUCAAAAUCUAAACCAAUUCUAGUCAAAACAAAUGAUUACAAGCGCAGUUUUCACAUUCUGAGCAACCCUGGACAGCAACAGUAAAAACGACAUAACUCACUCUACACAAAUCCAAAUGACCUAAAAUUUUGCAGGCACUUCAAACUCAUCAAUACCUACAACUUUCAUAUUUUGAGCAAAGUCCAAUUUGGCCUCUAACCCUAUGAUCUAAAACCGGACAGAAUUAGGGGAUUAUGAACCCUAACUUUCCAUUUUUCCAUCCAAAUCCAAAAUUAGUUGCAUUUAUCAUCAAUUCACACCUACUAGAGUCAUUAUAGUCCAUUGCCAAUCAUCCAAGAUAGCCACAACAUCCCAUUCAUAUUAAACCAGAAAAUUCAUCAUAAAAUUGAAAACUUCACUAAAACACUUCAAAUCAAGAAAUAAAUCACAUAAUCCAUCACUUUAGCCACUCCUAAGCAAAUCAUAAGCAUCAUUAGGUGUAGCAUGGUGUUCAAGCAUCACUUACCAAGAAAUCAAGAGAGAGGGAGAUGAUGGACACCUUAGCUCUUCCAAAAAGCUUCACUAAACCAACCACUAUCACCAACUAGAAAAGUUGUAUGGAAAGGAAACUAAUUUAUGUGCUUGAUUGAGAUGAUUUGCUAGUGGAAAGCUUGAAGAUUGAAGAGGUUUUUCUCCUUCUUGCAAGCGAGAGAGAGAGCCGGCUAUGGAGAAAGAAAAUGAGGGAAUUUUAGUGAAUUUUUGAAGAUAUUUAACCUUUGGUCAAAAAGUCAAAAAUGUGAAUAGUGUUUCUUAAAGUCCAACCAAUGAGAAAGUGACACUUGUCACCUCAUUAAUGCAAUCCUAUCCUUUCUUUUCUCUCUCACAUCAAUUAUUUCACACACUCUACUUAUCUCUUGACACCCGAUAAAUUUUACACAGUAUCCGGAAUUUAACCUAAUUGGCCGAAUUUUUCUGAACUUUUCACACUAGUGGGUCCCACGUCCAAUAUACGUUCUUAUUUUCUCAAAAUCUAACCGAUACUAGAAAAAUCAUCUAAAAACUCUAUUUACUCAUAAAAAUUAUCUGGGGAACUUUCUAAUAACGAAAAUAUCAAAAAGACGGGUGAACAAUCAAACUCCACUUAAGCUUUCUACUAAAAUGAACUAGGGUUUUCAACCCUAAUCGAGGUUAGGGUUUUCUUCUUAGCCUUAAAACCCUAAUUCCACCCCACCGAUCAAUGAAUAACCCUCAUAUCAGCUUACGAACGGACUGGGGCCUCACAUCUUAAGUAUGGAGACAUGGAAGACAUCGUGAAUCCUAGACAAACUUAAAGGCAAUUCCAACUUGUAAGCUACAUUUCCUACGCACUAGAUAACCUUAUAGGGUCCCACAAAUCUCGGUUGCAACUUCUUCCCUUUUCCCGCCAUUGGAUUUGCUUUCAAGGGUGUAAUUCUAAGAAACACUUUAUCUCCAACCUCAAACUCUAACUUCUUUCUCCGAUUAUCCGCAUAGCUCUUUUGGCGGUUUUGAGCUGUUCGAAUCCUCUGACGAAGUAAUUUCACCUUCUCAUAAGCUUCCUCAACCCAAGCUACGGUAGUCGGGUCCCAAAUCUUCUUUUCUCCAACUUUGUCCCCAUGAAUCGGAAAUCGACACUUUUGACCAUAAAGAGCUUCGUAAAGAGCUAUAUGUGUUGAGGAAUGAAAACUGUUGUUAUAAGAAAAUUCCACCAACUUAUGGUAUUGAAUCUAAUUUUCUCCAAAAUCCGCAAUACAUGACCUCAACAUGUCCUCUAGGGCUUGAAUUGUCCUUUCCGACUGUCCAUCAGUUUGCGGGUGGUAAGUGAUACUAAAAUUCAGUUUAGUCCCCAAACUCUCUUGCAUCUUUGGCCAAAAUCGAGAUACAAACCUAGGGUCCUGAUCUGAGACUAUACUCACUGGUAUCCCAUGCAGUCUUAUAAUUUCAUCCAAGUAUAAUUUAGUUAACUUUUCCAAGGAAUACUUCAUACUAAUCGACAAAAAGUAAGCAGAUUCGGUCAAUCGAUCUACUAUUACCCAAAUAGCGUUGUGUCCUCUCUGAGUCCUUGGUAACCCUGAUACGAAAUCCAUUGUGAUAUUUUCCCACUUCCACUCAGGUAUUUUCAACGACUGUAAUAAUCCAGAUGAUUUCUGAUGUUCGACCUUAACCUGCUGGCAAGUGAGACAAGCUCGAACAAAUUCAGCAAUUUUUCUUUUCAUAUUCUCCCACCAAUACAGGCUCUUCAAAUCUUAAUACUUCUUAUUACUUCCAGGAUGCAUCAUAUACUUUGAACGGUGAAUUUCGUUUAAAAUUUCCUUCUUUAGACCUUUAUCCUUGGGUACCACUAUGCGAUUUCUAAACUUUAACACUUCAUCAGUCCCCAAAUUGAAGUCAGACUUUUUCCCCUUUUGAACUUUCUCAACCCAUUUUUACACUUCAGGGUCUCCUUUUUGAACUUCUUUGAUUCGAUCUAAUAAAGUAGAUUUCACAGUAAUAUUCCCAAAGAUUACCCUCUGUGGUUCAAGAUGCGGAUUCCAAACACUAAUUUCUUCUAGCAUGUGCCAUUCUCUCACCAUAAAUUGGCCACUUGUGUGAGGACCCAUCAUUUUCUUAUUUUCUAGGUUUUAUUCUAUUUAAUUGCAUGCUUUUCUGCAUUUUCUUUAUUAGAAAAAUUUUCUAGAUAAGUUUUAUGAGUAAAUAUAGUUUUAAAAUGAUUUUUCUAGUAUCGGUUAAUUUUUGAGAAAUUAAGAGCGUAUACCGGUUGUGGGACCCACUAGUGCGGUAAGUUCGAUAAAAUUCGGUCAAUUAGAUUAAGUGGUGUAUACCGGGUUUAAUUUAUCAGGUGUUAAGAGAUAAUUAGAAGUUACCUAGAUGGAUUAUCAUUGGAGAGACAAAAGGAUAGAGUUGCAUUAAAUAAGGGUGACAAGUGUCACCUUGUGGUUUAUUCUUGACUUUGACCAUCUUACUUACCUUUACUAAUUAGUCAAAAUUGACCAAAAAUUCACCUUAUUUCUCCCUCUCUUGGCUGAAUUUCUUGGAGCAAAAAGAAGAGAAAACUUCCAACUUCUUUCUUCAAUUUCUUGUCUUGAUCUCACAAACCAACCGUUAAAACUUUGAUUUACUCCAUAAAAACUCUUCUCUAGGUAGGAUUAAGGUUGUUGGUGAAGUGAUUUGGAAGAAAUUGGUGCUAAGUAGCUUCCUUUCUUGAGGUUGCAAGGUGAGUAGCUAAGGAGUUCAUUCUUUGGUCUUACUAAUGUUAAAUUGGUAGAUUGUGUUAGUCAAAGAUGUGAUUUAGUGGAAGAUUUCAUGACUUUUAGUUGAGAUUGGUGAAUUUUAUAUUUAUUCUUGAAUUUUUCUGUUUUUAUAUGUUUAUUAUGGUGUGGCCAUGGAUGAUGACUUGGGAUAGUUUAGAAUGAAACUAUUGUGCGUAAAUUGUAGUUAAUUGCGGAAAAUUUCCACUUUGUGCGGAAAAUUUCAGAUUAGGGUUUCAUUUUCCCAAAUUCUGCCCGGUACUGUUCUACAUAGUUAUAGGCCGAAUUAGCCUUAGGGGGAGGUGGGGCUGUCACAGUUGGUAUCAAAGCCUGCUUCGCGUGGUCUCUGCGCGGAGCGAGCUUGGGGCCAAGUGGUGUUAUGGUCUUGAUUCUGUGAAUGUGUUUAAAGGAUUAAGUGCUCUUCUAGAGUAUAAGUUAUGAACUGAUAAGUGUAAACAUCUUUAUCAUGGAACUUGAGGAAAAUAGAUAUGUAGGUCGGGUAGGAAUCUUUAAUAUGGAUGGUUUACUCUUGGGACCGGCCGGCUCGAGUUGUGAAGUAUCUUAUUUGAGAUUCUUGUGCCCGGCUACUAAAUAAAUGAGAGCCUAGGUUAGGAGCGACUUGGGCGACCUAGGAAUGUGAUUCUAUGGAACUUUGUGUAGUUUGCUCGGGUGUAAGUAAGCAUGGCUAACCUUGAUUAAGAUAUACAUUGUGUUAUUCCUGUAGGCUAUGGACGGAGCCCUAGAGAGGAUAGUUUAUCGCGCGUUAUUGUUGUACUUUUGGCCUUGUUUAUCUAUAGUGCCUUUUGGAUGACCCCGCUACCUUCAUGGCUUUCCUUAUUUGUAGUUAACUGACUGCUACCGUGUGAUUUGUUUGAUAACGUUGUGUGAUGUAUCUAUGCUUUUGAUCUGUGUGUACCUCUAGUUACUUGUUUAUUUAAUAUUAUAUUCACGAUUCGAUCCUAAAUUGGAUAGACCAAUGGAGGGUUCUCAUAGUGGAUGAGGUCGUGGGCGCGGGCGUAAGCAACCCACGAAUGAAGGGGGUAAUCGGGAACCAAUACAUGAACCUAGGGCCGACCAAAAUACCCAAGUAGCCACUGCUAUUCAGCGCAUGACCGAUCUGCUAGCCCACAUAGUGGAAUACCAGGGCCAAAACCCCAAUUCUCAACCUGGAAGCCCUGGUAAUCAUAUAGAGGGCGAGGAUAGAGCCCUUGAAAGAUUUCAAAAGUUCUCCCCACCCAAAUUUCUCGGAGGCCCUGAUCCUGACGUGGCUGAGAGGUGGCUGGAGAAGAUGAUCGAUAUUUUUGCUGCAUUACACUACAUUGAGGAGAGACAGGUGACAUUUGCUAUCUUUCAACUAGAGGGAGCCGCCCGUUCCUGGUGGAAUAUCCUUCGAAUGAAAUGGGAAAGAGAACAAACCCCGAGGACGUGGGCGAACUUUAUGAGAGAAUUUAAUGCCAAGUUUUUCCCUCCUCUAAUCCAAGAAAAGAAGCAAGAUGAAUUUAUUCGGCUUCGCCAAGGAACUCAGACCGUAGCCGAGUGUGAGAGUCAAUUCACUCGGUUGUCUAAGUUUGCGCCCGAACUGAUUGUAAUCGAACAAAGACGGAUAAGGCGAUUCAUCCAAGGAUUAAAUGUUGAAAUUCAGAAAGAUCUGGCGGUAGCCCAACUUAAUGCCUUUAGUGAUCCGGUGGAGAAGGCCCAGCGAGUUGAAACUGCGAGGUUACAAGUUAGAAACUUCCAAGCCAAAAAAAGGAGGCUUUCCGGGGAGCAGCUCGGAACAGGAAGAUAAGAGCACACCCCCUAAGAGUGGAAGAGGAAACGGGGGAGUACGAAAACGGGGGGUGGCCAGUGGUGUCUCACCGGGAGGAUCGGUCUCUGCUACUCGAGGUUCCUGUGGAUAUUGCGGAGGGCCAAAUCACACGGAGGCAAAUUGUUAGAAGAAAAAAGGAAAAGGCCUGCGUUGUGGGAACGCCGAACAUCGAAUUGCUAAUUGUCCAGCUCGACUGUGCGAAGGGAGAGGGACUCCGCCGCCAACCAAGACCAACUCUAAGCAACCAGCUAAGACCAACCCUGGACAGUCGAAAGGAGAAGGGACUGGAGCGAAGGUACCGACUGGAGUAUAUUCCCUGGACCAUCAUCAGGUCCCUGACUCAUCUGAGGAUGUAGAAGGUAUGAUCCAUUGGUUACCUUGGAUUUUGAUAGAUCCCAAUGAUAAGAAAAUUUCGAGUACGAAAUUUCUUUAAGAGGGAGAGAGUGUGAGGACCCAUAAUUUUCUUAUUUUCUAGGUUUUAUUCUAUUUAAUUGCAUGCUUUUCUGCAUUUUCUUUAUUACAAAAAUUUUCUAGAUAAGUUUUAUGAGUAAAUAUAGUUUUAAAAUGAUUUUUCUAGUAUCGGUUAAUUUUUGAGAAAUUAAGAGCGUAUACCGGUUGUGGGACCCAUUAGUGCGGUAAGUUUGGUAAAAUUCGGCCAAUUAGGUUAAGUGGUGUAUACUGCAUUUAAUUUAUCAGGUGUUAAGAGAUAAUUAGAAAUUACGUAGAUGGAUUAUCAUUGGAGAGACAAAAGGAUAGAGUUGCAUUAAACAAGGGUGACAAGUGUCACCUUGUGGUUUAUUCUUGACUUUAACCAUCUUACUUACCUUUACUAAUUAGCCAAAAUUGAACAAAAAUUCACCUUAUUUCUCCCUCUCUUGGCCGAAUUUCUUGGAGCAAAAAGAAGAGAAAACUUCCAACUUCUUUCUUCAAUUUCUUGUAUUGAUCUCACAAACCAACCGUUAAAACUUUGAUUUACUCCAUAAAAAAUCUUCUCUACGUAGGAUUAAGGUUGUUGGUGAAGUGAUUUGGAAGAAAUUGGUGCUAAGUAGCUUCCUUUCUUGAGGAUGCAAGGUGAGUAGCUAAGGAGAUCAUUCUUUGGUCUUGCUAAUGUUAAAUUGGUAGCUUGUGUUAGUCAAAGAUGUGAUUUGGUGGAAGAUUUCAUGACUUUUAAUUGAGAUUGGUGAAUUUUAUAUUUAUUCUUGAAUUUUUCUGUUUUUAUAUGUUUAUUAUGGUGUGGCCAUGGAUGAUGACUUGGGAUAGUCUAGAAUGAAGCUAUUGUGCGUAAAUUGUAGCUAAUUGCGGAAAAUUUCCACUUUGUGCGGAAAAUUUCAGAUUAGGGUUUUAUUUUCCCAAAUUCUACCCGGUACUGUUCCACAUAGUUAUAGGCCGAAUUAGUCUUAGGGGGAGGUGGGGCUGUCACAACUUGCACCUUACGACUUAGGGCAUCCGCCACUACAUUAGCCUUUCCAGGGUGGUAAUUUAACGAACAGUCAUAAUCUUCCAAAAAUUUCACCCAUCUACGUUAUCUCAAAUUCAAGUCUUUCUGGGAGAACAAAUACUUAAGCCUCUUGUGAUCCGUAAAAACCUCAAAAGUCACUCUAUACAAAUAAUAUUUCCAUUUUUUCAAGCAAACACUACUGCCACUAACUCCAAAUCAUGGGUCGGGUAAUUCUAUUAAUGAGAUUUUUCAACUUACGAGAGGCAUACGCAAUUACCUUUCCAUUUUGCAUUAAUACACAUCCUAAACCAUUCUUUGAAGCAUCUAUAUAAACCACAAAACCAUCUCCUCCGCUUGGCAAUACUAACACAGGUGCCUCGGUUAAACACUUUUUCAAUUCUUGAAACCCUUCCUCAUAUUUAGAAUCCCAUAUGAACUUGCCAUACUUCUUAAUCAACUCGGUUAAGAGUUUUGCAGUCUUAGAAAAAUCCUUGAUAAACUGACGGCAAUGUCCGGCUAACUCUAAGAAACUUCGAAUUUCCGUAGGGUUCUCUGGUUGUUUCCACUUAGAAUUAGCUUCUACCUUAGCUAGGCCCACAGUAAUUUCCUUUCUUAGAGAUUAUAUGACCUAGAAAGGUUAUUUCUUCCAACCAAAACUCACAUUGAUUUAACUUAGCAAAAAGUUGGCACUUUCUCAGGGUUUAUAAAACUAUUCUCAGGUGCCGUUCAUGUCCUUAUGUUCUAGAGUUUGAGAAUUUGUUAUUCAUUCUAGCCUUUUGAAAUUCUUGUUCACAGGUCUAAAGGUAUGGGGUAAUAAAUUAGAUAUACACGUAAGCCGUAAAAUCAAUUAAAGCAAAGUAAAUUUUUAUAUGUUCUAAAAGAUCAUAAUAGUUACACCAAGUGAGAAUAACUUCAUAAAAUCAUUUCAAAAGAAAGGGGAGACAAACAAAAUCAAAAGAAAACGUGCUAAGUUGCAAAUGUACAAAACAACAAAAGGACUUUAUCCCUUAUACAAAAGAUUACAACCUCCAAAAGUACCAAUUUAAACUAGGGUAAAAUUACACCCCCUAUCCCUCGAGUAAAAUCAGAUCCAUCCCCUACUCGUAAAGUUUCUACUACUUGGAUCCCUCUUACAAUCAUUAACAUUAAUUACUCAUUCUGGCACUCGAUUGCUUUGCAGCGGACCUAGCAGAUUGCUGAAUAUUUUCUCUUUUUAGAGGCAUUAGGGCAACUUGAAACCUGAUGUUUGGCACUACCGCAAGUCAGACAUUUUCCUUGCUUUGUCCAGCACUUGGUCUCCGCAUGGUUAAACUUGCCACAGUAUCCAUAGGCCACACGAGAAGUCACGGCCUAACUAGUUUGGGAAUUUUCUUUGUUUUUCUUUUCCAGUUCCACUUUCUUGUGUAGCAACUCAAUUUUUUCCGCAUAUUCUUGUUUCCAUCGUCCUUCCCAGUAGUCAGCUAAUUUCUUUUAAAACUCUACCUCCUUUCGAAGAGUGUCUAUUUCCAUAUACAUCUCUCCCAAAUUUGUCAUCUCACUGAUUGGUGUAAGGAUUGAAGACAACCUAAGAGGGGGGUGAAUUAGGUAAAUUAAAAAUUAACCAAGUUAUGAGACACUUUUUGUUAAAUAUGAAAUUUACCCCCUUUUCGAUGACCACACAAUGGAACAAUCAAUGAGAAAGCACGAAUGCUCGUGAGUAGAAGAGAUGAACAAUUUAUAUUGCAAGAUAGUAAAUAAAAGAGAUAGAGUAGCAAACCAAAUUCCAAACUCCUCUUGAUUUUGAAUAUCACUUUAUAAAGUAAGUUUCUUCUAGUUGAUCAAUUACAACCAAUCUUUGUGUACAAAGGAAGGAUCACUUCCUCCUUACCCCAAGCCACACUUGGUCAAGUUAGGAAGUUUUACUAUCACUCGGAUAACCCUCACAAAGUUACACUAUUGAAAUAAUUUUCUCACACAAGAAAAGCUUAUACAAGAUUCACACAACUAAGAGUACAAAUUUUUCUUUAAGAGAAUUUUCUCACUAAAAAUGCUCUUGAUCUUUUGUAGUCUCAAUGUGCAAAAGUGUUUUGAAGUGGUUGACUUUGCUCUGUUUAUAUGAGACCAAAAAGUUCCUUCAUUAAUGUUUCCAAUGGAUAGAGGGCAGCUGAAGAGUCAACUAGCCGUUGGUGGUGUCGGACGUCCGGUGAUCUUGUUUCUUGCGUCCGACAGUAGGUAGUGAGCAAAAGAGAUUUUCUUUAAUUCAUUCGAAUGUUCGGUACCUUCAUAGUUCGCAUCCGAAAGCAGAUAAUAAAAUUAAAAAAUUUUCUUCAAUACUUUCGGACGUCCGGUACCUCCAAUGCUCUGCGUCCGAAGUCUUACGCAGAUUAUUGGAUGUCCGGUGCUCUAAUGUUUUACGUCCGAUCAAGGUUGGCAAGUUUAGAAAAAUGUUUUGAUGCUUUUAGACGUUCGGUGAUGGAGUUCUUCAUGCGUCCGAAGUUGCUCAAUGAUUGUCGGACGUCCGAUCCAGUUUUUACGUGUAUCCGACAACCUCAACAACAGCUUCACUUUUGAACCUGAUUUGCUUUCAUUUCUGAAAAGGUCAUUGAGGAGAUGUUAGUAACAUUUAUUUGUUUUGUAAUCAUUAAAAGUUAAGAAGAGAAAUUAACAAUCUCCUCCUUUUUGAUAAUGACAAAAUAAUGGAUGGGGGAAAAUAAGAAAAAUAAUUGAGUCAAGAUUUCCCCUCAUUUAAUGCAUCAAAAAGGUAGAUACUUCCCCUCAGAAUAGCUCCCCCUCACACAUUUACCAGGUUACAUUUCCUGGCAACAACUUAACAUCAUUUCUCCCACUUUUUGUUAUCAUUAUAAGACAAUUCAAAUCCAAUUUAAAUACAGUGACAUUAAUGCAAAUACAAUUUAAAUCCAAUUUAGAUCCAACAUCUAGAAUCCCAACAUCAAUGUUAGCAGCAAUAUCAUUAACCAAGAAUACCCAACAAAAUCAGCAACCACCAAUAUCAGCAAACAAUGUCAAAAAUCAGAAGUCACAGGGACACCGAGCACACAAAAGCAAACAAGUUAACCAAUCAAAGAGAUAACCAACAAAUUUAACCAGAAACCAUUCAACAUAGAGAAAUUAACCGAAUAAUUUACAAGCCAAAAGAGUUAACCAAAUAACUAGAAUUAGGAGCACAAAGUACUUGAAAUGCAAAAGAUACAAAUGUCAAUUAUGAAAUGCCAUCCUAAACAUUAAGUGCAAGUGCCUAGAGGUGCCCAAAUUGUGAUGUUGGACAAUCCAGACCUUCUCCUAGCUAGCGUAAAACUGGGCAAGAUCCACUUCUUCCUCCUCAGUUUCCUCAUCAUGAUCACUGUCUUCAGUUGUUGGAGCAUUUCCCAUGUCUUGUGGCUGAGAACUGGAAGCACGAACCUCUGGAGUGGUUUCAGUAUGUGGAGUUUGCUCAGUUGGCUCAGUUCUAGGCUCCUUUUGAUGUACAUUCUCAUCCUCCUGAGGGAUAGGGGGGACAAGUAGGUUCCUUUUGUCAAUGAAAGCAGCUUGCUGAUCUGGUGACAUGGUCAUUAUCAGACCAUCUUUAAUAAGGUGAAUGUGUUGUUUGAGAUACUCAGCAAGGAGAUGACCUCAUGAGCGGAUGAAGAAGGCCGAUUGGAUGACUUUCUGGGAUGGAUGGUAAAGGGGGAAACAAAAUGAGACUAGUCUCUACGAGAUCUAGGAGUGACAGGAGUGUCAUAAUGGCUCUUAGUUCUAAACUCCAAAACAGAUUCCUUGUAACACCAUUUACCAUUAAAGAAACCCAGAUUUUUCCUUCGAAAUAAGCUUUUGAAAAGACAAUUGAUGCAGUCACUUUUGGUGAGACUCUAGUAAAAGGAAUGUUGAAGUGAGCAAAAAUUGGAGUGAGAAAUUUUCCAUAGAAAAGUUUCCUACGGCUAUUAGUACUGGUUUUUAGCAGAAACUUACACGUAACAAAGCCAAAAUUAAUUUUGAUCUUUUCAAGAAAGCAGUAGAACAAGUAAAGCUUCAUUUUGUUGGCAAUAGUCCUAUGACCAUCAGUAGGAACCAAUAGAUUUGAAAUUAUUGAAAAGAUAAUCAAAUUUUGAGGACUGAGAUCCUUCAAUCUUGCCUCGGCAGGAGUGUUAAAAUAUUUUUGAAAAUAAGUCAUCAGUUUUGCAACAUGAAAAUGAUGAUAGGCAGAAGGAAACUCUUCAUAAGAGAAAAAAUUUACAAUUUUUCCUUUAAAACUAUUUUCAAUUUUGGUUUUUAAAAUAGUAUUAACAGCAUCAGGAUUAAAGACAAUAUCAACUGAAUUGACUCGAGAAAUAAGGUCAGUGUGUGAACUACUGUUCCUAAGGUUAGCAAAAAACUGAUAAAGCAUAUCAGGAUAAUAGGUGUUGGGUAAUUUCAGAAUGUGAGACCAUUUUUGGAAUCCAAAGAGUUCAAUAACUGGUCCAAGGUCAAGUUUACGAAAUUCAUAGGGGAUGAUGGUCCUUUGAGUGAUGAACCCUUUCUGUGAAAUCCAUUCAAAUCUCUUUCUGGCAUCAUCAUCAAUGAAUCUGGGCGGUGGAGUUGGCACUUCCUCAGUUUGAGUAGCAGAUUGUCCUCUAGCAGAACGUUUCCUUUUUUCACCAUGCUGAGCAUUAGUUGGCACAGCAGUAGCCUCAGCAGUUGGCACUUUAUCAGUUGUUCUCUUCCUCAAAGAUCUUCUGGUGGAAGGUUCAGUAGUUUGUUGUUUCUCAGCACUUUGCUCAGCAGUUUGCUUAACAUAAGGUACAGUAGUUUGCCGUUCUUCAGGUUGGGUAGUCUGUUCUUUUCUUGCAGACUGUUUUCUUUUGCCACCACGGGUUUUAGUUCCUUUUCUGGAUGGAUUUGUGGUGGAGGGCUCUACAAUUUCAAUGUUUUCAUCCCUCGGUCUGGUGAUGCAUUCGGCACCAGCAGAUCCUCCUCUCACUCUCACCAUGGUGAAAUGAAGAGAGAUUUUGAUGUAGAGAAUGAUGCGAAUGUAUAUGAGAUUGACUAGAAGUGCGAUAUGGACUGCAAUGCAGGCUUGAAUUGUCCAAAGAGAGUGAAUUUUGAGUGGCUAGGGUUUCGGUUGAGAAUUGGAAUUUAUAGGGUAGUUUGCAGUUAGCGAAAGUUAUGAGGAGUAAUGAUCGGGCAAAAGGAGUGUAAUGACUUUGAACAAAUCAAUUUCUUAGAACUUGCUCAGAAGAGAGACGAAUUUUGAAAUUUGAAAGUAGGAGAGGAUGAAGAGUUGCGUCCAAGACAACAACUAAAAAAAUGAACUAAAUGAAGAAAAUGACAGACUUAUAACAAGCAUUUUUUGAGUGUUGGACGGCCGAACGAAGUGAAACGUUAGACACUACUGUCCAAAACAAGAUUUUUCUGGAAAAAAGACUAAGAACAUUAUUGGACGUCCGUUCAUCAAGUAUCGGACAUCCGAUAAAGUGUGACCAGAUAAUUUUUUCGGAAAAAUUUUUCAAUAACGGCCAAUUUUGUUCUAAAAAAUACAAAUUGAUCCAGUGGAAGGGCUUUUGUAAGAAUGUCAGCACUUUGAUCCUUUGAACAAACAUAUUGUACACAAAUUUCACCUUUUUCGAUGAGAUCUCUAAUGAAAUGAUGCUUUAUGUCUAUAUGCUUUGUCCUAGAAUGUUUAAUGAAAUUUUUUUAUCAAAUUUAUAGCACUUGUAUUGUCACAAAACACAGGCACACAAUCAUAUGCUAAUCCAAAAUCAUUCAAGGUGCUUUUCGUCCACAUUAAUUGACCACAACAUGCACCAAUGGCAACAUAUUCCGCUUCGGCGGUAGAUAAGGAAAUAUCAUUUUAUUUCUUACUUAGCCAAGACACUAAGCAAUUACCAAGAAAGUGGCAUGUACCACUUGUACUCUUUGUAUCUAUUCUAUAUCCACCAAAGUCAGCAUUCGAAAAUCUACAUAAAGGAAAUUCAUGACAUUUAGGAUACCAAAGACCAUAGUUCAAAGUUCCUUUCAAGUAUCUAAAAAUUCUUUUCACAGCAAUCAAGUGAGAUUCUUUUGGACAUUAUUGGAAACGAGUGCACAAGCAAACAGCAAAUAGCAAACAUGAUAUCAGGUCUACUUGUGGUUAAAUAAAGUAAGCUGCCAAUCAUACAUGUAUACUUCUUUUCAUCAGCAUUUAUACCUCCUUUAUCCUUGUCAAGUUUGGUAGAUGUGUACAUUGGUGUUCCAACUUGCUUUGAUUCCUCCAUACCGAAUCUUUUGAGCAGCUGCUUGGUGUAUUUUGCUUGAUUAAUGAAUGUUCCUUGUUGAGUUUGUUCCACUUGAAGCCCAAGGAAGAAAUUCAAUUCUCCCAUCAUACUCAUUUCAAACUCUUUUUGCAUAAUAGUGAAAAAUCCUUACACAAACAUUCAUUAGUAGUACCAAAUAUAAUAUCAUCAACAUAUAUUUGUACAAUUAGUAAAUCAUUGGAGUAUUGUUUAGUGAAAAGAGUGGUGUCUACAAUGCCCCUUUUGAAACCAUUUUCAAUCAAGAAACCACUUAAUCGUUCAUACCAUGCUCUUGGAGCUUGAUUUAAACCAUACAAAGCUUUUGAGAGUUUAAACACAUGAUUUGGAAACAUUUCAUUUUUAAAGCUGGGAGGUUGGUCAACAUAUACCUCUUGAUCAAUAAAACCAUUUAAGAAAGCACUUUUAACCUCCAUUUGAAAUAAUUUAAAAUCCUUGAAACAUACAAAUGUCAAAAACAUUCUAAUUGAUUCUAGUCUAACGACGGGAGCAAAUGUUUCAUCAAAAUCUAUUCCUUUUUCUUGAGCAUAUCCCUUAUCUACUAGUCUAGCUUUGUUUCUUACCACUUCACCUUUGUCAUUCAUUUUAUUUCUAAACACUUAUUUUGUACCAAUGAUAGGAUGAUUUUGAGGCUUUUCAACUAAUAUUUACACCUUGUUCCUUUCAAAUUGUUUUGGUUCCUCUUCCAUGGUUAAAAUUCAGUUUUCAUCAGUCAAUGCAUCAACAAACAGUUUUUGGUUCAAAAUGUGAGACCAAAGCAAAAUUAUCCAUCAAUUAUUUCUAAGAGGAGCGAGUUCUUAUCUUUUCGAAUGGAUCACCAAUAAUAAGUUCCUUAAGAUGAUUUUGAACAAACUUCCAAACUUUUGGAAGAUCCAUAGGUGCAUCAUCGUGAUUGUCAUUUUCUUCCAAUGCUUGAUGGUCUUGAGGAUCAUCUCCCUUUGAACUCUCUUCUUGUGGAGCAUUGUUUUGAUCAUGAAUUGUGAGCUUCUUAAGUCCUUGUUGAACACCUACAUCAUCAUCCUUACAACUACUCUUGAAAAUAUCACUAUUAGAUUCAUCAAAAGUGACAUGUAUGGCUUCUUCAAUAACAAGAGUCCUUCUAUUGUAGACUCUAAAACCUCUUUUGUUCUCACAAUAUCCCAAGAAAAUACCUUCAUCAGAUUUUUGUCAAAUUUUUCAAAAUGUUCCUUGACAUUUAAAAUAAAACAUUUGCAACCAAAGACUUUGAAAUAACCAACAAUUGAUUUUUUAUCAAACAUUAACUCGUAAGAGGUUUUGUUCAAAAUAGGUUUCAAAAGAACUCUAAUCAUAGCAUAACAAGCGGUAUUAACGGUUUCGGCCCAAAAAUAUUUUUGCAAAUUACAUUCACUCAACAUGGUUCGUGCGGUUUCUUGAAGAGUUCUAUUCUUUCUUUCGACAACACCAUUUUGUUGAGGAGUUCUAGCAAUUAAAAACUCAUGUGUGAUUCCAUUGUUAUCACCGAAAUUUCGAAAAAUCAAAAAAUUUAAAUUCCAAGCCAUUGUCACUUCUAAUCUUGAUAAUUUUCAAUCUAAUCAGAUUUUGAACUUUUGCAAAUAAUGAAACAAAAUUUUUGAAAGCAUCAUUUUUGUGUGCAAGAAACAUCACCCAAGUGUAUCUAGAAUAAUCAUCAACAAUAACCAAACAAUAUCUUUUACCACCCAAGCUAGCAAUUUGUGUAGGACCAAAUAAAUCAAGAUGUAAAAGCUCCAAAGGUUUUGAAAUAGAAACACAUUUCUUAGGUUUAAAUGAAACUUUGACUUGUUUUUCAAAUUGACAAGCAUCACAUAUUUUGUUCUUUUCAAACUUAAUUUUUGGUAAACCUUUAACAAGUUCCUUUUUGAAAAUUUCUUUUAACAAAUUCAUGUUGAAAUGACAAAGUCUUCUAUGCCACAACCAAGGGUUUUCAUUUGUAACUUUAAGACAUUUAAGGCUUGAAGAAUCAAUUUUUUCAAGAAUAACUGCAUAAAUGCUAUUCACUCUUUUUCCUUUGAAGAUAAUGUUGAAUUUUGAAUCAAGAACAAGACAUUCAUGUUUUUUGAAUAGCACAAAUAGAUUUCUAUCACAUAAUUGACCAAUACUCAACAGAUUAUAACUUAAAUUAUCAACAAGAAGAACAUUGUGAACAAAAGUUUGAUCAUUCUUACCAACAUCUCCUACUCCAACUGUUUUGGCUUUGUUAUCAUCUCCAAGUGUUAAUUUUUCACUUGAUUUUGACUUGAGUUUGAUGAACUGUGAUGGAUCACCAGUCACAUGCCUUGAGCAUCCACUAUCAAUGAACGAUUUUGAUUCCUUAAUGACAUUCACCAAGUUCACCUACACAAGAGUUCACUAGAUGAUAUUUGAUACCCAUUUACUUUUUGGAUCCUUGAAAGUUAGCAUUAUAUCUAACUAUCCACAUGCAUUUCAUGCCAUUUUUCAUAUUCUUUCUUACAUAACAGUUAUUCUUUAUGUGUCCAACUUGGCAACAAAAGCUACAUAUAGUUAGCGAAUUACUUACAUAAACAGGUUUAACAAAUUUAACUUGGUUUUUUUAUAAAUAAUAAAUUCGUUUGCAUUGAAAUUCAACCUAUUCUUAUGAAUGUCAAAGUGAGGUCUUGACUCGUUCUUUUGAAAACAAACUUGUUUCUUGUGUUUAAACAACUCAUUUAAACCAUCCAUUCUUCUUUUCAAAUCACCUUGUUCCUUUUUGAACAAUUCACAAAGUUUUCUUUUUUAAUCAAGUUCAACAUGUAGAUCAGUCUCAACUUUAUUCAAGUUAUCAUUUUCAACUUUCAGAUUCUUGUUCAGUCGUAAAAGACUUGCAUUAUCCUGAAUAAGAAAAUUAAUUUUUUGUUUUAGUUCCUUGUUUCUAGCAUAAGAAUCUUUCAGGCUGCUAUGCAAUCUUUCAAUGAAGGAAUUAACAUCAUCAUCAGAUUCCUCUUCACUGUCAGGUUGAGAAUUGCAAGUAGUUACCUCAUCAUCACCAAUGGCCAUGAAAGUCAUUUGAGCAGAUUCUUCUUCCUCUUCAACAUCACCAUCCGAGUUGCAAUCAUUCCAUGUGAUUUGAAAAUUGUUAAACUUUGGUUUUCAUUCAACUUUUCCUUCUUUUUUUUCUUCAUUGGGCAUUCAUUCAUGUAGUGUCCAGGCUGGUCGGAUUCAAAAUAUUUUUCAACUUGCUUUUUGUUGGCCUCUAGCUUUCCUUUGUUUCUUGCAUUGUUGAAUUGAUUUGGAAAUGUAUUGCUAGGUCCUCCUCUUUUGAAUCUCCUAUUGUUGAGGAUUCUUUUGAAACUCUUUGUGAUGAGAGUAAGGUCAUUGUCAUCAAUUUCAACAUCUUCUCCAUUCAAGGAAGUUGAGUCAUUUUCAUCUUGAGAAGGUUUUAGAGCAAUGCGCCUCCUCCCUUUAGCAUCCUCUUCCUCUUGCACUUUAGACUUAAGUUUUAGCUCAUAAGAGAUUAGAGAAUUAAUGAGAAAUUCAAUAGGCAUAGAAUUCAGAUCUUUGGUCUCUUCAAUGGCAGUCAUGUGACGACCCCACCUCUCCCUAAGGCGUACCAAAGGGUUCGGCGGACCGCCUGCCCAGCUCUCGCCAGGACUCACUCACUAUCUCAAUCGAAUCAUAAAUACACAACCAUGCACCAUAAAUAAUAUUCAUGAUUCAGACUUAUAAUUUACAUUGAUAGGAAUCAGGUACAAAGUCUUAAUACACCAACUAGUACAAAACGUAUACAAUCCAAGUACAACAUGUUUCGUUCGAGGAAUAGCGCGAGUACAAGACCAAAAGUCAAAAGUCAAAACAAACGGCUACACUAGUCUUUUACAAGUCUCUCGCGUCACCCGUACCCCUGUAAGGAAAACAAACUAACGGGGUGAGCCAAAGCUCAGUGACGUUCUCAAAUAUCAAAUUGGUCAGCAACCAAGUUAUAGCAAAAUAAAAGUGAAAUGGCGAGCAAAUAAGUCAAAUCAAGGAAAUAGUACUUCAGCUAGUCAAGUAGUAUUAGAUGCACAUUCACAUAUAAGGAUACGGUAUUCAUGUUACGGCUCCAUUCCAGCUUGGUCAAGUGGUAGUCGACACUCCGUCAACUUUCAAGUAAUUCCAAGUCCAAAUAAACUCUGCUACACGCCAAUUUCCGUCCACCGAUCAACCCCCUAUUCCGGGCCCGCACGCCAUACGAAACAUGGGUGGUAAUACUCGAGUAUACCGUUAGUCGAGGAGAUAACACUCCACUCGACAUUACAAGUGACCCAGGGUUUGUUAUCUAAUCGACCAGGCCCUUGCUGGCUCGACUCGAUUAACUAGCCACAGGGUUUCUGGAAUUCCAGGCAAGAUACAAUUCAAGUACAUGUACAACAAGUCAAGUAUGAUCAAUAGCAAGAACAGGUCAUAUUAGGGCAAGUGCGAUAAAGUACACCCUUGCCCUUUCAUUCAUUGUCAUGUAAUCACGCAAGUCAAGUAGGGGGUACACAUAUCAAGUACAAUCGGAUAUUUGAAAGCACUCACCAAAAUAGUGCUUCUAGUGCUCGUGUCUGGGUGGUACUCCGAGUUGGGAGUCCAAAUCUGCGAUAAAACUUAACUUGAGAACUUUGAAAAUCAACCAAAGUUUGAGACUUAAGUGUUUCGUUCAAUAAGAAUCAAGAAAUUGAAAUUCACUUGAGAAGAGUCGUGAAAUAGUUGCUCGCUCUUUAAACUGAAAAAUUUAAUAACAUUUUUGCUUGAAGAUGACUCUUGAGUCAAAAGUGCAAGUAAAACGGUUUCAUAGUGUUUCAUAUCGCUUUCCUAAGGGUACAAGUUCGGCCAAGUCCUAACAUAUAACCCUCGAUAAACAAGUGGCAAAGGUCCUCGAUAGUUCAAGUGAUAAUCACUUAACCUAUACUCAAGUCGCAAAGAUAGUUUUCUAGACCUCGAAUAAAAAUUUGGGCAGCGUGCCCUUUGUGUUUACCUAAUUUCCAGCCAUUUAGGCUUCAAUAUUUUCCUUCAACAAUAUCCCAACAUCAUACAAAUAAGCAAUUUAUGUCAAGAGCCGUUCCAUAGGCUCACAAUAUUAUAACAACAAGAAUCGCCUCAAGUACAAGUGCAGAAAUUCAAUGUGGCACAAGACAGAUUUGACGUACAAAUGCGGUAAUAACACAUCCGAGGCUACGCUUAUCAGAUUAAGACGAAACCUGUGCCCUUUCGAAGCUAAGACACAAAGCUACAACAUUCAUGAAGGUCACUUAGUCCAUUUCCUAAUGUAACUUAGUCAAAAUCUCAGAUUACUAAACCAGAAACCAAUUCACCGGCAGUUUAAACGCAUUAUGCUGUAACGGACCUAACUCAGUGUACACAAGUCCGAAUCAGGUUUCCUUUGAGGCAUUUUAAAGCUACUUCAUAACACUACAACUUUUAUGUUUUGGCCCAGAGCUAAAUCAGAAUGGAUCCUGGUCAAAAAUCGUGAUAAACUGGACUGAACUGAAGAAACGGACUGCUGGGAAAUUCUUAAAACAGUAGGGGUAUUUUGGACUUUUCACGUUUUGCGUUGCUCCGAUUGAGCUGAAAUUUUAUAGUCACCUAUAAAACACCAUUCUAUACAACUUUCCUUCUUUGACCAAAGGCCAAUUCGGCCUCUAACAUGUAGAUACAAUUUCAGACAGAAUGCUUGGGAAAUUUUCCAGAAAUCUGGAAUUUGUAGCUCUAAGUGUAAUUUCCUCAAAUUUCUGGUUCUAAUCACCACUAAACAACCUUAUAUAACUUUAAUUACAACAUUCAUGCAUCAUACAUCAACUUGAGCAGAAAAUCAGAAACCCUAGUUCAUCAACUAAAUUGGGGAAAAACUACUACACAUGCUAGCAUCCAUGAAUCUACCACCAAUCAAGCUACUAAGCUUACUUUAACCAUGAUUGAAAGAAAAAGUUAGAGAGAUAUCAUCCUCUUACCUUGAUUAGAAGUCCCUAAGAGCAGCCCCAAGCUUUCCCUUCCCAAAUUUCCACCACCAAUCACUAGAUAAUCACUCAAUAGUAGGUUUAAUCGGUUUACUUUGUUGAUUUUCUCACUAAGUUGUUGGAUUUGAAGGUGAAAUGAAGAAAUCUUCCUUGGUGUUUUCUCCAAGCUAAGUUCGGCCAGCACCAGCAGAAAUGAGGAAGAAAUGGCUAAGUCUUGAGGUUAUAUGGAUGGUAAUGGUCUUGGGUAAGAAGCCAUGAGGUGGUGACACUUGUCACCACCACCACCCUUUCUUUUUCUCUUUCCUUCUUGCCUUUCUUAGCCACCAAUUUUCGGUCAACAUGCUGCCAAGAGAGAAGAUAUUAUGUGCAAAAGUCAACAACUUGUUGGGUAAGAAAAAAUGGUGGUCAAGUGGUGCGUUCAAUCGGUAAUGCGCGGGACCCGCCGGUUCGUGCCGUUUUUCUUAAAAACUCACGUACUAGGGUUUUUACUUCUCAUUCACUAACCUUAUAUCAUUGCUACUACUCACAUAUUAUUUCUCACUUAAAAGUCACUUUUAAUCAUCAAAUUGAUCCUCGGCCAGUACCGAAAAUUCAUCCGGCGGAAAAAUCGCAAAAAACCCUAAUUUUGCUCAAAAUUUGAAACCAAAGCGUAAAACCUUAUUUUCUAGGUUUAUUUACACUUAGUGUGAUAUAAUGAGGUAGGGGUCUUAAUAAAUAAUAAUUUUCGAAUAAAAGACAUUUUUGAGGGAAAAUGUAGGAAAUUUGCGGGUCCUCACAUCCUCUCCCCCUUAAAAGAAUUUCGACCUCGAAAUUCAUACCUUUUGUCGUGAACAGGCCAGGAUACUUUUCUUGCAUAUCCGUUUCUAGCUCCCAAGUUGCUUCUUCCACUUCAUGAUGCUUCCAUAGUACCUUUACUAAAGGAAUCUGCUUGUUUCUCAGGUCCUUCACCUUUCGAUCCAGUAUCUGAAUAGGUCGUUCUUCAUAGGUUAAAGACUCGUCAAGUUCAACAUCUUCGGGUGGCAAAAUGUGAGUCGGAUCCGGAUGGUAUUUCUUAAGCAAAGAGACGUGAAAGACAUCGUGGAUCCUAGACAAGUUAGCUGGUAACUCAAGUCGAUAAGCCACCUUUCCUAUUCGCUGAAGCACCUUGAAAGGUCCUAUAUAUCGUGGUUGCAACUUUUUCCCUUUUCCGGAUCUAAUCUUUCCCUUCAAUGGUGUGAUCCGAAGAAACACCUUAUCUCCUAUUUCAAACUCCAAGUCUUUCCUCCUAUGAUCGGCAUAGCUCUUCUGACGGCUUUGGGCGGUUUGAAGUCUCUGGCGGAUCACUUUCACCUUUUCAUAGGCUUCCUCAACCCAUGGUAUAGUAGCUGGAUCUAUUACUUUUCUCUCUCCUACUUCAUCCCAAUGGAUUGGGGAUCGACACCGUCGUCCAUACAAGGCUUCAUAUGGGGCCAUUUGAAUAGAGGAAUGAUAACUAUUGUUAUACGCGAAUUCAACCAAAGUCAAGUAUUGACUCCAACUUCCUUUAAAAUCCACAAUACAGGCUCUCAACAUAUCCUCAAGAGUUUGGAUAGUUCUCUCAGAUUGUCCAUCAGUUUGCGGGUGAUACGCUGUGCUAUAACUCAGCUUAGUUCCUAGAGCCUCUUGUAAUUUCUGCCAGAAUCGGGAUACAAACCUAGGGUCUCUAUCAGAUACAAUGCUCACUGGUACCCCAUGUAGUCUCACUACCUCAUCCAUAUAAAGUUUAGCAAGUUUCUCCAAGGAAUAUUUCAUAUUUACUGGCAGAAAAUGUGCAGUCUUAGUCAAUCGAUCCACUAUUACCCAAAUUGCAUCAUGCCCCUUUUGUGUUCGUGGCAAUCCUGACACAAAAUCCAUCGUUAUGUGCUCCCACUUCCACUCAGGGAUCUCUAAAGGCUGUAACAAACCUGACGGCUUUUGAUGCUCAGCUUUCACCUGUUGGCACGUAAGACAUUUUUGCACAAACUGGGCAAUCUCCGCCUUCAUUUUCUCCCACCAAUACAGAUUCCUAAGAUUUUGGUACUUUUUAUUAUUCCCUGGGUGCACCGUAUACCUAGAGCAAUGUGAUUCUUCUAAAAUCUCCCUUUUCAAUUCCUCAUCCCUAGGUACCACGACACGAUUUCGAAACUUUAAAAUUCCAUCAGGGCUUAGAUUAAAAUUAGGUAACUCCCCUUUCUUCACUCUCUCUACCCACUUCUGCACUAUUGGAUCCUUCACUUGGCCCUCUUUGAUUUGUUCCAUCAAUGCCGAUUUCGCCUCAAUAUUUCCAAAAACCACCUUUUCCGGUUCCAAACGAGGUUUCCACUCACAUACAUCUUCCAAUAGGCUCCACUCUCUCACUAUAGAACUUGCCAGUUGAGCCUUCCGGCUUAAAGCAUCUGCUACAACGUUGGCCUUUCCAGGAUGAUAGUUAAUUGUACAAUCAUAAUCCUCUAAGAACUCUACCCACCGACGUUGUCUUAGAUUUAACUCCUUCUGAGAAAACAGAUACUUAAGGCUCUUAUGAUCCGUAUAAACCUCGAAAGUUACACCAUAGAGAUAAUGUCGCCAUUUCUUCAAAGCGAACACUACAGCUGCAAGUUCCAAGUCAUGGGUCGGGUAAUUUUGCUCAUGAGUUUUUAACUUUCGGGAUGCGUAGGCAAUCACUUUCCUAUUCUGCAUCAACACGCACCCUAGCCCUUCUUUUGAAGCAUCGGUAUAAACCGUAUAACUAUCCUUUCCACUGGGCAAAGCUAAAACUGGAGCCAUAGUCAAUUGUUUCUUAAGCUCUUGAAAACCAUUUUCACACUUAACGUCCCAAAUAUACUUUCCUUGUUUCUUGGUCAGGUUAGUCAAGGGUCCUGCAAUUCUCGAGAAAUUCUUUAUAAAUCUGCGGUAGUACCCUGCUAAGCCUAAAAAACUUCGAACCUCUGUGGGAUUUUCUGGCCGCUUCCACUUAGCCACAACUUUCACUUUCGCCGGGUCUACAGCAAGACCAUCUUUUGAAAUUAUAUGACCUAAAAACGCCACCUCUUCUAACCAAAAUUCACACUUACUGAACUUAGCGAAUAGUUGGUGCUCUCUUAGGGUUUGCAAUACUAUCCGCAAAUGUUGUUCAUGCUCCUCCCUUGACCUCGAAUAUACCAAGAUAUCAUCAAUGAACACCACUACAAACCUGUCCAAGUAAGGUUUGAACACUCGAUGCAUCAUGUCCAUGAAUGCUGCUGGGGCAUUGGUUAAACCAAAAGGCAUCACAGCGAACUCAAAAUGCCCAUAUCGAGUGUUAAAUGCCGUUUUUGGCACAUCCUCCUUUCUAAUUCUCAAUUGAUAGUACCCUUGUCGCAGGUCCAAUUUGGAAAACACUACAGCCCCUUGUAACUGAUCAAAUAACUCAUCUAUGUGGGGCAAAGGAUAUUUAUUCUUAAUGGUUACUGCAUUCAAUCCUCGAUAGUCAAUGCACAACCUUAAACUCCCGUCCUUUUUCUUAACAAAUAGAACUGGAGCUCCCCAUGGAGACUCGCUCGCAUGAAUAAACCCUCGUUCUAGCAAGUCUUGCAGUUGCACCUUCAACUCCUUGAGCUCAGCAGGUGCCAUACGAUAAGGAGUUUUAGAGAUGGGAGUGGUUCCGGGUACUAAAUCCACUUUAAAUUCAAUCUCCCUUUCGGGUGGCAAAGACUCCAAUUCUUCCGGAAAUACGUCCGGGUAUUCACUGAUUACUGGCAUGUCUUCCAACUUAGUCUUUUCUCCCGGAGUGUUAAUUAGGAAAGCUAGGUAACCACGAGCCCCACGACUAAGCAAUUUCCUAGCCCUUAUACCCGAAAUAAGUGCAGAAGAGGCUAUCAUACCCCUCACAUCAAGCUUUAGAGUUGCCUCUCCUGGUAUACAAAAUUCAACCACUUUCAUCCUACAAUCUACUCGAGCAUGAUAGUGAGCUAGCCAAUCCAUACCUAGGAUAACAUCGUACCCCUUAAUGGCUAGACUAAUGAGGUCCACUACCAAUUUCCGUUCGCCAAUCCAAAUAUCACAAUUCCUAUACAUCUCAUUCGCAAGCAAAAUUUGAUUACCCGUAGGUGUUCUUACCUCUAAGUCAUAAGGUAACCUUUCAACUUUCGAGUCAAUUCCAAGCAUAAAUACAGGAUUAACAAAAGAGUGAGUAGCACCGGGGUCUAUUAAAAUUCUAGCUAACCGGUGAAAAACAGGGAUUGUACCUUCUACCACCUUGGUUGGUUCAAGCACAGUUGUUUGAUCUAGCGAGUACACUCUGGCCGGUACCCUCGACCUGGCCCCUCCAGUAGUAGUCGGCUUUGGGUUUGACCUGGCAGUCGACUGAGUGUCAUUGAUUAGCGGACAAUUGACCAUCUGAUGAUCCGCACUUCCGCACCUCAAACACUUUCGAGCCUUUCUCCAGCACUCGUCCUCCGUGUGGUUUGAUUUUCCACAAUACCCACAUGUCACUCGGGGAGUGGAGGUUUGACCUCCUUGAGUAAAACCUCUACCUUGACCUCUACCGCCCUGGCCUCCCCUCUGGGCAUUCCCUCUCGGAGCACUGCCCCUAAACGUGUUCGAAAAUCGUCCACCUCCAGCUCCACGACCGGAUUUAGCGGGUGGCAUGCUCCGCUCGCCUCGUACCGACCCUUGGGCUCCACUAGGUGCCCCUUUCCGCUUAGCGUGGAAAUUCCUUACUUGCGUCCUAGCAGUUUCUAUCCUUAAAGCCUUCUCCAGAACCUCCGUGAAAGUAUUGAUUUGGACCGCUGCUAAGGCUUCUUGCAAUUCCACAUUUAACCCUUGUAUAAACCUUCGUACUUUCCUUGGUUCCGUAGCAAUCAAUUCGGGAGCGAAUUUAGAUAAUUUGGUAAACUGAGUCUCAUACUCAGUUACACUCAUCAGUCCCUGACGGAGUUUAAUGAAUUCGUCCUCUCUCUUCUCCUGGACGAUGGGUGGAAGGUAUUUUUCGUUGAAGUCCCGUACAAAGUUUAGCCAAGUCCAGGCAGUUUCCUCUCUCUCCCACUUGGCCCUCACUACAUUCCACCAAGCCUUAGCUGGCCCUUCAAAUUGGAAUACGGCAAAUUGGACUUGUCUCUCCUCAGUGUAGUUUAGGGCAGCAAAGAUAUUUACCAUGGCCUCCAGCCAUUUCUCAGCCUCAUACGGGUCUGGUCCUCCUAGGAAUUUGGGUGGAGAGAACUUCUGGAAUCUCUCCAAGGCUCUAUCCUGCCCUGAAUCAGGGUCUCUAGGUUGAUUUACAGAACCUUGACCCUGUUGCUCCACCAACCGAGUUAAAAUAUUGGUCAUCUGUUGGAUGGCAGUGGCCACCUGAUCUUCCCCGGUAGUCUGGGGUUCAGGUUGCUGUUCAACCGCUGCCUCCCUCUCCUCUAUCGGUUCAGGCACCGGUUCCUGUACCUGCUCACCCUCACGGCCUCGCCUGGAACCGCGUUCUCGAUUAGUUUUCUUGGUCCGACUCCUUUUAUCCUCCAUGUUUGAGAGUCAACCAACUAGAACAUAUAAACGGGGUAAGGUACGACUCAUAUAUCGCGUUGCAACAAUAUAACUAGAGGCAAAUAAACACGUAAGAAACAAGCACUUUAUUUACAUAUCAAACAGGUCGUAUAUACAGGCCAACAAGUCACGUAGUCAAAGGCUAUAACAGCCAAGGAACAUAGAACAAAAGAUAUUUACAUCCACCAGGACCCGUCUAAAACAAAAACAAAAGAAGACAUGUCGUCCCACUAUGUUCCUAACUAGCCCACAAAACCUCCUAAAACCCCGAUCCUAACAAGUGGUCUGGCUAGACGCCGACCCAACUGACUCCGAGGACGCGCUCGGCUCCUCCUCCAUGUCCUCCUCAGGAUCCUCCUCAGGGGCACCGGGAGCGGCAGGAGCUACAGGCGCUUGGCCUUCCUCGGCCAAGUCCUGGAUCACGUCCUCAACAAGUGCCUCGCACUCGGUCAGGAUGUGGUCAGUCCGGUCUCGUAUAUGGCCAACUAUGUGCAUCAAACGUCCAGUCACCGCAUGAGCCUGAUCACGGUAAGCAUCUGACUGCUGCUGCUCUGCCAGAACCGCGGCCUCCAACUCUCGUAUCCGAGCUCCCUGAUCUCGGAGAGUGGCCUGGAGACGCUCUAUCUCCGCAAAGCACCUACGAUUGGUGCUACUCGGUCUCCGAUCGUCAUCUAUAGCAAGCACUACUCGGUCAGGGUAAGAGUAGGUCUUCCAGCAAUCGCAGCGCCGGAUCUUGCGCGCUGGGGACCACCGCUGCACUGGCCCGCCGGGAACCUCCUGGUAUGUGAUCACACGACAUACAGGUCCCGCUAGAUAUGGUUCGACCACGGGAGCGUCAGUAGGUGCGUCAGUAGGCACCUCAGGCACCUCAGUAGGUAUCUCGGUCGGUAUGUCAGUAGGUGCAGGCUGGGACGGUCCAGCACCCCCAGAAGAGUCAGUGUCUGCCAUCACCUAAGUUUGCAAAUAACAUUGCAAAGGUAAGUACACAUCAAGCACAAAACAAGGCUAAGGCUAAACUCGAUAAUAAAACCCUAGCCUAUCAAGUCAAGCACUCAAACUAUCCAGAUCAAUUCAAGCCUAAGCUCUGAUACCACCUGUGACGACCCCACCUCUCCCUAAGGCGUACCAAAGGGUCCGCCGAACCCUUUGGUACGCCUUAGGGAGAGGUGGGGUCGUCACAAGUCACCUUACUCUCCCAAUCUUUAGUCAAGACCUUCAAAAUUUUUCUGUUUUUCUCACCUAGGGAGUAUUCAUUUUCUAGCACUUCUAAAUCCUUAAUGAGAUCAUUGAAUUUACAAUACAUCUUGUCAAUGUUUUCAUGAGGUUCCAUUUUGAAUGAUUCAUAUUUGGUGACUAGGAUAGAUUUCUUUUGUUCUCUCACAUUUUCACUCCUUUCAUGAAUUUCUCUAAAUUUAUCCCAAAUCUCUUUAGCAGACCUAUAACUUUUGCCUCUAAUAGACUCAUUUGAAUUUAAAGCACGGUACAACACAUUCACAGUCUUGGCAUUCAAAGUGAGAUGAGUUCUAUCAUCACCAGUCAACUCAUUUCUUAUUUUUGGUCUUGGUCUAUGAGAGACAUCAUCAAUUAUGCAGGCAUCAUAUGGACCUUCAUUAAUAAUAAACCACAGUUCAAUAUCAAUAGAUUACAAGAAGAUAAUCAUUCUUUCCUUCCAACUCACAUAAUUGGAUCCAUUAAACAUUGGGAGUCUAGUGAUAGAUUGUCCUUUAAAAAAUAUGGCAUUGUUGGUUGUCAUUCUUACUCCAAAGCCGAUUGAACUUAAUCUCUAGGAGACGAAACUCUGAUACCAAUUGUAAGGAUCGAAAACAACCUAAGAGGGCGGUAAAUUAGGUAAAUUAAAAACUAACCAAUUUAUGAGACAUUUUUUGGUUAAAUAUGAAAUUUACUCCCUUUUCGAUGACCACACAAUGGAACAAUCAAUAAGAAAGUACGAAUGCUUGUGAGUAGAAGAGAUGAAUAAUUUAUAUUGCAAGAUAGUAAAUAAAAGAGAUAGAGUAGCAAACCAAAUUCCAAACUCCUCUUGAGUUUGAAUAUCACUUUAUAAAGCAAGUUUCUUCUAGUUGAUCAAUUACAACCAAUCUUUGUGUAUAAAGGAAGGAUCACUUCCUUCUUGCUCCAAGCCAUACUUGAUCAAACUAGGAAGUUUUACUAUUACUCGGAUAACCCUUACAAAGCUACACUAUUUAAGUAAUUUUCUCACACAAGAAAAGUUUAUACAAGAUUCACACAACUAAGAGUAUAAAUCUUCUUUAAGAGAAUUUUUUCACUAAAAAUGCUUUUGAUUUUUUGUAGUCUCAAUGUGCAAAAGUGUUUUGAAGUGGUUGACUUUGUUCUAUUUAUAUGAGACCAAAAAGUUCCUCCAUUAAUACUUCCAACGGAUAGAGGGCAGCUGAAGAGUCAACUAGUCGUUGAUGGUGUCGGGCGUCCGGUGAUCUUGUUUCUUGCAUCCAACAGCAGGCAGUGAACAAAAGAGAUUUUCUUUAAUUCAUUCGGACGUCUGGUACCUUCAUAGUUCGUGUCCGAAAGCAGAUAAUAAAAUUGAGAAAUUUUCUUCAAUCCUUUCAGACAUCCGGUACCUCCAAUACUCUGCGUCCAAAAUCUUGUGCAGAUUACCGGACGUCUAGCGCUCUAAUGUUUUACGUCCGAUCUAGGUUGGUGAGCUUAGGGAAAUGUUUUGAUUCUUUCAGACGUCUGGUGAUGGAGUUCUUUAUGCAUCUGAAGUUGCUCAAUGAUUGUCGUACGUCCGAUCCAGUCUUUACGUGCGUCCGACAGCCUCAGCAACAGCUUUACUUUUGAACCUGAUUUGCUUUCAUUUCUGAAAAGGUCUUUGAGGAGAUAUUAGUAACAUUCAUUUGUUUUGUAAUCAUCAAAAACUAAGAACUGAGAUUAACAAUUGGCUUAAAUCAAAUCCUAGCCUGCCAGACAAAUCAGAGAAACAAAAUAAGUAACUAUUCACAAUGGAAACUCCGGCCAUAUUACUCUUCUGUUCUUUUGAUUAUGGUUACCCCAGAGUAUAAAUCUUAACUAAUCUCUACUUAAUAUGGACGAGCUCUUGGAUCUUUGAAAGAAUUACUAUCAUUACUUAUAUACAUAACAAAAUACGGAAUCAUACUCCUUAACAUAUAAGUUCCACACCCUAACUCACUCUCCAAUUCUCACUUACAAAGUUGUUCAAGAAGAAUCCCUAAUCUUUUGCUCUCACUAGUGCCUUAUUAUUGUCCUCUCAGACCACUUUUCUACUGCUUCGAGAUCAAACCCUCCGUGAACCUUAGGUGGGGCGAACUUCAAGAAUCGCUGUAAAGCUCUAUUCUCACCCCUCUCUUGGUUCUUAGGUUGAUUGAUUGGCUCAGGGCCUUGGCGCUCAACUAACCUUGCUAAGAUAUCAGUCCCACGGUUAAUAGCAGUAACUACUUGGUUAUCCCCUUUAUUUUCUUGUCCUUAAUUUGAUCCAAUUGUCGAUCCCUGAUCAUCCCUUGAGUUUGGGGUUGCCUAACCCCUCGCCCUCUCUCCCUUUCACUUCUUCGGCCGUCCAUAAUUUAAUAUUUUCUAAAGGUAUAAUACAAAAUAAAUGUACAUAAGCGAAGUUUAAAAAUGACACUUUAAUCGUGAAAAAUGAAAAAUCAAAAUAAUUACAAAUAUGCACAUCCCAUAACAUAUAUUAGAAAUCAUAGAGUAAUAAAGUUAAGCACCUCAUAAGUAACGUUCAAGUGCUUCAAAAGAUAGAUAGCAUAGGUAAGCAAAAUACAUUGGCCUUUGAACAAGCACCACCCCGACUAUCCUAGACAAAAACUAUCAAAGUAGACUAAAUCACUAGUUUAGUAAUUGGCGGAGUCAGAAGUCUCUGCUAUUUCAGUAGAAUCAUUUUUAUAUUCAGCACUAGGAGUUCCUGCUUCAUGUCCCUCGUCGAGUAUCUUGCCAUCCACCACUUGUUCGACCAAGGUGACACACUCAUCCAUCAUCCCCUCAGUCCGGUCUCUAAUUUCAUGUACUACCCUAGCAAGUUGGCGCUUAACCUCCUAAAGCUGCUCACGAAGAGUCUCAGCCUUUUUCCGCUCCUCAAGUACAUCCGUCUCCAAUUCAUGAAUUCUAGCAGUUUGGACAUCCACCGUCGCUCUCAGUCCUAGAUUAUCCUCUCGAACUACCCUAACUUUCUUGGAUAACCGCCUCCGAUCAUCGAUUACUGUUAGCACCACUUCGUUAGGGUACGAGUAAGUCUUCCAACAAUCGCAUGAAGACCUAGUUUGACGAAAGAGGACCCAAGGCCUCACUUGAUAACAAAUCACUGGAAGGUGCCUCAGAGGUGACCCAUCUCCAACAUUUCCUUCCAUAACCUACAAUUAACCCACAAAACUAAAGGUUAGGACCUUAUAAUCACUGGUGCCAUUCAAAAAUUUAGCUUAAGGUUUAUCACUAAUUUCUAUGACCAAGAGUUCACGAUUAAAACUCCUAACCUUAUUCUAGAUAUUUUAAACCUAGCACUCUGAUAGCUAAUACUACUAUUUGCACUGAUUCCUUUCAUUCCUACAAGUAUAAGGAUAAUUCGAAUCUCAUUCAAUCUUUCACUACUAAUCUCUCACAUAAUGUUUCCUUUCGAUAUAACACCACAAAAUUCCUCAGUUUCGUUUCCACCAAUGCCAUAUAAGAAACUUUCAAGUACCCAUUUCUCUUUAACCACUAGGACACAGUAGGUUCUCCAGUUCAGGUAAUAUUCAAGUUAAUCCCACAGUCCGGCAUCCUAAAUUUCAAGUUUAGGAUACACUACAAAAUCUGAAACCUAAAACUCUUAUACCAACUAUUACGCCCCCACUUCUCCCUAAGACGAACCCUAGGGUAUCAGUAGAAGGCCUGCCCAACUCUCGUCAGGACUCAUGCACUCAUUCAAGCUUAAUAUAGGAUUACAAAUUAAUCAUCGACUUAAUUAAGAAGUAUUUCGAAUAUACAAGCUCGAAACUCCCAAGUAUACCAUUUAUAAUUACAAACCAUAAAAUCCGAGCAUACAAAAUUUACACUUUGAUACCAACUGAAGCCUAGGAAUUUGUGAUGCCCCACUUCUCCCUAAGGCGAACCAAAGGGUAUCCGCGGACGCCGGCCGAGCUCUUGCCAGGACUCAAGACAAUUCGAUUCAUAUUACAAGCCUAAUAAAGAGAAGUCGCUUUCAUAAACGAAUCUCUAAGUCUUAUAUCACGAAUUCAAAAUACAUCCACAGCCCAAAAGAUAUAUCAGUUCCAAAAUAACCAACAGCCGAAAGUCUAGUCAAUUACAUUCAAAAUCCGAAUACAAAAGUACAUCUAAAGGUUCUGCCGAGUUUCACUCCAUGUCCAUUCCUAUUAAGGAACACAAAUCUACGAGGUGAGCAAUAGCUCGUGAGGCCAAGAACACACAUGCAAGCAUAUUACCCAAGUAGCAAUCCCAUUCAAUAAUGAAAACAAUAACAUUCGAAUAAUUAACAAUUCGUGUGAAAAUUUAAACAGAAACAAUUCAAGGAUAUGGUAAUUCUCAGGAGCUAAGUUCCACUUGCUUUGCUAGAUUUCAAUCGUAUACCUUCCCAUGAUGACACUCCGUCAACCAGGAUGGUAUUUCCAAUCCGUAGAACUCCACUUAUUUCUCAGGUCCGUCCACCGUACACCGCACCGGACCCGCACGACAUUUAUAAGGCGAUACUCCACGAGUAUACCAAGCAAUAUCUCUCCAAUAGAUCAAGCUUAUCAUGCAAUUCUCAUGGCUCACCGAGGUGUCCGACCAGGCCUAUGUCGGCUCGAGUCCCAAGGUCGGCCUAUGAGUUUGGGCGUCCCCCAUGUAACAUUUGUGUGUCGAAAAGAUUCACUCCAACGACGUGUGCAGUCAUAGCAUACAAUUUCAUUUCAUUCAGUCAUUCAAUCAGUCAUUUCAUUCAAUCAAGUCAUUUAUGAUUCAUUCAUUUCAUUUUAAUCAAUUCAAUCAUGAGUCAUUCAUUUCAAAUGAGAACGAGUGCGGUAAAGUACACACUCGACUUCAUUUUCAAAGUUUCCAAUCAUGAACAAUAGUUAAGCAGGUAUCAAGUUUGCAUACACUUGACACUCACCAAGUAAUCAAGAAACAAGUACAGGCAUUUGUUUUAGGCAUCUCCCGUGAGAUCCUCUUGAAAGUCCUCUUGAGUGCCUGAGUAAUUAAUAAUUAACUAUCACUUAUAAACGUCAAUUAUUAAGAAAGAUUGCAUACUUGUACAAUCUAAGAAAAUUUGAUGAAAAUGAGCUUAAUUACUUGUAAAUCGAGACUCAAAAAUGGGGUUUUAAAACACAAGCGAAAUUUGAUUUUCAUCUUUGAAUUCAAGUGUAAAACGGUCUAGCAAUAUUGAAGGAAAAUAGAGAGUUCGCAACCCUCAAUUUCCUUUAAGUUCGAAAAUUUCAGAUUUGUCGAGUAAUCUUUGAAAAAUCGUAUCUCACUCUCUAUAAGUCCAAAAUUCGAAAACUUGGUGCCGUUGGAAACUAUUUUCGUAGUACUAAAAGUGCUAGAAGACACUUUUCCAUGAUUCAAAAUAGAAGACAUUCGAAUUUUGGCUUUGAGUUGUUUUGGCUAUCAAGACAGUUUUGGGGUUGGUUUUUGGCAAACUCUGGAAAUUCAGCAAAAUUCACACAAAACGAACUAGCCUCUGAAAUUUGGAAUUCAAUUAGAUUUACAAUCAAAGUUUAAAACAAAGCAAGCGGAACAAGGAUUGGAGUUUUGAGUACCAAGAUAUGGCAGCUCAAAGUUACCCAAAAGUUGGGACUGUUAGACCAUUUUUCAGGUUUAAAAAAUAGAUUUUGAAUCUUUAGUUGAGCAUUGAAAUGGAUUCGGAAUGGCACCAAAUUUGGUAUGAUUAUACUACUAUGUAAGGGCUAUUCCUCUGUCAAAUUUCAUGUAAAAAUUCAUUUAGAAUUUUGGUUAACAAAACUAUUAAAGUUCAACAAUUUGCUAAGGCAAAUCUGCCUUGCACUUUCGUUUUUCUUUUCUCAAACAUUUGGCCAAGGAAAAUUCCUCGAACAUGAUUCAUUUAUGAAGACAAAGUCUAGAAAACAUCCCAAAAUACAUUUGGUAGGUGAUUAACACCACGGAUUUCGAAUAACAAGUCCCAAAUUAAGAUUAGCUAUAAAUCAGUCCAGAAUUAGGAUUUUCUUUCACGAAGACAGCUCUGAAAUCCGGCCACAACUCACUCAAUUCAACUCAGAAUUGAGCAAGGUCAGUGGCAUUGAAAACUACAUUCAUAAGGCUACAAUUUCUCAGAAGAAUCAUUUUAAAAUUCUAUCCACAACUAACUCAUAUUUGAGCAUCAAGUCACAGCUCAAAAUAAGGUUUCUAGUACAGACGAGAAACAGAACAGGCAACUUUACAAGGUUGGUACGGCUCACUCAGGUAGAAUCAAGGCAUACAUUUUAUACCGUUGAAAAACUAGAAAUGUCUAAUUUCUAAUGCCGUAAACAGAACUCGAUUUCGACGUCGGACCAAAGGGUUAUGGCCGAAACAAAAUCACUACAAAAGAGGCUCUGGUUACGUUUCCAGUUUUGCUACAUUUUCGAAAUCUCAACUUUUGGCCAACCAAAUUGGAUGAUUUUUGGUGAAAACUUUUCACACAACCCACACAACAUAUUGACAUCAAAAUCAAGUUAAUUGAACCACAAAAAAAUGCACUAAGGGUCACGGCAAAACAGGGGCAGAAGCGUCAUUUUUGCUCAUCUCACUUCCUUUGAGCUUUCUUUCACAACACAAUUUAUUUUCACUAGAUUAAGCACAAAUCCAACAUAAAUAACAUCAAAUCAGUUCAUCAAGCCACUGUGGGAUUUCAUAGACCCCACUCACAAGAUUUCUAACAAUAUAAAGCUACUAAUAUGAAUCUAUGAGCUCACAAGUGCAAUACAACUUAUAUAAACCAAGAUUCAAGAGGUUGAUCAUCAUUUACCUCCUUAGAUGGCUAGAGCAGAAAUUUUUGGUCAUCUUAAGCCCAAGAAAACCAUGACAAAAAAGCUCGUUGCCUAGCUUAAGUUGAUUUCCAAAUAGUUUGCAAGUUGUGUGUAAAUUUUGGAGUGAUUUGAUGAAGAAAUGAAGCAAGAAAUGAUGAAGAUUUUGGUUGUUUUGUCCUUGAAGAUGGCCGGCUGUUAGGGAGAGAGAAAGGAGAGUGUUUUGUUGCAAAUGAAGCUUCCUUGAGAAGCUUAAAUGUGUGGUUCAAAAGUGUUCAAAAGUCAAUUCUCCCUCCGCGCACGCACGCGCGCGUUUCGUACUUGAUUCCUUUCGAGUUUGUUUCACUAGUGCACUAAAUCUCUAAUGCACUUCCAUUCAUACUAUUAUUAUUCAUUCUUAAUAGCCCUAAAAUAAAGGUUUUAAAUCCAUCAAUUAAUCGCGCGCGCGAAAUCGCGUACUUUCGAUUUAUGCGCGAUAGAGUGAAAUUUCUAAUAAAUUCUUAUAACGAUAUAUAACUAACUAACACUUGAGCACUUAAACAUAAAAAAAUAUACCUAUUUCAAGACUAAUGUACAAGUCUCUAAUUUUUCAAACUUAUUGUAUUCUCGAAUCGAUUAUUAUCUCCAAACGCACAUUCACUAUUCUCACUAAAUGAUUUUUCAAAAAUUAAAUUUUGUAACAAGUCAUUUUAAAAAUAUAUGCAAGUCAUAGUUUCAUGUAAUUGGGUCUAAAAAGGUUGGAAUUAAAUAUUCGUAGCAAACGAGCAUUUAAAUAUUUAAAUAAACUAGAAAUAGAGGUUUAAAAUAAGUAAUUUUGCGAGUUCUCAAAUCUUCUCUCCCUUAAGAGAAUUUCGUUCUCGAAAUUAUACCUUGAUUUGUGAAUAAGUUUGGAUAUUUUCUUCGAAUCUCUUCUUCAACUUUCCAGGUUGCCUCCUCUAGUUCAUGGUUCCUCCAAAGAACUUUUAUCAAUGGAAUCCACUUGUUUCUCAGUUCUUUCACCUUACUAUCUAGAAGCUUCACUGGUUUCUCCUCAUAGGUCAGCGUCUUAUCAAUUUCAAUACUUUCCAGUUGCAAGAUAUGAGAAAGGUCUAGAUGAUAUUUCUUAAGCAUGAAUACGUGGAACACAUUAUGAAUCCGAAACAGAUUCGGUGGCAAUUCCAACUUAUACGCUACAUUUCCCACGCGUUGGAUAACCUUAUAAGGUUUUACAAACCUCGGUUGUAAUUUCUUUCCCUUCCUAGACAUUAAACUUGCUUUCAGAGAUAUAAUCUUAAGAAAUACUAGAUCCCCAACCGCAAAUUCUAAGUCCUUCCUCUGAUUAUCUACAUAACUCUUUUGACGACUUUGAACGGUCUGAAUCCUCUGGCGUACCAACUUUACUUUCUCAUUAGCUUUUUCAAUCCAAGGCACUGUAGUCGGGUUUAAAAUCUUUCAUUCACCUACUUCAUCCCAACAAAUCGAAAACCUAUAUUUUCGACCAUAAAGUGCUUCGUACGGGGCCACUUGAAUAGAAGAGUUGAAUCUAUUGUUAUAGGCAAAUUCCACCAAUGUCAAAUACUUACUCCAACUUUCCCCAAAAUCCAAAACACAAGUUCUUAACAUGUCCUCAAGGGUUUGAAUCGUCCUCUCAGACUGUCCAUCGGUUUGGGGAUGGUAAGUAGUACUAAAAUUCAAUCUAGUCCCCAAUACUUCUUGUAUCUUUUGCCAAAACCUUGAAACAAUUCUCGGGUCUCUAUCGGACACAAUAUUUACAGGUAUUCCAUGUAACCUGAUAAUCUCAUCCAAAUAUAACUUAGCUAACCUCUCCAAUGGAUACUUCAUAUUAAUCGGCAGAAAAUGAGCCAAUUUGGUCAAUCUAUCCACUAUUAUCCAAAUAGCAUCAUGGCCUCUUUGUGUCCUAGAUAACCCUGAUACAAAAUUCAUAGUGAUGUUUUCCCAUUUUCACUCAGCUAUCUCCAAAGGUUGCAACAAUCCUGAUGGUUUCUGAUGUUCAGCUUUAACCUGUUAACAAAUCAAACAGGUCAGGACAAAUUGAGCAAUAUCUUUCUUCAUGCUCUCCCACCAGUACAGACUCCUCAAGUUUUGGUACGUUUUAUUUCCUCCAGAGUGUACCGUAAACUUCGAUCGGUGUGCCUCUUCAAAAUUUCCUUCUUAAGCCCUUCAUUUUUUGGAACUAUUAUUCGAUUUCGAAACCUCAGUAUACCAUUUAUUCCCAACUUAAAGUCCGACUUUUCGCCCUUUUUGAUUCUUUCCAACCACUUUUGCACCUCAGUGUCCUUUUCCCGGGCUUCUCGAAUACAUUCCAACAAAGUGGAAUUCACUACAAUAUUUCUAAGAAUUACUCUCCUUGGUUCAAGUCUAGGAUUCCAAUAACUAACUUUUUCUAACAAGUGCAUCUCUUUAAUCAUUAAUCCGGCCACUUGUACUUGAUGAUUUAAAGCAUCGGCUACUACAUUGGCCUUUCCUGGAUGGUACUUUAUCGUGCAAUCAUAGUUUUCCAAAAAUUCCAUCCACCUACGUUGCCUCAAAUUCAACUCCUUUUAAGAGAACAAAUACUUAAGGCUUUUGUAAUUAGUAAAAACCUCAAAUGUUACUCCAUAAGGUAAUGCCUCCAUUUCUUUAAAGCAAACACUAUAGCUGCUAACUCCAAGUCAUGAGUCAGGUAACUUCUUUCAUGCAGUUUCAACUUCCUAUAUGCAUGCACUAUCACUUUCUUAUUUUGCAUUAAAACACAUCCCAAGCCUUACUUGGAAGCAUCAAUGUAAACCACGAAUCUAUCUUUUCCAUUCAAUAAAACUAAUACAGGCGCUCUUGUCAAACAUCUCUUCAAUUCCUAGAAACUCUCUUCACACUUAAAACUCCAUAUAAACUUUUCACUUUUCUUGGUAAACUCAUUCAUAGGUCCAGUAAUUCUAAAAAAAUCCUUAAUGAAUCUCCGGUAAUACCCUGCUAACUCUAUAAAACUUCGAAUCUCAGUAGGGUUUUCUGGUCGUUUUCACUUCGAAACAGCUUCAACUUUAGCUGGAUCCACUUUAAUCCCAUCCUUAGAAAUUAUGUGUCCCAAGAAUGUCACUUCUUUCAACCAAAAAUCACACUUGCUAAACUUAGCAUACAAUUGAUGUUCCCUCAGAGUUUGUAAAACAAUUCUCAAGUGCUUCUCGUGAUCCUCCACAUUCUUAGAGUACAUUAAUAUAUCAAAUACCGCCACAGAUUAAUCCAAAUACGAUUUAAAACCCCGAUGCAUUAAGGUCAUAGUUGCUGCUAGUGAAUUAGUCAACCAAAAGGGCAUAACUAAAAAUUCAAAGUGUUUCUAUCUUGAAUUGGGAGCGGUCUUUAGCACAUCAGUUUCUAGGAUCCUCAACUGAUAAUAGUCCUACUUUAAAUCCAACUUAAAUAGUACCACGACUCCUUACAGUUAAUCGAAUUCUUAUCCAUGUAAGGCAAAAGGAUAGUUGUUCUUAAUGGUCACAUCGUUCCAGUCUCGAUAGUCUAUAUAUAGCCUCAAGCUUCUACUCCAAAUAUGAUAACCUAUCCCUUAAUCUUUAGACUCAUUAAAUCUAUCAAAUAUUUCCUUGCACUAACCCAAUUUUCACAAUCUUAAUAUAUCAAUUUGGCAAUCAAAUAUUAGGUCCUAACUUCAACCCUAAGUUCUCGAUUUUUUUUCACCGAUCCCUGGUCAUCCCCAAGACCUUAGGGUUGUCUAUAUUCUCAAAUAUGAUCUUGAUCGUGUUUACUACCGUUCAUGUCUUAUUAUAAAUCUAAAAGUGUGGGGCAAAGUUUAAAUUUACAUAUAAGCCAUGAAGUUAAAAGCAAAGUAAAUUCUCAUAUGUUAUAAAAGAUCAUAAUAGUUGCACCAGUGAGGAUAAUUCAUCAAAUCAUUUCAAAAGAAAAGAGGAGACAAUAAAGUCAUGGGAAAGCGGAUUAAGUCGCAAUUGUACGAAAUACCAAAAGGGCUUUGGUGCUCAACUAACCGUGCUAAGACAUCAAUCAUAUGGUCAAUAGCAGUAGCUACCUGAUUGUUUCCUUCAUUUCUAGGAUUUUGGUUCGCCCCAAUUGCCAUUCCCUAAACAUCCCCUUGAACUUGGGGUUGCUUAACCCCUUGCCCUCAGUCCCUUUUCAUUUCUUUGGCCGCUCAUAAAUUUAACAUUUAUAAAGGCAUGACGUAAAAUAAGUGCACACAAAUGAAGUUUGAAAAGUGACACUUAAUCAUGCAAAACGAAAAUAAAAGGGAAGACACCAAAAUAAUCGCAAAUAUGUACAACCUAACCAUAGAUUUGAAGUUAUAAAGCAAGAAGGUCAAGCACUUCACAAGUAACGUUCAAUCAUUUCAAAAGGUAAGAAGUAUAGUUAAACAAAACACAAAAUGCAAUGGCCUUUGAACAAGCACCACCCCGACUAUUCUCAACAAAACUUUUAAAGUGGUCCAAAUCACUAAUUUAAUGAUUGGUGGAGUCAAAAGUCUCUACUAUUUCAGUAAGAUUAUUUUUCAUCUUCAGCACUAGGAGUUGUCUCAUCACUUUCCCCGUCAAGUAUCUUGCCAUUCACCACUUGAACAACCAAAGCAAUACACUCAGCCAUCAUCCCCUCAGUCCGGUCUUCUAAUUUCAAGUAUUACCCUAACAAGUCGGUGCUUAGCCUCCGAAAGCUGCUCACAAGGAGUCUCAGUCUUUUUCCAUCCCUCAAGUACCUCCGUUUCAAUUCAUGAAUUCUAAUAGUUUGAGCAUCCACAGUUGCCCAAAAUCCUGGAUUAUUCCCUCGAACUACAGUAUUUUUCUCAAAUAACCAUCUCCAGUCAUUGACCACCGUUAACACUCCGUUAUUUGAGUACGAUUAAGUCCUCUGGCAAUUACACGGGGUCCUAGUUCAGCAAGUUGGAUUAUAUCUCCAAUGAAUUUCCCCUAGACCUUUCUCGAUAACGGAUUACCAGAAGACAUCUCCGAGACGGCUCAAUACCAUUGUUACCUUCCAUAAAUUACAAUUAAUAUUAAAAGCUUAGAUGGAUCCAAGUAUACUAAAUAAACUAGGUCCAAUAACUAGGUCCGAUCAUUUCGUACUAUCCCACAUAUCUCUUACAAGAUCGAGACUCCUAAUUAUCCAUUAAUUCAAACCCAGGCUUAAAUUUCAAUCCCUACAAGCGGUCACUUAACUUUCAAACCAGUCCCACAGUCCAACAUCCUAAACUUCAAGCCUAGAAUACAUUACAAAGAUCUGAAAUCUAACCUCUGAUACCAACUGUGCCGGCCCACUUCUCCCUUAGGCGAACCAAAGAGUAUCCGCGGACGCCGGCCCAACUCUCACCAGGACUCAAGACAAUUCGAUUCAUAUUACAAGCCUAAUAAAGAGAAGUCGCUUUCAUAAACGAAUCUCCAAGUCUUACAUCACGAAUUCAAAAUACAUCCACAUCCCAAAAGAUACAUCAGUUCCAAAAUAAAUAACAGCCGAAAGUCUAGUCAAUUAUGUCGCGCCCCAUUUUUUUGAUAAAAUAAAUAAAUGGUUUGGAAAAAUGUAUUUGUGAUUGGAAAAUGAAUUGUGAUUUAAAAUAAAAAUGGGUCUAAAUGAGGUUUUGAGAAUGCGACUAUUUGACCCAAAAUGUAGUUUAAAAAGGGUUUUUGAAACAAUUGGAGUCGCCACUUGGUAAUGUGUUAAGGUGUACCAAGUCACCUAAAAAGUGAAUUUUUUAAAGAAAAAAUAGGAAAAAGUAGUAAGAAACCCCUUUUAAACAACUCCUAGUCCACGUAAACCAAAGAAAAAGGCUCGGGAGUCACAUUUGACAAAGGGGAAGGCAAGGAUAAAAUCCAAGGCACCCCUUUGACCUAGCCAAGGCUAGUUGCAUGAUUUAAUCAAAGAUUUUCUUAUUUUAACCAAAGAAUUUAUUACAUUUGGAUGCACUACAUGAAUGCAAACCCUAGACCUAGGGGUAUUGGGGGAAAUUUCUCUUCAAAGGUUGAGUGGUGCCAAUCACAUUAGUUGUGAAGCCCAAUAACGAUCCUUUGAAGAAGUCACGAAUAAUGCGAGUGGGAUGCAAAUGAAUGGAAUGCAUGUAUGCAAUGUGAGGACAUGAGUUUGAAAAAGUAAUAAAAAAACAAUAAAUAUGUAAAUGAAAAUGUGCACGUGAGUGGGCAAGGUACGGUAUGUGAAAUGAUAAUAUGAAGUGCAUGUGUGCAAGUGAUGAUAAAAGUGUUCGUGUGCAAGUGAAGAAACAUAAAGGUGCACGUGUGCAAAAUGGGACAAAAGUGUUCGUGUGCAAGUGAAGGGAUAAAAGGUGUACGUGUGCAAAUGGGAUGAAAAGUGAAAGUGUAAUGAUAGAGCGGAUUUAGAAUGCAUGAGCCUAGGGAAUGCAUGCAUAUUGGGUACGGGGAGACCUAAAUCGUGACUCAAUUUACCCUUUUAUAGAGGGAAUACAAGCGUGCUAAGGCUUAGAAAAAGCCACACUCGUCUAUAUCCCAUAUUUAAGGGGACUCUCAAGCAAAUGAACCCUAUAACUAGAAUGAAAUGCAAAAAUCCUAAAAUGAAAGGAAAAGGGGUUCGAGGGGCAUGCCAAAUGAUAAACUAAGAAAAAUGCAUGACAUGUAAUGAUCACGCAAAUAUGUACUAACGAAGGGAAAUCCCUAAGGGUCUAGCGUUGGACUAGCCCAUUCUAUGAAUUCCUACUAGCAUUGGACUAGCGGAAACGUACAUUCAUCCAUCACAUUCAUUCAAGGAUAUGGAAAGCGAGUAGACAUGUCAAUCACAUAGCACAUAACACUUAGCAUGCAUAUCUAAAUGCCAAAACCUAAGAAAACGAUUAAACAUAUAGCACAUAGACAUGCAUGACACAUAAGGUGAUUAAGGCCCUAACUAUUACAUUUGCUAGCUAGGCACAAGUCUUCAACAGCUCUUCAUCGAAUGCUCCUCCAAACCCUAUCUAUUACAAGCCAAGAGGUGUACACAUACCCCAUAAAGAAUAACUUAAAUAAAAAGCAAAAGUAAAUGACAUAAAUAAAAGAAAUUAAGGAAAGGCUAAGAAAGCAAAGUAGACAUGUAUUUCUCACGUAGCACGUUGGUUCACAUAAGAGUGACGGAAAAAAGAUAAAAGAAAUUAUACCUCCCUUGAAAUGAAGCUCUAAUGAAGUGAAAUCAACUUAUUUAUCCUCCAAAAUAAAAGAAAUGGUCAAGGUACCAAUUUAUUUGGCAAAUAAUCACAAAGGAUAAAAAAUAAACAUGAAUUUGAAUCAAUUAAAUCAUGUCAACAAACCACAUUUAAGAAGUCAAAAGAAGAAAGGACUUGAUUGCAAAAAUUGAUAAAAUUUUGGGGCCAAAAUUAAAGAAAAAUAAAGUUUAGGGACCUAUUUACAAUUAUACCAGGGACCCAAUUGAAAGAAGCUAAAAGUGUUCAGGCCCAUGACAGAAAUAUUUAGAAGCACAGGGACUGAUUCGCAAAUUUAUUUUCUGGUUCCUGAAUGGAUCAAACCACUGGGCUGUUUUAUUUAUUCGUUUGGGCCGGAAACCAUCCUAGCCCAACCGAAAGCCCUAAGAGAACAAGCAGGCAGCCUGUCGUAAGUCCAAACAAAACUCAACUAAAACAUAUGGGUUUUAUUUCUCAAGCCCAUGUCAACAAUCCAGACAAAACAAGUCAUUAAUCCAUUGGUCAAACCCAAACAACAAAUCCAGACCAAACCUCAUCUUAUUUCAUGAAAACCCAACAUGAAUGAACCACAUUUUAUAUUCAAGCCCAACCAUGCAAACCAUAAAAUCAACUAAAAAUUUAAUCCUAAUAAUGUCAUAACAUCAAAAAUCAAUGUACCCAAAAGAUUACUUAACAAACAUAAAAAAAGAAAAAGAUGAUAACAUCUAAAAAAAAGAGAAGCAAGGCCAACUUUUCCAAUCUUUGAGUCAAAUCAGAAUAAGGGGAAAACUUGAGGGUUUCAAAUGCAACCAAAACAGGGAUCCAAUUGGAUGGAAUCAUGAAGGUUUUGGGGUCGAAUUUAAAGAAAAAGUAAAAUCCAGGGGUCAAUUUGCAAAUUUCCAGAUUUUUGCAAACAAAUGGUUCGCUGAAUCUCUCUUCUUCGACGAUUGAAGGAAAGCUUCGGCAACCUGAUUCGGCCAUUUUGUCUUAACCAACAACUAUCAUGUUUUAACAAACAUUGAACUGGCCGAAUGUCAUGCAAAACACAAAUUGAUUCAUCUUUGAAACUAAAAUCUCGUUGGACAUUUCAUCGAGCAACAAGCAGACAUAAAAAAAAUUCACAAAAUUUUGCUCAAUUGAAGUUAUAAUCAGCCCAGAAAUUGCGUAGAAAAUCAAGAUUUCAGUCCAAUUUUGCACGCAAGGCACACUUAUCCUAAAAUCCAUGAACGAUCAACAUGAAAAUAGAAAUUACGAAAUCACAGAAACUUAUUUUCAAGCAUUGGACAGAAAACUAAAAUUUUCAAAAAAAACUUACAGUGCUCUGACGAUGAAGAUCCACGGGCGACGAUGGUCAGUUCCGGUGGUGGCAAUGGCGACUCCGGUCGCAGCCUUCCCUUCUUGUUUCUGGCCCGAAGUUUCUCCGACUGACCGGCUUGUGGCUUCGUUAUGAAGAUUGAGGAGAGGGACCGUGAGGCCUUUGGGAGGCAUAUUGGGCUUCCUUCCAUUUUUGCGAAGCUUUGAUAGCUGCAACCAACUUUUCCCCUGGGAGUCAUGGCGGCCACGGAGGCGGCAGAGGUGAAGAAUGGGGGCGGCGCCGUGGAGCUUACGCGCGGUGGUGGCGAUGAGUGGCGAGCGGUGGUGCUGAUGAGUGGCGAGUGGUGGUGCCGGAUUGAAAGUUCCCUCUUUUCCUGUUUUCAGUUUCUUUCUCAGCCCAAAACCGGUCCCCCUGGCUUUUUCCUUUUGCUCCAUUCCUUAGCCGAAACCAUCCCUCUGAUUUUUCUACUUCUGUUUCUUUUAGUCGACAUCCGUUCUUGCUCUGUCUUCCCCUUUUUGUUUACUCACUGACUUCCUCCCCAGAUUCUUUCAGUCGCCCACUAUCUAGCUUCCUUCCUCUCGUCCUAAGCCUCCCUGUUUUUUAUGUCCGCUUCCCCUUUUCCCUUUUUUUUUUUUCCUUGCCGACGGAGCUCCCUAUUCCUUUUCCCCCUAAAAGUCUCGCCGCCCCUCUGGUUUUUCAUUCGUCCCCUUUUGCCGUUCUUCUUAGCCCCCAGACUCUCCCUUCCUUUUUUCGAUUUCGUUUUCUCUUUUUUUAGUUUUAGCCCUCACAAAAUUCUACUUUGACCCCCAAAAAUUCCUUAACUUCCCAAAUGUCCCUAACACCUCACCCCUUAGGUGCUUAGUUGUCUAAAACAUAGAAAAGACACUUGUCCAAGUGCAUGCAGUCCCACUUGUCAUUUUCACUUUUUCUUUCUUUUUCCUUUUCUCUUUUUCUUUUGUUUUUCCUGAAAUUUAAUGUGAAGCCAAAAAUACACUAGAACAAAAAUAAAAUAAAUAACAAUAAUAAAAAUAAAAUAAAAUAAUAAUAAUAAUAAUAAUAAUAAUAAUAAAAAUAAAAUAAUAAAAUAAUAAAAAUAAAAUAAUAAUAAGAAAUGAAAAACCUAAAAUUGAAACAAAUAAAGCUAAGAUGAAAUUAAUUAAACGAAGAAAGUUAAAAAAUCAAAAAUUUGGUGUCUACAGUUUGCCCCUCUUUGUCUGAGUUUUGAAAAAACUUGAGACAAAGAAGUAGACACCAAAUACUUACCUGUGUUAUUCGGCUGCGAACGAUCCGAACGACGGACGCUUCUGAAACGAUGACUGACCUCUUUAAAAAUUUUUUAUUAUUAUUAUUAUUUUUUUUGAAAUGGGACUGACCCAAAUGAGAAAAUUUUAAAAUCGGGACUGACCCGAGACAGGAAAUUUAAACGGGAUAGACCCGGACAGAAAUUUAAAUGGGAUAGACCCAGACAGAAAUUUAAAUGGGAUAGACCCACGGGAUAGACCCGAACAGAAAUUUAAAUGGGAUAGACCCACGGGAUAGACCCGGACAAAAAUUUAAAUGGGAUAGACCCGAACAGAAAUGUAAACGGGAUAAACCCGAACAAGAAAAUUAAAUGGGAUAGACCCACGGGAUAGACCCGGACAGAAAUUUAAAUGGGAUAGACCCAGACAGAAAUUUAAAUGGGAUAGACCCACGGGAUAGACCCGGACAGAAAUGUAAACGGGAUAAACCCGAACAAGAAAAUUAAAUGGGAUAGACCCACGGGAUAGACCCGGACAGAAAUUUAAAUGGGAUAGACCCAGACAGAAAUUUAAAUGGGAUAGACCCACGGGAUAGACCCGGACAGAAAUUUAAAUGGGAUAGACCCAGACAGAAAUUUAAAUGGAAUAGACCCGGACAGAAAUUUAAAUGGGAUAGACCCACGGGAUAGACCCGAACAGAAAUUUAAAUGGGAUAGACCCACGGGAUAGACCCGAACAGAAAUUUAAAAUUGGGAUCAAGCCCGAGUCAGCCGAGGUCGGAGGGAUAAAACUCAUGCCCAACGAAAAUAAAAGCGGUCAGUCGAGACUGCCGAGGUCGGAGGGAUAAAACCCGUGCCCAACGAAAGUAAAAGCGGUCAGUGGGAUAAACCCGAGCCUGCCGAGGUCGGAGGGAUAAAACCCGUGCCCAACGAAAAUAAAAGCGGUCAGUGGGAUAAAACCCGAGCCUGCCGAGGUCGGAGGGAUAAAACCCGUGCCCAACGAAAGUAAAAGCGGUCAUCGGAUUUUGCCGAGGUCGGAGGGAUAAAACCCGUGCCCAACGAAAGUAAAAGCGGUCAGUGGGAUAAAACCCGAGCCUGCCGAGGUCGGAGGGAUAAAACCCGUGCCCAACGAAAGUAAAAGCGGUCAGUGGGAUAAAACCCGAGCCUGCCGAGGUCGGAGGGAUAAAACCCGUGCCCAACGAAUGUAAAAGCGGUCAGUGGGAUAAAACCCGAGCCUGCCGAGUGAUAAAAGCGGUCAGUGGGAUAAAAUCCGAGCCUGCCGUGAUGAAUUUGAUUUGAUUUUUGACUUUGAAUUUUUUUUUUGAUUUUUUUUUGAUUUUUUGAUUUUUUUUAAUUUAUUUUUUAUUUUUUUUAUUUUUCCUGACUGAGAGAGACUUGUCGAAAUAAUUUGCCCAGUGUGAUGAAUUGGUCUGUGGGAUUAAACCCGAGCCUGCCCAAUGAAAUGUUGGCGGCACUAAAUCCAGGCCCAACUUGAUGUUGUGAAUGUUGGCGGCAUUAAAUCCAGGCCCAACUUGAUUUUUGAGAACAAGAAAUUGAAUUUGAUUUGUCAAAAAGCAAGAAAUUAAACUUGAGUUUUUUUAUUUUUGACCUUUCUGAUGAUGAUUUUUUUGAUGAUUUUUGAUUUUUUUUCUUUUUUCUCUUUUUCUGAUUUUUUCCUUUUGAUUUUUCCUUUCCUUUCGGAUUUUUCCGAGAGAAUUUUUUUAAAAUAAUUUGCCCCAGUGUCGGGUCCAUUUUUCCUUCCUUCUUCUUGCUUCUCUUUGCAGUAUCGGCCUUCCGCCUCACUGGAUGCUUUUCGUCAUUUUGAACCAUGAAUACCUGCACAGGGGGCUUAACAAAGUAUGACAUGCACUCAAAUUUCUUAUUUGGAAAGAACAGCGUGAUUGGUUUGACAUCCUCAAAUGUAUUACAAAAAUUUUGCCCCGGUGUGGGCUAUUUUAAUUGCAAAAAAUUUGUUUGAAUGACCCUCCAUUUAUUUGAACAAAGUGAGCAAUUACUUUUCCUAACAUAGCAUGUGAAGAAAUUGAAAUGUCUUGUUUAAACUCAUAUAGAAAAUUUCAUGAUGAAUUUUUCAAAACAAUGCCAAAUUAAGAAAGAUUUCUUCCCCACUUUAGCAUCAAUGCUUUGGGUGAUGGGUCACCAUUUCUUGUUGGCUCGUCUGUCAGGACCAACCAAGUGACUUUAUUUGGAAAUGGCUAAAGGAAAAUGGGAGGUCAAGAUUUGUCUUAUUCUUGUGCCCAAAAUUGUAUGUAAUCCCUUCAAUGUCACAUCUUAGUGAAAGCAAAGAGUUUGUCACCCUUAUUUUCCAAGAAAACUUAGUCAACAUACAAGCUUUCUAGGCAUGCAACGUAUGGACAGAAGUGAUAGCUAAACAUGUGGAAACGGGUUAUACCCUUAUGAUCACAAAUGAUUUGAUGAAUUUCUUAUGAGCAUGAUCCUCACUUUGGAUUGUCAUGAAGGAAUAAGUCAACGAUGGACUUUGUUAGCUUGUAAUGUAACUUGGAAAACGAUAGUUAAAGAAAUAAGAUUUUCAAGGACAUUGCACUGAAGAUCGCUCUUUCCCAAAAUUACCCCUAUUCUAAACUCAAAAGAUUUCAGACUUUGUUUGGAUUUUCUCAUCAUUCCCCAGGGCCUUCAGUGUCGAAUUUUCCUGCAUUUUCUUUUCUUGCUUUUCUUUCGCUUCUUUUCUUUCCCCUCGAGCUGAUGGGUUUUCACAUGGUGAGUAGCGUCAACCUCAUACUCAAGCAAUUCAGAAAUACAGCUAAAAUUUUCCGGCAUCAGAAAUUUUCUCGACAGGGCCAUUGCAAAGAACAGAAGUCAGGACUUUCGAUUUUUGUAAUGGGGUCAGGUGGGAUGUUUAGAAAAAUUAAGGCUUGAAGGCAGAUUUCAAGAAUGGUUUAAGUAAUCUGAGAUCGCAUCAGAAUUUGCCCCAGUUUAUGCUCAAUUGAGGCUUUUUCCCUUUCAUUUUCUUUCUUCUUUUGAUUUUUCGGCUUUCUGCCAUUUUUGAGCUUUCACAAAAUUUGCCCCAAUUUAUUUUUGAACUGAGGUUCUCUUUUUCCUCUUGCUUUUGAUUUUGUGGCUUUUCACUUUUUCACUUCUUGAAGUUUUCCUUUUCAACUCAACCUUGCCCCAGUGUGGGGUUUGCGAUUCUCAGGGGUUGCCAAAUGAAGUAUUUUAUUCUGAAGGCUCAAAAGGGAUAACUAGGGAUAGAAUGUUUGAUUGGAAAAAGAAGAUGGCCUGACUUGUAUUAUGUUCCUUACAAUAACUCUGAGAGGAAACUUUCAUUAAUGCGAAAUUUCUUGCAUGUAUCUGAAUUAAUUGACUGAAGAAGACCCUUGUUCAUCCAUAUUUGUGAAACAUAGGCGAUUCACGCGGACAAAACUCUUCUCUCUUUUUUUUUUGUUUUUUUUUUUAAUUGGACCCCAAGUGGAAUCAAAUUUCCCCAAUUUGCGGUUCCCUCCUUAUUCUAGCAUUUUUGCUUUUCUCCUUUUUGGAAAAUUCUGCAAUCUCCCUCCCCAAUGCGGGGUACGAUCGUAAGUGCUUUGAAAAGAACCAUCAAUUUUAACUCAAAUGAGGAUGCAAGGGAUGACCAGUGUUUAGGUUGUAGAAACGACGACCAAAAUAUCAUUCUUACACCUCAUGACAACCAAAGUAACGAAAUGAUCAUUGAAAAUCCAUUUCCUUUUUGAUAUUUGAAAAUUUUCCAAUAUAGGGUAGUGAUCAUUAGGGCUCUUAUUCGAAACGAAAUUACUCUUUCAAAGGCUCAAAUGGGAGAGCAAAUGAUAAAAUGUGUAUAGGUAGAGAAACGAAUGCUCAAAGUAUCAUUCCAAAUUUUCAAAACAGACAAGAAUAAUGCACAUUUUUGCUUUCACUUAGAUGUGAACUGAAUAGGUUAAACACAAUGGAUAUUUUCAAGCAAAGAUGGCCCCAAUUUAUCAAUCAAUGUGACUGAUUUUAUUUUGGGGUCAAAUGAAGGAGAAAAGGAAUCUCAUAGGGCUUUUUGAGUGACAUCUUUUAAUUCUGAGCACUCUUAUUGUGAAUUUUCAGGCAGGAGGUUGAAAAAAUCCCAAUUUAGUCUUAUUUCUUAAAAUUCAUCAUGAAAUCUCCAAUGAAUAAAAAUACAGAAUGAAAUGUACAUAAAUAUACACAAAACAAUGAUUGUCCAAAAAUUUUAUUGUUGAAAAAGUUUGAAACAAAAUUUCUCAUUCAAUUACGAUACAAAUGAGAAGAGAGAAACUUGUAAAGAGCUCCACAUAUACACUUUUUGUCUCCUUUUCUUUUUGGAACAAAAUGUAUUAACAAAUCAAAUAUACAAAAUUCUCCUUUGGAAAUAAUUACAAAAUCUCUCAGAUGCUUUAGCGUAGAGCUUUCGGAUAGAUCUUUUAUGUUUUCAUUGUAGGAUCUGCCCAAAAAUCACACAAUACUUGCAAUUUUGACACCUUAUUAGACCAGAAGUGUCAUCAGAUAUAGAAAAAUAUUUUCCCUUUUAUUGAAGUGUUUUUUAUGAAUGCAAGGGAAGGGGGAAAACAAAAGAAAAAUACCCUGAGUUAGUAAGAAAGAAUAUAAAAUCGGUAUGCAUGUCCUAUGGGGGGACCCUUUUUGUGCCAAGGGUAGGCCUAGCAUGAAAAUGCAAUCCUCUAGGGUAGGCACCAUACAAUACCUGAUGAAUCCGAUCAACCGCUAGAGUGAAAAAUGAUUUGGAAAAAUUUGGCCAAUUGAAGUGAAAAGAGACAUUUGUCCUAAAAUGAAGGAAAAGUCCGAAUGGAUUGCUACUUUGAUCGACGCAUGAAAUAAUGUGUAAAAGAGAUUGCAAUGUCUCAAUUAAUUUAUUCGGUGACCCUUAGACUUAAACCCUAAAAAGGGAAAAAACGGGUCAAAUAGAUUGGAUAAAAUUGAUGAUUUAUUUAAAAAUGACCGAAUUGCCCUAAAAAUAGGUAAACUGGUCAAAUGAAUUAAAUGAAAUUUGAUUUAUUCAAAAAUUGAUCGAAUCACCCUAAAAAGGGUAGAUUGGUCAAAUGAAUGAAACUUGAUUUAUUCAAAAUCGAUUCGAUUGCCCUAAAAAUAGGUGAAUUGGCCAAAGGAAUGAAAGAGAGAUUGAUGAUUUAUGCAAAAAUCGACCAAAUCACCCUAAAAGGGUAAAUUGGUCAAAUGAAUUGAAUGAAAUUCAAAAAUCGACCGGAUGACCCUAAAAGGGUAAAUUGGUCAAAUGAAUGAUGACUUUUAAAAAAUCGACCGGAUGACCCUAAAAAGGGUAAAUUGGUCAAAUGAAUGGAUGAUUUUUCAAAAAUCGACCGGAUGACCCUAAAAAGGGUAAAUUCAUCAAAUGAAUGGAUGAUUUUUCAAAAAUCGACCGGAUGACCCUAAAAAGGGUAAAUUGGUCAAAUGACCCUAAAAAGGGUAAAUUGGUCAAAUGAAUUGACGAUUUAUUCAAAAUCGACCGGAUGACCCUAAAAAGGGUAAAUUGGUCAAAUGACCCUAAAAAGGGUAAAUUGGUCAAAUGAAUUGACGAUUUAUUCAAAAUCGACCAAACGACCCUAAAAAGGGUAAAUUGGUCAAAUGAUGGUUUAUUCAAAAUUGAUUAUGAAUUGACAAAAUGGAUCGAUUGAAUCGGCCGGCCAUUGGUGGUUUCAAAAUUAUUGAAGUGCAUUAGUCUAUGACCUUCUAAAAAUCAAAUUUUGGUCUCAAUUUAUUUAUCGUCUCAAUAGGAGGAAUCAUUUGUGAAUUUUCUUCAAAUUAAUGUCCUUCACGCAAGGGAAUUUUACCAAUUUUGAUAAAAUGGCCAAAAAGUGAUUAUUAGAUGCUCAUAUUCCAAAGAUUGCUCUAUGAAAAUGAUCGGAUCCUACCUUACCUUGUGCACUACCCCUUUGGAUGGUACAAAAUGUAAACGUGCAAGUCUCCUUGGAUUAAGUAUCCGAGACGCAAGGUGGUUUUAUUCCUAACACGGGAUCCCCUAAGUGGCAUUCCCUUUCUAGGGUUUAAUGCAUGAUGCCAGUUAUUAAAGCAGGAAAAAAAAUGCAAUUCGAAAUGAAAUGUGACCUAAGGAACCCUUUAUUUGCCAGGGUAGGCUUAGAAUGAUAUGCAAUCAUUAAUCUAUGAAUGCAAUAUACCAAAAUCUUUAAACGUGCAAUAGCCUGUCUACAAAGGUAGGUUCUAAAAGAAAGUCAUGCCAGACCUCUUAUUUCCUAAUGUUUGUGAAUGCAAAAGACAAGAGCCAAGGAAACGUGAGUUCAACACGUAAUCACAUAACACAUUGGACAAUUAAGCAACAAAGACAGAUAAGGAAAGAGGGGUGGGACCCCUCCCCUCGUGAAAUAGUGUUUCCUAAUUUAAGGUAAGGUCGACUCUACCCUGGGCAAUUCUAAUAUGGAUGCAUGAGGCUUGGCUUACUAAUGCAUCUAGACUCGAUAGGUCAUAGGCCCCCGAGCCUUCAGACUUAGAAACCAAGGGUCAUCAAUCCCAAGGUUCUUUGUCGGUGGCUCGAGCGAUUCCCCAAACACCGCUACGCACACAUCGUGUCACGGCUACGUGUUUGGGUGAAUCUAUCAAAACCUUAAUCUUCGACCAAAAGCUAAAGGCUAUCAACCAAUAGCUUUAAGCGGAAGAUUGAGUGACCCAUUGGAACAUGCUACACACACAUCGUGUCGUGAUCACAUGUCCAAGUGAGUCACCUAAUUCUAAUAGGGUAGAGUGGCGUGACAAGCCACUAAAGAAAAAUAAAAGGGAUAAAAGAAAUAAAGCGUAUGCUCGUAUGAUAGUGCUCGUUUGGAGGGGAAGGGUCAAGAACCAACGUGAGGCUCUAGGGUGACCCAUACCUCCCAAAAUGCAAUGCAAGCGCAAGAUAACAAGUAAACAUACAUCCAAUCAACCAAUCAUACAUUCGCGAGCGAGGGAGUAGUUGGAUACGCGUGAAAUACAAAAUCCUAAAAAAGGAAAAAAAUGCAACCCUAAAACACCCAAAUGUGAUAUAUGAAAAGGUUAAAAGAAGAAAAAUGUUGAUUAAAUCAAAUUUGCUCGGACUCUCGAAUGUCCCCAGUGGAGUCGCCAACUGUCGCGCCUCAUUUUUUUGAUAAAAUAAAUAAAUGGUUUGGAAAAAUGUAUUUGUGAUUGGAAAAUGAAUUGUGAUUUAAAAUAAAAAUGGGUCUAAAUGAGGUUUUGAGAAUGCGACGAUUUGACCCAAAAUGUAGUUUAAAAAGGGUUUUUGAAACAAUUGGAGUCGCCACUUGGUAAUGUGUUAAGGUGUACCAAGUCACCUAAAAAAUGAAUUUUUUAAAGGAAAAAUAGGAAAAAGUAGUAAGAAACCCCUUUUAAACAACUCCUAGUCCAUGUAAACCAAAGAAAAAGGCUCGGGAGUCACAUUUGACAAAGGGGAAGGCAAGGAUAAAAUCCAAGGCACCCCUUUGACCUAGCCAAGACUAGUUGCAUGAUUUAAUCAAAGAUUUUCUUAUUUUAACCAAAGAAUUUAUUACAUUUGGAUGCACUACAUGAAUGCAAACCCUAGACCUAGGGGUAUUGGGAGAAAUUUCUCUUCAAAGGUUGAGUGGUGCCAAUCACAUUAGUUGUGAAGCCCAAUAACGAUCCUUUGAAGAAGUCACGAAUAAUGCGAGUGGGAUGCAAAUGAAUGGAAUGCAUGUAUGCAAUGUGAGGACAUGAGUUUGAAAAAGUAAUAAAAAAAUAAUAAAUAUGUAAAUGAAAAUGUGCACGUGAGUGGGCAAGGUACGGUAUGUGAAAUGAUAAUAUGAAGUGCAUGUGUGCAAGUGAUGAUAAAAGUGUUCGUGUGCAAGUGAAGAAACAUAAAGGUGCACGUGUGCAAAAUGGGACAAAAGUGUUCGUGUGCAAGUGAAGGGAUAAAAGGUGUACGUGUGCAAAUGGGAUGAAAAGUGAAAGUGUAAUGAUAGAGCGGAUUUAGAAUGCAUGAGCCUAGGGAAUGCAUGCAUAUUGGGUACGGGGAGACCUAAAUCGUGACUCAAUUUACCCUUUUAUAGAGGGAAUACAAGCGUGCUAAGGCUUAGAAAAAGCCACACUCGUCUAUAUCCCAUAUUUAAGGGGACUCUCAAGCAAAUGAACCCUAUAACUAGCAUGAAAUGUAAAAAUCCUAAAAUGAAAGGAAAAGGGGUUCGAGGGGCAUGCCAAAUGAUAAACUAAGAAAAAUGCAUGACAUGUAAUGAUCACGCAAAUAUGUACUAACGAAGGGAAAUCCCUAAGGGUCUAGCGUUGGACUAGCCCAUUCUAUGAAUUCCUACUAGCAUUGGACUAGCGGAAACGUACAUUCAUCCAUCACAUUCAUUCAAGGAUAUGGAAAGCGAGUAGACAUGUCAAUCACAUAGCACAUAACACUUAGCAUGCAUAUUUAAAUGCCAAAACCUAAGAAAACGAUUAAACAUAUAGCACAUAGACAUGCAUGACACAUAAGGUGAUUAAGGCCCUAACUAUUACAUUUGCUAGCUAGGCACAAGUCUUCAACAGCUCUUCAUCGAAUGCUCCUCCAAACCCUAUCUAUUACAAGCCAAGAGGUGUACACAUACCCCAUAAAGAAUAACUUAAAUAAAAAGCAAAAGUAAAUGACAUAAAUAAAAGAAAUUAAGGAAAGGCUAAGAAAGCAAAGUAGACAUGUAUUUCUCACGUAGCACGUUGGUUCACAUAAGAGUGACGGAAAAAAGAUAAAAGAAAUUAUACCUCCCUUGAAAUGAAGCUCUAAUGAAGUGAAAUCAACUUAUUUAUCCUCCAAAAUAAAAGAAAUGGUCAAGGUACCAAUUUAUUUGGCAAAUAAUCACAAAGGAUAAAAAAUAAACAUGAAUUUGAAUCAAUUAAAUCAUGUCAACAAACCACAUUUAAGAAGUCAAAAGAAGAAAGGACUUGAUUGCAAAAAUUGAUAAAAUUUUGGGGCCAAAAUUAAAGAAAAAUAAAGUUUAGGGACCUAUUUACAAUUAUACCAGGGACCCAAUUGAAAGAAGCUAAAAGUGUUCAGGCCCAUGACAGAAAUAUUUAGAAGCACAGGGACUGAUUCGCAAAUUUAUUUUCUGGUUCCUGAAUGGAUCAAACCACUGGGCUGUUUUAUUUAUUCGUUUGGGCCGGAAACCAUCCUAGCCCAACCGAAAGCCCUAAGAGAACAAGCAGGCAGCCUGUCGUAAGUCCAAACAAAACUCAACUAAAACAUAUGGGUUUUAUUUCUCAAGCCCAUGUCAACAAUCCAGACAAAACAAGUCAUUAAUCCAUUGGUCAAACCCAAACAACAAAUCCAGACCAAACCUCAUCUUAUUUCAUGAAAACCCAACAUGAAUGAACCACAUUUUAUAUUCAAGCCCAACCAUGCAAACCAUAAAAUCAACUAAAAAUUUAAUCCUAAUAAUGUCAUAACAUCAAAAAUCAAUGUACCCAAAAGAUUACUUAACAAACAUAAAAAAAGAAAAAGAUGAUAACAUCUAAAAAAAGGAGAAGCAAGGCCAACUUUUCCAAUCUUUGAGUCAAAUCAGAAUAAGGGGAAAACUUGAGGGUUUCAAAUGCAACCAAAACAGGGAUCCAAUUGGAUGGAAUCAUGAAGGUUUUGGGGUCGAAUUUAAAGAAAAAGUAAAAUCCAGGGGUCAAUUUGCAAAUUUCCAGAUUUUUGCAAACAAAUGGUUCGCUGAAUCUCUCUUCUUCGACGAUUGAAGGAAAGCUUCGGCAACCUGAUUCGGCCAUUUUGUCUUAACCAACAACUAUCAUGUUUUAACAAACAUUGAACUGGCCGAAUGUCAUGCAAAACACAAAUUGAUUCAUCUUUGAAACUAAAAUCUCGUUGGACAUUUCAUCGAGCAACAAGCAGACAUAAAAAAAAUUCACAAAAUUUUGCUCAAUUGAAGUUAUAAUCAGCCCAGAAAUUGCGUAGAAAAUCAAGAUUUCAGUCCAAUUUUGCACGCAAGGCACACUUAUCCUAAAAUCCAUGAACGAUCAACAUGAAAAUAGAAAUUACGAAAUCACAGAAACUUAUUUUGAAGCAUUGGACAGAAAACUAAAAUUUUCAAAAAAAACUUACAGUGCUCUGACGAUGAAGAUCCACGGGCGACGAUGGUGAGUUCCGGUGGUGGCAAUGGCGACUCCGGUCGCAGCCUUCCCUUCUUGUUUCUGGCCCGAAGUUUGUCCGACUGACCGGCUUGUGGCUUCGUUAUGAAGAUUGAGGAGAGGGACCGUGAGGCCUUUGGGAGGCAUAUUGGGCUUCCUUCCAUUUUUGCGAAGCUUUGAUAGCUGCAACCAACUUUUCCCCUGGGAGUCAUGGCGGCCACGGAGGCGGCAGAGGUGAAGAAUGGGGGCGGCGCCGUGGAGCUUACGCGCGGUGGUGGCGAUGAGUGGCGAGCGGUGGUGCUGAUGAGUGGCGAGCGGUGGUGCCGGAUUGAAAGUUCCCUCUUUUCCUGUUUUCAGUUUCUUUCUCAGCCCAAAACCGGUCCCCCUGGCUUUUUCCUUUUGCUCCAUUCCUUAGCCGAAACCAUCCCUCUGAUUUUUCUACUUCUGUUUCUUUUAGUCGACAUCCAUUCUUGCUCUGUCUUCCCCUUUUUGUUUACUCACUGACUUCCUCCCCAGAUUCUUUCAGUCGCCCACUAUCUAGCUUCCUUCCUCUCGCCCUAAGCCUCCCUGUUUUUUAUGUCCGCUUCCCCUUUUCCCUUUUUUUUUUUUUCCUUGCCGACGGAGCUCCCUAUUCCUUUUCCCCCUAAAAGUCUCGCCGCCCCUCUGGUUUUUCAUUCGUCCCCUUUUGCCGUUCUUCUUAGCCCCCAGACUCUCCCUUCCUUUUUUCGAUUUCGUUUUCUCUUUUUUUAGUUUUUAGCCCUCACAAAAUUCUACUUUGACCCCCAAAAAUUCCUUAACUUCCCAAAUGUCCCUAACACCUCACCCCUUAGGUGCUUAGUUGUCUAAAACAUAGAAAAGACACUUGUCCAAGUGCAUGCAGUCCCACUUGUCAUUUUCACUUUUUCUUUCUUUUUCCUUUUCUCUUUUUCUUUUGUUUUUCCUGAAAUUUAAUGUGAAGCCAAAAAUACACUAGAACAAAAAUAAAAUAAAUAACAAUAAUAAAAAUAAAAAUAAAAUAAUAAUAAUAAUAAUAAUAAUAAUAAUAAUAAUAAUAAUAAAUAAUAAUAAUAAGAAAUGAAAAACCUAAAAUUGAAACAAAUAAAGCUAAGAUGAAAUUAAUUAAACGAAGAAAGUUAAAAAAUCAAAAAUUUGGUGUCUACAAAUUACAUUUGAAAUCCGAAUACAAAAGUAUAUCUAAAGGUUCCACCGAAUUUCACUCCAUGUCCAUUCCUAUUAAGGAAAAUAAAUCUACGGGGUGAGCAAUAACUCGUGAGGCCAAGAACACACAUGCAAGCACAUUACCCAAAUAGCUAUCCCAUUCAAUAAUGAAAAUAAUAACAUUUGAAUAAUAAACAAUUCGAGUGAAAAUUUAAACAGAAACAAUUCAAGGAUAUGGUAGCUCUCAGGAGUUAAGUUCCACUUGCUUUGCCAGAUUUCAAUCGUAUACCUUCCCGUGAUGACACUCCAUCAACCGAGUUGGUAUUUCCAAUCCGUAGAACUCCACUUAUUUCUCAGAUCCGUCCACCGUACACCGUACAGAACCCGCACGACAUUUAUAAGGCGAUACUCCACGAGUAUACCAAGCAAGAUCUCUCCAAUAGAUCAAGCUUAUCAUAUAAUUCUCAUGGCUCACCGAGAUUCCCGAUCAGGCCCAUGUCGGCUCGAGUCCCAAGGUCGGCCUAUGAGUUUGGACGUCCCCCGUGUAACAUUUGUGUGUCAAGAAGAUUCACUCCAACGACGUAUGCAGUCAUAGCAUACCAUUUCAUUUUAUUCAGUCAUUCAAUCAGUCAUUUCAUUCAAUCAAGUCAUUUAUGAUUCAUUCAUUUCAUUUCAAUUAAUUCAAUCAUGAGUCAUUCAUUUCAAAUGAGAACGAGUACCGUAAAGUACACACUCGACUCCAUUUUCAAAAUUUUCAAUCAUGAACAAUAGUUAAGCAGGUAUCAAGUUUGCAUACACUUGACACUCACCAAAUAAUCAAGAAACAAGCGUUUGUUUUAGGCGUCUCUCGUGAGCUCCUCUUGAAAGUCUUCUUGAGUGCCUGAGCAAUUAAUAAUAAACUAUUACUUAUAAACCCCAAUUAUCAAGGAAGAUUGUACACUUGUACAAUCUAAGAAAAUUUCACGAAAAUGAGCCAUAAUUACUCGUAAAUCAAUGCUCAAAAAUGGGGUUUUAAAACACAAGCAAAAUCUAAUUUUCAUCUUUAAAAUCAAUUGUAAAAAGGUCUAGCAAUAUCAAAGGAAAAUAGAGAGUUCGUAACCCUCAAUUUCCUUUAAGUUCGGAAAUUUCAGAUUUGUUGAGCGAUCUUUGAAAAAUCGUAUCUCACUCUCUAUAAGUUCAAAAUUGGAAAACUUGGUACCGUUGGAAACUACUUCCAUAGUACUAAAAGUUACUAGAAAACACUUUUCCAUGAUUCAAAAUGGAAGACAUUCAAAUUUUGGUUUCGAGUUGCUGUUUUGGCUAUCAAUACAGUCUUGGGGUUGGUUUUUGGUCAAAUUUGGAAAUUCGGCAAAACUCACACAAUACGAACUAACUUCUGAAAUUUGGAACUCAAUUAGAGUUACAAUCAAAGUUUAAAACAAAACAAGUGGAACAAGAAUUGGAGUUUUGAGUACCAAGAUAUGACGGUUCAAAGUUACCUAAAAGUUGGGACUGUUAGACCAUUUUUCGAGUUUAAAACAUAGACUUUGAAUCUUUGGUUGAGCAUCAAAAUGGACUCGAAAUGGUACCAAAUUUAGUAUGAUUAUACUACCAUAUAAGGGAUAUUCCUCUGUCAAAUUUCAUCCAAAACUUCAUUCAGGAAGUCGGUUAACAAAACUAUUAAAGUUCUACAAUUUGCUAAGGCAAAUCCGCCUUGCACUUUCAUUUUUCUUUUCUCAAACAUUUGGCCAAGGAAAAUUCCUUGAACAUGAUUCAUUUAUGAAGAAAAAGUCUAGGAAACAUCCCAAAAUAUGUUUGGUAGGUGAGUAACACCAAGGAUUUCGAAUAACAAGUCCCAAAUCAAAAUUAUCUAUAAAUCAGUCCAGAAUUAGGGUUUUCUUUCACGAAGAUAGCUCUGAAAUCUAGCCACAACUCACUCAAUUCAACCAGAAUUGAGCGUGGUCAGUGGUUUUGAAAACUACAUUCAUAAGGCUACAAUUUCUUAGAAAUAAUUAUUUUAAAAUUCUGUCCACAACUAGCUCAUAUUUGAGCAUCAAGUCGCAACUCAAAACAGGGUUUCUAGUAUAGACGAGAAACAGAACAGGCAAAUUUACAAGGUUGGUAAGGCUCACUCAGGUGGAAUCAAGGCAUGCAUUUUAUACCGUUGGAAAACUGGAAAUGUCUAGUUUCUAAUUCCACAAACAACACUCAAUUUCAACGUCGGAGCAAAGAGUUAUGGCCGAAACAAAAUCGCUACCAGAGAGGCUCUGGUUACGUUUCCAGUUUUGUUACAUUUUCGAAAUCUCAACUUUUGGCCAACCAAAUUGGAUGAUUUUUUGUGAAAACUUUCCACACAACCCACACAACAAAUUUACAUCAAAAUCCAGUCAAUUGAACCCCAAAAAAGUGCACUAAGGGUCAUGGCAAAACAGGGGCAGAAUCGCCACUUUUGCUCAUCUCACUUCCUUUGAGUUUUCUUUCACAACACAACUUAUUUUCACUAGAUUAAGCAGUAAUCCAACAUAAAUAACAUCAAAUCUCAUCAAAUCAGUUCAUCAAGUCGUUGUGGGAUUUCAUAGAGCCCACUCACAAGAUUUCUAACAAUAUAAAACUGCCCAUAUGAAUCUAUGAGCUCACAAGUGCAAUACAACUUAUAUAAACCAAGAUUCAAGAGAUUGAUCAUCAUUUACCUCCUUAGAUGGCUAGAGCAGAAAUUUUUGGUCACCUUAAGCGUAAGAAAACCGUGAGAAACAAGCUUGUUGCCUAGCUUAAGUUGAUCUCCAAAUAGUUUGCAAGUUGUGUGUAAAUUUUGGAGUGAUUUGAUGAAGAAAUGAAGCAAGAAAUGAUGAAGAUUUUGGUUGUUUUCUCCUUGAAGAUGGCCGGCUGUUAGGGAGAGAGAAAGGAGAGUGUUUUGUUGCAAAUGAAGCUUCCUUGAGAAGUUUAAAUGUGUGGUUCAAAAGUGUUCAAAAGUCAACUCUCCCUCCGCGCGCGCAUGCGCGCGUUUCGUGCUCGAUUCCUUUCGAGUUUGUUUCACUAGUGCACUAAAUCUCUAAUGCACUUCCAUUCAUACUAUUAUUAUUCAUUCUUAAUAGCCCAAAAUAAAGGUCUUAAGUCCAUCAAUUAAUCGCGCGCGCGAAAACGCGUACUUCCGAUUUAUGCGUGAUAGAGUAAAAUUUCUAAUAAAUUCUUAUAACGAUAUAUAACUAACUAACACUUGAGCACUUAAACAUAAAAAAAUAUACCUAUUUCAAGACUAAUGUACAAGUCUCCAAUUUUCCAAAAUUAUUGUAUGCUCGAAUCGAUUAUUAUCUCCAAACGCGCAUUCACUAUUCUCACUAAAUGAGCUUUCAAAAAUUAAAUUUUUUAACAAGUCAUUUUAAAAAUAUAUGCAAGUCAUAGUUCUAUGUAAUUGGAUCUAAAAAGGUUAGAAUUAAAUAUUCGGAGCAAACAAGCAUUUAAAUAUUUAAAUAAACUAGAAAUAGGGGUUUAAAAUAAGUAAUUUUGUGAGUCCUGACAAAUUUAUUCUCUAGAAUUUAUCUAAAACCUUGCUUAAUUCCACUUUGGCUCGAGUUGAUGAGAAUUUAUCUAAAAGAGAUGAGAAUUUAGUUUUACUUAAAAACUAAAAGGUUGGAACUGUUUCCUUUUUCCAUCUCGUGUUUCAGUCCUUUUUCUGGGUGAUUUCGUGGUGGAAGACUCGACAAUUUCAAUAUCUUCAUCUCUUAGCUGGGUAGUGCCUCCGGUACCAGCAGAUCCUCCUCUCACUCGAACCAUGAUGAUAUGCAAGAUGUUUUUCGUUGCAAAGUGUGAUGAAAAUGUGUAUGAAAUGGACUAAGAUUACAGAAAAGAGAAUAAUGUAUGCUUGAAUCUUCCAAAAACAUUGAAAUUUGAGUGACUAGGGUUUUUGCUGAAAAUUGGGAUCGGUGGAGUGGUUGGCAGUUGGAGGAAGUUAUGAGUGCUAACGAAUGCGUAAAAGGGGUGUGAUGGUAUUGGAGAAAUCAAUUUCUUGGAACUUGUUCAGAAGAAAGAUGAAUUUGAAAUUUAAAAGUAGGAGAAGAGGAAAGGGUAUGUCCAAGACAACGGUUGAAAAUGAACUAAAUGAAAGAGAGGACUGCUUUAUAAUAUGCAUCUUUUGAGUAUCGGACUGCCGAACGAAGAGAACGUCCGACACUACCGUCCGAACCAAAAUUUUCUGGAAAAAUGGCUUAAAACACUGUCGGACGUCCGUUCAUCAUGUAUUGGACGUCCGAUAAAGUGUGAUCAAAGAAUUUUUUUUGAAAAACUUUUCCAAAAUGCCCAAUUUUGUUCUCAAAAAUACAAACUGAUCCUGUGGUAGGGCUUUUGUAAGAAUGUCAGCACUUUGAUCUUUUGAGCAAACAUAUUGUACACAAAUUUCACCCUUUUGGAUAAAAUCACGAAUGAAAUGAUGUUUAUGCCUAUAUGUUUUGUCCUAAAAUAUUGAAUGUGAUUUUUUGUCAAAUUUAUGGCACUUGUAUUAUCCCAAUACAUAGGCACACAGUCAUACACUAAUCCAAAAUUAUUCAAGAUACUUUUCAUCCACAACAAUUGAGCACAACAUGCACCGGCGGCAACAUACUCCGCUUCGGCAGUAGACAAGGAAAUAGUAUUUUGUUUCUUACUAAACCAAGACACUAAGCAAUUACCAAGAAAGUGACAUGUACCACUUGUACUUUUUCUAUCUAUCCUAUAUCCACCAAAAUCAGCAUCCGAAAAAUCAUAUAAAGAAAAUUCAUGACAUUUAGGAUACCAAAGACCAUUUUUUUUAUACCAAUUGUUUAUCUCAAUUCAUAUCUUUUGAUGAUUACAAAACAAUUGGAUGUUUCUAAUACCUUUUGUAGAGAUCCUUUUCAGAAAUGAACCAAACAGGUCUGUGGAUUUAAAGCAGAAAAAGAAGAUCAAAGAAGAAUGAAGUCUGCUGAGGAUGAUGUCGGACGCACAAAAGGAGGGUAUCGGACGUCCGACAUUCUUUGAGUAUCUUCGGAUGAGUAAAGAACUCAGACUCGGACGUCCGAAGAAGACAAGCCAGGAGUUACUUGAUUACUGAUCAGGUUCGGACGCUCAACACCUGUGUAUCGGACGUCCGACAAGCGUUGCUGCUCUUCGGACGCAACACUUUGGACGCAUCGGCCGUCCGAAGGAAUUGAAGAAGAAAGUCCAAGUAUUCAUCCUACCCUCGGACGCAUGAUCGGACGUCCUAAGGGAUUCAAGAAAACUUCCAGAACUCAUUGAUCUUGUUCGGACUCAUAAAAACCAAACAUCGGACGUCCGACAGUACCAACGGCUAGUUGACUCUUCAGUUACCUUCUACCCGUUGAUAAUAUUAAUUGAGAAACUUUCUGGUCUCCUAUAAAAAGAACAAAGUCAACCACCUCAAGACAACUUUGUACAUCAAGCCUACAUCAGAUUGUGAGUGAUUCGUGUGCUAGAAUACUCAAAAAGGAACAUUUGUACUCCUUGCAUGUACAAUCUUCGUGUAGUUUUUUCAAGUGUGACAUAGCUUCUUCAAUAGUGUAGCAUAGUGAGGGUUUGCGAGUGUUUGUAAAACUUCCUUGCUUGACCAAGUAUGAUUUGGGGCAAGAAGGAAGUAAUCCCUUCCUUGUACACAAAAGAUUGGUUGCAAGUCUAUUCAACUUGAAGUAACUUGGUAUAUAAAAGUGGUGUUCAAACCUCAGUUGUGUUUGAAGCUUGGUUUGUUUCUUUAAUCUUAUUUACUGCUUUUCUACAUAAACUGUUCUUCUCUCCAUCUCACGAAUACCUGUACUCUUGUGUUAUCUUGUUCAUUGGGAGGUAUUUGAGAAAAGAAAGGCUGUCUGUUAAAAAAAGGUAGAAUAUAUCUUAGCAGUUUUUGAAAGCCUAAUUCACCCCCCCUCUUAGGUUAUCUUCGAUCCUUACAAUUGGUAUCAGAGCUUGGUCUCCUAGAGAUUAAGCUCAAGCGGCUUGGAGUAAGAUGACAACCAGUCAUGCUAUGUUUGUUGAGGGGCAAUCUGUUACUAGACCUCCCAUGUUUACUGGUUUCAAUUAUGUUAGCUGGAAAGAAAGAAUGAUUAUCUUCUUGCAAUCCAUUGAUAUUGAGCUGUGGUUUAUUGUGAAUGAAGGACCGCAUGAUGCUAACUUUCUUGAUGCAGAAACAGGGUUGUUGCGGCCAAAAACGAGAGCUGAGAUGAAUGCUCAAGAUAGAACCAAUCUCACAUUGAAUGCCAAAACCAUGAAUGUUCUUUACAGUGCCUUAGACUCAAAUGAGUCAAUUAGAGUAAAAGGGUGUAAAUCUGCCAAAGAAAUGUGGGAUAAGCUAAGAGAAAUUCAUGAGGGUAGUGACAACGUAAGAGAACAGAAAAAGUCCAUUCUGGUCACCAAGUAUGAAUCUUUUAAGAUGGAGCCUCAUGAGAACAUCGACAAAAUGUAUUUUAGAUUUAAUGAUCUGAUCAAGGAUUUAGAGGUGCUUGAGAAGGAGUACUCUCUAGGUGAAAAGAACAGAAAAAUUCUGAAUGCUCUAUCAAAGGAUUGGGAAAGCAAAGUGACUGCUAUAGAGGAAGCCAAGGAUCUAAAUUCCUUAUCCAUUGAAUCUCUGAUUAACUCUCUAACCUCUUACGAAUUGAAACUUAAAUCUAAGUUGCAGGAAGAAGAAGACACAAAAGGAAGGAAGAGUAUUGCUCUGAAAGCUUCACAAGAUGAAGAUGAAACAGCCUCACUGGAUGAAAAUGACUUGGAAGGUGAUGAUAGUGAUAUUGCACUCAUCACAAGAGGCUUCAAAAGAUUUCUCAAUAAGAGAAGAUUCAGGAAAGGCGGAUCCAGCAAUUUCUUCCAGAAUCAGACUAAUGACUUCAGGAAUAGAGGGAAACUAGAGUUCAACAAGAAGCAGAACGAUAAAUGUUUUGAAUGUGGCCAACCUGGACAUUAUGCAAAUGAGUGUCCAAUGAAGAAAAAGAAGGAAAACAAGAUUGAAUGAAAACCAAAGUUCAACAAUUUUCAGAUUACCUGGAAUGAUUGCAACUCAGAAGGCGAAGUUGAAGAAGAAGAGGAAUCUGCUCAAGUGGCUUUCAUGGCUAUUGGAGAUGAAGAGGUAACACAAUGCAAUUCUCAAACCGAUAGUGAUAGUGAAUCUGAUGAUAAUGUUAAUUAUUUUCUAGAAAACAUGCAUAACAGCUUGAAAGAAUCCUAUGUUAAAAACAAAGAAUUGAAGCAAAAAAUCAGUUUUCUAAUACAAGACAAUGCAAAUCUUUUUCGACAAAAUAAAUGUCUUAAGCAUGAAAAUGAUAACCUGAAAAGGACUGAAACUGAUGUGCUUGCUGAACUUCACAAAAAGAAAAAUUACUGUGACUUACUCAAAAGAGAGCAAUGCAGCUUAAGGAAAAGGAUGGAUGAUUUAUGUAAAUUGUUACAUCAUGUGAAACAGAAUCAUCUUCAAAAGAAUGACACUGUACCUUAUGUUAAUACUCAUCAAAUAAGACUGAACCAAAAUAUAAAUGAGUUCGCUAUCUACAGAAGAAGACAAGUCAGAUUCAUUAAACCUGUUCAUUUGAUUGAUUCAAUGUUAGUAUGCAACUUUUGUUGUCAAUCUGGACACAUGUAUAGCAACUGUCAUGUUAAGAAAAACAUGAGGAAUGGCAUGAGAUGCAUGUGGAUAGUCAAACAUAAGACUAACUCUCAAGGACCCAACAUGUAAAGGGUACCAAGUAUUAUCUUGUGGGUUUGUGUGUAGGUGAACCAGGAUUACAUUGCUAAAGAAUCAAAAUGGUUCAUUGAUAGUGGAUGUUCAAGACAUAUGACUGGUGAUGCAUCACAGUUCAUCAAACUCAAGCAAAAAGCAAGCGGAAAGAUAACAUUUGGAGAUGAUAACAAAGCCAAAACUGUUGGUAUUGGCGAUGUUGGUAAGAAUGAUCAAACUUUUAUCCACAAUGUUCUUCUUGUUGACAAUUUGAGCUACAAUCUGUUAAGUGUUAGCCAAUUGUGUGAUAGGAAUCUGUUUGUAUUGUUCAAAAAGCUUGAAUGUCUCAUAUUUGACUCAAAGUUCAACAUUAUUUUCAAAGGAAAAAGAGUUAAUGAUGUCUAUGUAGUGUUUCUUGAAAAAAUUGAUUCCUCACAUCUCAAAUGUCUCAAAGUAGCAAAUGAGGACCCAUGGUUGUGGCAUAGAAGGAUGUGUCACUUCAAUAUGGAUUUGCUGAAAGAAAUUUCUAAAAAGAAACUUGUUAGAAGUCUUCCAAAAAUUAAAUUUGAAAAAGACAGAAUCUGUGAUGCUUGCCAAUUUGGAAAACAAGUCAAGGUUUCUUUUAAACCCAAGAAAUGUGUUUCUACUUCAAAACCACUUGAACUUCUGCACCUUGAUCUGUUUGGUCCUACACAGACUGCAAGCCUUGGUGGUAAGAGAUAUUGUUUUGUGAUUGUUGAUGACUACUCUCGAUAUACUUGGGUAAUAUUCCUUGCUCAUAAAGAUGAUGCCUUUAAGAAUUUUACUUCAUUAUUUACUAAAGUACAAAAUCUGCUUAACUUGAAAAUUGUUAGGAUUAGAAGUGAUAAUGGGACAGAAUUCAAGUUCUGUGGUUUUCCAGAAUUUUGUGAUCAUAAUGGUAUUACCCAUGAAUUCUCUAUUGCUAGAGUCCCUCAACUGUUAUUCUUGGUUUUGAUGAUCACAAAAGUUCGUUGAAAUGUUUAUACAGACCAAGAAAGUGAACACUUUGAUCAGGCCUGAUGGAACAAGGAAAGCAUAUGUUUGAUUGACUCCAGUCUACGAUGCUUUGGAUGUGGCAAACAAGAUUGGAAUAAUAUAAACAAAUUUAGUUAUUGUUUUGUUCCGAUCAAAGAUACAGUCUUUUAAGUGUGACAAUUUUGUUAUAAUGAUCACAAAAUACUUUGAAUUGUUUAUCUAAACUUCUUCAAAUAUAAGUGUUGUUGCUUACCAAAGAAUCAGGUACGAAUAUGACAUGAGAUGCAAAUCAACCAAAAGAAGAAGCAAAAACAGGACACUCAUGUCGGACUGCCGAAAGGAAUCUGUCGGACGUCCGAAAGGAUAAAGAACAUCAAGAAGGAAGCUCUGUCGGACGUUCAUAAGGAAGCAUCGGACGCACACCUCGGACGCAUAUCAACCGCAUCGGACGUCGGAAAAAUUCCAAGAUGACAUGCCAACUCUCUGCCUACGAUCGGACGCUGUGCUGUCGGACGAUAAAGACGCAUCGGACAUCCGAACUUCAACUUGACUGUUUUCGGACGAUUGGUUCGGACGAUGAUUUGGUCGUCGGACGUCCGAAAGCCCCAACGGCUAGCUGACCCUUCAUCUGCCUUCUAUCCGUUGGAAGCUUUAAUGAAACCCAUUUCUGUUCCCCUUUAAAAACAAACUGUUCUGAACGAAGGAAGGACUUUUGCACACUUGGUUUACAAGAUCUCAAGAAAUAUUUUAGCUAAAAAAUAGUCUCCAAAGUUAGAUUUGUUCUCUAAGUGGUGUGAAUUUCUGGUGAGCUUUUCUCUUGUGGUUGAAAGUUUCAUUAGUGUAGCUUUGUUGAGGGUUAUCUGAAUGUUUGUAAAACUUCUUAGCUUGACUAAGUGAGGCUUAGGGCAAGGAGGAAGUGCUCCUCCAUUGUACAUCUAGUUGAUCAUCUUUCAUCAAAGAGAAGUUGCUCAACCUUGUGAUUGGUCUUCAAGUUUGAGGAGAGCUUGGUAGACAAUUGGUUUGAUUUCCUAUUUUACUUUUUGUUUAAUAAAAUUCUCAUUGCUUAUCUAUACUUGUUUCUUCUGAUCAAUAUUACUCUUGUCUUCUAAUCUACUUGGUUGAUCAUUACUAGAAAAGAAGGUAAAUUUUUAUUAAAGAAAAAGUGCAUAAAUUUGGUUAAGAUUUUAAUCAACCCAAUUCACCCCCCCUCUUGGUUGUCUUUGGGACUUACAAUUGGUAUCAGAGCUUGGUAUCCUUGAGAUUAGACUCUAACGGCUUGGAGUAAAGAUGACAACCAGUCAUGCUAUGUUUGUUGAGGGGCAAUCUGUUACUAGGCCUCCCAUGUUCAGUGGCUCUAACUAUGUUAACUGGAAAGAACGGAUGAUUAUCUUUUUGCAAUCUAUUGAUAUUGAACUAUGAUUUAUUGUGAGUGAAGGACCGCAUGAAUCUAACUUUCUUGAUGCAGAUACAGGGUUGCUUCGGCCAAAAACGAGAGCUGAAAUGAAUGCUCAAGACAGGACUAACCUCACAUUGAAUGCCAAGGCCAUGAACGUUAUUUAUAGUGCCUUAGAUUCAAAUGAAUCAAUUAGAGUAAAAGGCUGUAAAUCGGCCAAAGAAAUGUGGGAUAAGUUAAGAGAAAUUCAUGAGGGUGGUGAUAAUGUGAAAGAGCAGAAAAAGGCUAUCUUGGUCACAAAGUAUGAAUCAUUUAAAAUUGAACCUCUUGAGGAUAUUGACAAAAUGUAUUGCAGGUUCAAUGACUUGCUCAAAGAUCUCGAGGUGUUGGGCAAAGAGUACACCUUGGGAGAGAAGAACAGGAAAAUUCUCAAUGCAUUAGGCAAAGAAUGGGAAAAUAAAGUCACUGCAAUAGAGGAGGCUAAGAAUUUAAAUUCUGUGCCUAUUGAAUCUCUCAUUAACUCACUAACCUCUUAUGAAUUGAAAUUAAAAUCCAAAGUGCAGGAGGAAGAGGAUGCUAGAGCAAAGAGAAAUAUUGCUCUAAAGACUACUCAAGGUGAGGAUGAUCCAGCUCACUUGGAUGAUGAAGACUCGGAUGGUGAUGAUAAUGAUCUUGCUCUCAUCACAAGAGGCUUCAAGAGAAUCUUGAAUAAAAGGAAGUUUAGAAAGGGAGGACCUAGCAAUCAAUUUCAAAAUUAUUCAUCAAAUGCGAGGAACAAAGGAAAAUAAGAAUUCAACAAGAAGCAAGUGGACAAAUGCUAUGAAUGUGGACAGGCUGAAUACUAUGCAAACGAAUGCCCCAUGAAGAAAAUGAAAGAUGGGAAAGCUGAUCGAAAGCCAAGAUUCAACAACUUCCAGAUUACUUGGAAUGAAUGCAACUCCGAAGGAGAAGUUGAAGAAGAGGAUGAAUCAGCUCAAAUGGCCUUCAUGGCUAGCGGAAAUAAUGAGGUAACUUCCACACACUCUCAAUCUGAAAAUGAUGAUGAGGAAGAUGAUGAUCUUGAAUCAUUUGUUGAAAAACUGCAUAAUGCCUUGAAGGAAUCUUAUGAUAAAAACAAGCAGUUAAAACAGAAAAUGACUUUUCUCAUUCAAGAAAAUGCAAGUCUUUUUCAACAAAAUAAACAACUAAAGACUGACAAUCAAAGUCUUGUAAGAGCCGGAUGUAAUGUUCAAAAUGAGCUUGAUAGAAAGACAAAUAUUUGUGAAAUGCUGAAGGAAAGACAUGGUGAUUUGAAAAAAAGAAUGGACAACUUGGAUGAGACUUUGAAAGCAAGAAAGCAGGAGUUUAUCAAAAGGAACAUGUCAUCUACCCAUCCUACUACUUUUCAAAGAACAUUUGCACACAACAAAAAUGCACAUGGUUUCACAACAUAUAGAAGAGGCGGAUUGAGAUAUGUCAAACCAGUACAUGUUAAGGACUCUUCCAUUAUGUGUGGUUUUUGUUGUCAAAGAGGGCAUUUGAAAGGUGAUUGCUAUGUGAAAAGAAAUCUGAACAAAGGGAUGAAAUGCAUGUGGUUAGUUAGAUACAAUGCUAACUAUUGCGGACCCAAAAAUUAAAAUGGGUACCAAACACUUUCUCUUUUCAGGAAAAAUGCUCAAACAAGUCCAAAUGGUUUAUUGAUAGUGGUUGCUCAAGGCAUAUGACCGGUGAUCCCUCUUUGUUCAUAAAGCUGAAAUCAAAAUCAAGUGAAAAAGUGACAUUUGGUGAUGAUGUGAAAGCUAAGACAAUUGGAAUAGGUGAUGUUGGUAAGGAUGGUGAAACUUUUGUUCAUAAUGUGCUCUUAGUUGAUAACUUAAGUUAUAACUUGUUUAGUGUUAGUCAAUUGUGUGAUAAAGACUUGAAUGUGUUAUUUAAAAAGCAUGAAUGCAUUGUGCUUGAUUCCAAAUAUAAUGUUGUGUUCAAAGGAAAGAGGUUCAACGACAUAUAUAUUGUGGUUCUUGAUAAAAUUAAUUCUUCUAGCUUAAAAUGUCUUAAAACUUCAAAUGAAGAUCCUUGGUUGUGCCAUAGAAGACUUUGUCAUUUUAACAUGGAUUUACUAAAGAAAAUUUCGAAAAAGGAGCUAGUUAGAGGCUUGCCAAAAAUCAGUUUUGAAAAAGAUAAAAUAUGUGAUGCAUGUCAAUUUGGAAAGCAAACAAAAGUUUCUUUUAAACCAAAGAAGUGUGUAUCUACUUCCAAACCUUUAGAACUAUUGCAUCUUGACUUAUUUGGUCCUACUCAAAUCACUAGCUUGGGAGGUAAGAAAUACUGCUUUGUGAUUGUGGAUGAUUAUUCUAGAUAUACUUGGGUAAUAUUUCUUGCUCAUAAGGAUGAUGUAUUCAAGAAUUUCACUUCAUUGUUUGCUAAAGUGCAAAAUCUGCUUGGAUUAAAAAUUGUUAGAAUUAGAAGUGAUAAUGGAACAGAAUUCAAGUAUUGUGGUUUUCCAGAAUUUUGUGAUUAUAAUGGCAUAACUCAUGAGUUUUCUAUUGCAAGAACUCCACAGCAAAAUGGUGUUGUAGAAAGGAAAAAUAGGACUCUACAAGAGGCUGCUAGAACCAUGUUAAGUGAAUGCAGUCUGCCAAAGUACCUUUGGGCUGAAGCGGUAAACACUGCAUGUUAUGUGAUGAAUAGAAUCCUAUUGAGACCCAUUUUGAAUAAAACAUCUUAUGAACUAUUUUUUGACAAGAAACCUACAGUUGGAUAUUUCAAGGUCUUUGGUUGUAAAUGUUUUAUUUUAAAUUUAAAGGAACACCUUGGUAAGUUUGAGAAAAAAUCUGAUGAAGGAAUAUUUUUGGGAUAUUGCGAGAACAAAAGAGGUUAUAGAGUCUUUAAUAGAAGGACUCUUGUGAUAGAAGAAGCCAUACACAUAACAUUUGAUGAAUCUAAUGAUGACAACUCCAAACGUUCGUAUGAGGAUGAUGAUGUAGGUGCUCGCGAAGGAAUGGAAAAGUUAAAAAUUGGAGAUGGAGGAAAUUCUGAACCAGAAGCAAAGGAAGUGGAGAAUGAAGCUCAUGAAGAUCAAGAAAGGGAAGAUGAGGACAGAAAUGAUGAUCCAUUCAAAGAUCUUCCCAAGGCUUGGAGAUUUAGUCAAAAUCAUCCGAAAGAACUUAUAAUUGGUGAUCCAUCCGAGAAGGUAAAGACUCGUUCCUCUUCUAGAAAAUUGAUUGACAAUUUUGCUUUAGUUUCUCUUUUUGAACCCAAAAAUAUCAAUGAUGCUUUAAAGGAUGAAAACUGGAUUUUGGCAAUGCAAAAGGAACUUAAUCAAUUUGAGAGAAAUGAAGUUUGGACACUUGUUGAUAGACCUCAAAAUCAACCUAUCAUUGGCACAAAGUGGAUUUUUAGAAUAAAUUGGAUGAUAAAGGUGUUGUUGUAAGAAAUAAAGCCAGAUUAGUUGCUAAAGGAUAUGCACAAGAAGAAGGAAUUGAUUUUGAUGAAACAUUUGCUCCCGUAGCAAGAUUAGAAUCUAUUAGAAUGCUUCUUGCCUUUGCAUGCUUUAAAGGCUUCAAAUUGUUUCAAAUGGAUGUUAAAAGUGCCUUUUUAAAUGGUUUUAUUGAUCAAGAAAUAUAUGUGGAUCAACCCCCCGGUUUUGAAAAUACAAAAUUUCCAAGUCACGUGUUUAAACUAUCUAAAGCUUUAUAUGGUCUAAAACAGGCUCCAAGAGCUUGGUAUGAAAGACUAAGUGGUUUUUUGAUUGAAAAUAGUUUCAAAAGGGGUGUUGUGGACACCACACUUUUUACUAAGCAAGUGUUGAAUGACCUUCUUAUUGUGCAAAUAUAUGUUGAUGAUAUUAUUUUUGGUGCUACUAAUGAGUAUCUAUGUAAGGAGUUUUCCACCACUAUGCAAAGUGAAUUUGAAAUGAGUAUGAUGAGAGAAUUAAAUUUCUUCCUUGGACUUCAAAUACAUCAAACUCUUGAGGGAAUUUUUAUAAAUCAAGCAAAAUAUACCAAGGAAUUGCUGAAAAGGUUUGGCAUGGAGGACUCAAAGCAAGUUGGAACUCCAAUGUGCACUUCUACAAAGCUUGACAAAGAUGAAGAAGGUAAUCAUGUGGAUGAAAAGCACUAUAGAGGUAUGAUCGGAAGCCUACUCUAUUUAACCGCAAGUAGACCUGAUAUUAUGUUUGCUGUUUGCUUGUGUGCUAGAUUUCAAUCUUGUCCAAAAGAAUCCCAUUUGAAUGCUGUAAAAAGGAUUUUUAGGUAUUUGAAAGGUACAUUAGACUAUGGUCUUUGGUAUGCUAGAUCUAGUAAGUUUGCAUUAUAUGGUUAUUCGGAUGCUGAUUUUGGAGGAUGUCGUGUGGAUAGAAAGAGUACUAGUGGAACUUGUCACUUUCUUGGUAAUUGUUUAGUCUCUUGGUUUAGCAAGAAACAAAAUGCAAUCUCUUUGUCUACAACCGAAGCGGAAUAUAUUGCCGCUAGUGCAUGUUGUGCUCAACUUUUAUGGAUGAAGCAUACCCUGAAUGACUAUGGAUUGUUGUAUGACUGCAUGCCUGUGUUCUGUGAUAAUACUAGUGUUAUAAAUUUGACCAAAAAUCCUAUUCAGCAUUCUAGGACAAAGCAUAUAGAUAUAAAGCACCAUUUUAUUCGUGAUCUUGUUCAAAAAGGUGAAAUUUGUGUAAAUUAUGUUUGUUCUAAAGAUCAAUUUGCUGAUAUUUUUACAAAAACCUUGCCAUUAGAUCAAUUCAUUCAUCUAAGAUCAAAAUUGGGAAUAAUUGAAAAAUCAGCUUAAAAUUUUCUUUCGGACGUCCGAAAGAGGAUGAACGGACGUCCGAUGAUGUUCUUCAGCCAUUUUCUAGAUUGCGCCUGUUCGGACGCAGCUGUCGGACGCAGAAAUUCGUUCGGCACUCCGACAGUGCAACAGAUCAAUUUUUUAAACAACUUUCUUUCUCAUUUGCUUCAGACUCUUCCUAUUCUAUUUCCUCUCGGACGAAAACUCUCUCUUCCCUCACUCUCAAAUUCGUACCAUUUUGAAGCUCUCAUUCUCAAAUUGACUCAAACAAAACUUUUUCUGACUGAUUGUGAUUCAUUUCUCCUGAUCAUUUCACCGAAUCGCAUAACAUUUCACAAAUUCCCAAAUUUCCCUCAAAACCCUACUCUUUCAUAACUGCUCUGACAACUCUUGAUCAAGGCCUUUUUGUCCCAAAAUUUCUAUGCGAUUCACUUCCCUACUGCUGUGUGCAUCAUUUGCAUCCUUCAUUCCAUACAUUUCGCACAAUGGUGAAUCUAAGAUGAGGAAAGGUUACUGCCGGACGCAAGCAUCCACUCAGGGAUGAGGAUGAGGAUCUUCCUACUGUCAAACGGACAUCCAAAUGCUUCAAAAGGGGAGCUAUCAAGGGUCAAAUGUCACGGCCUACACCACAACCCUCCUCUCAGCCUGAAUCUGGACAGGGAACAUCUUCUCAACCGCCUCCAAAAUCAGCCCUUCCCCCUACAUUCUUUGAUGAUACAGCAAGAGACAAACACUCCUUGAUAUCCCAGAAAGGUGUCAUCCCUCAACGCACUGUAAACCCUUCUGAAUUUCGUCUCAUAGGUUUAGAACCCAUUCUGAAGUUGUUUGCUUUUCAGAAAUGGUCGCAUAUCAUUUCUAUGCCAAAUGUUUACUAUCCUGAACUGCUGCAUCAAUUUUUUGCUAAUCUUAGGAAAGGCUCUGACCAAACUGAAAUCUUUUCCAGGGUUAACGGGGUAGAUUUAAUCUUUGACUCUGAAAUUGUGAAUUCCAUUUUAAAUACUACCAUUGAACGUGGGUGCAAGGAUAAAAUUGUAAAUUUCUUUUCCUAUGAAGAGCACCCUAAUGCUGAUAAUCAUUUUGAUGGGGCUAAAAUGUUGACCUAUUUUAAAAGAAGUUUUUCCUCCCCUGCUGAUGCUAAACUGAAUGAUCUUACCCCUGUGAAUUUAAUUAUUUUUCUAUCAUUUCAAACCUGCUUGUGCCUACUGAUGGCCAUAGAACUGAUGCAAACAAAAUGGAGUUGUACCUCUUUUAUUGUUUUCGAGAAAAAAUUCGGAUUGAUUUUGGUUUUGUCAUGUGCAAGUUUUUACUUCGCUAUACCACUGACUCUCGCAGAAAACUAUCCUAUGGAAAGUUUCUUCAAAAGAUUUUUGAGUUUUUCAAAGUUCCAAUUUUAGGUGUUUGUCCCAAAGAAGAAGCAUCUUCUUAUGCCUUUACCAAAGGAUAUUUUGAAAGGAAAAAUCUUGUUUUUAAAGAUAAUAUGUGGUCUUAUAAGGAGGCAUCGUCCAGUGAACAUAGGUCUAAGGCUGCACAUGAUCCUUCAUCUAUUCCACUCACUCCCAUUCAUCCUAGGAAAUCUGCCACUAAGGCAUCUUCCUCCUCCAAUGAUGGAGUGAUUGAGUUUCUUCAUGAACUCAAACAGCAUGUUCUUCUUCUAGAACAUGGCCUAAUGCUCACCAUGUCCUCUGAGCAACAAACUGCCUUUCUAGACAAAAAGAACCUUCUUUUUUCCCCACCUGUGGUUGAGGAAGUCUCACAUGACAAAGAACCUCGAACCACUGAUCCAGGUUCAUCAGUUCCAGAUCCGAAUUCAUCAACUCUUGUGACUCCUCAUGGCCCUUCCACAUCAGACAAAGGCAAGGCACCAAUUGAAGAAACUGCUGAAGAUGAUGAAGAAACUAAUGAGGAAGACCUCUCUCAAUAUCAGCUCUCUCGAAGAUCACCUGGAUCCACAUAGUUCACUACUUAGGACAUUUGCAUUCUGUUUGUCUAUUUUAUGUGUUUGUAAUGUUCAACAUUUGUAAUGUUUUUCUUGUUGGUACUGUAUGUUUAUGUUAAGUAUUUUGAAUGAUGACUGUGUUUAUGGAUGUUUAAGUAUUUUGGUGCAAUGAAUUUGGUUUUCAUUGAUGAAUGUGUUUGUGGAUGUGUUGAUGUGAUUGGUUGCCCUUUUGUGAUGACAAAAAGGGGGAGAGGACUGGAUUGAUUGAUGAUUGAUGAUUGGUGUUGAUUGAUGAUUGAUGAUUGGUGAUGUUGGAUAUGUUGGAUUGAUUAUUUAAAUUUGGAUUGGCUGAUAUGCUUAAUUGUCAUAUUUUUGGAAAAUUGUUUAACUCGGAUGGGCAGCCAAGUGAGGGGGAGUUUUUCAAAAUUUUCAAAAUUUUAUGAUUCACUAAAUAAGGGGGAGUUCUUGAGAAAGGGGGAGCUUAUACUGCAAUCAUCAAAUUUCAUUUCAAACUUUUGUUUUGUCAUCAUCAAAAAGGGGGAGAAUGUUAUUCUUGGUUUUGAUGAUCACAAAAGUUCGUUGAAAUGUCUAUACAGACCAAGAAAGUGAACACUUUGAUCAGGCCUGAUGGAACAAGGAAAGCAUAUGUUUGAUUGACUCCAGUCUACGAUGCUUUGGAUGUGGCAAACAAGAUUGGAAUAAUAUAAACAAAUUUAGUUAUUGUUUUGUUCCGAUCAAAGAUACAGUCUUUUAAGUGUGACAAUUUUGUUAUAAUGAUCACAAAAUACUUUGAAUUGUUUAUCUAAAUUUCUUCAAAUAUAAGUGUUGUUGCUUACCAAAGAAUCAGGUACGAAUAUGACAUGAGAUGCAAAUCAACCAAAAGAAGAAGCAAAAACAGGACACUCAUGUCGGACGGCCGAAAGGAAUCUGUCGGACGUCCGAAAGGAUAAAGAACAUCAAGAAGGAAACUCUGUCGGACGCUCAUAAGGAAGCAUCGGAUGCACACCUCGGACGCAUAUCAACCGCAUCGGACGUUCGAAAAAUUCCAAGAUGACAUGCCAACUCUCUGCCUACGAUCGGACGCUGUGCUGUCGGACGAUAAAGACGCAUCGGACGUCCGAACUUCAACUUGACUGUUUUCGGACGAUUGGUUCGGACGAUGAUUUGGCCGUCGGACGUCCGAAAGCCCCAACGGCUAGCUGACCCUUCAUCUGCCUUCUAUCCGUUGGAAGCUUUAAUGAAGCCCAUUUCUGUUCCCCUUUAAAAACAAACUGUUCUGAACGAAGGAAGGACUUUUGCACACUUGGUUUACAAGAUUUCAAGAGAUAUUUUAGCUAGAAAAUAGUCUCCAAAGUUAGAUUUGUUCUCUAAGUGGUGUGAAUUUCUGGUGAGCUUUUCUCUUGUGGUUGAAAGUUUCAUUAGUGUAGCUUUGUUGAGGGUUAUCUGAGUGUUUGUAAAACUUCUUAACUUGACUAAGUGAGGCUUAGGGCAAGGAGGAAGUGCUCCCUCCAUUGUACAUCUAGUUGAUCAUCUUUCAUCAAAGAGAAGUUGCUCAACCUUGUGAUUGGUCUUCAAGUUUGAGGAGAGCUUGGUAGACAAUUGGUUUGAUUUCCUAUUUUACUUUUUGUUUAAUAAAAUUCUCAUUGCUUAUCUAUACUUGUUUCUUCUGAUCAAUAUUGCUCUUGUCUUCUAAUCUACUUGGUUGAUCAUUACUAGAAAAGAAGGUAAAUUUUUAUUAAAGAAAAAGUGCAUAAAUUUGGUUAAGAUUUUAAUCAACCCAAUUCACCCCCCCUCUUGGUUGUCUUUGGGACUUACAAACAAAAUGGAGUUGUAGAAAGAAAAAAUAGAACUCUCCAAGAGGCUGCUAGAAUCAUGCUUAGUGAAUGCAAUUUACCAAAAUAUUUUUGGGUUGAAGCCAUAAACACAGCCUGUUAUACCAUGAAUAGAGUUCUUCUAAGAUCAAUUUUGAACAAAACUUCCUAUGAGCUCAUGUAUGACAAAAAGCCUGUUGUCAGCUACUUCAAAGUAUUUGGUUGUAAAUGUUUCAUUUUGAACAUCAAGGAACAUCUUGGAAAGUUUGACAAGAAAUCUGAUGAAGGAAUUUCUUGGGUUAUUGUGAAAACAAAAGAGGUUUCAGAGUUUAUAAUCGUAGAACAUUGAUUAUAGAGGAGGCUAUACACAUUACUUUUGAUGAAUCUAAUGGUGACAUUUCUAUGAGUUGUGGUGAAGAUGAUGACACAGGUGUUCAAGAAGGACUAAAGAAGCUAGCAAUCAAUGACCAUGACUCUGUCUCACCAGAAACUGAUUCAAAGGAUAAUGAUGCUCAGGUCAGUCCUGUUGAAGAAGUGAAUAAUGGAGACACCACUACUUCUAAUGAUCUUCCAAGAGUCUGGAAAUUCGCUCAUAAUCAUCCCAGGGAGCUUAUAAUUGGUGAUCCUUCUGAAAAGGUCAGAACUCGUUCCUCUAGACACUUGAUAGAUAAUCUUGCUUUUAUAUCACAUAUUGAACCUAAAAACGUUGUUGAUGCUUUGAAUGAUGAGCACUGGAUUUUAGCUAUGAAAGAAGAGUUAAUCCAAUUUGAAAGAAACAAAGUUUGGACUCUGGUUGUCAGACCACAAGGCCAUCCUAUCAUUGGCACAAAAUGGAUUUUUAGAAACAAAUUGAAUGAUAAAGGGGAGAUUGUUAGAAAUAAGGCUAGACUGGUGGCUAAGGGAUACACUCAAGAAGAGGGAAUAGACUUUGAUGAGUCUUUUGCACCAGUAGCCAGGCUGGAAUCCAUAAGAAUGUUUUUAGCAUUUGCAUGUUUCAAGAAUUUUAAAUUAUUUCAAAUGGAUGUUAAGAGUGCCUUCUUAAAUGGAUUUAUAGAUCAAGAAGUCUAUGUUGAUCAACCUCCUGGUUUUGAAAAUGAAUCUUAUCCAGAUCACGUGUUUAAACUCUCAAAAGCUUUAUAUGGAUUAAAGCAAGCUCCUAGAGUAUGGUAUGAACGUCUGAGUGGAUUUCUGAUUGAAAAUGGUUUUAAAAGAGGCAUUGUAGACACUACAUUUUUUACAAAACAGAGCUCACAAGAUCUUUUGAUUGUGCAAAUAUAUGUGGAUGAUAUCAUAUUUGGUGCUACUAAUGAAAAAUUGUGCAAGGACUUUUCCACCAUCAUGCAAAAAGAAUUUGAAAUGAGCAUGAUAGGACAACUGAAUUUCUUCCUUGGACUCCAAGUGAUUCAAAACCAAGAUGGAACGUUUAUAAAUCAAACAAAAUACACCAAGGAGUUGCUAAAAAAUUUCGGAAUGGAGGAUUCAAAGCCUGUUGGGACACCUAUGUGCACAUCUACCAAACUAGACAAAGAUGAGGAAGGUACAAAAGUUGAAGAGAAGAAGUACAGAGGUAUGAUUGGAAGUUUACUUUAUUUAACUGCUAGUAGGCCUGACAUCAUGUUUGCUGUGUGUUUAUGUGCUCGAUUUCAAUCCUGUCCAAAGGAAUCACACUUGAAUGCAGUAAAAAGAAUCUUGAGAUAUCUUAAAGGAACCUUAAAUUUUGGCUUGUGGUAUCCAAAAUGUCAUGAAUUUCCUUUGUGUGGAUUCUCUGAUGCUGACUUUGGUGGUUGUAAAAUAGAUAGAAAGAGUACUACUGGUAUAUGCAACUUUCUUGGAAAUUGCUUGGUCUCUUGGUUUAGUAAAAAACAAAAUGCUAUCUCACUGUCCACUACUGAAGCUGAAUAUGUUGCUGCUGGUGCUUGCUGUGCUCAAUUGUUAUGGAUGAAAAACACAUUGAAUGACUUCGGUUUAGUAUAUGAAUGUGUACCUAUGUACUGUGACAACACUAGUGCAAUUAAUCUAACAAAAAAUCCCAUUCAACACUCUAGGACUAAGCACAUUGAUAUAAAGCAUCAUUUCAUUCGCGAUCUUGUCUCAAAAGGGAUAAUCCGUGUUGAGUUUGUUUGUUCUAAAGAACAGAUCGCUGAUAUCCUCACAAAAGCUCUUCCGCUAGAUCAAUUUGUGUCUUUGAGGACUAAAUUGGGUGUUUCAAAAAAAAUGUUCUGAGUCUUAUCUUUAUCGGACGUCCGAUGAAUUGGAACGGACGUCCGACAGUGUUCUUCAUCCAAGGUCCAGAAAAUCUCUGGCUCGGACGAUUGUGUCGGAUGCAUCACUUCGUUCGGACGUCCGACACUCAAAAAUGUGUCCUAUAAGGCAGUUACCCACUCUUCUCAAUUCAUUUUCCUUCAUAAGUCUCGGACGCGACCUUUCAGUUUCUCUAAAAUUUGAAAUUCAAAUUUCUCUCUCCUCAAACCAAGUUCCGAGAAAUUGACUCAACCAACUCCAUUACACCUCUCUUGCUCAUUAACCAUUCAUAAAAGGCAUUCCUAACACCUAACUGCCCCAAAAUUUCCAAUUUACAUACGAAACCCUAACCUCACAUAACCCUCUCCCUACGGCAUCAUAGUGCACUCUUGUUAGCUCUUACUGUUUUUUCCUUCUAUACACAACAUUCUGCAUUAAAAAUCAUAUCCACAUUGCAUCAUGGUUAGAAUGAGGGGAGGAUCUACUAGUGCCGGACGGUCCUUUAAGCUGAGGGAUGAAGACAUUGAAAUUGUUGAUCCACCUCCUGUGGCACCAAAAAGAAAGAAAGUGACUCGUAGUGAUGUAGAUACGGGUGCGCAACAACUUCAACCUUGGGUCAAGGACAACAUUGACGGUCCGAUGACAAGAUCAAGAUCCAAGAAGGUGGAGGAAGCUUUAAGAGCUUUGAUUAUUCACCAUACAAGCAAGGAGCGGGCUAAGUUUGAAGAAUUGAUGGACCAUGAAGUUACCUUGCUCACUUGUACAUUUGAAGUGCAAGAAUGAUCUCCUACUUGGUAGAUUAGUUAGUAGUUGUUUUAAGACUGUCUAGUUUAGUAGUUGUUAGGCGUUGAGUAUUUUAUUACUUAUUGGGCCUUAUCGGAAAGCCUUAAAGAGCUGGCUCUUUAAACUCUUUAUGCGGACCGAAUUUAUUCCAGGUUUAUGUGGGCCAGAUUUUGCCCUAGUUUUAGCCUAUAAAAAGGCACCUCUUGUAUGAGUAAAAGGGGAGAAUAUUUUACAACCAGAAAUCGUGAGGAAUUUUCCUUCAAGUUCUUAAUCGAACUUACUCUUGAAUUCUUGAGUUUAUGACUUAGGAUUCAAAUCUGACUUUAUCGAUUAGUUUGUUCCCUAAUCGUGGUGUCUCUUCAUCUAUCUUUAUUUGCUUAAGGUUGCUGAAUGCCUUUGUGUGUCAGAGGUCUUGAGUUCAUGAGAACAAUCGAGUUCAAUUUCCAUUGGGAGAAACGAUCCAACUCUGAUAAUUACAAGGUUGGGAGGUUCUAGGAGGGUCUUCCCCUAGGGUUGCUCAUCAGUUGGUAAUCAGAGCAUCAGGUUAAUUCUCUUUCAAUUGAAAUUGUUCAUAUCUUAUUAGUUUGUGUCUUUUGUCCAAAAAAAAAAAAAACUGUAGCGAUUACUGUUCAUCAUACUGUUCCGAAAUACUGUUCAUCGUUACUGUAGCGCACUGUUCACGUUACUGUUCAUCCGAGAGAAAAAAAAACUAUUUGGGUAUUGUCUUUUUGUGCUUUCUGUCCAACUUUUGUUCUUGAGUCUGUUAUACUUUUGUUUGGGUUGUUAGGGUUUAAAGACAAAAAAAAAAAAAAAAAAAAGAGUCACGUACCUUAUAUUGUUUUUUAGUGUCCAAGUUGCUAGAGUAUUGCUGGAAUUUUUCUUUUGAGUAUUGCUGAAAUUCUGUUUUGCCUAUUUCUUGAGUAUUGGUUGUUGUUCUUGCAAAUCCUAAACACCACAACGUAAUUUGGGGAAGUUCUUGAGCUUCUUGAACAAAUUUUUGAAGUUCUUGGACCACCAAGUCUUGUUUGAAAAUUCUUGAACAAUAAAUCAAGAACCAGGGCCUUCUUGAAAUUUGCAUAACCUUUCAUCCGUUUUCUUGAACUUGUUGGUGUGAUCUGAAUUUGUAUUCCUCGAAGAGCCGAAAAAAAAAGAAGAAAAAAAAAAGAAAAAAAAAGGAAGAAGAGAAGGAAUUGGCUCUCACACAAAGGAAAUCAAGUUCCCCAAAUCUUGAGUUUCCCAUUCUUGAUUGGUCUCCAAUUCUUGAUUAGUCUCCAAAUCUUGAUUGGUUUUCCAAAAAAAAAAAAAAAAAAACUUGAGUCUCCAAAUUUUGUUUGGUUUCCAAUUCUUGAGUCUCCAACCUUAAUUGAAUUCCAACAACCCCAAACAACCUAACCAGCCCCAAACACCCCCAAAUCAGUUUCCAAAACCAAACCUAAACCGCCACAAACACCAUUUACCAUCCAAAUACUGGCCAGAAACUCAGCAAAAACAUCCGCUCAAAAAAAAAAAAAGAGGUUCUAGCUUCGGGUAGUGUUUCUAGGAUUUACAAAAUUCUGCUUUGUGUCUUUUUACUUGCUUAUAGGGUAAUUAAUUCUGGAAUUUUUGUGAGUUUGAGUUGUUUUAAGAACUUUGAGAAGGAAAAUUGAGAGUGAGUGUGUUUCCUUGAGUGAUACACGAGUGCUUUGCAAGGUAGACUAGGAUACACUUGUUUUGCAGGUUUGACAAUAUGUCUCAAGAGGGGAACAUGCCUGAGCCCUCUGAAACCGACGUGUCACUCAAACUGGUGCUCCAAGCUCUUCAAAAACAAGUGGAGAGACAAGAAUUUGUGACGACACAACUAUCCGACAGGUUGGCUGCCAUUGAGAUACGAGGUACUGGAGAUAUUCCCAAUAGGGCUUCAAGUGCUCAGAGUGUUGAGCAUGAUGCAGAUGAUGAGGGGUAUCAUUCUAACACCUCAUUUCGAUCAAGGAAAAGCCACAGGGAAGCGAGGGAAGGUCGAGACCGACCUAGGAGAACCGAUGACAAUCUUGGUUCCAUCAAGACUAAGAUGCCUACCUUUCAUGGCAAAAAUGAUCCUGAAGCUUACUUGGAUUGGGUUAGGCGAGUUGAGCAAGUGUUUGAAGUCCACAACUACUCUGAAGAGAAAAAGGUGAAACUUGCGGCUAUUGAAUUUGAAGAUUAUGCAUCCAUUUGGUGGGAGCAAGUAUGUGCCAUAAGAAGGAGAAAUAGGGAACCACCAAUUGACACUUGGGCUGAAAUGAAGCAAGUGAUGAGGAAACGAUUUGUACCCUUCCAUUAUACCACGGACUUGUACAAUCGGCUCCAACGACUCACUCAAGGUUCUAAUUCGGUUGAUGAGUACCACAAACAAAUGGAAAUAGCGAUGAUAAGGGCCAAUGUCCAAGAGGAUCCGGAAGCAACCAUGGCGAGGUUCCUUAAUGGAUUAAAUCCUGAAAUUAGGAAGAAGGUUGAGCUUCAAGACCACUUUGAACUUCAACAAAUGGUGUCUUAUGCAGAGAAGGUGGAAAAGCAAGCCUUACCUCUAAAGACACCUAGUGGCCGAACCACUACAUCUUCUUCCACCCCUUGGAAAAGAAAUCAAUUGCCAACAUCCAGUGCUUGGCCAAGGCAAGGUAAUAGAGAGAGGGAAAACAAGCGGAUGGAACAACCGUCCCAUCCGAGUGCAACUUCUUCUAAACCAACCCCGCGGCCGACUCUUCCAGGAGCAAAUACAUCUACCAACCAGCCAAAGGCAUGUUUCAAAUGCAAGGGAAUUGGCCACCUCAUGGCUCAAUGCCCUAACCGAAGCAUCAUGUAUAUGAAUGAAGAGGGAAUGUGGCAAAGCGAAGGAGAGGAGGAAUAUGCGGACAUGCCACCGCUUGAAAAAGAGGGGAAGGAUGAUGACCUGGUUGAAAUAAAAGAGGACCCCGUGGCUCGAACUAUGGUGACUAUGAGAGUGCUAAAUGCACAAGCUCAAGAAGAUGAUCUCCAACGGACCAACAUUUUUCAUACAAGAUGCAAAAUUGGAGAUGAGGUAUGUCUCAUGAUCAUUGAUAGUGGCUCUUGUACUAAUUGCGUAGCUGCUGACUUUGUUGAGCAAAAACACCUUCCAUGGACUUACCACUCUAAACCCUAUAGACUAUCUUGGUUAAAUGAUGGAGGGGAAGUCAAGGUGACCAAACAAGCUUUAAUCGCUUUUUCUAUUGGUCGGUACAAGGACCAAGUUUUAUGUGAUGUAAUUCCUAUGCAAGCUAGUCAUAUCUUGUUGGGACGUCCUUGGGAGUAUGAUAGACAGGCUGAUCACAUUGGACUUACCAAUAAAUAUAAGUUCAUUAUGGACAACCUCAAAAUCACUCUUUCACCAUUGACACCUACACAAGUGUGAAGAACAAUUACAUUUAAGAAAAGAGAGAGAGAAAAGGCAACCGAAAGAAACAAAGAAAAAGCCGAAUGAGAGAGAGAAUGAGGGGAAAAAGAAAGUAGAGGCCGAGUUGAGUGAAAAAGGAAAUUCGAGUGGAAAAAAACUCAGUGAGGCCGAGAGCUUGAAAGUGAAAAAAAGAAAUUUCUAUGCAAGUGUGCGUGAGGUAGAUAUGGUUUUGAAUGCACAAAGUCUUCUCGUAGUACUUCUGUACAGGGAAGCUGAUUAUUCUUCUUUUUACACACUAGGCAUAACCGAUUCUCUUCCUAAUGCAAUCUACUCUCUUUUGCAGGAAUUCAAGGAUGUGUUUCCGGAGGAACUACCGAAAGGAUUACUUCCAAUUCGAGGUAUUGAACAUCAAAUCGACUUUGUUCCUGGAGCAAUUCUACCAAAUCGACCAGCCUAUAGAGCAAAUCCGGAGGAAACAAAGGAAAUCCAAAGGCAAGUCGAUUCCCUCCUUGAAAAGAACCAGGUUCGUGAAUCUCUUAGUCCUUGUGCAAUUCCCGUUAUUUUAGUAACUAAGAAAGAAUGGACUUUGAGAAUGUGUACAGAUUGUCGUGCAAUUAACAAAAUUACUGUUAAGUAUCGUCAUCUCAUUCCUAAGCUAGACGAUAUGUUAGAAGAAUUGCAUGGAGCAAUCAUUUUCACUAAAAUUGACUUAAGAUCUGGUUAUCAUCAAAUAAGGAUAAAGGAAGGUGACGAAUGAAAAACUGCUUUCAAAACGAAGUAUGGUCUUUAUGAGUGGCUUGUGAUGCCUUUCGGCUUAACAAACGCUCCAAGUACUUUCAUGAGAUUAAUGAACCAUGUUUUAAGGCAUUUUCUUGGAAAGUUCGUUGUUGUUUAUUUUGAUGAUAUAUUGAUCUUUAGCAAGUCUUUAGAAGAGCAUGUUGAGCAUUUGCGACUUGUUUUAAGUGCCUUGCGUGAAAAUAGGUUAUUUGCUAACUUGGAAAAAUGUGUCUUUUGCGCUCCUGAGGUUAACUUUCUUGGUUAUAUUAUUGGUGCAAAUGGCAUAAGUGUUGAUCCCACCAAGGUAAAGGCUAUCAUGGAGUGGCCGACUCCAACCAAUGUGUCUCAGGUAAGGUCUUUUCAUGGUCUUGCAAGCUUCUAUAGGAGAUUUGUUAAAGACUUUAGCACUAUUGCAGCACCUUUGAAUGAGAUAGUUAAAAAGAAUGUGGGGUUUCAAUGGGGAAAAGAGCAAGAAGAGUCGUUUAAUAAGCUUAAAAAUUUGUUAACUUCAGCACCUAUUCUUGCUUUGCCUAAUUUUGAUUUGAUGUUUGAAGUUGAAUGUGAUGCUAGUGGGAUUGGCAUUGGGGCUGUCUUACAUCAAAAUAAUAGGUCCUUGGCAUAUUUUAGUGAGAAGUUGAGUGGGGGAGCUCUCAAUUACCCUACUUAUGAUAAAGAAUUGUAUGCUGUUGUGCGUGCUCUUGAAGUGUGGCAGCAUUAUCUUAUGCCUAAGGAAUUUGUGAUACAUACUGAUCAUGAAUCAAUUAAAUUCCUUAAGGGGCAGGGUAAGUUGCAUAAAAGACAUGCGAAAUGGAUUGCAUUUAUUGAUUCCUUUCCAUAUAUCAUUAAGUAUAAGAAGGGAAAAGAUAACGUCGUUGCGGAUGCAUUGUCUAGAAGGUAUAUUUUGAUCACUAACCUGAGCACUAAGUUACUUGGUUUUGAGCACAUUAAAGACUUGUAUGCACAUGAUGCUGAUUUUUCUAAUGUGUUUCAAGCUUGUGAACAUGCUGCAUUUCAAAAGUUUUAUAGGCAUGAAGGCUUCUUGUUCAAAGAAAAUCGCCUAUGUAUUCCCAACUGUUCACUUAGGAAAUUACUUGUUAGAGAAGCCCAUGGCGGAGGGUUGAUGGGGCAUUUCGGUAUUGAUAAAACUCUUGACAUUUUGCAUGAGCAUUUCUAUUGGCCUAAAAUGAGGCGUGACAUUGCUAACAUUUGUGAUACGUGUUUAAAGUGUAAGCAGGCAAAGUCAAGGAGUAACCCUCAUGGAUUGUAUACUCCUCUACCCGUACCUCAUGCUCCUUGGACAGACAUAUCCAUGGAUUUUGUGCUUGGAUUACCAAGAUCUUCUACAGGUAUGGAUAGUAUCUUUGUUGUAGUGGAUAGAUUUUCUAAAAUGGCUCAUUUUAUCCCUUGUAGGAAAACAAAUGAUGCGCGCCAUGUUGCUAAUUUAUUCUUCAAGGAUGUGGUUAGAUUGCAUGGAGUACCGCGUACUAUUGUAAGUGAUAGGGAUGUGAAAUUCUUAAGCUAUUUCUGAAAAUCACUUUGGGGAAAGUUGGGAACUAAGUUGCUGUUUUCUACUUCUAGUUAUCCCCAAACGGAUGGUCAGACUGAGGUAACCAAUCGAACCCUUGGUGCUCUACUUCGAGCCAUUGUUCAAAAGAACUUGAAGAAGUGGGAAGAAUGUUUGCCUAUUGCCGAGUUUGCAUAUAACCGAACCACUCAUUCUACUACCAAUCAUUCCCCUUUUGAAAUUGUUUAUGGGAUUCAGCCGCUAACCCCUCUAGAUUUGUCACCUAUUCCUGUUAAUGAGUGUUUAAGCGCAGAUGGUAUCAAAAAGGCAGAAACUGUUCGGACCUUGCAUGAGAGAGUUCGAGUUCAAAUUGAGAAGAAAAAUGCGCAAUAUGCACAACAUGCAAAUAAGGGUAGAAAACAUGUUGUAUUCGAACCCGGUGAUUGGGUUUGGGUGCACAUGAGGAAGGAAAGGUUUCCAGCAUCUCGACGGACCAAGUUACAUCCAAAAGGCGACGGACCUUUUCGAGUACUAGAGAAGAUCAACGACAAUGCAUACAAAUUGGAACUUCCAAGUGAGUAUGGCAUAAGCGCAUCUUUUAAUGUAUUUGACCUAUCUCCUUUUGACUUUGAUACAGACUUUGAAGAUUCGAGGACGAAUCCUUUCGAGGAGGGAGAGAAUGAUGCAGAUACGGGUGCGCAACAACUUCAACCUUGGGUCAAGGACAACAUUGACGGUCCGAUGACAAGAUCAAGAUCCAAGAAAGUGAAGGAAGCUUUAAGAGCUUUGAUUAUUCACCAUACAAGCAAGGAGCGGGCUAAGUUUGAAGAAUUGAUGGACCAUGAAGUUACCUUGCUCACUUGUACAUUUGAAGUGCAAGAAUGAUCUCCUACUUGGUAGAUUAGUUAGUAGUUGUUUUAAGACUGUCUAGUUUAGUAGUUGUUAGGCGUUGAGUAUUUUAUACUUAUUGGGCCUUAUCGGAAAGCCUUAAAGAGCUGGCUCUUUAAACUCUUUAUGCGGACCGAAUUUAUUCCAGGUUUAUGUGGGCCGGAUUUUGCCCUAGUUUUAGCCUAUAAAAAGGCACCUCUUGUAUGAGUAAAAGGGGAGAAUAUUUUACAACCAGAAAUCGUGAGGAAUUUUCCUUCAAGUUCUUAAUCGAACUUACUCUUGAAUUCUUGAGUUUAUGGCUUAGGAUUCAAAUCUGACUUUAUCGAUUAGUUUGUUCCCUAAUCGUGGUGUCUCUUCAUCCAUCUUUAUUUGCUUAAGGUUGCUGAAUGCCUUUGUGUGUCAGAGAUCUUGAGUUCAUGAGAACAAUCGAAUUCAAUUUCCAUUGGGAGAAACGAUCCAACUCUGAUAAUUACAAGGUUAGGAGGUUCUAGGAGGGUCUUCCCCUAGGGUUGCUCAUCACGUAGUGGCAAAGUGAAGGAGACUGCCCAAAGAAAAUUAGUUACUCCAUCUCCUGAAUCAUCUGAUGAACAAAUGGAAGGGCAGAUCUCUGAAGGGAACAUUGCUGGUGGAAAUGAGGAACCAGAGCAGGCUACCCAAGGUGAUGAAACUGUCACACGGUCUUCCAGUAAAAGAAAAAGGACUGCAAAGGGGAAGAAAAAGCAAUCUGCUGAUCCCUCUGUUGAUCAGCAGAAUGAAGAAAACAUCACUGAGAGUCAGCCAACACCUGAACCCUCCAUCAGGAAGUCUCCAAGGAUAAGGACUGAGACUCAAAAUGUUGGUGCAUCUGUCACUCAAACCUCUAAAGGGACACGUUCUGGAACGAAUCCAGUAUCUCAGCCUGCACCUGAACCCCUUCCUCUACCAAAGUUCAUCGAUGAUGAAGCCAGAGACAGAUUUGAGUUAGUCUCUCAAAAAGGGUUCAUCACCCAAAGGCUCAUAAUUCCUUUUGAAUUUCGUAAGCUUGAUCUUGAACCUGUCAUCAAACUCUUUGAAUUCCAGAAAUGGACUCAUCUUUUGACCAUUCCUAAUGUUUUCUAUCCUGACAUGCUGUAUCAAUUUUUUGCUAAUCUUAGAAAGGGUACAUCACACACUGAACUCAUCUCUAGGGUCAACUCUGUAGACAUCAUGUUAACUCCUGACAUUGUGAAUUCUAUUAUGAAAACUAGUAUUGAACCUGGUUUUAAGGGAAAAAUUGCAAAUUUCUUUUCGUAUGAGGAAUUCCCUUCUGCCUAUCAUCACUUUUAUAAUGCUAAACUCAUGACUUAUUUUCAAACCAAAUUCAAUACCCCUGCUGAGGCAAGAUUGGAUGAUCUCAAUCCUCAAAAUCUGAUCAUCUUCACCAUCAUUUCGAAUCUGUUGGUGCCAACUGAUGGCCACAGAACAGAUGCAAACAAAAUGGAACUCUAUCUUUUCUACUGUUUUGUUGAAAAAAUCCGCAUUGAUUUUGGAUUUGUAAUGUGCAAAUUUCUGCUCAAAAUCAGCACUGAUAGUCGUACGAACCUUUCCUAUGGCAGAUUUCUGACCCCCAUUUUUGCUCAUUUUGACAUACCAUUUUCUGGCAAAUCUCCAAAAGACAGUGCUUCUUCAGUUUUCUCCAAAGCUUAUUUUGAAAGAAAGAACCUAAAAUUUUUUGAUGGGCAUUGGUGCUACAAAGAGACUGUGGCCGAGUCUAGAAGAAAAAAUUUGCAUGAAACCCCUGCCAUUCCUAGAACUCCCCAUGAUCAGUCAGGGUAUGUUUCUCCUUUCACCAUUCAUUCUAGAAAGUCUGCUAGUAAGUCCUUCUCUUCCAACUCUGAGGUCAUCUCCUUGCUUGAAGACCUCAAACAGCAUGUUAUGCUUCUUGAAGAUGGUCUCAUGAUGACCAUGACCUCUGCUCAACAAUCCUCUUUCCUUGAAAAAAGGAAUCUUCUUGUGCCCCCUAUACCUGAGACAAAUGAGACUGCUCAUCAGAAAGAACCAAGAUCUGAGCCCACAAGGCCAACUACUGGUAAUGAGACCACACCAGCUUCCAGUUCUCAGCCCAAGGAUAAAGGCAAGGCUCCAGUAACUGAGGACGCAUUUGAAGAUGAUGAUGAAGAAACUGAGGAAGAAGAGAACCCUGAACAGUACCGUCUGACCAGGAGGAGGCCUGGAUCAUCUAAAAUCACCAUCUAGGCACUACUAGGUCACUGCACCUAAAUCUAAGACUAUAGUUCAUCUUUUGCAUUACACUUUUGUACUAAGUGUUGAACACCUGGUCUGUGCAACUGGAUAUUUUCUACUCUUUAUGAAUGUUUUAACUAAGUGCUUGUUAUGAAUGCUUUGAAUGGAUGUUAUGAUUGGUUAUAUGUUUUUGAAAUCUGCUCAAUGAAUGAAUGUUUCUAUUUAACAUCUGCUACAUGAUUGAGUCCAAACUGAUAAUGUUUCUGAUGGGACGUACUGCUGGUUCCAAAACUGAUACUCAAUCUUGUGAUGACAAAAAGGGGGAGAAUUGGAAUUGGAUUUGGUUUAACACUGAUAGUAUAGAGUAACUAGUUAGGGGGAGACAGUCUCAGGGGGAGUUGUGCUGGAUCAGCACUGAUGAUGUGGAUUGCGCUUCUUCUGAUAUACUACUCAUGCACUUUGUUAGGGGGAGCUGUUAUAUUUUGUGCUCUAUCCAAUUGUUUUGUCAUCAUCAAAAAGGGGGAGAUUGUUUAUCUCAAUUCAUAUCUUUUGAUGAUUACAAAACAAUUGGAUGUUUCUAAUACCUUUUGUAGAGAUCCUUUUCAGAAAUGAACCAAACAGGUCUGUGGAUUUAAAGCAGAAAAAGAAGAUCAAAGAAGAAUGAAGUCUGCUGAGGAUGAUGUCGGACGCACAAAAGGAGGGUAUCGGACGUCCGACAUUCUUUGAGUAUCUUCAGACGAGUAAAGAACUCAGACUCGGACGUCCGAAGAAGACAAGCCAGGAGUUACUCGAUUACUGAUCAGGUUCGGACGCUCAACACCUGUGUAUCGAACGUCCGACAAGCGUUGCUGCUCUUCGGACGCAACACUCUGGACGCAUCGGCCGUCCGAAGGAAUUGAAGAAGAAAGUCCAAGUAUUCAUCCUACCCUCGGACGCAUGAUCGGACGUCCUAAGGGAUUCAAGAAAACUUCCAGAACUCAUUGAUCUUGUUCGGACGCAUAAAAACCAAACAUCGGACGUCCGACAGCACCAACGGCUAGUUGACUCUUCAGCUGCCUUUUACCCGUUGACAACAUUAAUUGAGGAACUUUCUGGUCUCCUAUAAAAAGAACAAAGUCAACCACCUCAAGACAACUUUGUACAUCAAGCCUACAUCAGAUUGUGAGUGAUUCGUGUGCUAGAAUACUCAAAAAGGAACAUUUGUACUCCUUGCAUGUACAAUCUUCGUGUAGUUUUUUCAAGUGUGACAUAGCUUCUUCAAUAGUGUAGCAUAGUGAGGGUUUGCGAGUGUUUGUAAAACUUCCUUGCUUGACCAAGUGUGAUUUGGGGCAAGAAGGAAGUAAUCCCUUCCUUGUACACAAAAGAUUGGUUGCAAGUCUAUUCAACUUGAAGUAACUUGGUAUAUAAAAGUGGUGUUCAAACCUUAGUUGUGUUUGAAGCUUGGUUUGUUUCUUUAAUCUUAUUUACUGCUUUUCUAUAUAAACUGUUCUUCUCUCCAUCUCACGAAUACCUGUGCUCUUGUGUUAUCUUGUUCAUUGGGAGGUAUUUGAGAAAAGAAAGGCUGUCUGUUAAAAAAAGGUAGAAUAUAUCUUAGCAGUUUUUGAAAGCCUAAUUCACCCCCCCUCUUAGGUUGUUUUCGAUCCUUACAAAGAAAGUGACAUGUACCACUUGUACUUUUUCUAUCUAUCCUAUAUCCACCAAAAUCAGCAUCCGAAAAAUCAUAUAAAGAAAAUUCAUGACAUUUAGGAUACCAAAGACCAUAAUUCAAGGUUCCUUUUAACUAUUUAAAGAUUCUUUUCACAGUAACUAAGUGAGAUUCCUUUGGACAAGAUUGGAAACGAGCACACAAGCAAACAACAAACAUAAUAUCAGAUCUACUUGCAGUUAAAUAAAACAAACUACCAAUCAUACCUCUAUAUUUCUUCUCAUCAAUUUUUAUACCUUCUGCAUCCUUGUCAAGUUUGGUAGAUGUGCACAUAAGUGUUCCAACUUAUUUUGAAUCCCCCAUUCCAAAUCUUUUGAGAAGUUCCUUUGUAUAUUUAACUUGAUUAAUAAAUGUACCUUCUCGGUUUUGAACCACUUGGAGCCCAAGGAAGAAGUUCAACUCUCCCAUCAUGCUCAUUUCAAACUCAUUUUGCAUAAUAGUGAAAAAAUCUUUGCACAAACACUCAUUAAUAGCACGAAAAAUAAUAUCAUCCAUCUAUAUUUGCACAAUUAAAAGAUCAUUUGAAGUUUGUUUAGUGAAAAGAAUGGUAUCCACAAUACCUCUUUUAAAACUAUUAUCAACUAAAAAAUCACUUAACCGUUCAUACCACGCUCUUGGAGCUUGUUUUAACCCAUAUAAAUCUUUUAAGAGUUUAAACACGUGAUUUGGAUAUGCCUCAUUUUCAAAACCAGGAGGUUGGUCAACAUAUAUUUUUUGAUCAAUAAAACCAUUUAAGAAAGCACUUUUAACAUCCAUUUGAAAUAAUUUAAAAUCCUUGAAACAUGCAAAUGACAAAAACAUUCUAAUUGAUUCUAGUCUAGUUACGGGAGUAAAUGUUUCAUCAAAAUCUAUUCUUUCUUUUUUAGCAUACCCCUUAGGAACAAGUCUAACCUUAUUUCUCACAACAACACUUUUGUCAUUCAUUUUAUUUCUAAAAAUCCAUUUUGUGCUAAUGAUAGGAUGGUUUUGAGGGCUUUCAACUAAUGUCCAGACCUUGUUCCUUUCAAAUUGAUUUAGUCCCUCUUCCAUAGCAAAAAUUCAGUUUUCAUCUUUCAAGGCAUCAACAACAUUUUUAAAUUCAAAAUGCGAGACCAAGGCAAAAUUAUCCAUCAAUUGCUUAGCGGAGGAACAAGUUCUAACCUUUUCGGAUGGAUCACCAAUGAUAAGCUCCUUCGGAUGGUUUUGAACAAACUUUCAAAUCCUUAGAAGAUCACUAGGUGUACCAACAUCCUUGUCAUUUUCUUCCAACGCUUGAUUCUCUUGAGGAUCAUCUUCUUUCGAAUUAUCUUCUAGUAAAGCAUUGUCUUGAUCAUGAAUUGUGAGUUUCUUAAGUCCUUCUUGAACACCUACAUCAUCAUCUUCACAACAACUUUUGGAAAUAUCAUCAUUAGAUUUAUCAAAUGUGACAUGUAUGGCUUCUUCUAUCGCAAGAGUUCUUCUAUUAUAGACUCUAAAAUCUCUUUUGUUCUCACAAUAACUCAAGAAAAUACCUUCAUCAGAUUUCUUGUCAAAUUUUUCAAGGCGUUCCUUGAUAUUUAAAAUAAAACAUUUGCAACCAAAAACUUUGAAAUAUCCAACAAUUGGUUUUUUAUCAAACAUUAAUUCAUAAGAGCUUUUGUUAAAAAUUGGUCUCAAAAGAACUCUAUUCAUUGCAUAACAAGCCGUAUUUACGGUUUUACUCCAAAAAUAUUUUGGCAAGUUGCAUUUAUUUAACAUAGUUCUUGCGGUCUCUUGAAGAGUUCUAUUCUUUCUUUCAACAACACCAUUUUGUUGAGGUGUUCUUGCAAUUGAAAAUUCAUGUGUGAUUCCAUUGUUAUCACAAAAUUUCGAAAAAUCACAAAACUUAAAUUUCGAGCCAUUGUCACUUCUAAUCUUAAUAAUUUUCAACCCAAUCAGAUUUUGAACUUUUGCAAAUGAGGAAACAAAUUUUUGAAGGCAUCAUCCUUGUGAGCAAGAAACAUCACCCAAGUGUAUCUAGAAUAAUCAUCAAUAAUAACCAAACAAUAUAUUUUACCACCCAAGUUAGCAAUUUGUGUAGGACCGAACAAAUCAAGAUAUAAAAGAUCCAAAGGUUUUGAUGUGACGACUGGAAAAUUUGCUCAUAUUUUCUUAAAAUUUCCUCUUAUUUUGAUUAAAUUACUUUAUAAUAUUUUUACUACUCAUUUACUCCCACCAUAGUUGUAAGAAAUAAUAGAAUUAAGAGUUUUGCUCUUAGUUUUAUAGUUAGGGUAAAUUAGGGUUUUCACGUAUUUUAGUAGUGUGAUUAAUUGUGAAGGUGUGUGUACUAAAUUUAGUCAUUAAAAGUGAGUUUUAGAUAAGAGGAAGUGUUUGAUUGGAAGUGCUAAUAAUAAGCUAGUGAACCAUAAGUAAAAACACAAGUACGUGCGAGUUAAAGAAAAACGGCUUGAACCGAUGCGCACCGUUUGCCACCGAUUGAAUACGCCACUUGAACACUACUCUAUUACCUUAAUAUCAUUGAUUUUAUUUCAGCUAAUUAACCCUAAAAUAUCCCUUAAACCAGCCACAAUCUUUUACCAAAGAAAGGGAGAAAAGAAAAAAAAUGAGAGGAAAUCUAGUUGCGACACUUGUCGGAAAUCUAAAAGAUGUUGACCAAGCCAACUUUCUUUCUUCUUAUCUUCCAUUUUGGCUCACUUUGCUUCAUUAUUUCUUCUUAUGGCCAAGAGUUAAGAGGAGAAAAAGAGAGAAUAAACACUUCAAUUUCAACCUUGAUUUUGGCCUUGUUUGAGUUGAAUCCAAAAAUGUAAACUAAUUAAACCUUCACUUUGGUACUUAGGAAACUUUGUGUGGUAAAAGUUUUGGAAGAAAGGGGUGUGAUUUUCACUUACAAGCAAGGAUUGGAAGGUAUCAUGAUUGCCUUUCCUUUUCUCUUCCUUAAUCUUGUUUAACUUUGGAUAGAAGCUUAUGAUCUUAAUUUAUGAUGGUUAAUUAGUUAGUUUUGAAUGAUAUGGUGGAAUGUUUAGCUAGGGUUUGAAAUUUUCAGUUGUGAUUAUUGUUGUUUAUUUAGUAUAUGAUGUUGAUGAGUUUGGAUAGGGACUUGGGGUAGUGAUUCAAGACAUGAAUGUUAUUUUUAAGUAUUGAAUCAUCAAAUUUCCAGCAUUAAUCAUGAAUCUGCCCUGUUUCUGACCUGCAUAUUCGUCGAUUUUAGAGGCCGAAUCAGGUCUAGGUCAAAACAUAAAAGUUGUAGGGAAUGGAGUUACUUAUCUGCCUGUAAAAUUUCAACUCGAUUGAAGCACUAUAGCUUGUGAAAUGACUAAAUUACCCCUGACUGCCCAAAUGCCCUAUUUCACAAGCAGCUUUCUGUUUUCUCUGAAAUUUCACAUUUUGACCUUGAAAAUGCACGAAUUGGGUGUCUAUGUCUUCAUAGAAAAUGUAUGUCUCUAUCUUAGCUUCAAAACAUCAUAAAAUUUACCCCAAUCCGAUAAGCAUAGCUUCAGUUGUGACCAAAAUGCCAAAAGACAUCAAACCUGCUGUUUAGCCAUUUGUCUUUAAAACUGGUUUUCGGUUGCAUUGCUAGACUUGUCUUGUAAUUGGAUGACAUUGAGCCUAAUUGAUGGGCUAUUGUGUUAAGAUUGUUUAUGUGUGAAUUUGGGCUGAGCUGAGGAAAAUAAUAAAGCCAUAAAUGAUUGAAAAAUAGCUAAAUACAAAGGGCAUGCUGCCCAAAUUUUCACUCGAGAAUUAGGCAUAUGUACUCGCAAAUUGAGCGACGAUUUGAGGUCGAAUUGGACUUGAUUUGUCUAGGGUAUUCAAGUUUUCUUUGAUAGAAGUAUAUAAGCUGAAAUUUCGCCGGAACUCGUAUCCUUGAAAAAAUGAAAGUAGUGACCCUUUAAAAAUACGAUUUUCUCAAUCUUUUAUAUGAAGUGCGAUUUCAAAAGUAUAAACCACUUCUUUAUCAAAACUAAAUGAGCGAGCAUGAAGUUUCUAGAGUUUGAUAAGUAACUUGAAUACUACUUAAACGAGUUUCAUUUACUUGAUUUUCUUGAAGCGAAACUCCUAUGUUUCGAACUCUAGUUGAUUUUAAACUUUUGAAUAAUAUUUUAUCGCAGAUUUGGACUCCAUCCAAAGAGUUGCACCUGAACGUGACCUUGAAAAGUACUAGACCUUUGGUGAGUGCUUCCAAGUACAUGUUGUAUUUAAUACUUGCUUUUACAUGUUUAUUUAAUGUACUUGGAUAAUAGUUGACUUGUUUGGACGGACAACUGUGUAUUUUAUUGCACUUAACCUAACUCAACUAAACACGUGAUAUCUCAUUCAUACUUGUAUAAGUAACUUGAUUUGCAUUAACCUGUACUUGUAUUUAUACUUGUGCUUGUAAGUGUUGAGCGGCAGUAUGUACUACACUCAAUCCGAGUAGGAGGUGCCUCUCCUUCCCGUCUCCGUACUUUUAUCUUGAUUCAGUCGAUUGGAGAUGUUAUUUCAUCGACUUCUUGGGGACCCCAAACCCCACUGGCUAGUUAAUCGAGUCGAACCGGCAAGGGUUUGGUUGAUUAGAUAACGAACCAUGGGUAUCUAGUUUUGUCGAGUGGAGUGUUAUCUUUUCGACUAAUCGGUAUACUCGAGUAUUACCACUAGUGUUUUGUUGGUGUUCGGGCCUGGUAAGGGGGUUGAAUGGUGGAUGGAUUGGUGACAAUGUUAUUCUUGGUUUUGAUGAUCACAAAAGUUCGUUUAUACAGACCAAGAAAGUGAACACUUUGAUCAGGCCUGAUGGAACAAGGAAAGCAUAUGUCUGAUUGACUCCAGUCUACGAUGCUUUGGAUGUGGCAAACAAGAUUGAAAUAAUAUAAAUGAAUUUAGUCAUUGUUUUGUUCCGAUCAAAAAUAUUGUCUUUUAAGUAUGUCUAGUUUGUCAUUCUUGGUACUUUGAAAUAUUUGUCUAACUUUCUUCAAAAACAAGAGUUUUUUUGUCUAUCCAAGAAUCAGGUUCAAAUAUGUCAUGAAAUGCAAAACAACCAAAAUGAGAAGCAAAAACAGGACAAUCAGGUCGGACGGCCGAAAGGAAACUGUCGGACGUCCGAAAAGAUAAAGAACAUCAGGAAGGAAGCACCGUCGGACGCUCACAUGGAAGCAUCGGACGUCCGGAAGGAUCGGACGCUUGCCAUCGGACGCGCAUCAACCACAUCGGACGUCCGAAAAAUUCCAAGAUAACUUGCUAGCUCUCGGCCCAAGGUCGGACGCUGUGCUGUCGGACGACAAAAAACUCAUCGGACGUCCGAACCUCAACUUGGCUAUCAUCGGACGAUUGGUUCGGACGACGAUUCGAUCGUCGGACGUCCGACAGCCCCAACGGCUAGUUGACUCUUCAGCUGCCUUCUAUCCGUUGGAAGCAUUGAUGAAGCCCAUUUCUGGAUCCCUUUAAAAUCAAACUGGUCUGAACCAAGAGAGGACUUUUGCACACUUUGUUUACAAGAUCUCAAGAGAUAUUUUAGCUAGAAAAUAGUCUCCAAAGCAAGAUUUGUUUUAAAGUGGUGUGAAUUUCUGGUGAGCAUUUCUUUUGUGGUUGAAAGGAUCUUUAGUGUAGCUUUGUUGAGGGUUUUCUGAGUGAUUGUAAAACUUCUUGGCUUGACUAAGUGAGGCUUAGGGCAAGGAGGAAGUGCUCCCUCCAUUGUACAUCUAGUUGAUCUUCUUUCAUCAAAGAGAACUUGCUCUUCCUAGUGUUUGGUUUUCAAGUUUGAGGAUAGCUUGGUAGACACUUGGUUUGACUCCCUAUCUUACUGUUCUGUUUAAUAAAAAUUCUUAUUGCUUAUCUAUACUUAUUUUUCUGAUCAAUAUUGCUAUUGUCUUCUAAUUUAUUUAGUUGAUCAUUACUAGAAAAGAAGGUAAAUUUUUAUUAAAGAAAAAGUGCAUAAACUUGGUUAAGAUUUUAAUCAACCCAAUUCACCCUCCCUCUUGGUUGUCUUUGGGUCUUACAAUUGGUAUCAGAGCUUGGUCUCCUUGAGAUUAAGCUCUAACGGCUUGGAGUAAAGAUGACAACCAGUCAUGCUAUGUUUGUUGAGGGGCAAUCUGUUACUAGGCCUCCCAUGUUCAGUGACUCCAACUAUGUUAGCUGGAAAGAACGAAUAAUUAUCUUUCUGCAAUCUAUUGAUAUUGAAUUAUGGUUUAUUGUGAGUGAAGGACCGCAUGAAGCUAACUUUCUUGAUGCAGAUACAGGGUUGCUUCGGCCAAAAACGAGAGCUGAAAUGAAUGCUCAAGAUAGGACUAACCUCACAUUGAAUGCCAAGGCCAUGAAUGUUCUGUAUAGUGCCCUAGAUUCUAAUGAAUCAAUUAGUGUAAAAGGCUGCAAAUCGGUCAAAGAAAUGUGGGAUAAACUAAGAGAAAUCCAUGAGGGUGGUGACAAUGUGAAAGAACAGAAAAAGGCUAUCUUGGUCACGAAAUAUGAAUAAUUUAAAAUUGAACCUCUUGAGGAUAUUGACAAAAUGUAUUGCAGGUUCACUGACUUGAUCAAAGAUCUCGAGGCGUUGGGCAAAGAGUACACCUUGGGAGAGAAGAACAGGAAAAUUCUCAAUGCUUUGGGCAAAGAAUGGGAAAAUAAAGUGACUGCAAUAGAGGAGGCUAAGGAUUUAAGUUCUGUGCCUAUUGAAUCUAUCAUUAACUCACUAACCUCUUAUGAGUUGAAACUGAAAUCUAAAGUGCAGGAGGAAGAGGAUGCUAGAGCAAAGAGAAACAUUGCUCUAAAGACUACUCAAGGUGAAGAUGAUACAGCUCACUUGGAUGAUGAAGACUCAGAUGGUGAUGAUAAUGAUCUUGCUCUCAUCACCAGAGGCUUCAAAAGAAUCUUGAAUAAAAGAAAGUUUAGAAGGGGAGGACCUAGCAAUCAAUUCCAGAAUCAGCCAUCUAUCGCAAAGUAUAAAGGUAAACAAGAUUUCAACAAGAAACAGUUGGACAAAUGCUUCGAAUGUGGACAGAUUGGACAUUAUGCAAACGAAUGCCCUAUGAAGAAGAUGAAAGAUGGAAAAGCUGAUCGAAAGCCAAGAUUCAAUAAUUUUCAGAUUACUUGGAAUGAAUGCAACUCCGAAGGGGAAGUUGAAGAAGAAGAAGAAUCUGCUCAAAUGGCGUUCAUGGCUAUUGGAAAUAAUGAGGUAACUUCCACACACUCUCAAUCUGAAAGUGAUGAUGAUGAAGAUGAUGAUCUUGAAUCCUUUGUUGAAAAACUGCAUAAUGCCUUUAAGGAAUCUUAUGAUAAAAACAAGCAGUUAAAACAGAAAAUGGCUUUUCUCAUUCAAGAAAAUGCAAGUCUUUUUCAACAAAAUAAACAACUAAAGACCGACAAUGAAAGUCUAGUGAGAGCCGGAUGUAAUGUUCAAAAUGAGCUUGAUAGAAAGACAAAUAUUUGUGAAAUGCUGAAGGAAAGACAGGGUGAUUUGAAAAAAAGAAUGGACAACUUGGAUGAAACUUUGAAAGCAAGAAAGCAGGAGUUUAGCAAAAGGAACAUGUUAUUUACCCAUCCUACUACUUUUCAAAGAACAUUUGCACACAACAAAAUUGCACAUGGUUUCACAACAUAUAGAAGAGGUGGAUUGAGAUAUAUCAAACCAGUACAUGUUAAGGACUCUUCCAUUAUGUGUGGUUUUUGUUGUCAAAGAGGGCAUUUGAAAGGUAAUUGCUAUGUGAAAAGAAAUCUGAACAAAGGGAUGAAGUGCAUGUGGUUAGUUAAAUACAAUGCUAACUAUUAUGGACCCAAAAAUUAAAAAGGGUACCAAACACCUUUUCUUUUCAGGAAAAAUGCUCAAACAAGUCCAAAUGGUUCAUUGAUAGCGGUUGCUCAAGGCACAUGACCGGUGAUCCUUCCUUGUUCAUAAAGCUGAAAUCAAAAUCAAGUGGAAAGGUAACAUUUGGUGAUGAUGUGAAAGCUAAGACAAUUGGAAUAGGUGAUGUUGGUAAGGAUGGUGAAACUUUUGUUCAUAAUGUGCUCUUAGUUGAUAACUUAGGUUAUAACUUGUUUAGUGUUAGUCAAUUGUGUGAUAAAGACUUGUAUGUGUUGUUUAAAAAGCAUGAAUGCAUUGUACUUGAUUCCAAAUAUAAUGUUGUGUUCAAAGGUAAGAGGUUUAAUGACAUAUAUAUUGUGAUUCUUGAUAAAGUUGAUUCUUCUAUCUUAAAAUAUCUUAAAGCUUCAAAUGAAGAUCCUUGGUUGUGGCAUAGAAGACUUUGUCAUUUUAACAUGGACUUACUAAAGGAAAUUUCGAAAAAGGAACUAGUUAGAGGCUUGCCAAAAAUCAGUUUUGAAAAGGAUAAAAUAUGUGAUGCAUGUCAAUUUGGAAAGCAAACAAAAGUUUCUUUUAAAACAAAGAAGUGUGUAUCUACUUCAAAACCCUUAGAACUCUUGCAUCUUGACUUAUUUGGCCCUACUCAAAUCUCUAGCUUGGGUGGUAAGAAAUACUGUUUUGUGAUUGUGGAUGAUUAUUCUAGAUACAUAUGGGUGAUAUUUCUUGCACAUAAAGAUGAUGCCUUUAAGAAUUUUACUUCAUUGUUUGCUAAAGUACAAAAUCUGCUUGGGUUAAAAGUUGUUAGGAUUAGAAGUGAUAAUGGAACAGAAUUCAAGUAUUGUGGUUUUCCAGAAUUUUGUGAUUAUAAUGGCAUAACUCAUGAGUUUUCUAUUGCAAGAACUCCACAGCAAAAUGGUGUUGUAGAAAGGAAAAACAGGACUCUCCAAGAGGCUGCUAGAACUAUGUUGAAUGAAUGUAGGUUGCCUAAAUAUCUUUGGGCUGAAGCGGUAAACACUGCAUGUUAUGUGAUGAAUAGAAUUCUCUUGAGACCUAUUUUAAAGAAAACUCCGUAUGAGCUGAUUUUUGAUAAGAAACCUACAGUUGGUUAUUUCAAAGUAUUUGGUUGUAAAUGCUUUAUUUUGAAUCUAAAGGAACAUCUUGGUAAGUUUGAUAAAAAAUCUGAUGAAGGAAUAUUUUUGGGGUAUUGUGAGAAUAAAAGAGGAUAUAGAGUUUUUAAUAGAAGGACUCUUGUGAUUGAAGAAGCUAUACAUAUAACAUUUGAUGAAGCCAAUGAUGAUAAUUCCAAAAGUUUGGGUGAGGAUGAUGAUGUAGGUGUUCGAGAAGGAAUGGAAAAGCUAUCAAUUGGAAAUGAAGGAAGUUCUAAACCAGCAGCAACUGAAAUGGAAAAUGAAGUUCAUAAUGAUCAAGAAGAGGAAGAUGAAGACAAAAAUGAUAAUCCACUCAAAGAUCUUCCCAAGGCUUGGAAAUUCAGCCAAAAUCAUCCAAAAGAGCUUAUAAUUGGUGAUCCAUCCGAGAAGGUAAACACUCGUUCCUCAUCUAGAAAAUUGAUUGAUAAUUUUGCUUUAGUUUCUCUUUUUGAACCCAAAAAUAUCAAUGAUGCUUUAAAGGAUGAAAACUGGAUUUUGGCUAUGCAAGAGGAACUUAAUCAAUUUGAGAGAAAUGAAGUUUGGACUCUUGUUGAUAUACCUCAAAAUCAACCUAUCAUUGGCACAAAGUGGAUUUUUAGAAAUAAGUUGGAUGAUAAAGGUGUUGUUGUAAGAAAUAAAGCCAGAUUAGUUGCUAAAGGAUAUGCACAAGAAGAAGGAAUUGAUUUUGAUGAAACAUUUGCUCCCGUAGCAAGAUUAGAAUCUAUUAGAAUGCUUCUUGCUUUUGCUUGCUUCAAAGGUUUCAAAUUGUUUCAAAUGGAUGUUAAAAGUGCAUUUUUAAAUGGUUUUAUUGAUCAAGAAGUGUAUGUGGAUCAACCCCCCGGUUUUGAAAAUACAAAAUUUUCAAGUCAUGUGUUUAAACUUUCUAAAGCUUUAUAUGGUUUAAAACAGGCUCCAAGAGCUUGGUAUGAAAGAUUAAGUGGGUUCUUGAUUGAAAAAGGUUUCAAAAGAGGUGUUGUGGACACCACACUUUUUACUAAGCAAGUGUUGAAUGACCUUCUUAUUGUGCAAAUAUAUGUUGAUGAUAUUAUUUUUGGUGCUACUAAUGAGUAUCUAUGUAAGGAGUUUUCCACCACUAUGCAAAGUGAAUUUGAAAUGAGUAUGAUGGGAGAAUUAAAUUUCUUCCUUGGACUUCAAAUACAUCAAGCUCUUGAGGGAAUUUUUAUAAAUCAAGCAAAAUAUACCAAGGAAUUGCUGAAAAGGUUUGGCAUGGAGGACUCAAAACAAGUUGGAACUCCAAUGUGCACGUCUACAAAGCUUGACAAAGAUGAAGAAGGUAACCAUGUGGAUGAAAAGCAUUAUAGAGGUAUGAUCGGAAGCCUACUUUAUUUAACCGCAAGUAGACCUGAUAUUAUGUUUGCUGUUUGUUUGUGUGCUAGAUUUCAAUCUUGUCCAAAAGAAUCACAUUUGAAUGCUGUAAAAAGAAUUUUUAGGUAUUUGAAAGGUACAUUAGACUAUGGUCUUUGGUAUGCUAGAUCUAAUGAGUUUGCUCUAUAUGGUUAUUCGGAUGCUGAUUUUGGAGGUUGUCGUGUGGAUAGAAAGAGUACGAGUGGAACUUGUCAUUUUCUUGGAAAUUGUUUAGUCUCUUGGUUUAGCAAGAAACAAUGUGCAAUCUCUUUGUCUACCACCGAAGCGGAAUAUAUUGCCGCCAGUGCAUGUUGUGCUCAACUUUUAUGGAUGAAGCACACUUUGAAUGAUUUUGGAUUGUUGUAUGACUGCAUGCCUGUAUUCUGUGAUAAUACUAGUGCUAUCAAUUUGACCAAAAAUCCUAUUCAUCAUUCUAGGACAAAGCACAUAGAUAUAAAGCAUCACUUUAUUCGUGAUCUUGUUCAAAAAGGUGAAAUAUGUGUAAAUUAUGUUUGUUCUAAAGAUCAAUUUGCUGAUAUUUUUACAAAAGCUUUGCCAUUAGAACAGUUCAUUCAUCUAAGAUCAAAAUUAGGAAUAAUCGAAAAAUCAUCUUAAUUUUCUUUGGGUCUUCGGACGUCCGAAAGAAGAUGAACGGACGUCCGAUGAUGUUCUUCAGCCAUUUUCCAGAUUGCGCUUGUUCGGACGCAGCUGUCGGACGCACAACUUCGUUCGGCCGUCCGACAGUGCAACGGCUCAUUUUUUAAAACAACUUUCUUCCUCAAUUGCCUCAGACUCUUCCCAUUUCAUUUUCUCUCGGACGAAAACCCUCUUUCUCUCACUCCCAAAUUCGUACCAUUCUGAAGCCCCCAUUCCCAAAUUGACUCAACCAAAACAUUUCCCCAUCGUUUGCGAGUCAUUUCUCCUGAUCAUUUCACCAAACUGAUCUAACACUUCGCAAAUCCCCAAAUUUUCCUCACAACCCUACUCUUGCAUAACCGCUCUGUCAAAUCUCGUUCAAGGUGUUUUUGUCCCAAAAUUUCUGUGCGAUUCACUUCCCUACUGCUGUGUGCAUCAUUUGCAUCCUCCAUUCCACACAUUUAGAACAAUGGUGAAUCUAAGGGGAGGAAAAGUUACUGCCGGACGCAAGCAUCCACUCAGGGAUGAGGAUGAGGAUCUUCCUACUGUCAAACGGACAUCCAAACGCUUCAAAAGGGGAGCUAUCAAGGGUCAAAUGUCACGGCCUACUCCACAACCCACUUCUCAACCAGAAUCUGGACAGGGGACCUCUUCUCAACCGCCUCCUAAAUCAGUCCCUCUCCCUCCAUUCUUUGAUGAUGCUGCGAAAGACAAAUACGCCUGGAUAUCCCAGAAGGGUGUCAUCCCUCAAAGAACUGUAAACCCCUCUGAAUUUCGCUCCAUAGGUUUAGAUUCCAUUCUGAGUCUAUUUGCUUUCCAGAAAUGGUCACAUCUCAUUUCCAUGCCCAAUGUCUACUAUCCUGAUAUGUUGCAUCAAUUUUUUGCCAACCUUAGGAAAGGAACUGACCAAACUGAGAUCAUGUCUAGGGUAAAUGGGGUAGACAUACUCUUUGAUUCUGAUACUGUGAAUUCCAUUUUAAAUACUACCAUUGAACGUUUAUGCAAAGAUAAGGUUGCUAAUUUCUUUUCCUAUGAAGAGCUCCCUACUGCUGCAAAUCAUUUUGAUGGGACAAAAAUGUUAACCUAUUUCAAAAGAAGUUUUUCCUCACCUGCUGAUGCUAAGUUGAAUGAUCUGGCCCCUGUGAAUUUAAUUGCUUUUACUAUCAUUUCAAACCUGCUUGUGCCCACUGAUGGGCACAGAACUGAUGCAAACAAAAUGGAGUUGUAUCUCUUUUAUUGUUUUCGAGAAAAAAUUCGGAUUGACUUUGGUUUUGUCAUGUGCAAGUUUUUACUUCGAUAUGCUACUGACUCUCGAAGAAAACUAUCCUAUGGAAAGUUUCUUCAAAAGAUUUUUGAGUUUUACAAAGUUCCAAUUCUAGGUGUUUGUCCCAAAGAAGCAUCUUCUUGUGCCUUUACCAAAGCAUAUUUUGAAAGAAAAAAUCUUGUUUUUAAAGAUAAUCUGUGGGCAUAUAAGGGGGCAUCAUCUAGUGAACAAAGGUCCAAGACUGUACAUGAUCCUUCACCCAUCUCACUCACUCCCAUUCACCCUAGGAAGUCUGCCACUAAAGCAUCUUCCUCUUCCAGUAAUGAAGUAAUUGAGCUUCUUCAUGAACUCAAACAACAUGUUCUUCUUCUAGAACAUGGUCUAAUGCUCACUAUGUCUUCUGAGCAACAAACUGCCUUCCUAGACAAAAAGAACCUCCUGUUUCCCCCCUGUUGUUGAGGAAGUUUCCCAUGACAAAGAGUCACACCCCACUGAUCCAAGUUCAUCAAUUCCGGACCCUGGUUCUUCAACCCCUGUGACUCCUCAUGGCACCUCUACAUCAGAUAAAGGCAAGGCACCAGUUGAAGAGGCUGCUGAAGAUGAUGAAGAAACUGAAGAGGAGGAUCUUGACCAAUAUCAGCUCUCUCGGAGGACACCUGGAUCCACUUAGUUCAUCAUUUAGGACAUUUGCAUGUUGUUUGUCUCGUUUAUGUGUUUGUGGUAUUCAACAAUGAAUAUGUAAUGUAAUGGAUAUUUUAAGUUUCUUUUGGUAUGUUUUGAUGAAUGUUUAAGUUCUGUUUUGAUGGAUGUUUAAGUACUGUCUUGAUGGAUGUUUGUUUGUCUAUUCUAAUUGUGUGAAUAUAAUGAAUUUUUUUUUGGUUUUCAUUGAUGAAUGUAUUUGUGGAUGUGUUGAUGUGAUUGGUUGCCCUUUGUGAUGACAAAAAGGGGGAGAAUGGAAAUGGUAUACUAAUUGAUUGAUAUGUUGGAUCUGAUGAGGAUUUGAUGAUGUUGGAUAUGUUGAAUUGAUUGAUGGUUUAAUUAAAUUUGGAUUUUGCUGAUGGAUUGAAUUGGUGAUAUGUUGGUUGUGAGUUGCUUAAUUGUCAUGUUUUUGGAUAAUUGUCUAAACUCGGUUGGGCAGUCUAGUGAGGGGGAGGUUUUCAAAAUUUUUAUGAUUCACUAAGGCAGGGGGAGUUCUUGUCUAUUUUGAAAGGGGGAGUUUUCAUUGCAAUCAUCAAAUUUCAUUUCAAACUUUUGUUUUGUCAUCAUCAAAAAGGGAGAGAAUGUUAUUCUUGGUUUUGAUGAUCACAAAAGUUCGUUUAUGCAGACCAAGAAAGUGAACACUUUGAUCAGGUCUGAUGGAACAAGGAAAGCAUAUGUCUGAUUGACUCCAGUCUACGAUGCUUUGGAUGUGGCAAACAAGAUUGAAAUAAUAUAAAUGAAUUUAGUCAUUGUUUUGUUCCGAUCAAAGAUAUUGUCUUUUAAGUAUGUCUAGUUUGUCAUUCUUGGUACUUUGAAAUAUUUGUCUAACUUUCUUCAAAUACAAGAGUUUUUUUGUCUAUCCAAGAAUCAGGUUCAAAUAUGUCAUGAAAUGCAAAACAACCAAAAUGAGAAGCAAAAACAGGACAAUCAGAUCGGACGGCCGAAAGGAAACUGUCGGACGUCCGAAAAGAUAAAGAAUAUCAGGAAGGAAGCACCAUCGGACGCUCACAUGGAAGCAUCGGACGUCCGGAAAGAUCGGACACUUGCCAUCGGACGCGCAUCAACCACAUCGGACGUCCGAAAAAUUCCAAGAUAACUUGCUAGCUCUCGGCCCAAGGUCGGACGCUGUGCUGUCGGACGACAAAAAACUCAUCGGACGUCCGAACCUCAACUUGGCUAUCAUCGGACGAUUGGUUCGGACGACGAUUCGAUCGUCGGACGUCCGACAGCCCCAACGGCUAGUUGACUCUUCAGCUGCCUUCUAUCCGUUGGAAGCAUUGAUGAAGCCCAUUUCUGGAUCCCUUUAAAAUGAAACUGGUCUGAACCAAGAGAGGACUUUUGCACACUUUGUUUACAAGAUCUCAAGAGAUAUUUUAGCUAGAAAAUAGUCUCCAAAGCAAGAUUUGUUUUAAAGUGGUGUGAAUUUCUGGUGAGCAUUUCUUUUGUGGUUGAAAGGAUCUUUAGUGUAGCUUUGUUGAGGGUUUUCUGAGUGAUUGUAAAACUUCUUGGCUUGCCUAAGUGAGGCUUAGGGCAAGGAGGAAGUGCUCCCUCCAUUGUACAUCUAGUUGAUCUUCUUUCAUCAAAGAGAAGUUGCUCUUCCUAGUGUUUGGUCUUCAAGUUUGAGGAUAGCUUGGUAGACACUUGGUUUGACUCCCUAUCUUACUGUUCUGUUUAAUAAAAAUUCUUAUUGCUUAUCUAUACUUGUUUUUCUGAUCAAUAUUGCUAUUGUCUUCUAAUUUAUUUAGUUGAUCAUUACUAGAAAAGAAGGUAAAUUUUUAUUAAAGAAAAAGUGCAUAAACUUGGUUAAGAUUUUAAUCAACCCAAUUCACCCCCCCUCUUGGUUGUCUUUGGGUCUUACAGACAAGUUGGGUUCUACUGGACUGGUUACUUUACUUGAAAGUUGACGAAGAGUCAACUACUACAUGAUCAAGUUAUCUCGGAGCUAUUUUGAAAUAGUGGCAGUAUCCUUUCGCUUGAUAUGUUAAAUACCAGUGCUUGGCUUUACAAAACUUUAUUACUCAUUUUCUUGAUUUUAUGUGCUCGCUAUUUUGAUACAUGUGAUUUACAUCAUGGUCAACUUGCUAUUUGGGUUUGCAUGAAGUUUUGGAGCCUCCCUGAGAUUUAGCUCAUUCUAUGAGAUUGUUUUCCUUACAGGGGAUAUGAGCAAGGGCGUGGAGACUGGUACAGGCUAGUAUAGUCUAGUUUUUUUGAAUUUUUACGAUUGUACUUGCGCUAGUGCUCGGCUAGGGUUGAAUAUAUCUGAAAUUCAUAUCUUUUGUCAUAAUUGGAAUUGUACGAAUGUUUGGAAUAGAAAUGAAUGUACAUGUACGUUCCAAGUUUGGGAACUGUUAUUUCCUUUACUCUUGAGGUUGUAACCUAUUUUAUUUGAAAUAAGUGAAUGAGUCCUGGCGAGAGUUGGGCAGGCGGUCCGCUAAAUCUUAGGGUACACCCUAAGGGGAGGUGGGGUCGUCACAUUUGAAGUAGAAACACAUUUCUUGGGUCUAAAAGAAACUUUUACUUAUUUUUUAAAUUGACAAGCAUCACAAAUUUUGUCCUUUUCAAACUUAAUUUUUGGCAACAAAUUCCUUUUUAAAAAUUUCUUUUAACAAAUCCAUAUUGAAAUGACAAAUCCUUCUAUGCCACAACCAAGGGUUUUUAUUUGCAACUUUAAGACAUUUAAAACUAGAAGAAUCAACAUUUUCAAGAAUAACCAUAUAGAUGUCAUUCAUUCUUUUUUCUUUGAAAAUUAUACUAAACUUUGAGUCAAGAACAAGACAUUCAUGCUUUUUGAAUAACACAAACAGAUUUCUAUCAUAUAAUUGACUAACACUUAACAAGUUAUAACUCAAAUUAUCAACAAGGAGAACAUUGUGAACAAAAGUUUGACCAUUCUUUGUUUGACCAUUCAAAAAGGUUUACCAACAUCUCCUACUCCAAUUAUUUUGGCUUUGUUAUCAUCUCCAAAUGUCACUUUUUCACUUGAUUUAGGCUUGAGUUUGAUGAACUGUGAUGGAUCAUUGGUUAUGUGCCUUGAACAUCCACUAUCUAUGACCAUUUUGAUUCUUUAAUGAUAUUCACCAAGUUCACCUAUACAAAAGUUCACAAGAUAAUAUUUGGUACCCUUUACUUUUUGGAUCCUUGAGAAUUAGCAUUAUAUCUAACUAUCCACAUGCAUUUCAUGCAAUUUCUCAUUUUUUCCCUUACAUAGCAAUUACUCUUCAUGUGAUCAAUUUGACAACAAAAACUACAUACAGUCAGCGAAAUACUUGCAUGGACAGGUUUAACAAAUCUAACUUGCCUUUUCGUAUAAAUGGUAAAUUCGUUUGUAUUAGAAUUCAACCUAUUCUCAUGAAUGUCGAAAUGAGGUUUUGAUUCAUUUCUUUGAAAACAGUUUUGUUUCUUGUGUUGAAGCAAUUCAUUUAGACCAUCAAUUCUUCUUUUCAAGUUACCUUGAUCCUUUUUUAACAGAUCACAAAGCUUUAUUUUUCUAUCAAGUUCAAAAAAUAAAACAGUCCCAUUCUUUUUGAAGUAGUCAUUUUCAGCUUUCAACUUUUUGUUUUGUUAAAAAAGAUUUGCAUUAUCUUGAAGUAAAAAACUAAUUUUCUGUUUUAGUUCCUUGUUUCUAGCAUAAGAUUCUUUCAAGUUAUCAUACAAUCUCUCAAUGAAAGAUUCAAUAUCAUCAUCAGAUUCAUCAUCACAACAAGAUGAGAGUUGCAAGUAGUUACUUUAUCAUCACCAAUGGCCAUGAAAGCCAUUUGAGCAGAUUCUUCUUCCUCUUCAACAUCACCAUCCGAGUUGCAAUCAUUCUAUGUGAUUUGAAAGUUGUUGAACUUUGGUUUUCGUUCAACUUUUCCUUCUUUCUUCUUCUUCAUUGGGCACUCACUCAUGUAAUGCCCAAGCUGGCCGCAUUCAAAGCAUUUGUCAGCUUGUUUUUUUAUUGGUCUCUUGCUUUCCUUUGUUUCUUGCAUUGUUAAACUAAUUUGGAAAAUAGUCGCUAGGUCCAAGCCAUUUGAGCAGAUUCUUCUUCCUCUUCAAUAUCACCAUCCGAGUUGCAAUCAUUCUAUGUGAUUUGAAAGUUGUUGAACUUUGGUUUUCGUUCAACUUUUCCUUCUUUCUUCUUCUUCAUUGGGCACUCGCUCAUGUAGAGCCCAAGUUGGCCGCAUUCAAAGCAUUUGUCAGUUUAUUUUUUUAUUGGUCUCUUGCUUUCCUUUGUUUCUUGCAUUGUUAAACUGAUUUGGAAAAUAGUCGUUAGGUUCUCCUUUUCUAAAUCUCCUUUUGUUGAGGAUUCUUUUGAAACUUCUUGUGAUGAGAACAAGAUCAUUGUCAUCAACUUCCAUAUCUUUACCAUCCAAGGAAGCUGAAUCAUCUUCAUUUUGAGAUGCUUUUGGACCAAUGCCCCUUCUCACUUUUGCAUUCUUUUCUUCUUGCACCUUAAUCUUAAAUUUCAGCUCAUAAGAGAUUAGAGAAUUAACAAGAGAUUCAAUAGGCAUAGAAUUCAAAUCUUUAGCCUCUUCAAUGGCGGUCACCUUACUUUCCCAAUCCUUGGACAGGGCAUUUAAGAUUUUUCUAUUUUUCUCACCUAGGAAGUAUUCCUUUUCCAACAACUCUAAGUCUUUAAUGAGGUCAUUAAAUUUACAAUACAUCUUGUCAAUAUUUUCAUCAGGUUCCAUCUUAAAUGAUUCAUACUUGGUAACUAGGAUAGAUUUCUUUUAUUCUCUCACAUUUUCACUUCCUUCAUGGAUUUCUCUCAGCUUGUCCCAAAUCUCUUUAGCAGACCUACAACCUUUGACCCUAAUGGAUUCAUUUGAAUCUAAAACACUAUACAACAUAUUCAUAGCCUUGGCAUUCAAGGUGAGGUGGGUUCUAUCUUCACCAGUCAAUUCAUUUCUGAUUUUUGGUUUUGGUCUAUGAGUAACUUCAUCUAUUAUAAAGGUAUCAUAUGGACCUUCAUUAACAACAAACCACAGUUCAAUAUCAAUAGAUUGCAAGAAGAUAAUCAUUCCUUCCUUUCAACUCACAUAAUUAGAUCCAUUAAACAUUGGGGGUCGAGUGACAGAUUGUCCUUUAAAAAAUAUGGUAUUGUUGGUUGUCAUAUUUACUCCUAAGCCGAUUGAACUUAAUCUCAAGGAGACCAAACUCUGAUACCAAUUGUUAGGAGCGAAGACAACUUAAGGGGGGUGAAUUAGGUUAUUUAAAAACUAAUCAAAUUAUGAAACACUUUUUGGCUCAAUAUGAAAUUUACCCUCUUUUCUAGAUGAUCACUUAAUGGUACAAUUAAUAAGAAAGCAAGAUUGCUUAUGAGUAGAAGAGAUGAGCAGUUUAUAUUUGCAAGAUAGUAAGUAGUAGGGAAAGAAUAGCGAAUCAAAUUUCAAACUCCUCUUGAGUUUGAAUAUUACUUUAUAGAGCAAGCUUCUUCAAGUUGAUCGAAUACAACCAAUCUUUGUGUACAAAAGAAGGAUCACUUCCUCCUUGCCCCAAGCCACACUUGGUCAAGUUAGGAAGUUUUACUAUCACUCGGAUAACCCUAACAAAACUACACUAUUGAAGUAUUUUUCGCACAUAAGAAAAGUUUAUUCGAAAUUUACACAACUAAGAGUACAAAUCUUCUUUGAAGAGUAUUUUCACACUAAAACUACUCUUGAUCUUUCGUAUUGUCAAUGUGCAAAAGUUCUCUGAAAGUAGUUGACCAUGCACUAUUUAUAUAAGACCAAAAAGUGUCUCAUUAAUAUUUCCAACGGAUAAAAGGUAGCUAAAAAGUCUACUAGCCUUUGGGAGUAUCGGAUGUUCGGUCCAUCCAAAAUUCGCAUCCGACAAUAGGCAGUGAGUUGAGGAAAUUUCUUUAAUUCUAUCGGAUGUCCGGUGUCCCUGAUACUUGUGUUCGAAAGCAGAUGAUCAUUUUGAGAAGUCUUCUUCAGUGUUUUCGGACGUCCAGCACCUACACCGCUUUGCGUCCGAAGAUCCACAUACUGUAUCGGACGGUCGGUGCUCUGAUGUUUAGCGUCCGAACGAGGUCAGUGAGCUAAAGAAAAUUUCUUGAUUCCUUCGGACGUCCAAUAGUGGAGUUCUUCAUGUGUCCAAAGUUGCACAAUGAUUAUCGAACGUCCGGUCCAAUUUCACAAGCGUCCGACAGCUUUCAGCAACCUUUAUCUCUUUCAAUUUUCACUUGAUCUUUGAAUCUGAUUUGUUUCAUGGCUGAAAGAAUUUCUUGAGGAGAUAUUAGUAUCAUCCAUUUAUUUUGUAAACAUCAAAAGUUAGGGACUAAGAUUCACAAUUCUACCUCUUCUUCACCUACUUGAAACUUAAGUUUGCCAUUUUUAACAUCAAUAAUAGUACCUAGUGUUGUUAGAAAUGGUCUAUCAUGUAUGAUUGGCAUAGGCAUGUUUUCUUCCAUAUCUAACACCAUAAAAUCCACGGGAAUAAUAAAUUUUUACACUUUGAUCAAUACAUUUUCCAAAACUCCCAUUGGAUAUCUAAUAGACUUAUCGGCUAAUUGCAAGGUAAUAUUGGUACGUUUAAGCUCAUGUCAUCCUAGUUGUCUAGCCACGGUCAAAGGAAUUAAUGACACACUUGCAGCAAGAUCACAUAAUGCUUCCAAAAAUUCAAUGUUACCGAUAGUGCAAGGUAUAAAAAAUCUCCCCGGAUCUUUCAAUUUUGGUAACAGCUUGUUUUAUAUGAUAGCACUGCACUCUUUAGUUAAUGCUAUCAUUUCACGAUCCUCUAAUUCCCUUUUUCGUGUCAUGAUCUCCUUGAGGAACUUGGCAUAUGAAGGAAUCUGUAAAAUAGCAUCAACAAAAGGAAUAUUACUAUGCAAUUGUUUGAAAAUUUUGACAAACUUUUCAAAAUUGGUCGGCCCUCUAGCCGACGUUUCUAUACAUUCCGGUCAAUUGGUCCAACUGCCCCUCUAGCCGCUCGAAUCUCUCCGACGUACCUUUUGCCAAUUUUUCCACAGCAAUCUCCCAAUCCAGUUUGGUAUUCAUCUGUUAUUGCCUUGGUUGGAAUCCCGGUGGAUUGGUCGGCCUUUGUACAUUGCCUUUAUCUUUUCACCCAAAAUUGGGAUGAUUUCUUCACCCCGGAUUGUAGGUAUUGGAGUAUGAGUUGUUUUGAAUAUUCCUAUUAUAAUUAUUGACAAACUGAGCCUGCUUGUCGUCUUGGAUUAUUUCUUUCAUUAGCCCAUUGAUAAUUGUUUGCCGUCAUUUCUUCUAUCAAAUUUUGAGAUUUUUGAGGUGAUUUUGCCAUCAAUGCUCCACCUAUGGCUGCAUCGAUAGUAGUUUUGAUAGAAAAGGAUAAACCAUUAUAGAAGACUUGUACAAUUAGCCAAUCGAGAAGUCCAUGAUGUGGACAUUUCUGAAACAAAUCUCAAAACCUUUCCCAUGCUUCAUAUAAUGGCUCACCAUCAAAUUGACUGAAACUAGUAAUAUCCAUUCUAAAUUUAGCCGUUUUACCAGGUGGGAAGUAUUUAUUCAAAAACGCCCUAGACAAAUCAUCCCAAGUAGUGAAAGUUUUAGGGGCAUGAGAAUGUAGCCAAAUUUUAGCCUUAUCCCUCAAUGAAAAUGGGAACAACUUUAGCCUUAUAGCAUCUUCCCUGACUCCAUUCAUUUUGAUUGUAUCACAUAUCUCCAAAAAUGUGGUUAAGUGUGCAUUGGGAUCCUUUACGGCAUUACCUCCAAAUUGAAAUUGUUGUACCAUUUGGAUUAAUGAUGGUUUAAUUUCAAAAUUAUUAGCAUUUACCGUCGACUGUGCUAUACUUGUUAGAGAUAUUUGGGUUCCCGGUAGAGCAAAAUCCCUAAGAGCUCGCCUAUUUGCUUUAUUUUCUGUCAUUUCUUCUUCAAAAGGUAGCUCUAUCUCAACUCCCUCUAUUUGUUGUUGAACAUCCUCUUCUUGUCGUUCUUGUGUAUGCCUUCUUUGUUUUCGUAGUGUCAUUCCAAUUUUCGGAUCAAAAGGUGCUGCUACCCGUAAAACCCAGUGCAUACACUAGAAUAAAAAAUAAAGAGAUUAUAUAGAAUCAUUUCACAAAACUACUAGAAAUGGUAAUUUAACUAGAAACAAAGUUUAACUAACUAAUAUAAAAAAUGUCUAAAUUAAUAAAGCUUGUUAGGCCCUAAUAUUGCCACUCCCUGGCAAUGCUGCCAAAAAAUUGACGGGUUUUGAAUAUGAGUACAAGUUUAAUUCCAAAAUAUACCCAUCUUGACUGCAAGUAUAUAGGUCAUAUUAGUAGUUUAGGGCAAAUAUUAGGUCGAUCCCACAGAGAGCAACUUUACAAGCAUUAGGUCCCUACUUACUCUAUUAUUUAGACUAAUAACCGAUUUAAGCAAGAGAAUUAUAAUUACUACUAUCUUACUAGUCUUAACUAGAUAUUUGCAAGGAAACAAUAGAGAAAAUUCACUAAAUUCUUGAGUCUAGGGAUAUAGAUUCCAUUUAUGGCAUAAAAAGAUAGAAAUAAAUAGAUUUACCUCUUGUUACAACUCUUGUUUAACUAUGGAUUCAUUUUCAAUAUUACCAAAUCUCAUUCUCAUAAUGAAAUGGUGUAAACUAGACUAGUUUUCCCUAUUCUCAUGGUAAAUAACUAGAUCUACUUUUGUUUCUUUCAUGAAAUGCAAGUUUAAUCCACUUAAGUGCACCUCUAUUCUCAUGAGUCUACUACUCAAGCUCUAUUUAUGUUGUUCCAUCAUUAUUACCAACUUUCAUUGAAUAAUAACAACUAAAAUCUUGUUAUUGGUGAUCAAGCAACAACAAGUGAUAAGCAUGCAUAAAUAGACAAUUUAAUAUAAGAUGUAACUAGUGUAGAUCAUAUUCACUUCAUAUCAAGCAGCUAUAAGCUUCAUCUACUCCCUAGAUCUAAAAAUUUAGCUACUCAUAUAAUAUGUAACAAGAAAGAGCAUAGUUUCAUUGCAUGAACACAUAUUGAAUCACAAAUGAAAGAUAGAUAAAGAAAGCUUAACCAAGAUUAAUGAAGAAGCUCCCAAUGAUCUUCUAUUUCUUCAACAAAAUGAGUUGUACGAUGAAAUCUCCAAUUGUUUUCACAAAAGUUCUACAUAUAGAAAAUAAAACAAGACUAACUACUAAGCUCUCAUCCUCAAAUCUGAUGAGAACUAUCUCUAAUAUGUCCUCUUCUCCCUCUCUAAUGAUUCUAACAACUCUAGUGUUUAGAGAGUCAAAAAGUGGUGUUUUGACAAGACAUCAAUCUCAUUUUUUUCUUCCAAAAGGUUCCUUGAAUACGUGUAGCCGAAAUUCUUGUCUGGAGUUAAACUAGAAAGUAGUGUGAAAGCAGAGCAAGUGGUUGAGUAAAUUGCAGAAAUCAAGCUACAAUACGUGACUAUGGAAUACGCGACUUCAACCCACGUAUUGACAAGUCGCGUAUUAUUCUCUGUGAAUCUGGCAUCAUUUCAACUACAAUUUUCUCAAUGAUGAAGGCUGCACUAGAUCUUGUACAAAACAUAAAGGUUGUAGCCCUUUGAGCUAGCUUUCCAAUGCUUCAUGAAUCAUCCAAUUUGGAGCUCUGUGGACCGAGAUAUAACCAAAAUAACAUCAACUGGUCAGAGCUCUAUUUCAGCACUCGACCAUGCACAUGCACUUCUGUAUUUUGACUUUUUGACAAGGAAGACAACUGAACUGGAUUUCAAUGGCUUCAUAUCAAAUGUAUAUCUAUCUCUUACCUUCAAAAUAAUAUAAUAAUCACCUAAAUCCGAUGCUUGUAGCUCAUGAUAUUGCCGAAAUACCACCAUGUAUCAAAACUGUCUACACUUGCAUUUCUUCAUUUGAGUGUUUUGCACUUCAUGUCUUCUUAAAACCACUUCAAAUCAUCGAUAAUUAUCCAAUUCUCUUCUCAAUUCAUCCUAUUUGAUGAUUGAAUCAUUAAACCUACAAAACAUGAAGUUUUCACCAUUAAAAUCCAUAAAAAUGCAAUCUUUACCACUUAAACUACAAAAUGCAUUUUUUUCACUAAAACCCUAGUUAUCUAGCUAUGAAACUAAAUAAAACACACCAAAACUAACUAAUAAAACUCACUAAAAAUACGUAAAAUAUACUCUUAUCAUCAUAUAAGCUCCAACUCUCUAUCUUGCUCCUUAAUUGUUCAUCCAAAUCUAACUACAAGUACAAAAUGGAUAAACUACACUAACUAUACUAUACUAAUGAACUAAACUAAUGAACUAAGAAAAACUAAUGAAGACUACAUUUUGGUACUGUUUCUAGCUUUCCCAAGUUAUAAAAAACGUUCUCCAAGGCCCCUAUUUAUAGAGGAAUUCAAAUUACAAAUGAGUGUUAAAGUUGAUGUGAAAUGCAUCUUGAGAUUUCCAAAAUAUUCUUCUAUAAGUUUCCAUACUUUUCUUUAUAGUUACGGCCAAAAUUCUGAGCUAGAAAAGCUGUGUGAAUGCAGAACAAGUUAAGAUGCAACUUGCAGCUUUGUUUGAAGAAUACACAGGCAUGAGGACGUGUAUUGACCAGCACUUUGCCUUAUUGUUGGUUUCCUCAUUUCUGAUUAGUCUUCAACUUUACUCUAUUUUUGUACCAAAUUUCACGGCUAUUUUCUCGAUGAUGGAGGCUGAACUAGCUGUUUUGCAAAACAUGAAAGUAUGAGUUAGCUUUUCAAUGCUUCAAGAAUCAUCCAAUUUUGAGCUCUGUAUAUUGCUAAAUGAUCAAAACAUCCUUGACUAGUCAAAACUCUAUUUCAACUUUCGACAACAAAAAUGGCCGACUAUAUUUCGACCUUUUGAAUAGGAAAAUGCAUGAACUGUAUUUCGAUAUCUCCAUAAGAAAUGUAGAGCUAUAUGUCAGAUUCAAAAUGUUUUAAGAAUCACCUCAUCCCAAUACUUGUAGCUAAAGAUAUAGCUGAAAUACCAACAGGUAUCAAGCUGUCAAACUCCCUUUCUUUUAUACUUGAUUGCAUUUCAUCUUUUGAACAUUUAGCACUUCUUAUUCUCUUUAAAUCACUUCAAAUUAUCAACAAUCAUCCAAAUAUCUUCUCAAUUCAUUUCAUUUGAUGAUUGAAUUGUUGAAACAUACAAAAGAUAAAGUUUUCACCACUUUAAUCCAUAGAAACGCAAUUUUUCACACGUAGGCUGCAAAAUGUCAACUUCACUUGAAUCUUAGUUAAUUAGUUAUAAAAAUGAUUAAAACAUACCAAAUUAAAUAAUAAAACACACUUAAAUCACUCAAAAUACACACUUAUCAAAGAAAGACCAAGGACAAUCUGGGGCCAUUUACAAAAAGUCAUCGCCGGAUUAGAUGAGAGUAUCGGGGGCCAAAUAAUGAAUUUCGAAUCAAAUACCAAACCGGAUACCCGUUAGAAGGUUUGGCAAGAGAAAGGCUGUUAAACAAUAUACGAUGUUGGAUAGAUAGAGUCAUCCCGGAUAAUCACACCAAAUACUUGUUAGAGAGUUUUCAAAAGAAGGAUGUUCAGUAGUAUAUGGCGCCAGAUAGUGAAAUUUGCUUCAAAUGCCGCCCCAGAUAUUUGAGCGAAAUAAUUUUGUGAGUUGUAUAACUUGCGCAACUUUCAGUCAACUUUUCAACUCUCUCUCCUAUGACAGCUAUGACGAUUUGGCAGCAGCUUUUUGGACUUAAGACAUUAACUUUUGCCACUUUUUGUCAACUUUAUGUCAUUCACUUUAACCUUUUUGACUCUUCAAGACAAAAGAGUCUUCUUGUGGGGGAUUGAAGAGUUUUGAAGAUUAUAAAUAGAGGGGCUUAAUUUUAGUCUUAGAAAAACUUUUGGUUGUAGUUAGUUUUAGAGAGGAAAGAAGUUUUGGAGCAAAUAAGAAAGGCAAAAGAUGUUGUGUCUUACCCUUUGAGGCAAGACAUAAGCUCUCAGCAAAUGUAGCUCUUUUCACCUUUUCAUGUUUCAGUGUUGGAUUGUGUAGGAUAAUUUAGUUGUUGUCCAUCCAUUUUGUGUUGGCUUAACAAGGAGGCCGAUGGAGAUGAACAUGGAGGGACUCGAGAUACUCUAGUGACAAGAAUUUUUCUUCUCUCAAUCUUUGUAUCUUUGUAUUGGAUUCUAAAUUUUGUUAAUGCAAGUUUGGAUAUUAUGUUAUUGAUGUAGUUAAUGCAAGAGAAACCUUUUCUCUUGACUCUUCAUCUAAUAAUUGAAGAAUGGCCGUGGCAUUUACUUCAACUAUUUUGCGUGGGAUUUCUUCAAUAGAGAUAAACUAAACUUUUCGUUCUAGUUAAGGAACAAUUGAGGAUUUAAUUUAGCUAAAAUUGUGAGAUCGAAUUGACUAUAUUUAUUUCUUUAAUUUACUGAUAUUCGUAUGUUCCCUGAUUUAAUUUCUUAUGGUUAUUAUGUUAUUUGAAUAUCCAGGGCCCAGUGUUUAAAUUAAUCUAAUAACCUAAAUCCAAUUAGUGCAGUUAAAUCUGUAAUUGUUUAAUUACUUUAAAAUAGUGGUAACUGGCAUGAUUGACUUUCUGUCAGGGGGGUAUACGGGCUAAUUAAAAUAACUCUCGUAGCGUGUUAUUUGGUUAGAACAUGGCUUCUCUAAUGAUUAAUGCAAUUGAAAAAUUGAAUUCUAAGGUCAUGCCUAGGGUUAUUUUAUGAUUAGAGUAGUGGUUAACGAUCAUAUAUUAAUCACCAAUACAGUAAGGAGAAUUUGACUGUCAUCGCUUUUGGCAGUUAUAACUUGUUUAUCAAUAAAAAAAUUUUGAAUUAUUAUUGCAUCAAUGAUCAAUUAAAUGAACUAUUUCCAAAGUUAUUUCUUGGCUACAGUUUAUCUAUUAUUACUUCAAUUUUAAUAAAUUGUCAUUUAAUUUUCAUUUAUUUAUUUUAUUUGAGUUAUUUCAUUAUUCUCAAUUUUAUAAAAAUUCCCCAUCCUCUGGGCUCUAAAAGAAACGAAUUUUCUCUAGUGCCUGUGGAUUCAACUCUGUUCACUGCUAUACACAAAAAUUUGUAUUUUAUUUUAGUAGGCAUUUAUUAUUGCACAAACUCGAUACCUGUCAUAAAAACAAACCAAAAACUAAGUAAUAAAACAUAUUAAAAAUAUGCAAAAUAAACACACUUUGUUCAUCUCCUAAUGGAUUUAUUUCCUAAGCAUGAGUUUUGCAACCCCUCACAUUGAAUCUCAAUGAUUGAUUUCAGUGCUUAUAAAGGCCUCUAUCUUUUCUCACGUUUGUUUCAUAGUCUACUUAUAUUGGUUUGCUAUUAAUUCUAACUAGACAUUUACUAGUCAUGUAGAAUUUAUUCCUUCUUAUCACUUAAUGCAUAAGCCUUAUUAAGCAUUAAAUUUAUCAGUUACAACCAAAAGGCAAAUGCCUCGCAUUUCAAUCUUUAUUGUCAGUACUUAACUUAUAUUAGCCAUUCAUACUGAUUUAUUUUAUUAUAUAGCUUCUAGAAUGUUAAUCAUCAUGUUCUUACCAUUCAGUGGCAGAUUUAAGGUGGGGGGCAUGGCCCCAUUGUCCCCCUUAAAUUCCUAUAGUACCCAUAGAAUUUUGAUAUAAUCUUAAAUGUGUCUCCGAAAUUUUCUUAUGAAAGAAGUGAAAGAAUUACGUGGUCCUCUAAGUUGAUUCAUGAACUAAUAUUCUAAAAGAAUAUGUGGGACACAAAAUUGCAUUUGAAGUAAGCCAAAAACAAGCUUUUCAUUUCAACUUGUUGGUGAAAUUUUUUUUUUUUUGCUUAAAAAACUAGAAAAAGAGUAGGUAAAAAAAUUUAGUAUUACUUUACUUUUGCCCCCACUGAGAAUUUUUUUUGGUUCCGCCACUGUUACCAUUAUCUAGAUUAUGAACUUCUAUCCUUUUGGGGAUAUUCGUUAAAAUUGGAACGAUUCUGAACUCCUCAAAUAAUAGGUUAUCUACUAUGAACCUUUGGAAUUUGUUUCAGGAUUACCGAGGACGCAAAGGGGACAUGAUGCCGUUUGGGUGAUCGUUGAUCGAUUAACCAAAUCGGCCCAUUUCUUGCCGGUGAACAUGAAAUAUUCAAUGGACAAAAUGACCCGACUGUACAUGGACGAGAUAGUAAGGCUACACGGUGUUCCUGUGAGCAUCGUCUCCGAUCGGGAUCCACGGUUUGUAUCUCGAUUUUGGCAGAAGUUUCAAGAAAUUCUGGGGACUAAACUCAAUUUGAGCACGACCUAUCAUCCUCAGACGGAUGGCCAGUCGAAACGGACCAUUCAAACUCUCGAGGACUUGCUACGAACUUGCAUUCUGGACUUUGGUGGCAACUGGGGACAGCACAUGACCUUGGUGGAGUUCGCGUACAACAAUAGCUUCCAUUCGUCGAUUCAAAUGGCUCCGUACGAAGCUCUCUACGGACGCAAGUGCCGGUCACCGAUUUACUGGGACGAAGUUGGCGAAAAGAAAGCACUGGACCCGGCAACUAUUCCAUGGAUGGAAGAGGCUCACGAGAAGGUCAAGUUGAUACGGCAACGACUUCAAACAGCUCAGAGUCAACAAAAGAGCUACGCGGAUAAUCGAAGAAAAGACUUGGAGUUUGAAGUUGGAGACUACGUAUUUCUCAAGAUCACACCCUUACGAAAUCUCACAGCGGGCAAAGGAAAGAAACUUCAACCACGGUACGUCGGACCCUACAAGAUCCUUCAGAGGGUAGGAGCGGUCGCGUAUCGAUUGGAACUACCGUCCAGUCUCUCUCGAAUCCACGAUGUAUUUCACGUCUCGAUGCUAAAGAAGUACCAUCCUGACCCAUCCCAUGUAUUGCAACCGGAGGAUAUCGAAGUAGAUGAAUCACUGGCCUAUGAAGAGAAACCGGUCCAAGUGCUCGAUCGAAAAGUCAAAGAGCUCAGAAACAAGCGGAUUCCGCUAGUGAAGGUGCUAUGGAGAAACCACGGAGUUGAGGAAGCUACCUGGGAGAUGGAAGAGGAAAUGCGAAAGAAAUACCCAAACCUUUUCGGGAAUUAAGGUGAGAAAUUUCGAGGACGAAAUUCUUUUAAGGGGGAGAGAGUGUGAGAACCCGUAAAACCCUAAUUAUUUUCCUAGGGUUUAACCGUUUGAAUAGCAUGUUUUCUGCGUUUUCUGGCUUAGAAAUAUUUUCUUGGUGGAUUUUAUGAGCAAAUAUAGUUUUUAGAUAAUUUUUCUAGUAUUGAAGAGUUUUUGAAAAAUUGAGGAUAAAUAACGGACGUGGGACGGACGUGGGACCCACUAGUGCGAAAAGUUCGGAAAAAUUCGGCCAAUUAGGUUAAAUUCUGGAUGCUGUGUGAAAUUUAUCGGGUGCUAAGAGAUAAGUAGAGUGUGUGAUAUGAUUGAUGUGAGAGGAAAAAGAAAAGAUAAGAUUGCAUUUAAUGAGGUGACACUUGUCACCAUUAGAGUGGACAUGACUUAAGAAACACUAUUCAUUUUUUUGACUUUUGACCCAUUUGAUUAAAUAUCUUUAAAAUUCACAAAAAAUUACCAUUUCUUACCUCUUGUUGGCCGGCCAUCUUGAGCAAGGAAGGAAGAAGAAACUCUUCAAGUUCUAGCUACUACUUGGUGCAAAUCACCCAAAAACAUUUGCUUACAUCCAUUUCUACUCCAUAAAAUCUUUCUAGUUGGUGAUAGUGGUUGGUUUGGUGAAGUUUUCUUGAAGAGCUAAGGUGGUCUACAACUCCUCUUCUCUUGUUUCCUAGGUAAGUGAUGAUUAAACAUCCUACUACACUUAAUGAUGCUUAAAUGGUGCCUAAUGGGACCUAAAGUGAUGGAUUAUGUGAUUUAUUUCUUGAUUUGAAGUGAUGUAGUGAAGUUUUUAUUUUUUUGGGGAAUUUUCUGAUUUAAUAUGAAUGUGAUGUUGUGAUCAUCUAUGAUGGUUGAUAAUGAGGGGGAAAGACUCUAGUAGGUGUGAAUUAGGGAUAAUAGCAACUAAUUUUGGCUUUGGAGUGAAUUGUGAAAUGUUAGGGUUUCAAAACCCCUAAUUCUGUCCGGUUUUGGAUCAUAGGGUUAGAGGCCGAAUUGGACUUUGCUCAAAACAUGAAAGUUGUAAGUAUUGAUGAGUUGGAAGUGCCUGCAAAAUUUCAGAUCAUUUGGAUUAGUGUAGAGUGAGAUAUGUCGAUUUUACUGUUGCUGUUCUGGGUUGAUCAGAAUGCGAAAACUGCACUUGUAAUUGGCCAUUUUGACUGGGAUUGGUUUGGAUUUUAUUGUUGGUGUCUUCUGAUGAAAUGUAGCUUGAUGUCCUAGAUACCAUAUGCCUUUGGAAUUUCGGCAUUUGGACCUGUAUAGACUGAGUUGUGUUAAUUACAGCAUAGUGUGAUUUGUAAACCUGGAAUUACGGUUCUGGAUUUGGUAUUCUGCAUUUUUGACCUAGUUGUGCUAGGAUUUGGACUGAGUGGCCUUCUACAAUAUUGUAGCCCUGUUUCUUAGCUUCGAAACGGUGGGUCUUACACCCCAUCCGAUAACCGUAGUGAAUUUGGUGCCAUUACCGCAUAUUGAGGUCAAAUAUGGUUUCUUUGUUAAGGCUUAAGCUUAAGCCAUUUCUUAAUUUCUGGUUACCAAUGAUGCUUAUUUAUGCAUAUAAACCCUAUUGGGGGUUAUGAUUGGCAUUGCUAUAUGACUCGUUAUCGAGUGUCAUUGCAUUUGUUUGCAUGAUUCUAGGGCGUGACGGUAGUGCUCGACGGAUUGGUGACCACGGUGUAUGAAACAUCACUUACGUGGUUGGUGAGUAUACUACUCACUUAAAUGUUCUAAUGUGGCUUUGCUAUAUGUGGUUGUGUUGCCUUGAAGGCUUAUUUGGAUAUUGUAAUUGAUUAAGGUGAGGGUGUACUUGACCGCCCUCACCCCUUUUGAUCGUAUCACUGAUUGUCUACCGUUUCACUGUCUUACUGAACUUGAUAUAUGAGUUAUUGCAUUCCAUUUCAUGGAAACUGAUUUGGUGUGGUUUGGACGAAUGUCCAACGACCUUACUGUAUCACUGAGCUCAACUCCGUUAGGUAGUCAAUUGGAUCGAGCCGGCGAGGGAUUGGUCGUGAUAAUUGAUAUGCCACGGGGACUGUACUGGGGAAUCUUGUAGUAAUGAGACUCUUGAUUCCGGUAAACUCGAGUAUUACCAAAAUGACUGAAUGGAGUGCGGGCCCGGUUGGGGAAUGUUGGGUGGAAGGAAUGGAAGUAAAGAGUUGUCUACGGUUGGUUAUUUUUUUACAUUGACGGAGGGUCAAUGAGGUUGGAUCAAGAAUAUAUGCGAGGAAAUGGGCUCUUGAGAGCCGUCCGUAUCCUUUCACUGAUUUGAUUUACUUCUUACUUGCAUACUUGAACUGAACGGUUAUGCUUAUGUGAUAUUAGUUGCUAUGGUGGUAUUCUCACUGGGCAUUUAGCUCACCCCGUUUCUUUUGUUUUCCUUACAGGAAUAUGACUCUUUUGGAAUGAAUUUUGUUAAAUGGUUGCCGAAUGAACUAGAUGAAUGCCUCUUUUGGUAUUGUAUAUAAAAUGGGACCCUAAAUGUAUCAUUAGGGCCGUUUUCACUUUUGUUUUGGCAACCCACAUAUGUAGUGACUUUUGUAUCACUUUUAAAUGCCAUUGUGGCUUGUAAAUGGUUAAUGUUAUGUUGUAUAUGUAUUUCGGUGUUUGGUUGGAUUUUGGGAUGGUUCGGUUACUAUUCAUGGCCGACCCUGGAUUUCAUUUCUUUUAUUUUGGGUUAUUUUGCCCUUUUGCCUUGUUUGCGCGCAUUAUAAGUUUCAGAACGUGAUAGAUCGCUUUAUACUGCACCGUUAGUCCUGGCGAGAGUUGGGCAGGCAGUCCGCUAACCUCUUUGGUUCGCCUUAGGGGAAUGUGGGGCUGUCACAGGUGGUAUCAGAGCCUAGGUUUGAACUAGCCUGGGUGUUAUAGGACUGCUUGAUUUGAGGAUUUAUUGUUUAUGGUCUUUAAACUUAUUGAUGCUUAUUUACACUUUUGGUGUAGGAUGGACAGAUCCAGUGGACCUAGUGAUGGCCCUGCGGGCAAGCGACCCCGUGUAGCGCUCCCGAUGAUUAAGUACCAGAUCCGGCCAAAGGGGGCCGUUCUACGUUGGAGUCCGGCUAAUCGCCGUAGACACUGCGAGUGCCGCCACACUUAUGCUUACCCGAAUGCAAACGUUUUGGCGGUUGUGAAGGAAAGGAAGGAGCUGGCAAAAGCUAUUGCCAAGCUUGAGGCUGAGGUGAAUCAGUUGAGGGCGGCCAACGAGGGGCAAGCUAAGAGGAUCGAGGGUCUGAAGUACGAUGUACUAGAGGCUGAGGAUAGAGUUGAUGAUCUCUGUGCCCAGCUUAGGGAGGCGCGUGAGCGCGAGUCUAAGAGGGCUCGAAAGGUGAGGAAUCGAGCCGCUGCAAUCCUGAACCUCUGUUCGGAGGUAGUGGAGGGAGUGAGCGACGAGGACUCCUGUGCGGGGUCCGAGGCGGGGGAGGAGUCUACCCCGUCGCCUGGGUCCCAGAGCCCAGCGACUGACUAGGCCUUGAUUCUUAGGCUUUUUUUUGGAUAGUUGGUGGUUUUGUAUGUACAUAGGGAUAGGGAUAGAGCCUUAGCUAACCGUUUUGGAUGUUGGGUUAGCUACGUGUAAAUCUCUUUUGAUAGGCCAAUCCUCGGGGGGAUCGUUUAUGUACGUACGUGCCUUGGCCGUACUUGACUUGACUGAUUGUAUAUAUGUGUGUGGCUUGAUCUUGUCUGGCUUGUAUAUAUGUGCUUGUGAUCAUGUUUGAAAUGUAUCAAUAUGUGUUAAUGUGAAAGUUUUGCGUAUUACUUACGUGCUUUGUUACUGCUUUGGUUUAGUGCUUUUGCCUAGACCGAGUGAAACUUAUGGAAGGUACACGGAGUGGCCGGGGACGCGGGCGCGGUAUUAGACAACCCGCACCGGUUAGGGAAACGGGGGAAACCUCUACUGGACCCAAUCCUGAACCGCAGAUAUAGCCGCUGCUAUGCAGCAAAUGACAAACCUACUGGCACAAGUAGUGCAACAACAGGGCCAGAACCCAAAUUCUAACCCCGGAAACCCUGGCCAUCAUAUUGAGAGCGAAGAUAGAGCUCUAGAACGUUUUCAAAAGUUUUCCCCGCCAAAGUUUGUUGGGGGACCUGACCCUGACGUUGCUGAGAAAUGACUUGAGAAAAUGGUUGAUAUAUUCGCGGCCCUACACUACCCUGACGAACGGCAGGUCACUUUUGCCGUGUUCCAGCUUGAGGGCGCGGCCCGUUCCUGGUGGAACGUAAUUAGACAGAAAUGGGAGCGGGAGCAGACACCCAGGACUUGGGUGAACUUCAUCCGAGAAUUUAAUGCAAAAUUUUUUCCUCCUCUAGUCCAGGAGAGGAAGGAGGACGAGUUUAUAAGGCUUCGCCAAGGGACUCAGACGGUGGCGGAAUAUGAGAGUCAAUUCACCCGCCUGUCCAAGUUUGCGCCGGAGUUAAUCAUGACUGAGCAACGACGGGUGAGGCGCUUUAUCCAGGGUUUGAACGUUGAGAUCCAGAAAGACCUCGCGGCGGCUCAAAUCACUACGUUUAGCGAGGCAAUGGAAAAAGCCCAACGAGUUGAAAGUGCACGGCUGCAGGUCCGAAACUUCCAGGCUAAGAAGCGUGGUUUUCCUGGGAGUACGUCUGGAUAAGGUGAGAGGAGUACUCCCUCGAAAUUUGGACGAGGAACGGGUGGUGGCCGACAAUCGGGUUCAGGCAGAGGGACUCCGUUUAGGGGUGGUCAAGCUGGGCGAGGACAGAGGGGAAUUGCUCAGAGUGGCUCGGCUUCGGCACCUCGCGGUCCCUGUGGGCACUGUGGGAAGGCAAACCACACUGAGGAUAAUUGCUGGAGGAAAUAGGGUAAGUGCCUGCGGUGUGGAAGUACGGACCAUCAAUUAGCUACUUGCCCGGUCCAGAAACAAGACGGAAAGGGGAGCCAACCAUCGUCGAGGGCCAAUAUUGGACCAGCGAAGGGAGAUGGGUCCAAACCUAAGGUGCCGGCUAGGGUGUAUUCCUUAGAGCCCCAUCAGGUUCCAGAAUCUUCUGAGGUUGUAGAAGGUACGAUCCCUAUUUUCCACCGCUUUGCCAAAGUUUUAAUUGAUCCUGGUGCCACUCAUUCGUUUGUUAACCCUGAUUUCAUGUGUGGCAUCGAUAUAAAAUCUGCUAGUUUACCAUAUGACCUAGAAGUUAGUACACCUACGGGAAAUCAACGUUUGGUGACUAGUAUGGUUUAUAGGGAUUGCGAGGUAUGGGUAGGUGAAAGGAGUUUUUUAGGAGACCUGAUUAGCUUGUCCAUUAAGGGGUACGAUGUGAUUCUGGGUAUGGACUGGCUAGCCAAAUAUAACGCCCAACUGGAUUGUAAAACGAAAGUAGUAGAGUUUCGCAUUCCUGGUGAGGCAACUUUGAGAUUGGAUAUAAGGGGUAGGUUAGCCUCAUCCGCUCUAAUUUCGGGCAUUCGAGCUAGGAAACUGAUAAGUCGAGGGGCGCAAGGAUUUUUGGCCUUUUUAAUUAAUACCCCUACGGAUAAGUUAAAAGUGGAAGACGUGGCCAUAGUGAGGGAAUUUCCGGAUGUAUUUCCUGAUGAGUUAGUAGCCUUACCUCUGGAAAGAGAGAUAGAAUUUCGAAUAGACCUGUUGCCUGGAACCGCACCUAUCUCGAAAACCCCUUACCGAAUGGCGCCUGCAGAACUUAAGGAACUUAAGUUGCAAUUACAAGAUCUUUUGGAGCGGGGAUUCAUUCACGAGAGUGGGUCUCCUUGGGGAGCUCCUGUCCUAUUUGUGAAGAAGAAGGACGGAACCUUGAGGAUGUGCAUUGAUUACCGGGGGCUGAACAACGUAACCAUCAAGAAUAAGUAUCCACUGCCUCACAUCGACGAGUUGUUUGACCAGCUGCAAGGAGCAGUGGUCUUCUCCAAGUUGGACCUCCGGCAGGGAUACUAUCAGUUGUUGAUUAGGAUGGAGGACAUUCCGAAAACUGCUUUCAACUCAAGAUACGGGCAUUACGAGUUCGCCGUUAUGCCCUUUGGACUGACCAAUGCUCCCGCCGCCUUUAUGGACCUAAUGCAUCGGGUUUUUAAACCCUAUCUAGACCGAUUUGUCGUGGUGUUCAUUGAUGACAUUUUGGUCUACUCUAAGACACGCGAGGAGCAUGAGGAGCAUUUGAGAGUGGUGUUGCAGACAUUGAGGGAACAUCAGCUGUACGCCAAGUUUAGUAAAUGCGAGUUCUAGUUGGAGAAAGUAGCAUUUUUAGGUCACAUGAUCUCCCACGAAGGUAUUUCGGUGGACCCGGCGAAGGUAGAGGCCGUGACAAAUUGGAAGAGGCCAGAAAACCCCACGGAAAUUCGCAGCUUUCUAGGGCUAGCUGGAUACUACCGAAGGUUCAUUAAAGAUUUUUCCAAAUUAGCAGGACCUCUAACUGACCUGACGAAGAAGCAUGGCCAGUUUAUCUGGAACGGCCGAUGCGAAACAAGUUUUCAGGAAUUAAAGAAAAGAUUGACCAUGGCUCCGGUACUGGUCUUGCCAAAUGGAGUGGACGGGUUUGCGGUUUAUGCGGACGCGUCGCGAGAAGGCCUGGGGUGCGUUUUGAUGCAGAACCGGAAUGUGAUUUCGUUUGCCUCUAGAAAAUUGAAGCUUCACGAGCAGAACUAUCCGACUCACGAUCUGGAACUAGCUGCAGUUGUCUUUGCACUGAAAAAGUGGAGGCAUUACCUAUAUGGGGUGACUUUCGAAGCGUAUUCGGAUCACAAAAGUCUUAAGUACCUUUUCUCCCAGAAGGAAUUGAACAUGAGGCAACGAAGGUGGAUGGAAUUCCUGGAAGAUUACGACUGCACAAUCAAUUACCAUCCGGGAAAGGCAAAUGUGGUAGCAGAUGCUUUGAGCCGUAAGGUGCAAGUAGCAGGGUUGAUGAUUAAGGAGUGGGAUUUAUUAGAAUCCGUGUGCGAGUGGAGACCCUGUCUUGGGAGCCAUAAGGUGAUAUUUAGUAAUGUUAGGGUGACCUCCGCUCUACUGGAACGCAUAAAAGAGGCACAAAAAGAAGAUUUAAUGGUACGGAAGUGGAGCGAGAAAGUGGAAAAGGGAGAAACUACGGACUUCAAUUUGAGUCCUGAAGGCAUUUUGAAAUAUCGAAACCGAAUAGUGGUACCGAAGGAAGAAUCGUUGAAAACGGAAAUUCUGGAGGAAGCUCAUCGGUCCAAGUAUACAAUCCAUCCGGGCAGCAGCAGGAUGUAUCAAGACCUGAAAGGAACCUAUUGGUGGGACAAUAUGAAGAGGGAAAUCGCUCAGUACGUGCAGAAAUGUCUCAUUUGCCAACAGGUGAAAGCAGAGCAUCAAAAACCAUCGGGUUUGUUACAACCCUUGGAGAUACCCGAAUGGAAGUGGGAAAACAUCACAAUGGACUUUGUUUCAGGAUUACAGAGGACGCAAAGGGGACAUGAUGCCGUUUGGGUGAUCGUUGAUCGAUUAACCAAAUCGGCCCAUUUCUUGCCGGUGAACAUGAAAUAUUCAAUGGACAAACUGACCCGACUGUACAUGGACGAGAUAGUAAGGCUACAUGGUGUUCCUGUGAGCAUCGUCUCCGAUUGGGAUCCACGGUUUGUAUCUCGAUUUUGGCAGAAGUUUCAAGAAAUUCUGGGGACUAAACUCAAUUUGAGCACGACCUAUCAUCCUCAGACGGAUGGCCAGUCGGAACGGACCAUUCAAACUCUCGAGAACAUGCUACGAACUUGCAUUCUGGACUUUGGUGGCAACUGGGGACAGCACAUGACCUUGGUGGAGUUCGCGUACAACAAUAGCUUCCAUUCGUCGAUUCAAAUGGCUCGGUACGAAGCUCUCUACGGACGCAAGUGCCGGUCACCGAUUUACUGGGACGAAGUUGACGAAAAGAAAGCACUGGACCCGGCAACUAUUCCAUGGAUGGAAGAGGCUCACGAGAAGGUCAAGUUGAUACGGCAACGACUUCAAACAGCUCAGAGUCAACAAAAGAGCUACGCGGAUAACCGAAGAAAAGACUUGGAGUUUGAAGUUGGAGACUACGUAUUUCUCAAGAUCACACCCUUACGAAGUCUCACAGCGGGCAAAGGAAAGAAACUUCAACCACGGUACGUCGGACCCUACAAGAUCCUCCAGAGGGUAGGAGCGGUCGCGUAUCGAUUGGAACUACCGUCCAGUCUCUCUCGAAUCCACGAUGUAUUUCACGUCUCGAUGCUAAAGAAGUACCAUCCUGACCCAUCCCAUGUAUUGCAACCGGAGGAUAUCGAAGUAGAUGAAUCACUGGCCUAUGAAGAGAAACCGGUCCAAGUGCUCGAUCGAAAAGUCAAAGAGCUCAGAAACAAGCGGAUUCCGCUAGUGAAGGUGCUAUGGAGAAACCACGGAGUUGAGGAAGCUACCUGGGAGAUGGAAGAGGAAAUGCGAAAGAAAUACCCAAACCUUUUCGGGAAUUAAGGUGAGAAAUUUCGAGGACGAAAUUCUUUUAAGGGGGAGAGAGUGUGAGAACCCGUAAAACCCUAAUUAUUUUCCUAGGGUUUAACCGCUUGAAUAGCAUGUUUUCUGCGUUUUCUGGCUUAGAAAUAUUUUCUUGGUGGAUUUUAUGAGCAAAUAUAGUUUUUAGAUAAUUUUUCUAGUAUUGAAGAGUUUUUGAAAAAUUGAGGAUAAAUAACGGACGUGGGACGGACGUGGGACCCACUAGUGCGAAAAGUUCGGAAAAAUUCGGCCAAUUAGGUUAAAUUCUGGAUGCUGUGUGAAAUUUAUCGGGUGCUAAGAGAUAAGUAGAGUGUGUGAUAUGAUUGAUGUGAGAGGAAAAAGAAAAGAUAAGAUUGCAUUUAAUGAGGUGACACUUGUCACCAUUAGAGUGGACAUGACUUAAGAAACACUAUUCAUUUUUUUGACUUUUGACCCAUUUGAUUAAAUAUCUUUAAAAUUCACAAAAAAUUACCAUUUCUUACCUCUUGUUGGCCGGCCAUCUUGAGCAAGGAAGGAAGAAGAAACUCUUCAAGUUCUAGCUACUACUUGGUGCAAAUCACCCAAAAACAUUUGCUUACAUCCAUUUCUACUCCAUAAAAUCUUUCUAGUUGGUGAUAGUGGUUGGUUUGGUGAAGUUUUCUUGAAGAGCUAAGGUGGUCUACAACUCCUCUUCUCUUGUUUCCUAGGUAAGUGAUGAUUAAACAUCCUACUACACUUAAUGAUGCUUAAAUGGUGCCUAAUGGGACCUAAAGUGAUGGAUUAUGUGAUUUAUUUCUUGAUUUGAAGUGAUGUAGUGAAGUUUUUAUUUUUUUGGGGAAUUUUCUGAUUUAAUAUGAAUGUGAUGUUGUGAUCAUCUAUGAUGGUUGAUAAUGAGGGGGAAAGACUCUAGUAGGUGUGAAUUAGGGAUAAUAGCAACUAAUUUUGGCUUUGGAGUGAAUUGUGAAAUGUUAGGGUUUCAAAACCCCUAAUUCUGUCCGGUUUUAGAUCAUAGGGUUAGAGGCCGAAUUGGAUUUUGCUCAAAACAUGAAAGUUGUAGGUAUUGAUGAUUUUGAAGUGCCUACAAAAUUUCAGGUCAUUUGGAUUAGUGUAGAGUGAGAUAUGUCGAUUUUACUGUUGCUGUUCUGGGUUGAUCAGAAUGCGAAAACUGCACUUGUAAUUGGCCAUUUUGACUGGGAUUGGUUUGGAUUUUAUUGUUGGUGUCUUCUGAUGAAAUGUAGCUUGAUGUCCUAGAUACCAUAUGCCUUUGGAAUUUCGGUAUUUGGACCUGUAUAGACUGAGUUGUGUUAAUUACAGCAUAGUGUGAUUUGUAAACCUGUAAUUACGGUUCUGGAUUUGGUAUUCUGCAUUUUUGACCUAGUUGUGCUAGGAUUUGGACUGAGAGGCCUUCUACAAUAUUGUAGCCCUGUUUCUUAGCUUCGAAAUGGUGGGUCUUACACCCCAUCCGAUAACCGUAGUGAAUUUGGUGCCAUUACCGCAUAUUGAGGUCAAAUACGGUUUCUUUGUUAAGGCUUAAGCUGAAGUCAUUUCUUAAUUUCUGGUUACCAAUAAUGCUUAUUUAUGCAUAUAAACCCUAUUGGGGGUUAUGAUUGGCAUUGCUAUAUGACUCGUUAUCGAGUCUCAUUGCAUUUGUUUGCAUGAUUCUAGGGCGUGACGGUAGUGCUCGACGGAUUGGUGACCACGGUGUAUGAAACAUCACUUACGUGGUUGGUGAGUAUACUACUCACUUAAAUGUUCUAAUGUGGCUUUGCUAUAUGUGGUUGUGUUGCCUUGAAGGCUUAUUUGGAUAUUGUAAUUGAUUAAGGUGAGGGUGUACUUGACCGCCCUCACCCCUUUUGAUCGUAUCACUGAUUGUCUACCGUUUCACUGUCUUACUGAACUUGAUAUAUGAGUUAUUGCAUUCCAUUUCAUGGAAACUGAUUUGGUGUGGUUUGGACGAAUGUCCAAUGACCUUACUGUAUCACUGAGCUCAACUCCGUUAGGUAGUCAAUUGGAUCGAGCCGGCGAGGGUUUGGUCGUGAUAAUUGACAUGCCACGGGGACUGUACUGGGGAAUCUUGUAGUAAUGAGACUCUUGAUUCCGGUAAACUCGAGUAUUACCAAAAUGACUGAAUGGAGUGCGGGCCCGGUUGGGGAAUGUUGGGUGGAAGGAAUGGAAGUAAAGAGUUGUCUACGGUUGGUUAUUUUUUUACAUUGAUGGAGGGUCAAUGAGGUUGGAUCAAGAAUAUAUGCGAGGAAAUGGGCUCUUGAGAGCCAUCCGUAUCCUUUCACUGAUUUGAUUUACUUCUUACUUGCAUACUUGAACUGAACGGUUAUGCUUAUGUGAUAUUAGUUGCUAUGGUGGUAUUCUCACUGGGCAUUUAGCUCACCCCGUUUCUUUUGUUUUCCUUACAGGAAUAUGACUCUUUUGGAAUGAAUUUUGUUAAAUGGUUACCGAAUGAACUAGAUGAAUGCCUCUUUUGGUAUUGUAUAUAAAAUGGGACCCUAAAUGUAUCAUUAGGGCCGUUUUCACUUUUGUUUUGGCAACCCACAUAUGUAGUUACUUUUGUAUCACUUUUAAAUGCCAUUGUGGCUUGUAAAUGGUUAAUGUUAUGUUGUAUAUGUAUUUCGGUGUUUGGUUGGGUUUUGGGAUGGGUCGGUUACUAUUCAUGGCCGACCCUGGAUUUCAUUUCUUUUAUUUUGGGUUAUUUUGCCCUUUUGCCUUGUUUGCGCGUAUUAUAAGUUUCAGAACGUGAUAGAUCGCUUUAUACUGCACCGUUAGUCCUGGCGAGAGUUGGGCAGGCAGUCCGCUAACCUCUUUGGUUCGCCUUAGGGGAAGGUGGGGCUGUCACAUUGAACACUUGAUUCACUCUCAUCAUUCAUUGCUUUUCUAUAAAUUUCUGGCUUAUUGGUUUUCGGUUAUAAAAGAACUAUUACAAUAUAUACCUGACACAUAAAUAUACCUAGCUUCUCAUAAGUUACUACUUCUAGCAUUUUUCCCUCUAAAAUUAAAAAUUAUAUCCCAAAACCCACAAAAUAUUAAACUUAUACACUUAUAUUGUAAAUCCAAAAGUACGGAGUUUCACAACCGAUAUUUGUCGUGUUAAUAUCUACAACUAUUAGACUUAGUGUCCAUAUUAUAUUAUGGAGUUGAAACUAAUUACUAAACAUGCCCUGAAUCCGUAGUUCGGAGUUUGAACAAGAGAAUUGCAACAGAGGAUAACGAUCACGUGCUAGUAAGCUUCAUUCAUUUCGAUAGAGAUAAUUAUGCCUACUACGGAUAUCUUGACUAAGAAUUUAAUUAAAUAAGAUUCAAUUUGUUCUUUCUUCUUCUAUUUUUUUUUCAGUUAAUAAAUCUAGAAGUAGACUGGAACCGAGGGCAGAAAAAUCAAAACUAUACAAGUUAUCACUAGCUGAGAAAAUUCAAAUGCAAUUAUGGCAAUUGAUUCGUUAUUCUUGUCGUGGGGGAACAUGUACAGACAUGCACCUAUCACAUGAGGAGGAAAUUGAGAUGAGAGUUUUCAGCUUGAGGAGAGUAGAAGUAGAAACUAUAAAGAAUGUCAAGCGUGACGCACCUAUGCCAUUAAAAUUAUGCAAGUUGGGCUUUACAACUUGCAUGUCAUAUACUUCCAACGUUGAAUAGGCAACCAUUUCCGUCUAUGUCCUACUUUGAUUUCUACCUCCCAACGAAACCCUUCAGAUUUCAUGCACAAGGCUUUAGCUGACAGCUCUUGACAAUGGUCCUACAUUUUCGAUCUUAUCAUCUAUCAUCUACCGGUGGAAUUUGAUUGGUGUUCUGUUCGCACUUGUGCUCCUCCUUUCCUCAGAUUGGUGUUCUCUUUCUCUUUUCCUCAAUUUGCUUGGUAUCAUACAAAAGCGUAAGGGAAUUAUGAAUAGUUUACCUAAAAAUGUUCCAUAUACACAAACGCUAAAUGAAUUAUGAGCUAAUUUGAAUUAUUGACAUGAAUAAAAAAAACUCCAACGCAGUUAACGAUUUAAAAUGAUUGCAAGCUUGAAUUAAUGUAUGGAAUUUUUGUAUAUUCAAACAGAAAGUGCUAAAAUUGCACACAACUUGCAAUGAGUGCCUCUUUCAAGGCCAGGGAUAUUUUCAGUUAGUAAUAUGUUGCAUCGAAAACAUUUUGGUAUCUGUGAAUGUGCAAAACCCCUGUGCUUCCAACUGCAGCUGAAGUGGAAUGCAUGUGGAAUAACAAGCAUGUUUUUUAAAAUAUAAACAGAACAACUCAACCAAUACAGAAAGGAUUUUCAUAUGAUGACAAGGAACAUCUUACACAAUAGAAUACCCUAACCUAAAAAUGUUACCAAGUUAGAGGACGUCUAACUUAGCUGAAGGACAAAGUAGUAGUUGUGAAGGUCUUCCUUUAUUUUGGCAGCUCUCAAGACAGGAUAUUGUACACCAAACCCUGAUUUUGAUAAAUGAAUAGGAUAGAGUAAUAUUACAACUACUCCAAUGUAGAAGAUGAAGAAAGCUGUUGGUCAGCAAGAUUUUGUGAUAGAAUUGGAUAGAUCCAAAAAACAAAACAAAAAAAAAGCAAAAAAUUUAUCAAACAAGGAAGAGAACAUAAGAGCAGAAAUUUGAAAUACAAAUGCUACAUUCUCGAUUGUGUCAAUAGUGCGAUGGUUAUCCUUUUUGUACUUUUGGCUGCUGUCCAUUGAGGUCGAAAAUAUAUUCGGCAAAUAGUAUGUGUGCAAGAAAGAUACGACUAAUCAAUAACUAAAUAAAUGAGAAAAUAUUUAGAAGAUUUUAAACAAGGUAAUUCUGAGAAAUAAAAAUCAAUAACUAAAUGAAUGAGAAAAUUUUUGACUCUACAUUGCUUUAGUACUAUAUGUAUUGGUAAUGCAGUUGUAUGCUUGGUGCUUAAAUUGGAAGAUAUCUAUUUUUGUGACUGUAUCUUUGUUUGAAUUCAAGGCUUCUGGAGUUUGUAAUUACUAAUUGAAUACAUCAUGAAAUACACAUUACUAUUUAGUUAGUUUCAACAUGGCCUAGUGGUAUAAUUUCAAGAAAUGUACAAUUGUAAUCUUUUAUUUAUAUAUUUAAAGUGAAGGAAUAAGUCUGACAGGCUGAUACUGAACAAGAAUGCUCAAAUUUUCCCUGAGUUUUGAUUUGAAUUCAUUUAGUCAAGAUGCUAGGGAAAUUUGAAAUCAAGAGAACAAACCUUUUGUGUUUUUGUUGACAAGGAAACCCUCAGCCGACCGUGCAAGGGACUCAAGAGAAAAAACUUUACCAACUAAUAAAACUAAUUGAUGCUUUCUUCUAGUAGACUGUAAACCCACCAAGAGUAUACUUACCUAGAAGUGCAUUUAACAUAGUAACCAAUAUACUUAUGCUGAAUAUAUUAAGAAAAAUAUGAGUAAUUAAAGAGACACUGGAUAGAGGAAAAAACUGUAACAAAGAUUUGUCCACAGCCAUGCAACUGUUUUGAAACUUCUGAAAGAUCACACUUCAGUCCAUUGCCUGAUUAGACCAUCAAAGUUCAAGUUGACAAAGCCUUUCAGAAUUCGGUCAAAAGAAGUGGCUGAACUGUUAGUUGAUCACUCUUUAUGUACUGGAGAGGAUAUGGUUGUUAAGGCGAUUAUAUAUAGAAUUGAUAAGAAAGAAUGAUGAGCCACAGAUUGGUUAUCUAUAAGACGGUGGAUAAGGCUGAAGAAACAAUCAAGGUGGAAUUCAAGGACAAGAAAUCUGUAUAUGUCAUUUUCGGAGGCAAUUGAUGACGGCUGGAGUGGAUAUGUGUACAGCCUUCUCUAUGUCGUAGGAUUUUUUUUUGAAUCCUGAAAAAUUUCAUACGAAUAAUUUCUACACAAAUUCAGAAGUUUCUAGCGGCAUUUUGUCUUGCAUUGUCCAAUGAGUUCAAGUUCCUGGUCUUCAAGGUGUAUUAACUUCGCAAAUUAAAGAGUAUCACACGAUAAAGGGUACCUAUGGUCUACGAAUCACUAACAAUUUGCUAUUCAAGUUGUAUGCCAGACAUAUAAUGUGAUGUAGAGUACGAUCCAACGAGGAACUUGGCUAAGAAUUAAUUUGCAGAAGGAAGGAAAACAAUAGGACGAGAGAGCCUGGCUGCCCUGAUGCCUGUGCACUACAACCUGCGACUCUGAAAUUUCAAUCAAGAUAUAGCACCUAAUUUGAGAAUUAAUGACAUUGACCCAUGGACUAUGGCUAAUAACUCUGAAAUUUCAUUUAUAGUUGUCAAGGAAUAUGGCUAAAACCCACCUUUUGCAGCAAUCUUCCUUCACCCAAUGAAAGAUUUCUGGAGGUUAAAGUUCAGCUCCUAAAGCUCUUCUCCAGCUCACCAACCAACAGAAGAAAUUAGUUUUAGUAAAAGUUGUUAAAUUUUGGCACCAAGUUUUGAGGGUAUGUAGGUAAAUUUGUAGAUGAUAUUUUGCUUCUAAAAUAGUGUUUAAAAAGCUAUUUCAGUGAGGUAUUACGGUGAAUUUGUCCUUGAUGAUAUUGACAUUAGGUCCCAUCAACAUCAAUAAAAGUCAAUCUGAUGUUGGAAACUUGGAAACAAGAAGGGUUCUAGCUAAAGUAUUAGAAACCUCAGGAAAUUAUCCCUAAAAUAUUUCCUCCACACAAGACAUAGUGUUCCCAUCCUAGUUCUUAUAAAUAGGGCUUUAGCUCAAUGCACUUGUCACUAGAUAUCAACAAAUUUUGCACGUCAUUUAUAUUUUGAGUGUGAUUGUGAUCAAAUGGCGUCUUCAAAAAAUUUGCUCUUUCUUUUUGGUGUUCUUUUCGCACUUGUACUCCUCAUUUCCUCUGAUGUAACAACAGCAGGUACCCUGUUUUUUUUUUCUUUCUCUUUUAUAUUUUUGGCUGCACCUGAACACUCAAAUGAAUGAAGCCUAGCAGACUUAUUAUUGGGAAGUGAUCAAAUUAACGUCAAAUUAAAUACUUCUAAUUCUAAUUUAUUGAGUAGACUAUAAUGCAAAAUGAUUCAUAUCCUAGUCGCAACAUCUUAUAUGCCUAGACUGUUCUGUUUAAUCCACAGUAUUCUUUUCUUUGCAUAUAUCUUGCAAAUUUUCCGCCUGGCCAGUCACCUUAUUUUGCAGCAUAAGGUAAAUCUCCUAACAGUUAGUCUCCUUAUGUGUUGAAACAGAUCAGGAGACCACGAAGGCCACUGGUGUCCACGAUGCCAGCUCAGGUGAGGCUCAUCAGUAUCCUGUAGCCGGAUAUGUUUGCGCAUUUGGUUGUUGCCGCAUUUUGGGACGUUAUUGCUUUAGAUGCUGUCCACCUGCUGAGAAGACCCCUAAUGUUGAAUUUGGAGAUGAGGUUAAAAAUUAAAGCUAAGUCAAUAAGGAUGUGAGAUCCGUAACACCUAUAUUAUUACCUUAAUAUGUUGUGUUUGUCUUGAUGGUUGAUUUCCUCUAUGUGUAAAAAGACUCGUGGAGCUUCUCUUUGACUUGGUGUAGAAUCAACAGGGGAGGCAUGUAAUGAGUACUCAGCUCGACUGCCCUUCUUGUGUUGUUGUCAUGUUGAAUAAAUAAAUCUACUUGAUCAUCUACGACACUUGAUGAUCUCUAUCUCAGUUACAUCAGAAACUUCUGUACCUUGGACUUGCUAGAAUUUAGUGUGAUUGAUACAAGACGUGCAGAAUGUUCAAUAUAUGUAUAUACGUGCUUCUUCAUCGUCCCAUGUCUUUACAGUGUAAAAUAAUUCAGUAAACCCAAUCCUGUUCCUUCCUGAGAAAGGAACUAAAGUCCUUUAAAUGGAUAUUUUGGAUGCUAUCAAGGGUUUGAAUGGAUUGCCAUUUAGAGAUCUGAAUGUUGGUCUUUUCUCUUUAUCUUUGCUCAAGAAUUUUUUUUGGUGGAAAUGCUUUACUUAUACGAAUUUUCCUAGUCAGUGAAUAUUUUUAUUAUACUUGCACAACACAAUGUUUAUAUGGAUAACACAAAAAAGCUUCUGUAGUCUGUAUACUUCAAAAAUAUUCAUAUAUACUUUUUAACUAGCCUAGAAAAAUACAUAAUAAAUUCUUGAUGCAUUAUACUUUAAAUUUUAAAAAAUUUUAAUUCUAACACUUAUCAAUGACUCCACAUGUUAAUUUGUCUUCCAACUCAAUAAUUAGUAGUAGUUAAUUUUCAAAGCUAACUGACUCCAAUAUUCCUGAUGCGUGGGGAGUUUGAACCUUAAUUAUUUUCAAAUUUUAAAUAUAAUCCAAACUUUCACUGCUGCAAGUGCACAGGUUGUACACGAGUAUAGGGAAUGCUGGAGUGUCAACCCCAAGGAGAAGAUUGUCAAUUAUUGGAGUGAUUCGAACUCCUCUAUUAUUUAGAUUGUCACAAUUAAAACAAGUAAAUCUAAUUUACAAAUAUAAAAGUAGUAAAAUAACAAGGAAAUGUGCCUAGGGUUAUAUAAUCUUUAACUACUCUUACAAGUGAAAAUAACCCAUUAAAUGAGUUGAUUAUCUUGACUAACUCAUGGCUAAUUUUCUAAUAUAUGUGACAUUCGCUUUCGCUAAUGUACCAACCAUACAUAUAACUAUCCCUCACCUAUGUUUAGUGAUAAAGAAACUAUCUAUAAACUCAUAGAAUCUAUGAAGUUAUUUGUUAAAGCCACAAAGGUUUUUUCCUCCUUUCGUGAGAAUACUCCCUAAGUUGAACACUUCCACGAACUAAUGUUAAAUCACAACUUUCAUUGAUAAAACAACACCUUUAGAUAAUCACCAUUAAUGAUCAAUUAAUCGUGAUUGUAAUAACAAAAGUGUUAAAUAACUUGCUCAAGAAUUAAGAUGGAAUAACCAAGAAAAUAUCACUAACAAGCAUAAAUAGUUUAUCCAUCCCUAUGCAUACAAACUAGCAAAACGUAAAUGAAACAGAAAUAACAACCAAACAUGUAUAUUCACUAAAUAUGAGAAUCAAUAUAAGAAAUAAAGUGAUAGGAAAGAAGUCACCUUGACACAUGAGUUCCAAAACUCUCAAUCUUCAUCUUCAUCCUCAACUUCAUCUAUAUUUAGUUACAAUACAAGAUGGAUAAAACUAACCUACACUAAGCUAAUUAACUAAUGAGAAUAGUGAAAGUUACAUUUUUUGUGGUAGUUCCUAACCUUCAAAGGUUAUGAAAAUGAGUUUUGAAGGCCCCUAUUUAUAGAAGAAAUUGCUCCAAAUAAUCAUGUUUCAAGUUGUGCAAUUUGUGCUUUCGAAUCUCCAAAAGUUAUUUCUUGAAAUCUCCAAUAUUUCUUCAGUAGUUACCGCUAAAAUUUGAUUAGAAAAAUAAGCUAUAAAAGCUAUGGAAAAGCUAUACAAGGCCAUGAGAAAAUACAGGUAAAGACCCUCAUUUUAACUCUUGUUUUGCCUCCUGUUUUGCCUCCCAUGUAUUUUCCAUGUCAUUUCUGGUUUCAUCCCAAUCCGAGGGUCAAAACAUUGGUUACUCCUCAUUUUAGCCCUGAUUUUCUCCUCAGAAGAGUAAUUUUGUAGCUUUUGUCAUUCCGAAUCGUUCUCAAAUCAUCUCUGACAUCUUACUUGUAUUUCACUUGAUUCGAAAUAAACAUGAAAGACCAAAAUCUACAAAAACAACAUGUUUUGCACAUUAAACCAUUCAAAUACAAGUUUCGGUUAUUAACUGCAACUUGAAGAAAUGUUUGCUUAAAAUGAGUAUUUUUCAUCCUUAAAGCCCUAAAAACAAACCAAAAACUAAGUAACAAACAUAUUAAAAAUAUGCAAAGUAAACACUGUUCAAUUCCCUCACUUUCUUCAUCUCCUAAUGGAUUUAUUUCCUAAGCAUGAGUUUUGCAACCCCCAACAUUAAAUCUCAAUGAUUCAUUUCGGUGGUUAUAAAGGCUUCUAACUUUUCGCACGUUUGUUUCAUAGUGUACUUAUUGGUUUGCUAUUAAUUCUAACUAGACAUUUACUAGGUCUUGUAGAAUUUAUUCCUUCUUAUCACUUAAUUCAUAAGCCUUAUUAAUCAUUAAAUUUAUCAGUUACAACCAAAAGGCAAAUGCCUUGCAUUUCAAUCUUUAAUGUCAGUACUUAACUUAUAUUAGCCAUUCGUACUGCUUGAUAUUAUUAUAUUGCUUCUAGAAUGUUACUCGUCAUGUUCUUACCAUUAUCUAGAUUAUGAACUUCUAUCCUUCUGCGGAUAUUCGUUAAAAUUGGGACGAUUCUGAACUCCUCAAAUGAUAAGUAUUCGACUAUGAACCUUUAGAUUUAACUCAAGUUCAUCAAUUAUUACUUUCAACACUUGAUUCAUUCUCAUCAUUCAUUGCUUUUCUAUAAAUUAGUCUGGCUUAUUGGUUUUCGGUUAUAAAAGAACUAUUACAAUAUAUACCUCACACAUAAAUAUACCUAGCUUCUCAUAAGUUAUUACUUCUAACAUUUUUUCCCUCUAAAAUUAAAAAUUGUAUCCCAAAACCCACAAAAUAUCAAACUUAUACACUUAAUGUAAAAGCCAAAAAUAUGGGGUUUCACAAUCUAUAUUUGUUAUGUUAAUAUCUACAACUGUUAGAGGUAGUGUCUAUACAAUACUAUGGAGUUGAAACUGAUAAUUAAACAUGCCCUAAAUCUAUAGACUGUAAAAAUUCUAAAUUUGCUUGUAUGCUCUAUGGUUUCAAUGUUCUAACCUCCAUGGUUAAUUUGAAGUUUGAACAAGAGAAUUGCAAUAGAGGCCAACGAUCACGAGCUAGUAAGCUUCUUUUUUUUUUUAUUAAUUAGAUAAGAAAUCAAACUAUUACACAAGCCUAAUUUUCCUAAUUGAAGGCAUUCCUAGUUUAUCCAGACGAAUUGCUCCACGAGCCAUAGGUGGAAAUGUAUUAAAUGUCUCAUAUAUCCUGAGUUGCUGCUGUGGAUGAGAUACACCCACGUUGGACAGCACAUCAGCCACUGUGUUUGCUUCUCUGUAACAGUGGGAAAAUCGAUCUGGAUCUUCCAUGAUCUGCCAAAUCUGCCUAAUAACCCGUCUAAUGUGCCAAGGACAAUGAAUGCGAUGCUGGAGAAUGCCAAUUAAUAACAGAGAAUCAGAUUGCACAUUGAGAUUCAAAAAACCCCUAUGUGCACUGAUUUGGAGACCAAUAAGGAGGGCACGAGCUUCUGCAAGGAGACAUGUCGUUUCCCCAAAAUAUGCCGAGAAACCAAUCAAAGGUAGACCAUUUGACUCCCGAAGAACUCCACCGCCUGCACCCACUCCUGGAUUACCUUUAGAACAUCCAUCCGUAUUAAGUGUGAGCCGACCAGAUUCCUUUGUUUCCCAUCUUACAAGUUUAUAUGUAAACCCAACCUCCGAUGAAUUAGGCCAGUCAUACAAAUGAUAAAAAGAUGGUACUCGGAGAGGUUUUUUUAAAUAAAUUCCCACCAUGGAUUGGAUUUCGGAGAAAAUGGCAUGACAAAUGGCAAUCGACCUCAUCUGAACAUCGUCAAACAUUGCUUUAUUUCUUGCCUUCCAGAUAUGCCAACACACAAGACAGGGAAGAACCCGUCCAAUAAACCGACGUAUCUCAGAAUCGUAUGAUUUCAACCACCAACCCACUAUGCGGAGUCUCAAAGAUGACGCUGACAAAUCGAAUCCACAUGCAGCUCCAAAAUAAUUCCAAAUUGUUGAUGCUAUAUUGCCAUUUGAAAAUAAAUGUUCGAUUGAUUCCUCAGAUGGCAAUGGACAACAAAAACACUUUGAUGGAAGAUGGAAACCAAUGUUACGUAAACUGUCGGGUAUUGGCAGUCUCCCCAGCAAAAGUCUUAACAUGAAGAAAGAAACUUUCAAAGGAAGACAAGGAUGCCAAAUUCUAUCAAACACCAUUGACGUGUUACGGGCUUGCCUAAUAUCCCGAAAGGCUGAAGCUAGAGAGAAAUUUCCGGAAGAAGUAGGCAUCCAUAUGACUUCCGCUUCACCCCCCUCUUCGGGGACUGGGUGGUUUAAAAUGGAGGUCACCAUUUGACUUGGCAGUGACUGACAUAACCGACUCGUAUCCCAAUGUCCAUUACUGAUAAAGUUACUAAAUGAUAAGUUUGGGAUAACCGUCGCUUGGAGGAAUAAUGCACCAUUACCCAACCAAUUGUCGUA
rnacentral:lncRNA from 1 species